GCCCUCGAUGAUUGAGUAGCAGUAGGUGAAGUUCUCCUUGUCCAGGGCCUCAACCUUGUGCUUCGCUGUCUUGUACUGACUGCCUAUCAAUGUAACAGAAAGUCACAUUCACAUUUAGAACUCGCAGGUUUCAAUAUCACGAGCACCAAUCUUCAUGGUGUCCAUCAGGCCAUUUAGGAAUUAACCCAAUUGUUCUGACCACAAUCCAAUACAAUUGACUUAGACAUAGCCUAACUUUGCCUGAUCAAAAUCCGAGUCACAUAAUCACUCGUGUAAAGUUAAAUGGUUAGAAACAUCUUAAGUAACAGAGUCAUAUUUCUAUCUUUUCCAUAUUCAUUAUAUUUUUCCAUAAGGUUGAACCCGCCUUGAUUCAGAGCGAUCCUAAGUUCCUAAUACGGAUGGACUAACCUUUGCCAAAAGUCAUCAACUUGAUGGUCCCGGGACCCCCAUCGCCCUCGAGGACUUCAACGCUCUUGACGGCUUGCGGGAGGACCUUGGGGAGGAGGUUAUCGGCAUCGAGGAUAGCGGCCUUGAAUAUCCUGGCCCGAGGAAUGGGGGACAGGAUAUCGAAGCGAAAAGUGACGACACCCAUGACCGGAUCCUAACAGAGUUGCUGAAACUGAGAAGGAGGUGAUGAUCUGGAAGUAGUGAUGAAGUUGGUCUAUGGGACUUGGGAGUGAAGAGAAGAGGCUGAAUUGAAGUUGACAUAUAUAGAGAGAGAGGGGGACUGAGUGUGAAGGGUUCUGAUCACUGCAUAUUUUCUUCUUACUAAGAUGCAUUAUCUUUUGCAGAAAAUAAAUAAUUUAGAAAAUAUUUUUCUAAAAAUAAUCACUAAAUUUAGAUAGUGUUUCGAGCAUAAGUUAUUUGGUGAGUUUGCUGCAUGUUCUAAAUUGAUCUAAAUUGCUAAAUUUAAUGGGCUCACUAGAAUUAAAAGUCUAGAUUCCCCUUAAUAUAAAUAAGACACUACCUCAUUUUCAAGUCUUCGUCAAAAUUGUGUUGUAUGUACUAAGUUAAUCUAAAUCACUAAAUUUGAUGGGUUCAUAUGGGAUCCAUACAAAAUUCACAGGAAUUAAAAGUUCAGAUUUCACUUGCUAUAAAUACAGUGCUCUUUCCUCAAAUUGUGUAGUACGUACUAAAUUGAUCUGAAUUGCUAAAUUCAAUGGGUUCAAGUGAGACCCAUAUAAAACUCAUUAGAAUUAAAAGUACAGAUUUUGCUUAAUAUAAAUACGACCCUAGCUCAUUUCCAAGUCUUCAUCAAAAGUGUGUUGUGUGUCCUAAAUUGAUCUAAAUCGCUAAAUCUAACAAGUUCAUGUGGGAUCCAUGUGGAACUCACUCAAAUUAAAAGUCCAGAUUCUCCUUGAUGUAAAUACGAUGCUAUGUCAUUUUCUAAGGUUUCAUUAAAAUUGUGUUGUAUAUACUAAGUUAAUCUAAAUCGCUAAAUUUGAUGGGUUCAUGUGGGAUCCAUAGGAAACUCACUAAAAUUAAAAGUUCAUAUCAGCUUAAUAUAAAUACAGUUUUCUUUCAUCAAAAUUACGCCGUAUGUACUAAAUUAACCCCAAUUGCUAAAUCUGAUGGGUUCAUGUGGGACUAUAUAAAACUCACUCAAAUUAAAAGUCUAGAUUCUCCUUGAUAUAAAAACAAUGCUAUGUCAUUUCUAAGUUUUCGUCAAAAUUGUGUUGUAUAAAUAUAGUGCUCUUUCAUCAAAAUUACGCCGUAUGUACUAAAUUAACCCAAAUCACUAAAUCUGAUGGGUUCAUGUGGGACCUAUAUAAAACUCGCUGGAAUUAAAAGUCUAGAUUCUACUAAAUAAAAAUAAGGCCCUAACUCAUUUCCGAGUCUUUGUCAAAAGUAUGUUGUAUGUCCUAAAUUGAUCUAAAUUGCCAAAUCUGAUGAGUUCACAUAGGAUCCAUAUUGAAUUCACUAGAAUUAAAAGUCCAAAUUCCACUUAAUAUAAAUAUGAUGCUAGCUCAUUUCUGUUUAUUCAUCAAAAUUGUGCUAUAUGUACUAAGUUAAUCUAAAUUGCUAUAUUUGAUAGGUUUAUGUGGAACCCAUAUGAACCUCACUAAAAUAAAACGUCCAAAAUCGAUUAAAUAUAUAUACCGCUUUAACUCAUUUCUAAGUCUCCAUCAAGUGCCUUUUUCUCAUCUCUUUGAAGCUUCCGAUCGCGUGCCAUUCCGUCACAUGUGAAUCGCGAAUGAUUUUCCACGCCGGAGUCUUUGUUAAAUCUAAAGACUUAAAAAUACGAAUGUGAAGUAACAAUUGCGUGUCAAAUGCAGAAAAUUCUUAAGUGAAAGAGUUGACCGUCCCCUCUUGAGUCAAAUGUUCUCUUCCUUGAUAUGCUUUUCUGAUCUGGCCUCAGACACAGAUGGUCAAAGGGGCGCAUUCAUAUCCAUAAUCUCGCGGCAGUUUCAACUCUGUAAAAAGAAUGCCGAGAUCUUUACAAGAUGUUUGACAAGCGUCUUUGAUGACAGCAUGCACAGCAUAUCUACUGCUUCAAAACAUAGUUACGGUUCAGUCUCGAUUGUUAUUUUUCUUGAAAGAGACACGAGAAUGAAGACAUAAACCAUGGUGGGAGAUAGAAAGAUGGAGCCAACGUGCAACAACUCAAUUGUAAGCAUCAGGGUUUUUGCAAGAGAUGGGCUUCAAUGGCUUUCAACAUUCCCACGGCCUUGUCUUUGCUGGCCUUGUUCUCUUCCCGUCCAUGACGAAGUACUUGCUCGUGCUCUUGCCCAUGCACCCUCCCUGUCUGGCCCCGCCUCGGCCUUGAUCUCAUUUGAGAUCUUCUCUAGCGCAUCGCCCUCAACGAUGGCAUAUGUGUGCGUGACGCAAAAAACUGCAGUCAGCUCCCACGUUAGCCUUAUCAAAGAAUGUCGGCAAACAUCUUCUUGACAUCACAUGUUAAUGCGACGCGAUCAAAAUGAGUGAAAUUAGAAGACAGCGCAAGCACUCGCCUUUGCUGAAAACGACGUGAUGGUGCCGGGACCGCCAUCACCUUCAAGGGUGACAAAAUCCUCAAUGGCUUGCGGAAGGAGCUUGGGGAUGAGAUUGUCAUCAAGAACAAAGGCCUUGAACAUUCUCGCAGGUGGAAUUGAAUGCAUCUUCGCCUAACAGUUCCAAGUCCCUCGGCAAGAGAUGUGUGAGAUUAUGUUAAAAUGCCCUCUAAAUGAUUCUUAAUUGCCUCGUUUAGUAAUCUAGAUCAACAUCACAAUGGUCUAAAUCAUAUAAUAAAGAAAGAGGACAAAAGGCAUGGAUCUCAAGCCCAAAUUAUACUUAUUAGCAUGCAAGAGAUCUUUGAAUGCAGAUACCCUUAAGGGUGGGAAGUCAUUAAAGUAUCAUUUAAAUAUUCUAACGGUGCCAACUGCUCGGACAAGCAAGCUUGAGUGCAUGCAGAUAAUUCUUGCGCAACGAAAUGCAUGGUAGGUCGCAAACCGAGACUCAUCCGCGCACACGCUAUUGCCACCAUGACCAUGAAUACCACUUCCUUGACCAGUUGGCCAGUCGGAGGAGGAAGACAUGGGUCGAGCACAUUCUAUAGUGGCACAUUUGAGUUUUUUAAUAAUGUCGACAUUUGUGUCAUUUGUAGGGAAGAGAGAAGAUUGCCUGGAUGCUUCCCCAUCAUUCUCUAGCAUUGGUACUUUUACUGUUGACUCUGUUUCACGAAAGAAGGAUGAAUCAAUGUUUUGAUCACAGCGUCAAGUUCCAAUUUUUUGUGAUACUAUUAAUACAAACCACUUUUCAAAAUCUAUACUUGCUCUUCCUAAAGGUCUUGUUAGAAUUAUUGGACGAAUCCAAAUUCGAUAUGUCAAUUAAAGCUAUUUGAUCUACCUGAGACCAUAAGUACAGGGGAUGUAUUGAUUAGAUUUGAUCUUGUAGCUUACCAGGAACCAUGUAGCUAUAAGAUCUAGCCACUGGGGUCCAAUUUGAUGAAUCCAAAUUCAAGAGUCUCACCAUCCCAAAAACCGAAAGCCGAGGCUCGGAGUCCAGCUCCAGCAGAUGUUGUUCAACGUAAUGUCCCAAUGGACAAUAGGCGGUGAGCAAUCAUGAUGCAGGCAAGCGAUCGUGUGAGCCACACAUUGAACAAUCUUCACUCUCUUGACACGAGUCCAAUUCAACUGCUCCUCUUCCUCCAUGCAUGACCUUUGCCAAAGUUCAGAAAACAUUGGAUGAUGUCCUCGCGGUCAACCACCACUUUGUUUUGACAGUGACGAUGUGGCCGAUGGCUUGUUCGGCCUUGUAAACGCUCCUGAAUCGGCCUUUUCCCAUGCAGCACGCUUCGCUGAAGUCGUUGGUGGCCUUGGCAAUAUCGUUGAAUGCAAACUCCGUUCCCCUUUCCCAUAUGAUUUCACGUACUUCAUAAGAUUUCUUAUCUCUUCAUCGAGAUGCUUGUUUCACCGCCGAAGCACCAAAAUCAGAGCAAUAAGAGUCACGAGAAGUAGUAAGCAGCAAACGCAACAAUCACAUUAAUCAGAACCUUUCUCCGAUGGCCAGUCGAUUUACUGCUCGACCCACAUGGAGACAUUCCGUCGCGUUUCCUCACAAGCCCGGAUUUGCGAUAAAAGCACUUUCCACUGAUUGUUGGAAGAGGUGACCACUAGGAACUGCGCCUGUCAGCUUGUUGUACAAGAAGCCAAUGAAGAUUAAACUGCUCAUGCUGGUGAGAGCAGCUGGGAUCGUACCCGACAAAUUGUUAUGCGAAACAUUGAGAUUUCCAAUUUAGUGAGCUUUGCUAAGUUGGAAGGAAUUGAUCCUGCUAGUGAAUUGUGGCUCGGGUCUAGGUGGUUCUGUAGCGUGAACGAGUUCCCCAGCUCUGGCAGUGACCCAACAGAUUGUUGUUGCUCAAGUUCAAGCUCAGUAAAUUCUCGCAAUUUGCUAGCUCUUUCGGUAUGCUACCGCUCAAUGCCUUCUCCCCAAAAAACAAGAUAAUCUAGCUUUGAUUAGUUUUCUAACGAGUUGGUAAUAUCUCCGGCCAAAUGGUUGUUGCUCAAGUUCAGCCUUACCAACUCCCCUAGAUUUCCCAUCUCGUCGAGAAUUUUCCCGGUCAGUUCAUUGCCUUAGGAAGUCAGAACAUCCAAUUGAGACAAUUUCCUGAGCUCCGACGAGAUGCGGCUGGCGAUUUGUUACCAUCUAUCAGCAAAUUCGUGAGAUUCAUACACUCUCCCCAUUCUGCAGAGAGAUUCCCGACAAAUCGGCUGUUGCUGAGGCUUAUAAAGUCCAGAUUCGGUCUGAACGAACUCAUGAUAUCUGUAGUGAACUGAUUGCUGUUCAGACGGACUCUCGUUAGCCCCGGAAAAUUCCUCAAGAAGUCAGGCGGCAGCUCAGUGAAGUUAUUCCCAUCGACCGUGAGAUAUCCAAGAGCAAAGUCGCUGCAUAUAUCUUACAGCAUUUCUCCGAUGAAGCUGUUGUUCGAAAAGGUAACGAUCCCCAGAGAAGGGCUGUACUUGCGGAAAUCACGUGUUAUGCCUCCCGAGAAAUUGUUCUUGAACAAAGAGAUGGACCGUAAGUUGGCAAGGCGAGAGAUGGUCUCACAAGAAAAUAUUGUGUACACAAGUGAUGCUACGUCAUGGCUUUUCCUUCCCAGCCUAGAUCUCCUCUUCUUCAACUUGAAGUGCCUUCUUGCUGUUGUCCUUGCUCGUCAUCCUGCAGACCGACCCUCCAUCGCUGGUGGCCUCAAACUUGACCUCGUAAUCGAUCGACUGGAGCUUGUCACCCAGCGCAUCGCCCUCGAUAUCGUGGUCCUACACAUGAAGUUCUCCUUGUCGAGCUUGUCGAUCUGGUGCUUCACAUUCUAGAAAGGACUAGCUGCAAUUACGUUAUGAAACUCCCUGCUCGAUGAGUGUUGAGUGUACAUACCUUCGGUGAAAUUUAACUUGCUCAAUGCUCCCGGCUCCACUGUCACCUUGCACCGGCUCCACCGUCGCCUUGCGCCAGCUCCGCACGCUCUUUAUGAACUGAGGCAGGAGCUUCGGGAUCAGGGUAUUUGACUCGACAAUCAAGGCCUUAAGAAUGCGAGCCGGAGCAAUCGGGCAUAUGAGCUCUUGUGUGAAGCUGGUUGCCAUGGCUAUUGGCAAUGAGAAAGAAAUAACCCCAGAGAAGAGUGCUUCCGAGUCCUGUCACUGCCUCCUAAUGUAUGGUUGGAAUUAUGUCAAUAGGUAGGGUCGGGUUGGCAAGAGUCACGCUCGAGGAAAAUAGGAGAGUCAAGGAUUUGCAGCCCAAAGGAAUGGAAAAGAGGAAUUAAGGUGGUCUCUUUUGUUCUUUUGGUCAUGAAAAUGAUUUCGGUCCCUUUCAGAUUCAUGUUGAAAUGUCAAAGUUUAUGUUCCAAAAGAUGAACAUUCUCGUGCUCACAUGGGCGGCCAUCCCUUUGAAAUGAUUGUUGUGGAGUUCGAUCUAACAAUUUGCCGAUUAGAUAUUAUAAUGAACUGUCCUUGUUUGAAGAAAAGUGUAUAAAUCGAAUUUUGUCUUGUUUAUGCAGCAAACAAAAAUACUUAAUUAGUUGGUGAUAUCACGUUAAUUUGUUGCGCAAUAUAAACAUCACAUAAUAUAUUUCUUCAUUUGUAAUGCCCUAAUGUCACGGUGGAUCUGAUUCAAAUGUAUGAAGUAAGGCCUUUUGAAAUCAUUUUCAUGGGUUGAUUCAAACUUCACUAGCACCGACAGUUUGACUCGGUCAAAAUUGGGUCGGCAAUCGGGGUGUCCCAAGAUCAGCUCGUCGUCUGAGUUUUGGGGGAGGUGGAGGCUGCUGCUCUUACGUUAUAUUUUGCUUCUCUUUUUCUUUUUUUCUUUUUAUCAGUGUUGAAGCAUUUGAUCUCUAUCCAAUGUCCCCAUCAAAGAUGUCCCCAUCAAAGAGAUAAGGUAGGAUUAGCUUAAAUAGAAUUUCAAAUAGCCCAAGCGUUACAAUAAGAUAAGUCCAAAACCCGAACACUUUAACUUUAUUUUUCUAUAGCUUUCUUGACAUAUAAUAAGAAUGUACUUUUCAUCAAUGAUCAUACGCAUAACAAUCUUUGAAAGAUUCUACCACAUUGAUAGUUUUAAAUGUUAAUCCAAAUUUGAAAUAUAAGUUUGGAUUUAUUCAUUUGUUACUCAUGAAUUCUAUUCUUUUGUGGAAUUUAUUGAAAAUUAGAGAAUCUCAUGAAUCCAACAAAAUAUCAAGCUUAUUCAACUUUUAUUCCCUUGAUACGCUAUUUAUGUAGCACAAUUUACAAAAUUCCACAAAAACCACUUCACCAGAUUCCUGCCACACCUUUCAUUCUCUUAUUCUCAGCAAAUACAAGAACAGCUACGCUCACCAGCCCCACAAGCUUUACUGCAAACACAGAGUGACCCAAACUCUUCUUCUCUCCUUGUGAAUUUAGCACAACCAGACGUAUUUCACACAGUACAGUGAACAAUCCAAGAUAGCGAUGAGAUCUACUCAAUAGGCAUCAGGGUUUGCCAAGAGAUGAGCCUCGAUGGCCUUGAACAUCUCGGACGCCUUCUCUUUCCCGGCCUUGAUCUUCUCCUCAGUGAUCUCCACCUCCCCGAUGGUGAAGUACUUGCUCGUGUUCUUGCACACCGAGCCUCCCUCGGGCGAUGUGGUGAUCUUCACCUCGUUGCUGAUCUUCUCGAAGGUGGUGCCCAGCAUGUCGCCCUCGAUGAUCGAGUAGCAGUAGGUGAAGUUCUCCUUGUCCAGGGCCUCAACCUUUUGCUUCAUUGUCUUGUACUGACUGCCUAUCAAAGUAAGAAAAAAUAAUAUUCACGUUUAGAACUCGCCCGUUUCAACAUCACGAACAACGAUCUCGAUGGUGUUGAUCGGGCCAUUUAGGUUGUUCCAACUGCAAUCUGAUACGAUUGACUUAGUAGACAUGGCCUGAUUUCCCUCGAUUGGAGUCAAGUCACGUGAUCACUUGUGUAAAUCAAUGAUUAGAAACAUCUUUAAUUAACCAAGUUACAUAUCUAUCUUUUUUAAUGUUCAUUAUGAUGUUCCAUAAGGUUGAAAUAGCCUUGAUCCAGAGCGAUCCUAACACGGACGGACUAACCUUCGCCGAAAGUGAUCAACUUGACGGUCCCGGGACCUCCGUCACCCUCGAGGACUUCAACGCUCUUGAUGGCUUGCGGGAGCACCUUGGGGAUGAGGUUAUCGGCGUCGAGGACAGCGGCCUUGAACAUCUUGGCCGGAGGGAUUGGGGUCGUGAUCUCAGAGUCGUAACUGACGACACCCAUGAUUUGGAUCCGAAUGGAAUUGCCGAAAGAAAGAAGAGGGUGAUCGGGAAAGGCUGACUAGCAGUGAUGAAGUUGGUCUCUAGGACUUGGGAGUGAAGAGAAGAGGAUGAACUGAAGCUGACAUAUAUAGAGAGACCGAGUGUGAAGGGUUCUCGUCAUUGGAUAUUUUCUUAAGUGUGUUCGUUUGGUACAAAAUAAAUAAUUAAAUAAUUAUUUGUAUCAUUUGGUAUAAUUAUUUGAUGAGAAAGUUUUGCAUUAUUGACAAUAAUUUAUAUAUAAAUAUUUUUUAUUCGUUUAUUUUUGUAAUUUAUAUAAAAAAAAUAUUUUUUUUACGAAACAAAUGAAGCUUAAUAAAAAAAUCUUAAUCGGUCUGUGGGUUGUUCAAUCAUGACAUGGAGGGGAGCGUGUGACGACAAAGUCAGUUCUUCUUACCGUUCGUGGCCCGGCUUUCGGUCGUCGGCUCGGCUCGCCUUGCGUUUUGGAAACGGCAUCUUCUCUCUCUCUCUCUUUCCUUCUCUCGCCCGCUCUUCCCUGCCCCGCCCCCCGGGCUUUGCUGUGGUCGCGACCAGAUGGAACUUUGACCGUGGAUUAGAUCGUUCGUUCGGUGGUGUUGGUGUCGAGGGUCGUUUGUCUUGUCCGUGCACAAAUUCCUUUCUUUCUUUUUUUUUUUUUUUGCUUUUUUUUUCUUUAUUCGAUGAGGUCGUCGUUCGAUGAGGUCGACCUUGACCUCGCCGGUUGCCAUGGUCCGUCGACUAGAGGAAGAAGAUGAGAAGAAAAAAAUAAAAAUAAAAAUAAAAAUUCAAAAAAAUUACAAUAUUAUUAGAAGUUGUCCACGUCAUCGUGUUUAGUCAGCAAAAUCCGGUCAAAAUUGACCGGAAAUGACUGAAUUGGUAUAAAGUAAAAAUAUUUAGGACUAAAUCAGCACAAAAACAAAAUGUUUAGAACUUUUUAGGCAUUUUUCCCCUAAAAUGGGUAUUACAAGUUUACGAAAGGUACGAACUCAAAAGUCUCCCAAUAAUACUUAAAUUCUCUUGUAGUAGUUAUAUCUAUCUAAUCUUCAAUUAAAAAAGAAAAAUUUCAGUAAAAUUCCUUAAAAACACAUGUAUAAAAUCUUGUUAUCUUCUAUUAAUGCAGGUUUUAAUCAUAUUGUUUCACCAACCUUCUCAGCGAAUUAGUCCCUUUUUUUAGCAUAACUAAUCUUGGGAUGUCACAUUUUAUUGCUAUAACUUGGGGCUUUGAUUUAGGAACUCCAAUAAUCAUUAAAUCUAUCCAUGGAGAGCGCCCGCUAAAAAAAUCUGACUGCUUUGCAUAACCUAGUUUGGUUCAACACCUUUCCUCCAGUAACUUUCCUGACAUAGUAAAAUCUUACUUAUGUACUUGUAAAAUCCGAACCAAGUUUCUGUAUAGAUUAAACAUGAACAUUUGCACACUUAAAUGAAUUCUUUAAAUCCCUGGGUUAAAUUUUGAUAUUAUCAUAAUCCUUUAUUUUCCAAGUAGUUUCUCCAUUUUCGACAAUGACAAACCUAUAACAUUCCUUCAAUGAGAGUGAGCUAUGCACAUAAGCAUGCAUAUUCUGCAGAACUAUUUGAAUGUAAAACCAGAGAUGAUUCAUGCAUGCUUCUACAUGUGACAUUUUAAUAGACCAUACAAAUAUGUCUGCAAAACAUAAUAAACUCUCCUUAAUAUGUACACAUAGUGUGAUACUCCCCCUGAGUAUGUGCUUCUCCCCCUUCUUGUUUCUUAAAAAAGCAAGAACAUCAUAUGCCCAGGGAUGAAAACCAUAUAAGCAAAAGCAUCCAUUUAUUUAUAUACAAGAGUGUUCCACAAAGCAUAUUCUGGAAAAAUUAAUAUAAAGGAAAGUGAACAUUAACCAAAAGGAUCACAAACACCGAUUUCAUCCAUCAAGCUAGAAACGUAUUGUUAUCAAGAGGUUUAUUCAAAAUAUGAGCGAAUUGCAGAUCGAUGUUAACAAAUCCUUUUCAUUAAUUCAUGUUGUGCUGUGGCUGCCAUAAUUAAAUAAAUAAAUAAAAGAAUCAUAUGAAGGAGUCUCUCUUCUUGAAGUUUGACCUAGUUCAGAGCUCCUCGAAAUGGAAGCCACCCCCGUUAAUUAGCACAACUCAUUGUUUAGAGUUAAAUCUUUUAUUAGAAAUCCAAAAUUUAGGCAAUUAAAUACUUGGCCAAUUUUUAAGACAGUGUGACUCUAAAAAUUGUGCUCAUAUUCAACUGAAACACAAUUAGUAAAGAAAGACUUACCGAGUGCUUAACAAUGUCGCAAUUACACUUAUCUUCAAAUCCUUACAUUAAGGAUGACACAUCCUUAUAUUUCAAUAAGGGCCAUUGACUUAACUAAGAAAUUUUAUCUGUUGAAUACUUGAAACACAGAAAUCUGACUAAUUGGAGUAUGAAUUACUGAAACUACAACAACAAUUGAGUAGAAAUGUAAAAGAGACUUAGGGUUGAUGCCUGAUUAUAUAUCGAAAUACCAUGGGUUUGACAUAUAGACCUCCUUGUCAAAGCCCUGUAUGCUAUUGGAAAUAUGUAUACGUAUUAGGCGCAUUCUGUGGGCUACUACAUGGUGCACUUGUUUUAUAUUUAAAGUUUCAAUGGGUUAGUUUUGUCUACUGGUAAUAUUUUCCUCCAAUCAUACUUUCAAUUAAUAGGUCAAAGAUUAUGGACAUUAUCAAUACGAAAUUUAAUCAAAAUCAAAUACGAGUGAUGUUAAUAUUUGUGUAAUCCAUCAAUGAAAGUUAUGGCUAAAAAGAGUUCAUCCAGCUAGAGCGUUACAUGUGUAAAUAGAGAUAAAAUAAAUUUAGAAUUCUAUCCGUGAACUUUUAUAUCAUUGACUACGGUUGCUAACAAGCAUUUUCAUUGCAAAAUUUGACAACAUUUUUCGAUGGCUUUUGGAUUAUCACAUAAUUAUGUCGUGAUUCAGUUUUAUCAUGUUCAGAUUUAGUUUUUUUACAUUUAUUUGAAUCUAAGUUACAAUUAUUGCACGUGAUGGUUGACACUUAAGGGCCUGCAUGGUUGGCACUUAUUUCUGUUCCCAGGAACAGAAAUUUCUGUUUUUUUGUUCCUGGGAACAAAAAAGGAACAGAAACGCGUUUGUGUGCGUUUCNNNNNNNNNNNNNNNNNNNNNNNNNNNNNNNNNNNNNNNNNNNNNNNNNNNNNNNNNNNNNNNNNNNNNNNNNNNNNNNNNNNNNNNNNNNNNNNNNNNNNNNNNNNNNNNNNNNNNNNNNNNNNNNNNNNNNNNNNNNNNNNNNNNNNNNNNNNNNNNNNNNNNNNNNNNNNNNNNNNNNNNNNNNNNNNNNNNNNNNNNNNNNNNNNNNNNNNNNNNNNNNNNNNNNNNNNNNNNNNNNNNNNNNNNNNNNNNNNNNNNNNNNNNNNNNNNNNNNNNNNNNNNNNNNNNNNNNNNNNNNNNNNNNNNNNNNNNNNNNNNNNNNNNNNNNNNNNNNNNNNNNNNNNNNNNNNNNNNNNNNNNNNNNNNNNNNNNNNNNNNNNNNNNNNNNNNNNNNNNNNNNNNNNNNNNNNNNNNNNNNNNNNNNNNNNNNNNNNNNNNNNNNNNNNNNNNNNNNNNNNNNNNNNNNNNNNNNNNNNNNNNNNAAUAAAAAAAUUAUACAAAUUUACCAAACAUGUUUCUGUUUAUUUUUUAUUCUCGGAACAAGUUUACCAAACGCGUAUUUUUGUUCAAAAAUUGUUCCCCGGAACAGAAAUACUUUUUUCUAUUUCUGUUCCUGGAACAAUUUUUAAACAGAAACACAACCAAACGCGCCCUAAAUUUCGCUGUUUUUCUUCCUCUUCUUUUGUCCCCGCGCGGCCCAAUCUCGUUUUUCCUUUCGGCCCGCCCGCGCCCCAGCUGUCUUCCUUGUCCUGUCUUCGCGCGCAAACCUGCAGAGGAGAGACAGCAGCAGCAGCAGCACAGCAGCAGCACGCCAGCAGGGGGAGCAGGAGCAGAGUAGAAAGCACGCGAGCAACAGGCGGACCGGCGGAAAGAAAAGACAGGGGGAAGCAAGGGGCAGAAAGAAAGUGGAGCAACCAGAGAAAGAAAAACAGAGGGAGAGAGCUCGAGAGGGAGGGAGAGAACCGGAGAGGAGGGGAGUCUCCGGCACUGUCGCCGCCGCCGCCGACGCUCGCUGCCGCCUCCCACACCUCUCCAGCAACCGCCAUCCCCGACGACCACCGCCGUGUUGCCUCCCCCGCCGUCGCCUGCUGCUGCGUUUUCGUCACCAGCUGCCGCGUUCGCCGUCGCCCGCCGCUGCCUUUCCGCCACCGUGCCGUCACCCGCUGCGUCCCAACCGUCGCCGUCAAGCCCGUCGCCGCCGCCGCCGUCCGUACGCCUAGCGACGCCUCAGCCGCAAGCAAGGAGAGGGACGUCCAUCGGGUCGCAGCCGGGUAGGAUUUUGAUCUUCGGGCAGGCCGCGUCUGGGCCGAAGCAAGGCCUUUGGGCCGGUUUAAUAUUAGUUUUUCCUUUUGUGUCGGGCUGGUUUAAUAUUAGUCUUUCCUUUUGUGUUGGGCCGGGCUUAGUUUACUUAGGUUUCUUUUUUAGGUGGACUCAGUUUUGAGCUGGACUGGGCCCGUCGUUCAGGCCCAGUCCUGUUGGGGCCCUGCCGAAUUUGGCCCUCCCCCGACCAGGCCGAACCCGGGUCGGUCAGACCGGACCCGACCCGGUUCGCCCAUUUUUUUAAAAUUUAUUUUAUUUUUUAAAAAUAAUUAAAAAUGUAAAAAUUUCGAAAAUUUAAAAAAUGUUGGGUUUAGUUAGGAAUUAUCAUGUCAACAUAAUUAAGCUUUUAUUUUCUUGUACCUUGAUUAUAUUGCAUGUUUAAUUAGCAUAUUUGAUUAUGUUUGUGGAUGUUUAAUUGCACAUGUUUAAUUUUACUGCAAUUAAGAUUUUGGUAGCUAUUAUUGUUAUUCUAAUGAUUGUACAUUUAUACAAUUACAUUAUAUGUUAGUGGAUAUGUGUAAAAUCAAUCCACAUUGCCUGACAAAAAUCAUUUCUUUUUAAAAUGAACAAUAUUAAGUAUUGAAAAGACACUAAUUGGUUAAUUAGUAUAAUCAUAUUCCCGACCCUAGAUUCUUUAGUUGGUAAGAAGUGUGGUAUACUCUCAUGUCUCACUUGGUUUUUAACCGACCCCAAUAUAGCUUACUCUAAUAGGUUAGUGGCGACUCUCUUUUGCAAAAUUCUUAAAAAUACCCAAAUGUCACGUGAGAUAAAGCUUAUGAGAGCCUAUGCCUAAUCAUAGGCUUUAGAUUCGUUGUUUAGGCAAUACCCUUAAACCUAUUCUUUCCCCCUGAUGGUAGGUCACGACAAUGAUCUAAGCUCCACCAAUAUUCUUACAUGACAUUUUCUGCUUGUCAAGCAUGUGACUUUAACGAUGUUGUAAAUUAAAUCAAUUACACGUUAAAAGUUUCAGUCAAUAAUUGACACAAAUAGUAGUAGUGGACCGACCGAAUAACAUUAGAUUGGCAAUGCAAAAUCUUAUUUCAAUAGAUCAAUAGCAUAACUACAGCAAAUAUCAAACUUUAGGACCGUGAAUGAAAUUUCUCGGUGUUAAAAAAUAAUUUUCCUUCUCUUGUCACGUCCACAGAAAAUCUUUUAGCACCACCACUACAAAAAAGGAUCGUGGUUUUCUUCCAUCACAAAUUUGAUUGGCAAGUUAUCAAAAUUUGAAGAAUCAUCCUAGAGACCGAUUCAAGGACAGCAGUUGAUCUACUAGUUGGCAAGAUUACAGAGGCGUUGAGGUCAGAUUGGGUGGUGAAAACCAACACAGCCCGUGAAGGCAAAACGUGCGACGAUUAAUAAGCCAAUGCAGCGUUCUUUCAGAGACUAGAUUUAGUUAUUCACUUAAGUUUAUCUACGGGGCUUCAAUUUGUACUUUUUAGGAGAUAAAAGUGGGUGUUAGGAGGCCUGGAGUUGCAUAUGAGACGUGUUAGAAAUUAAACCAAAUUAAUAGAUGUCCUCAAUCGACUACGAGUUGCUGAUGUCAAUGGAGAAGUUACUGAUAUUAAUGGUUGUCAAUGUUGAUAUUCCAUAAUUUGAUACUGAUGAUUUUGUUUGGUGAAUUGAUACGGAUGACUGUCCGAUGCUUGAGUUAAUUAGAUUCUUUAUUGUAGCGUUGUUUUUGAGAAGUCUAUUCGUAUUUUUAUUUCAUGUCUGUUCAUGUUUCUAAGUGUAAUCAAUGUUUUGUAAGUUCUUAGGAUUUUAUCACCUCAGAUUAGCUAUAUUUAUGAGUAAUUUAGUUUAAGAGUUAUGUGUGAAGCGUAUAAAAGUGGAGUCUUGUAAUUGUUUUUGAUAAGGUGAAAAAAAGGUGAAAUAAACAAAAAGGAUAUCUGUCUCCUUCUCUUUUUUGUGUUGUGUUAGUGAGUGUUUCAGCUUUAAAUUAUCCCAUCAAGAUGUAGCCUGUAUUUGUCUGUUACAAAAACUUGAAAUUUUCUAGUUUUGAUGCCAUAUGAAAUUAUGAAGGAGCGCUAUUAGCUAUUAUAGAAGUUUAGAUAAUUAGAUGGAUGCAUUAUUCGAUACUUAAUUGAUAUAACGUCUCUUUCACGACCCAUGUUCCUUUUCAACAACUAGAUUACUUCAACAGCUUGGCCUCAAUGAAAGGAGAGCUGUCUACAGAAGUGGAGGAUGAUGGAAUGAACAACUCGAUCGCGGAGGAGGUAAAGAAGGAUGAAAGAGGACCUUUAAUGGAAGUGUCAAAGGAUGAAAGGGAUUCUGAAGAAGAAAUCUGGAGAGGUCGACGGGAGAUAAUGAAUAAUGCAUUGGCGGCUUCCGCGGGGGACAAGAUCCGGCAAAAGCUUACGAAUAUGCUCGAAUACUGGCGCAUGUCAUCAAAGGCGGCAAGGUUGACGAGUUCCUUUCCAUGAUCAAUGUAAAUGAUCCAUUGUUGUGGGACAUCAAUUGGUCUGCCGUUUUGAAUUCCCGAUUGGAAUGGAACGAAUCACUGCUCCACAGGGCAGCAGCAAACGAGAACGACGACAUCCUAAGGCUUCUGGUUGAUUAUGUUGGUGACCACCUCAUAACCGCCCAAGAUGAUUGCAGAUAUACCCCACUCCACUGGGUCGCUCGGUUGGGGGGAUCUACUGGAGCUGUAGAGAUGUUGAUUCACCGGGCAAGAGACCUCCCCAACGUCGAGGACAAGAACCUCCUCUUGAGGAUGAAGAGCAACCGUGGAAAAACCGCUUUGCACUUGGCCGUGUGCUCUCAACAUGCCAACUUGGUGCGCUAUUUGUUGAGCGAAGAUUUGGAGCCCGUGUACUGGAAGAAUGCAAGUGAGAAAUCUCCCCUGUACCUAGCCCUCGAGAUUAAUGACUCCACAAUACAUGAGACUUUAUUUUCACUCUCGUUGGAACCGUCAAGGAUAGAAGGCUUGCCGCCCAUUCUUGGUGCCAUUGUACUUGGACGACACGGUACGUACCUAAAUCUGCUUAUGUGGAAAUAUAUUUAUCUAUUUCUGGACCGACUCGUCCCAAAUUUGUGCAAUAACCUUUUGCUCUUACCAGAACCUUUUACCGGUUUUUACUUAAAAUUCCCUACCCUGCUUGUUAAAGCAGUUGGAUACCCAUCGGUUUAGCCGCGCAUAAUAAACAAAUUAUUCACAUUAGAGCAUAAUAGAUUGGCUUAAAUAUUACAAAUACAACCAUUUCACUAGAAACUCGUGUUAUCGAUAUUUGAUUAGAAAAGCUAUAAAGUGCAAAUAUUUAAGAUUGAUGACCAUGAAAAUCUGGUAUCUAACAAUGAUGCCAUUUCUUAAGCGACUUAGAGCCAUGAACCAAAAUGAACAAAUGAAAGUUUAGGGCAGGAAUUAUAAACUGGUAGCAAACCUGUAGGCUGCGCAGGCGUGAUUUUUUCAUUGGAAAAAGAGGAGGUGAAGGUUCCGUCACUCUCAACAAAUUGAUGGAACAUCAUAAACCGUGAAUUUGUUUGUGACCAACAGUCAAUAGGUUUUUAAGAAAUUAACAAAAGUGGAUCUAAAUAAAGAAACAAAUUUUUGACUUUUUUUUAAAAAUGAAUACAGUUAUCAUAAACUUUGCACAAAAAGCCGAUAUCGUAGUCUAGCCUAAAUUACCUUGACCAUUAAAAAUAUUGAGUUAAAAUUCAUCAGACACGCGAUAAUCAAUUAUGCGGAAUUUUUUGGCUGCUAAUGCCAUGUAUCCCAAGUUUACUACUUGAUAAGCAUAGCUAACGUUCAUUGAUCAUCAGAUUGGUAGAUGGCAUUCAAGUGUUACAGUCAUAUCAAAUAGAGAGAAUUGUCCAAAAAGUGCUAGACUUAUUAUAUGAUUGUCGAUUCAGUUAUAAACAUGUUAAUUGUGUCAAUUUAACCUCUAUUUUAGUCCUAAACUUUUAAAAGAUUUGCCAACUUAGUCCUUCUAAUCAAUUUCUACUGGAAAUCAAUUUAUGCUGGAAAUUGCCGACAUGGCGGUCUAGUCAAAGUUAGCCAUCCUACAUGAUGUUGAUCGCCUAUGUGGCUUUUUUACAAUAUAUAUAUUAUUUUUUUAAUUUUUUGCAUUUUUUUCCUUUUCUUUUUUUUUAAUCCUUUUUCUCCCUCUGCCAGCCUCAGGCGAGGGCUGCCCUCUGACCCUUGCGUAGAGCAACCCUUGCCCUUGCUCGACCUCCACUAGGUGUCAACUGUUGAUGGUUAGAGAAGGGAAAAAGGAAAAAAUGAAAUUAGAAAACAAAAUGAAAAGAAAAAGACAAAGGAAAGGAAAGGAAAAAGGAAAAAAAAAUUAGAAAACUAAAAAAAUUGCAAAAAUUAUCCAUGUUAGCGUUGACUAUGCCAUGUAGGACAAUCAAUACUACUAGACCGCCAUGCCAAUGAUUUCCAACAAAAUUGGCUAGAAUGACUAAAAUAACAAAUUGUUAAAAGAUUUAUAACUAAAUUGGCAAGUUAUUAAACAUGGAAGGCUUCGCAGCUAUCCAGAAGAGAGCCUUACUCUAUAGGGGUGCUAACGCUUUACUAAGGUAUAGGAGAAGGGGCGGUUGGCUUAGUAAAGAGAGUAUAAAGUUCCACUUUGUGAAUAGUGCCUCGGCUCGGUUGAGUAAUGUAGUUCGCAAUUGUUAUGACUAAAUUGGCAUAAUUGAAAUAUUUAAGACUAAAUUAAUCAUCAUACAAUAAAUUCAAGACUUUUUGGACAAUUUUCCCUAUCAAGUAUAAUUCCAACCCUAGAUGCAGUAACUUUAUUUGUAUCCUGUCCCAAUUUAUUAAUCCGAGCACAUGUUAUUAUUUACAUUGCACGACGUAACAUGUUUGAGGCUGUCUAUUUAAACUGAACAUGCAAAACAAUUUCAAAUAGACAUUAAGUGAAAAUGCGUAACAAUGUAUUGUGUGAUGCAAAUAAUAAAUUAGCAUACCCAAUAAAUGUAGGUGUCUAAACUUACGUCGCACUCGUUGAAUAGAUUAUAGAAGUCGACUUGCACACAUAACGUUCAUAAUCCAUUUAUAAAUGGCUUAACUUAUUUGCGAUAAUACAAUUAAACCUAAUCCUACCAUAUGUAACCACGUUUCAUGUAGUGAACAUGUCUGUAGAAGGGCUGUUUCAUAGUUUGUCAGCUCAUAAUUCUAAUAAGUACUUUAGAAACUAUACAAAAGAUCCCAUUGAAAUUGGAUUUACUAUAUAUUUCUUAUUCUUACUGUCCAAUAUAUAAAAAUCCUUUUAUGAAGUACUACUAAUUGAAAUCUCAUAAUAAUAGUUCAUUUUAUUCCUCAUUGAAUGUAAAAGUAGAUGACAUUGUGGAAUGAAUCGAGCAUUGCCAUGGGCUUUUGUAGAGAGGCACUUUAAUUAGGCUCUCAUGAUAGGUAAGGUUCAUAUCAAUUAAAUAAGGUAAGGUUAUUUCUUUAAAUCUAGUAGUAUUCUUUCACUUGGGAAAAUUAUCCAAAAAGUCCUAAGCCUAUUGCACUUUUGCCAAUUCAAUCCUAAAUCAUUCAAUUUUGUCAAUUCAGUGCUAACCAUUUUCACUUCUUGCCAAAUGAGUGUAUUCCGCUAAUUUUGACCAGAAUUCAUUGAUGUGGAUAAUUUUUAUUAAUAUUUUAAUCAUUUUUUAAAAAAAUUAUACUUUUUUCUUUUUUUCUUUCUUUAUUCCCCCCUCUCUUCUUCCUUUUAUCAAUGGCUAGCUACUAACCACCAGUGAUGGCCAACUACCGGCCAUGGCUAGGUGAGUUGACCUUGCCCGCCGUAAGUGAUGCCUGGCCGGGCAAGGCCAAGCCCCAACAAGGGUCGGCCUCACCUAGGUUAGGCGAGACCAACCCUCGCCCAAACUAGGUGAGAUCGCCUAGGCGAGGGUGAGCCCCUUGUUCGACCAUGUCUUACUGAGGCAUGCGAGGCUAGCUAGCUCGGCCAUAGUUGGUGGCUGGCACAAAAGGAAGAAGAAAGGGAAAAAAAAUUUAAAAAAAAUAAAAAAAUAUUUUUAAGAGUUUACAUUAGUGUCAACCGUCUUACAAGACACCGCUAGUGUCCACAUCAGCGAAUUCCUAUCAAAAUUAGCCGGAUGGACUCAAUUACCAAGAAGUAAAAAGGUUUAUGACUGAAUUGACAAAAUUAAAGAGUUUAUGACUGAAUUGAUAUAAGUGCAAUAGAUUUAGAACUUUUGGGAAAUUUUCACUCUUUCACUAAUGUAUCUAGAAUGUAACUAGUUACCCAUAUUGAAAUUUGUGGCCUGAAUUGCUCCGUCAAUUUCAAGAAUGGUGGCAUCCAUCAUGCGAGCACCUUUUUUUGUAUGUGUAAAAUUGAAGUAUGUUUUUUAUUAUAAAUUAUUGGUGAAAUAUUAUUCUAUUUCAUAAAAAAAUUCUUCUUUUGAAUAGAAUAAAUGCAAAAUUCUUAAUUCAUGUUAUAUAUUAAUGUAAAAUAUAGGGGGCUCGAUGAUAGUUAAAAAAUUCCUAAUUAUUGUUGUUAUAACUCAUGAAAUUUGUAUAUGUACUUAACAAUAUUAUUAGAGUAUAUUUUAUAGGAAGUAUUAUAGAAAUGUAAGAAUUUUCAAUAAUUGCUCAUUUGCAGUUUUUGAAACUCAUUAGAACUAAUUUCAAUAAAACUAAUGCCUCUUUUGUUGAACAAAAGUCAUGGUAUAAGAGGCAAACAUAAAUCCUAAUUUGAAGCAAAAUAAAUGGAAAGUGGAAGAAACACUCUUUGUGAGGAAAAUAAUCAAUCCCUUACAAAUUAGAGCCCUAUAAAUCACUUUUAGAGACAAUUCUUAAAGAAAAAAUCAUUAUAUAUUUAUGUAGAUGUUACAAUAGUCUAGAUUAAUUUGCAAAGUUCACUGAACUUUUAGUAUUAUGGAUGUAAUUUUAUGGCGGUGAAAUGAGACUCAUUUUGUUUUGUGUUGUGUCAUCACAGCUUAAAUAUGUGGUCGUUAUAGCUCCGAUAUAUAUGACUCCAUGCAAUGCACAGACAAGAUAGAACAUAUAAUGUGAUUUAUUGAGUAAAAAUAUCUUUCCCAGAAUCACUAAAAUUUCACAAAAUAUAUUUGGUCCAUUCACAAGAUAUAAUGGGAUUGAGUAGCACAAUCCCCAAGGAUGAGGUUAUCUCUAAAUCACUCUCGCCUGUCUUUGAAGUCCAAUGGCCACCCACAAUCCUCAAACACCGUUGGAAUAUUCUCAAACAAUUGAAGCACCUCUCUCACAUUAUUGAACCUCUUUACUAGCACCUCCAAAUUUUCAUAGUUGGGGCCAAAAAAAAAUUCCUUUUGGUGGAGCCUUUUCCUUUCUGUAUUUUGUGAUUUAUAAGCUCUACUAUCUUAGAAAUAGAUUAUGGUCACAAAUUUUACUUAGAUUUUACUCACAAGUUUGGUAAAUACAUAAUCUCUUAAUUGAGCUCAAUAAGUGCCGUAUACCUUUACGAAGAAGAUGACAUUCAAUCUAGAGAGGGUGGAACAAUUUUAAGGGGGAUUUCGGUAGGGCGUUGUGGAGGCUAUUGCAAUGUUCUUAACAAUUAAAUAAGUCUGCUUGAUACUUGCUAGAAUUCGACGGACAUAAUAUGAAAAGAUCAUUUUCCUUUUCUUGAUCUUGCCCUAGCUUGCAUUACGUCUGCCGACUCUAUAGAUACUUCAUGUCGUGGAAAUGCCAUAUAAAUUGCUAUGUCAUUUAGCAAGAUUUUUAUAGUCAAAUCUUAAGUUCCUGUCGAUGUCAUUUAACUAGUUUUGGUAUUGCAAUCUAAUCUGUUAUUGUCGACUAUCAAUACUAGUAGUGAUUAAGGCACGUCAAAGAUGUCCUUACUCCAAAAUGGGUUUAAAUAUAUCGAGACCAACCAAGCUCCAACCAUCCUAAUUUGGAGCUUCUGAUCCCAGAUUUAUUCAACCUGAUACUCAAGAAAAACAUGAAGCUAUUCGCAUUGACCGACUCCACCGGGGGCAAUGUAUUCCAUUUAGCAGCUUACCUGAAUCAGGCCUGGGUAUUCGAAUUCUUACAACCAGAAACUAUAUAUUUGAUCCGAGCAAGGGACAUGAAUGGAGAUCUCCCCAUUCAUAUUGCGAGCAAGAUGGGUUAUGUUGAACAUAUCAAGAAGCUGAGGAAAGUAUCAAAUUUGCGAAAUGGGCAAGGGCAAACUGUUCUUCAUGUUGCCGCAAAAUAUGGGAGAGUCUCCGUAGUGAGAUAUAUACUCAGUGAUCCAGAUCUAGGGGAGCUGUUAAAUAAACAAGAUUUUGAUGGAAAUACAGCUUUGCACUUGGCUGCGAUGCAUUCACAGCCCGCUGCUUUGAUUCAUCUUGUGCGGACUAACGGAAUUCAACUCAGCAUUCUCAACAACAAAUGCUUGUUGGCUGUUGACAUUGCUGGACGACGCGUAGCAAUGGGGUAUGAUAUUCGGCAGGUAGGUAACAUGAACAGUCACUAUUUUAUUUAUUAACUUACUGGAGAUUUCGUAGACUAAUGCAUUAGUUAAGGCAGAUCUUGUAUUCAAAUCAUUAUGUCUCCCAGCCAACUAGAUAGGAGAAGUAUUGAUCAAAUCUCUAGAAUAACCAAGACUCCUCUCGGAUAAAUGUUUUGCAAGUCCCUAAUUUAGUCUUGAUAGGAGGUAAUUAAAAUUUGUGAUCAUGAAUUUCUCUGCAGUUAGAAACAAGUAACGUGUCUUUCAUAACACGGAGAUAACAAUUUAUAUAUUUCGUUUAAUUGAGCCUCUGAAUACAGUCAUGAAUAAAAAGGCAGGGUUUGUCAAGGUUGCAUUCUGUUUUUCAUAAAAAGCCAGGGGUCAAUGUGGCAAAUUUGAACGCUCCAAAUGUAACACAAUCUCAUAACAUUAUCAUUUUGUCGACCUAUGAAAUGAUUGCCCGCAUAGAUUCCAUUCAUGCCUCUUUUUUCGUCUAAAACGAACUUGGCAAUUUUGUGCUAAUUCUUCAAAAAGAGCAGAAACUGCAUCUUUAGAAGCAAACGUUUCCAGAGUUCAUUCCCGUUAUAAAUAUGGUAUAAGUUUGUUCUUAUUUUCCUUUUUACAUGCUUCCGAUCUCAGCACUUGGCAUACCUGGCGUUGCUUUGCUCGCUCGCGGAAGAAGGUCCACUUGAAAACCAAGAGUUACUCCUAGUUAGAGCGGAAGCUCGAGAUGAAGAGUUAUCAGUAGUCCGCUCGCGCAAAAGCAUGCCGAGAAGGGACAUCAUCAAGGAUCACAUCAAUUCCCGUAUGGUGGUGGCAACGCUUGUGGCCACAGUGACUUUCGCAGUUGGUUUUGCAGUUCCUGGAGGAUUUAACAGCUCAGACACAGCCUCCAAAGAUGACCGGGGCAUGGCUAUGAUGCUGGACACAGAAUGUUCCAGGCUUUCGCGAUUUGCAACACCAUCGCGAUGUUCUGCUCAAUGACUGUGGUCGUCAACCUCAUCUGGGCGCAGGUAGUUGAUGUCAACGUUGCAGUCGCUGCAUUUCAGCGCACAACGCUACCGCUACAAAUUGCACUCCCGGCGAUGUCCACCGCUUUCUUAACUGGUGUCACCUUGACCAUUGGCAAACUCCCGUGGCUUGCUAACACCAUAUUUUAUUUGGGACUCGUUUUCCUCCUCAUUAUCUCAUUUGCUAACUUGUUCGGGGAGCCUUUCUUCUUUAAAAUCCUCGGUCAUCCUCUCCGUCGACUAACAUUCUGGCUUAUUCUCGCUUGCAUUUAUUUGUGGAGAGUUGAGACGUACAUUUAUGAUGACAAUGACGCGGAAGAUAACAGAAGGAGAAGAAGACCUUCGCUAGUCCGCCUGUGGAUGUUGCCGGUGAAACGAGGACCGAUGACUCGGCGAAAGCAAAAUGUGAGGAUGCGUUACAUCCUCCAAGUCACUGAUUUGAAUUGAUCAUUCCAUAUUAUCUGUAAUAUGUAGUAGUAAUAUAUGUUUUCCUUGGUGAGUGUGACUCACUCUACGGUUGCUUUCCUUUAUGUCAGAUCAAAGGUGAUUGUUAAUGUAUGUAAGCUAAACCACGUGUUCCUCUAAUAACUUAACUUAUUAGAAUUGUUGGAUAUAAUUCCAUCAAAUUUCAUAUGUUAUUAAAGCAGAGGUUCUAAGUUCAAACAUUUUCAGGUCCUAUUUGCUUCAUCUAUUAUAUGUUCUCAUGUUUCAAUAUUAGAUCAAUUCAAGUUUAUGAGUGAAGAUGAGUAUAAAAGUAUUUGUAUUAAAGUAUUUGAAUUAAACAUCGCAUCCGUCUAAUAAUUUACAUUUUUAGAAUAAUUAAUUGUAGUUCCCGAAAUUUCAAAGUGAUACACACUUCAUGUAAAUUAAAUGGAUGAAUGGCUCAUUUCACCCGUUUCAUUGCCUUGGAAUCAAAUUGUUAACUUUGAACAUGUGGAAGCUCGUGGGUCAAUGAAAUCACUCGUCUAGAGUGGCAAUGUCCGAUUUACUUUGAACCAGUCCAAUUUGCGGCACUCUCGAGUCACGAAAUCUUACCUGUCUGGUGUGCAAAGAAAAUAAUUCUCAAAUUCUCAUCGCCUACUCUCUGAGUCGAGAGUUGGGUGAAGAAAACCGGAACAAAAUAAUUCUCUUCACUACUCACAAAAAAAAAAAAAUAGAAUCGAACCCCGAACUCAUUUCCAUUUACACCCCUUUCAUUUCCCCACUUCUCCCUCCUAGGCGACCAAUUUCUGUGCAUGCAAAUGAGUUUUGGUCUUUGAUUCGUGCCGAGGUAUAAUCUAGUGAGCAGCGGGCACAGAAGUCUAGUCAAGGGACGAGAUAAAAAGGAAUUGCAGUACGCAACUCAAGGAGAAUUGUGGAAAAGUUUGGAUAUGUGAUUUUCCUCCUCCGAUCUCUGAUUUUUAUUUCAAAGCCGGUUGGUAUUGACACGUAGAAUAUAACUCUAAAGUGAUUCUGGACCUAUUUAUUUUGAAAGUAGAUAAUUACAAAAAAUGAAAAGGAUCCCAUUGUACAAAUAAUCGAUUUAAUUUUAAACAUCUUGACGAUUUGCCAGUAUAGUCAUUCUGACCAAUUAUGACCGAAAAUCAUUGACGUAGAUGCUAGCCAUCCUAUCGCACAUGACCAGUAUUGAGGUGGACAAUUUUUGUAAUUUAAAACAAAAUUCUCAUUUUUUUUUCUUUUUUUCAUGUUUUCAUUUUCUUCAUUUUCCUUUCUUAUAUUUUCCUUUUUAUUUUUUUCUUAUUCCCCUUCGCCAGCCAUUGGCCGGUCCAUGGCUUCGGUGAUUGAUAGUAAGGGCCCAAUGCCCUCGCCAGCGAUUGCAAGGGCUGAUGGAUUUGCUGGGGCCACAGACUAAUGGAGGGACAAAGGAAGAAAAAAAAAGAAUGACAGAAAAGAAACUAAAAAAAGGAAAAAAAAAAGUUUUGAAAUAAUUGCAAAAAUUAUCCACAUUAACAUCCGCGCCCAGAUCGGCGAGGCCAAUCUUGUCAUGGGCUGGCCUAGAUCUGGGUGAAGCCGCCUCGCGUGCGGCUCCGAGGCCUCACUUGUGGCCAAAAGAAUGAAGAAGAGAAAAAAAAUAAAAGGAAAAAUAAAGAAAAUUAUUAAAAAAUUAUUAAAAAAUUAUUAAAAAUUGCCACGUUAGCAUUGACCGAAUGACUAUCGUCCACAUCAACGCUAGCCGACCAAAAUUGGCCGAAUAGAUUGAAUUAACACAAUCACGAAAAGUUUAUAACUGAAUUAGCACAAUUGUUAUGAAUUUACGACUUUUUUGGUAAUUCUCCCAAUUUAUUUGUUAUCUCCAUUUUUAGAUUGUGACAUGUGUCCAUUCAAUUUUAGUCCUCACUGCACUUCAUCUAAAUACCAUCAAACCUUAGCAGCGAGGAUGGUAAUUGGAGAUCUAUGCAAAUAUUUAUAUAUAAAAAUUACAUUGAGAUAGUAAAGUGUGCUCACCAUCAUCAUAUCAUCAUCCAUCAAGUCGAUUCCACAUAAUGAUCUAUUUGUCACUUUCAACAUCCUGGGGGCUUAAAUGUUUCAAUUAAAUAAGGUAGGAUGAGAAGUAUUUUUCAUAAAGAACGGACAUUCAAGAAGUCUUGCUAGAUUGAUAGAUUGAUGUUGCAAAUGGUUCUCUUCUCAAGUAGCAUGAAAAAUUAUGCUACUUAAAUGUAGAGCCUCCUUUUUUCUAUUUUUUUUGGCAGAUCUUCCAAAUCAAAUUACAAGGUUACGACUAUGAAAACUCAUAGUACAAGUACAAAAAAUACCAAAUCAAUCAUCUAUUGACUUCUCGAUUCUCAUUAAAUCUGAUUCACAAAAUAGGUUGGGACCCAUUUUGCUAGCCCUACUAAAAUCUAAACAUUUUAAUAAAUUAAGGAUUUAUACGGCAUCCUAGUUCACAAAGAUGUGCCGUUGCUGUUGACAAAUCGACAGUGAUUGAUUUUCAUGAACUCGUCGUCAUAUUGUCGACAUUCCCAUUAUAUAUGAACAUAAGAGAGAACUUUGAUUUUUGAGCAUCAAGAGAUAAGAUUGACUUAAAUAGAAUGCCAAAUAGCCCAAGUGUCACAAUUAGAUAAUUCCAAACCCCAAACACUUUUUUUUUAACCCCAAACACAUUCAACUAUGGUUUUUUUUUCCUUAUAACUUUCUUCACAUAAUAUAAGAAUGUACUUUAUGGUUAAUGAUCAUAUAUAUCGCGGUUUAUGAAAGACUAUGCCACAUCAAUAGUUUUAGAUGUUAGUCCAAAUUCGAAAUACCGGGCCAACGUUUGAGAUUUGAUUGGCCAUUCGGCAUUUCAUUUAUUACUCAUGAAGUCUAUCAUUGCAUGAAAUUUACUGAAAAUUAGAGAAUCUCACAAUACCAACAAAACAUCAAGUUUAUUCAGCUUUUUUACCCUUGAUACACUCCACAUGUAGCCCAAUUUACAAAAUUCCACGAAAACUACUGCUCAGCAAAGACGAACAACAGCACCCAUCGGCCCAACAUGCUUAACUCCAAGCAUAGAGUGACUCGAACUCUUCUUGUCUCCUUUCAGUUUACCACAACCAGACAUAUUUAAUAAAGUACCGUGAACAAGACAAGAUAGCGAUGAGAUCUACUCAAUAGGCAUAGGGUUUGCCAAGAGAUAAGCCUCGAUGGCCUUGAACAUCGCGGACGCCUUCUCUUUCCCGGCCUUGAUCUUCUCCUCAGUGAUGUCCACCUCACCGAUGGUGAAGUACUUGCUCGUGUUCUUGCACACCGAGCCUCCCUCGGGCGAUGCGGUGAUCUUCACCUCGUAGCUGAUCUUCUCGAAGGUGGUGCCCAGCACAUCGCCCUCGAUGAUCGAGUAGCUGUAGGUGAAGUUCUCCUUGUCCAGGGCCUCGACCUUGUGCUUCAUUGUCUGGUACUGACUGCCUAUCAAAGUAAGAAAAAAGUAAUAUUCACGUUUAGAACUCGCCGGUUUCAACAUCACAAGCAACGAUCUUGAUGGUGUCCAUUGGGCCAUUUUGGUUGUUCCAAUUGCAAUCUGAUACGAUUGACUUAGACAUGGCCUGAUUUCGCUCGAUUGGAAUCGAGUCAUGUGAUCACUUGUGUAAAUCAAUGGUUAGAAAUUUUUUUAAUUAACCAAGUUACAUAUCUAUCUUUUUCAAUGUUCAUUAUGAUGUUCCAUAAGGUUGAAACAGCCUUGAUCCAGAGCGAUCCUAACACGGACGGACUAACCUUCGCCGAAAGUGAUCAACUUGAUGGUCCCGGGACCUCCGUUGCCCUCGAGGACUUCGACGCUCUUGAUGGCUUGCGGGAGCACCUUGGGGAUGAGGUUAUCAGCAUCGAGGACAGCGGCCUUGAACAUCUUGGCCGGAGGGAUUGGGGUCGUGACCUCGGAGUCGUAACUGACGACACCCAUGAUUUGGAUCCGAAUGGAGUUGCCGAAAUAGAGAAGAGGGUGAUCAGGAAAGGCUGAUUAGCAGUGAUGAAGUUGGUCUCUAGGACUCGGUAGUGAAGAGAAGAGGAUGAACCAAAGCUGACAUAUAUAGAGAGACCGAGUUUGAAGGGUUCUCGUUAUUGGAUAUUUUCUUCAAGUGUGUUCGUUUGGUACAAAAUAGAGAAGAGGAUGAACCGAAGCUGACAUAUAUAGAGAGACCGAGUCUGAAGGGUUCUCAUCAUUGGAUAUUUUCUUCAAGUGUGUUUGUUUGGUACAAAAUAAAUAAUUAAAUAACUAUUUGUAUCAUUUGGUAUAAUUAUUUGAUGAGAAAUUUUUGCAUUAUUGACAGUAAUUUAUAUCUAAAUAUUCCCGUGAAUGAUGAAAAUAUUUUUUAUUCAUUCCUUUUAUAAGUUAUAUGAAAAAAAAUAUUUUUUUACAAAACAAACGAAGCUUAAUAAAAAAAAUCUUAAUCAGUCUGUGGGUUGUUCAAUCAUGCCAUGGACUUUGUUCAUAAAAUAAAAUUUGUCUAUAUGAUAAUGGAAUAUUAGUCAGAGAAGGCACCAUCCUAGAAUGAUACCAAACGUUCUUCCAUUUCCCUUUCAUGUAUAGACUUGACUUUUGAUCCAGGAGCAUUUGCUCAGCAAACUCUCUUGGCUGAGCUUCACUGAUUUCUUACAUAGUGUUACUAUCAUAGAAAAUAUCAAGCCCUUAGCUGCAUAGGUCGCGAUCCACCCAGAUCUCAUCCUACUUCUUUUCAAUCCGUUCGGUAGAGGCCUCGGGAAGAAUUAUCAUCAAUUUCAUACUCAUAAAUAAUAUUCGCUUAACUCUGUGCAGUAGAAAAACUCGAAAAAUCGAGGCACAAUUUUUCCUGCUGGGUGAUCUCGGUGCUUCAUGUUUCUGUUGAGCUUCCAUCGAUAAGAAAAAGUACAGAUUGAUCUCAAUGUUGCACUAAUCCAAUUUAGCAGAAAAAAAUGGGAAAGGUAGUUUGGUAAUUACAAGGCUUUGUUACUUUUAGUCAACAAAGGCUGCUCUGAAAAUCAAGAUGGACGUCUAUAGAUUUUGAAUUUUUCUACUUGCUUUCAUGUGUCUAGUCCUUUUAAAUAAUAUUAUUGCGAACCAUUUUCUGCUAAUUGUCUGGUGGAAGUGUGGUGGAUCAAGCGAGAUUGGCUCACGGGUCACUUGCUCAUUAAACAUUUUUUUAAUUUUCCUUUUUAUCUAACGGUAUAGCGACGUAGAUUUUUAGAAACGCUUUCUUCGUAUUUAAUUUUCUUCUUUUGUCUAGUUCAUCUUGUCGUAGUCACGGACCAUGUGAACGUAUAGGAGAAUGUCCAUGGGUGUUAGAUCAGAUUAAUUAAUGAAUUUCGUCGUAUUGAGACAAAAUUGAUUAAACUUGUCAAUCAUCUCACUGCGACGGAAGAUUCGGAAAAUAUUAAUGCAUAACAACAGCAUAUGUUUUGGGAGAAAAGUAUUGGAGAGGGGCAUGGAUGCAUUGCUGAAGUUAUUUGAUGAGCAUGUCAUAUGUACUAAAUUAAUCUAAAUAGCUAAAUUUGAUGGAAUUCAUAUGAAACCUAAAUGGAACAUAUAGAAAUUAAAAGCCGAAUUUUGCUUUAUAUAAAUACGACGCUAGCUCAUUCUCGAGUCUUUGUCAAAAUUGUGUUGUAGGCAAUUGAAUGUGAACCUCCCUUCCCUUUCACAUAUGAUCGACUCAAAUUUCUCGUACUUCAUUGACUUCCUUGUUUCGCUGUUGAAGCAACAAAAUCACAGCAAUUGAAGUCACCAGAAGUAGCUCGCAUCAAUAAGGACCUUUUCCCUAUGGUCGGUCGAUUUACUGUUCAUCCCACCCCACAAGGAGAUAACCUCGUCACAUUUUCACACAAGCCUGGAUUUGCGAUAAAAGCGCUUUUUGGUGCUUAUUGGAAGAGGCGACCACUAGGAACCGCACCUGUCAGCUCGUUGUACAAUAAGUCUACGGAGCUUAAACAAGUUAUAUGUCCAUUUUUUUCAAUGUUCAUUAUAAUGUUCCGUAAGGUUAAAACCACCUUGAUCGAGAGCGAUCCUAAGUUCCUAAUAUGGAUGGACUAACCUUUGCCGAAAGUGAUCAAAUUGGUGGUCCCGGGACCUUCAUCGCCCUCGAGGACUUCGACGCUCUUGAUGGCUUGCAGGAGGACCCUAGGGAUGAGGUUAUCGGCGUCGAGGACAGUGGCCUUGAACAUCUUGGCCGGAGGGAUCUGGACGUUAUCGCAGAGUCGUAAGUGAUGACACCCAUGAUUGGAUCCGAACUGAGAAACUGAGAAGGGGGUGAUGAUCAGGAAAGACUGAGUAGCAAUGAUGAAGUCGGUCUCUAGGACUUGGGAAUGAAGAGAACAGGCUGAACCGAAACUGAUAUAUAGAGAGAGACUAAGUGUGAAGGGCUUUGAUCAGUGAAUAUCUUGCGAAACAAACAAAGCUUAAGAAAAAAAAAUUAUUCCGUGGAUUAUUCAGAGUAUGACAUGCCCCUUGUUCCUAAUAUAAAAAUGUCUAUAUGAUGAUAGAACAAAGCGUUGGACGAUCAUAUUGGGGAGAAUCGGGCAACAAUUUACUAAUAACGAAACACAAUUUAGCAUCAAUUUCUCCUCUAAAACUAAACCAACCGAAACCAACUCAACCCCAGCAACCACCAGCAAUAUGUAAUACCAAAAUGACAAUAAGACAGAGCCAACAAUGACACUAAGGUUUUAACAUGGAAACCAAUACAUAAAAAAUCACAUACCCUACUCACUAACAGUAAUAGGAUACAAAAAGUGUUAUUUUAUAAUCACACAUUAGAGACUCAACAUCAAUGAUAUAACCAUAUUUCCUCACUCCAAAGAUAGAUUAACAUAAACGGAGCAAGAAAACCCUAAUCGGUUGGAGAAUCUGGAGGGGGUUCUUAUCUAACGAAAUCAAUCAAUUUGUAGUCCUUGAUUUUACAAAAUAACAUUCAAAUUUGAGCAAAUUCCAUCGGCAUCUUGCAUUCCAAUCGGGACCAAAAAGAUUAUGCCCUUUCUUUCGGAACGCUAAGAAAGAAGAGCCCAGACACAGACAACAAUUACCUACUCACUAAGUGUAACAUUAGGCUAGUGGGCCCCAAAAGAAGAAAUAGAAAACGAAGUUUUAAAGGCCCCAAAGAAGAAACUGAAAAAGAAACCGAAAAGUCAUUAAAGCAAAAAGGAGAUGGGAGAGGGCUCGGCUAAAUAGAAGCUGAGAGUUUCCUCGACCAAAAAGAAAAGAAAGAAAAGAAGAAGAAGAAGAAGAGAAAAGGGAAGAAAGGAAAGAAGUUUUGGCACGUGCACGCCUCGGAUGCCUUGCCAAGCCAAUUUGACUCCAUAACCCGGUAAGAGAUCAAGCCCCUCGUUUGUCCGAUUGAAGUAAUUUUUGGAUUUAGGACUCAAAUUCGGAAUUUUUGGAAAAUCGAGCGGCGAAGUCUAAUUUUGGAGUCGUUGAGCCACACAUUUUUGUAAGAAUGGUAAUUUAGGGUGUUGUGGAACCGUGGGAUUUUUCGGAUCGUGAUUUGAGCUUAUGGUUUGUCCAAAACAAAAUUCCAAAGUUUCCCGCGCGCAGUGAACAGUACGCGUCCAGCAGCUUUGGGCCCGUAUUUUGUCAUUUUUUCGGCUUGAUUUUGGGAUGACCAAUUUGGGAUUCUUGUAAUAUGUGUCAAGGGCUCUCUAUUGACUAUAAGUACGUUCGGAUCGGGGUUCGGAAGAGAAAGUUAAGGCUCGAUCAAGUUUUGCGCUUAAACUUCAUGUUGCGAAUGGCUUAAACAAUCAAUUUGGAUAUGCGACUUGUUAGUGCACAGAAGUCCUUUUGUUAGAGUUAAGGCGUAACUUAGUCAUUUUGUAGUCGAGAUAGAAUUUUAUUAGAUUUUAACAUUAUUCUUCGAUUAUUUGAUAGGGCUUUGAGUUCGAAGAUACAAGUAUCAUUUGUCGUUUGGUCGUAGACGAUAAGGUGAGUGGUACUAUAUCUUCUUUGGUUUUAUAAAAUCAUGUCUUGAAGUAUGUAUGUAUAUAUAUUGAAUCAAGAAGAGCAUUUUUAUUGCAUAAAAGUCAGAUCGAGCAAUUGCUACCCUUUGGUUGAUUGUGAAUCUUUGAAAAGCACAUUAUACAAGGUUUGUGGAGAAACAUAUAUGAAAUUGCUUUGCGACUGAUUUAUGAAAAGGUUUAUGAUGAUUUGAGAAACGAGUAUGAAAUGGAUGAUGGGCUAUGUUGCAAAAUAUUAUUUGUUUGGUUUAAGAUAUUGAUUUUUGGAUUGAAUUUCUGGUAUUGGAGAAUGGUUAUUUAUGCUCAAUAUGACUGUGAACCCAGUGAGGGGUUUUUGGGGUAUGCAUACCAGGUUUAGGAUAUCCUUCUGGGCCGAGCCACCGGCUUUGUAGGUGGAGACCUUGCCAAGGGGAGAAUCUUGGUCGCCUUGUCACAGGACGUUGUGUCGUGACCAUGGUUAGUUAUUGAGCAAAAGAUUGAUCAAUGGAUAGACCAUUGAUACUUGAAUUUUGAUGGCGAUUCAAAUGAGUUUUCCAUAUUACUAUAAAUCUUGAUGAUAAGAAAUAACUCAUAAGAUUCAAUACUUAUUUUAUAUAUUGAGUUGGCUUAUGAAAUUUGGUAUUGUUUUGUAUACAUGCAUAGUGGUUGUUCGAUCUGCUUAAAAGAUAUGUACUACUCACUGAGCUGUGGUUGCUCAUCCCAUUCCUCAUUUGAUCUUUUCAGGUUCCUCAGCUAGUGGCAAAUAGAGCGAGUGCGCCGUCGUGGGAAACUUUUGGGGAGUUCUAUUUUGUUUUUGGUAUGGUUUAGGGAAGUGGUGCAAAUGAUCUUUACUAGUGGUUGAAUCGUCUAAGUUUUGAAGUAUAUAUUUUCUCUUUUUGGUGGAUUAUAGAAAUUCUAAUGUUGCAACCAAUUUGAAGGUUUAUCUGAUAUUUAUACUUGUAACAUCCUGGACCCCACUGUGUAAUAUUGUCCGCUUUGGGUCACCCGCCCUGGCACGGACGAACCGCCAUCCCAGCCGCGAUCUUUUCCCUCACGGCUUUAAAACGCGUUACACAGGUUAGAGGGAUCCAAGCCUUAUAAGCUGACCAAUAUCUCCCUCCCUAGGCGAUGUAGGACAAGAGAGGAGGCUGUCACACUCUCCACCUCUUAACAGAAUAGCGUCCUCGCUAUGGCCCCACGGGUAUCAGAACAACAUUCAAGCUGUGGUCCCACACGCGGUCGGGAGUCGGCUCUGAUACCACUUGUAACAUCCCGGGCCCCAUUGUGUAAUAUUGUCCGCUUUGGGUCACCCACCCUGGCGUGGACAAACCGUCAUCCUAGCCACGGUCUUUUCCCUCACGGUUUUAAAACGCGUUACAUAGGUUAGAGGGACCCAAGCCUUAUAAGCUGACCAAUAUCUUCCUCCCUAGGCGAUGUAGGACAAGAGAGGAAGCUGUCACAUAUAUAAGUUAAUAUCAGUUUGUAGGUUAUGUUUGAGGCUGCGUCCUUUGUAAAGAAGGAUGGCCGUGUCAUCCCCAUUCUUUGUAGUUUUUGGGGUGUGACACUAAGUUCCGAAAAGCAUAGACGAGCGAAAUGCCUCACGAAUUAACCUAAGAGCAACAUAAACACGCCGAGAUAGAAAACGGUAGAAGCCGACGCCUCAAAUUGCAAACUUCUUCGACCCAAAAAAAAAAAAUAUUGCAAACUUCGAGCUACAAAAUGGCGAUUAAGCACGGAGGGCCGGAGAUGGGGUGGAGGGAGCACCUUGAUGUCGAAAUCGACGCCGGCGGUGGCGAGGAGGGGAGAGGGGGUGGAAAUCUAGGGUUAGGACAGGUUUGGUCUCGUGCCAAUUCAUCUGGACCGUGCCUCCCUUCAUAUCUCCUCUGCCCGCUCCGCCGCUUCCUUCCUUCCCCCUCUCUCUCUGAAAUCGAAGCCUUCUUCCUUGAUUUCUUAGCGAACGAAAUCGAUCAAUUCGUGGAAUUCGUGAGAUUCGUGCGCUCUCCCCAUUCCGCGGAGAGAUUCCCGACAAAUAGAGAUUAGAUUGUAGGCUUGUCCAUCGUCGUUUCAGUAAAGCGAGUGUAAUGCCAAAAAAGGGAAAUAAGGACGACACAAUUGGCUCUGACAUUGAAUUGACAGUUUAUUCCUGGCCUCCUACGUGAGCAUAUCACGUGGCCCACCCAUCAUGGCUCAAAUUCAUGAAAACAAACUAAUAAAAAAAAGAUCCAAAAUAGACUCCACCACCAUCCUCUCGGAAAUCCAAUCAAAAAAAGGAAAAGAUAAAAAAGGCAAAUCAUCCCAGACAAAACAAGCAUGGCAUUCGCCACACGCUACUAAAAAUUAACCACACACAGAUUCACAAGUCUCAGGGUUCGCGAGGCAAGCCUCGAUGGCCCCAAACAUAGUGAAAGCCUUCUCUCUCACGGCCUUGAUCUUCUCCUCGGUGUUGUCCACGUUGCCCCUGGCGAAGUAUUUGCUAUCGUUCAUGCACACCGUGUUAGACAAUUCAUAUAAAACUUGAUGCGGAAAUUCAUAACAAAUCAUUGAUCUUUGAUCUUCAUGAUUUUCACAAAUAGAUUCAGACAAACCUUUAUCCAUAGCGCUACGCUUGAUGAUGAUCGUUGUAGAAAACCCAAUGAUCUCGAACCAAAAGGAGAAAUCCGAUUUCUCUCCCUUAACCCACUAAACCUUAAUGUAUUCAAUUGAUGGAGGAGAGAAUAUGUUCUUUUCAGUUAUUGUUGUUCGUAUGUGGGUGGAGAGAGGACCGGACUCUUUUAUACGUUCGUUGAAAAUGUGCCUUCCAUCAAAGCGAUAUACCCUUUCGUUUUAUUAGAGUCGUACCUUCUCAUAACCAAUAUUAUUUAUAGCAUUUCAAUCAUUAUUAAACCAUAUAAUAAAUCACAUAAUAUGGGCCACAAUAAUUCUUACAUUCUCCCACUUGGCCCAUAUGAUUCUCCUUUCAUGGUUUAAUGAAGACUAUAAUGUGCACAAUAAGAUUAUGCUAUAAAAUUUCAUUAAAUUGGCAAUCACAUAAUAAUCACAAUUAAGUAAAGAAAACUAAUGCGAGUCAUAGCGGUUAUAUGUCAUUAAUCGACAUAGUCCCUUCUAUGUACUACAACUAUAGCACUUUACUUAACAUGAUCCAUAAAUGAGAAGUACAGUAAUAGUCCAACCAUAAUGUUUCUUUAGAAACUAUCCUGUUUAAAAUUAAUCUAUUUCCAUAAUGUAUACUAAAUAGAAAACAGGAAAUAUCAUAAACAUGUAAGUGAGCUCAAAGUGUCAAAUACAUAAACUUAAUACAAUCAUAAUACAAACAUUAAUGACGUCCAAUAAUGCCCAUCCUUUCAACAUGCUCAUUAAAUGUUUUGGGCGGCAAUCCUUUUGUUAAGGGAUCUGCUAUCAUAAGAUUGGUGCUAAUGUGCUCAAUUGACACUCUUUGUUUCUGAACUUCUUUUUUGACAGACAAGUAUUUGAUCUCCAUAUGCUUAACACCCUUAGAAUACUUGUCGUUCUUAGAGAAGAAAACUGCUGCAGAGUUAUCACAAUAGAUUUUCAGCGGCUUGGCAAUACUGUCGACGAUCACAAGCCCUGAAAUAAAAUUCCGCAGCCAUAAUCCAUGAAUUGUGGCCUCAAAGCAUGCCACAAAUUCAGCUUCCAUAGUGGAUGCAGCAAUAACUGACUGCUUCGCACUCUUCCAUGAAAUUGCCCCUCCAGCCAGAAGAAACAAGUAACCAAAUGUUGAUUUUCUUGUAUCGACACAUCCGGCUAAGUCUGAAUCUGAAUAUCCAAUCACCUCGAGAUGAUCAGAUCUUUUAUAAGUGAGCAUAUGAUUCUUUGUUCCUUGCAAGUAUCUAAGAACUUUCUUUGCGGCUUUCCAAUGAUCCAUUCCAGGAUUACUUUGAUACCUACCUAGCAUUCCGACAGCAAAAUUGAUGUCUGGUCUGGUGCAAGUUUGUGCAUACAUUAAGCUUCCCACAAUAGAUGCAUAAGGAAUAUUAUUCAUUUGUCCUCGUUCCAAUUCACUUUUCAGACAUUGCAUAAGGCUAAAUUUAUCACCUUUCUGAAUUGGAACUAUUCCUGCUGAACAUUUACUCAUAUUAAAUCUCUCUAAAAUUUUCUCAAUGUAGGCUUUCUGAGACAAUCCUAAUAAUCCUUGUGAUCUAUCACGGAAUAUUUCUAUUCCUAUCACAUAUGUUGCCUCUCCCAUAUCCUUCAUUUCAAAAUUCUUAGAGAGAAAUUUCUUGGUUUCAUGUAACAAACCAAGAUCAUUAGCAGCAAGCAAAAUAUCAUCAACAUACAGAACUAGAAAAAAAAAACUUGCUCCCACUAAUCUUCAUAUAUAUACACCGAUCAACGGUGUUUUCCUUAAAUCCAAAUGAAGUUAUGGUAUCGUUAAACUUAAGAUACCAUUGUCGAGAAGCUUGUUUAAGUCCAUAUAUUGACUUCUUUAAUUUACAUACCAUGUGUUCCUUUCCUAUAACUGAAAAGCCUUCGGGUUGGUCCAUAUAAACCUCUUCCUCUAAAUUCCCAUUAAGAAAUGCGGUUUUUACAUCCAUUUGGUGUAACUCCAAGUCAUAAUGAGCCACCAAAGCCAUAAUGAUUCUAAGUGAGUCUUUCUUAGAGACCGGUGAAAAUGUCUCUUUAUAGUCAAUGCCUUCUUUCUGAGUAAAACCAUUUGCAACAAGUCUGGCUUUAUGUCGUUCAAUAUUGCCUUUUGAGUCGCGCUUGGUCUUAAAGACCCAUUUACACCCGACCUUCUUACAUCCUUUAGGCAAUUCAACAAUAUCCCAAACUUGAUUUUCAUGCAUGGAUUUUAACUCUUCUUCCAUGGCAUUAAACCAUUCAUUAGAAUCUUCACAUUCCAUGGCUUGGGAAAAUGAAUCUGGAUCAUUUCCAAUUCCUAAGUCAAUUUCUGACUCUUGUAGAUAAACCAUAUAGUCAUCAGAAAUAGCCGACCUCUUUUCUCUUUGAGAUCUCCUUAAUGCUAUUUCUUGUGACUCGGUUAUUGGAGGUUCAUUAUUGACAUCUCCAUUAUUUGGUGUUUGUUGUUCUCGAUUAUUGUUAGAUUGUACUACAAUAUCAGAAACAACAACUUUAGAAGCUUUAGGCAUAGGAACUUCUACCCUUACUUCUUGAAUGCAAGCAUCACGCAUUCUUUCACUCCCACUGAUGUCACCAUUCUCAAUGAACCUAGUAUUUCCAGAUUCAACAAUUCUUGUACUAUGAUUAGGACAAUGAAAUUUAUACCCUUUGGAUUUCUCUGCAUAACCAAUGAAAUAACCACUGGUCGUUCUUGAAUCCAAUUUCCUUUCAUGUAUUGUAAAUUCUUACUUCUGCUUGACAACCCCAAACAUGCAGGUGUCGUAAACUAGGUUUCCUUCCCGUCCACAAUUCAAAUAGAGUCUUUGGAACUGCCUUACUAGGAACCCUAUUUAAUAAGUACAUAGAAGUCUUUAAAGCAUACAUCCACAAAGAUAAGGGUAAAGAUGAAUGACUUAUCAUACUCCUAACCAUUUCCAUUAAAGUACGAUUACGCCUUUCUGCUACACCAUUUUGUUGUGGUGUACCUGGCAUUGUGUAUUGAGCACAUAUGCCAUGUCUUUCAAGGAAUUUAGCAAAUGGACCUGGACAUUGUUCCGAUUCAUCAUACUUUCCAUAAUAUUCACCACCUCUAUCCGAUCUUAUUAUUUUCACAUUUCUAUCUAAUUGCCUCUCAACCUCUUUAAUAUACACUUCAAGUACAUUUAAUGAUUGAGACUUAUCAUGCAAUAGAUAAAUGUAACCAUAACGUGAAAAAUCAUCAAUAAAGGUUAUGAAAUAGCUUUCCUUACUAAAAGAUGGAACAUCGAAAGGACCACAUAUGUCAGUAUGUAUAAUCUCAAGAAGCUAUGUGCUUCUUGUGGCACAUUUCUUAGUGUGCUUUGUUUGUUUACCUUUAAUACAAUCAAUACACACUCUAAAGUCAGUAAAAUCCAAAUUUGGAAUAAUUUCAUUCUUCACUAAUCUUUGCAUUCUUUCUUUGGAUAUAUGACCCAACCGUUUAUGCCACAAGUAAGCAGAAUUUUCAUUCACCAAACUUCGUUUAGUGCCAACAUUAUGAUGCAAGGUCAUUAAUGUCUCAACAAAAGUAUUAUCAAGUCUAAAUUUGUAGAGACCAUCACAUAAAGUUCCAGUUCCAAUAAGAGCAUCACUCUUAAAUAGACUGAAAGAUUCAGAUCCAAACUUACAAUAAAAUCCCGCCACAUCAAGUCUUGGCAAAGAAACUAAAUUGCGAGAAAAUGUAGGUACAUAAAGGGUUCGAAAAAAAUCCAAAUAAUGCCCAGUAUCUAAUAUCAAACGAUAAGUGCCAAUGCCUUCAACUGGAGCUUUGUCUCUGUUCCCCGUAAUCACAUAACUUUCAUUUGGAAAAUGUAGGUACAUAAAGGGUUCGAAAAAAAUCCAAAUAAUGCCCAGUAUCUAAUAUCAAACGAUAAGUGCCAAUGCCUUCAACUGGAGCUUUGUCUCUGUUCCCCGUAAUCACAUAACUUUCAUUUGGCUUUAUAGUUUGGAUCUUAAGAAAUCCCUGCAUCGUAUUUGACACAUGAGUGGUGGCACCAGAAUCAAUCCACCAAGUAUUAUAAGGAACUUCAGUAAAAUUUGAUUCAAAACAUACUAAAGCACAAGGCUUACCUUUCUUUUCGAACCAAGCCUUACAUUUCAGACAAUCUUUCUUCAAGUGUCCAAUUUUGUUGCAAAAAUGACAUUUAAUAAGAUUGUGUUCCUUCUUGUGGAUUUGAGAAGCCUUUGAAGAGUCAUUCAGGACGUGUAGUCCUUUCUUCUUGCUCCUUCCACCUUUCCUCUUAAAAUUCUUUCGAACUUCUUGAUGACUUGAGAGAUGAAUAGAAUGAGCAUUUUGAUUCUUUAUCCUUAUUUCCUCUUGAACUAGCAUACUGGCCAAUUCGUUUACAUUCCACUUAUCCUUUAUAGUGUUGUAAUUCAUUUGAAAUGGCACAUAUUGCUCAUGAGGUAAGGAAUUAAGUAUAAAUUGUACUAAAAAGUACUCAUCCAUAUUCAUUCCCAAAGUCCUUAACUUUGCUGCUAAAUUGGUCAUCUCAAGUAUAUGCUCAUGCAUGGUACGCGAACCAUCAUAUUUCAUGGUGGUCAGUGUGCUCAUCAGUGUACCAGCAAGUGACUUAUCAGCAGUUUGAGAACGCUCUUCCACAAAUUUCAUAAAUUCCUUAGCAUUGUUAGUCUUGGGAAGAGAAGUUUUUAAGUUGUUUGCAACUGUCAUUCGCAUGAACAUUAAGCUCAGUCUGUUCGAUCUUUCCCAAGCUUUAUGGAAAGACUUUUCAUCAUUGCUACUUUCAUCAGUAAUAGCAGCUGGUUUCUCAGCUUGAAGUGCUAAAUCAAGAUCCAGGACACCUAAGUGAAACUGGACUUGUUCACUCCAAUCAGGAAAAUUUAUCCCAUUGAAUAAGGGAACAGAUGAGGCGUGCGAAUGGAGUGAAACAGGUACAGAUACUACAAAUGUGCAAGAAAAUACUCAUACAUUAAUGCUUUGAGAAUAUCAUAUAAUCAGAUUAAACUAAACUACACAUGCACAUCAUAGUUCUCCUUUGAGCGAUCCUAUGAUAUACAAAUAUAUAUAAACCAUAAUGAUGCUAAUAACUUUUAUUUGAUAAUUGUAAAUAUAUCUUAUUAAAAUUUAUUUGUUAUCUUUGGAUAUACAAACAAAUUUAACAAAUCAUAUUAAUUAUCAACCAUCAUGUUCAUGGAUUAUAAGAAAAUAAUUAACCUUUGGGUUAAUCCCUAAGUUCUUAUAAUAAAUGAACUUCAAUAUACCCAUAACUCCAAUAAUGAUAUAAAACAUAUCAAUUUCAUAUAUAUAGCAUCAAUUAAUCAUGGGUAAUUGAAUAAAAUAAUUUACGAUAUUAAAAAAAUUCAAAAGACUUCAAGGUUCGGCCACUUUGGUGACUAACAAACCUUUCAUAAUAUGAAUUUUUAAUAUUGCAAAAUACAAAUAUUUACCAAAUUGCACACAAGGACAUAAAAUGCAAUCAAAGCAUAAGGGCAAAAUCGUAAAAUCAUAAUUCCAUAAGGGUAGAACCAUAAAAUUAUAAUCCAGGGGCAAAAUGGUAAAUAAUCAGCAAUGGCAGAAUCGUAAUUAUAAAUUAAACAGGGGUAGAACAGUAAAUAACCAUCAAAAGGACGGCAAAACGGUAAUUAGGAGCCUCGGGAGGGGCAAAAGCGUAAAAGUCCGCGCGGGGACGUCAGGCGCGUGCCUCGCACGCGCCUGCAACCGCGCGGGAAGCCCCGCGCGCGUGGAUCCCACGCGCGCAGCGCUUGCGCGCGCGUGAAGGCGCGUGGCGCGUGGGUUCCACGCGCCUGCAACCGCAGCGCGCGCGUGGAGCCCACGCGCCUUCUUCCUCGCGCGCAGACGCGAUUCUUCGCCGGUUUUUCGCCGUUCCACCGCCGUUUCGCCGCCCGUUUCUUCUCCGACAGCCCAUUACAGACACAAAUAAUUAAUGGGUUUUGAAGAGCAUGCCGGCACGACCACAUGGGUCCAAAUUUCGGAGAAAAUGACCAAAAAUUGGCCCCAAAUCAAACCAAAGUUUCAGAACACAAAAACUCCACCACCGCCGCUUCCGCCGCUCGAUUAGCCGCCGGCGAACACCAAUAUACGGGAAAAAUCAUGGCUAAUGUUCCUCAUGACAGUGCGACGGUGUGGGUCCGAAAUCAAGCGGUGGGUUGCCGGAUUUUACCCGGAACCGGCGAGUUUCUUCCUUGCCCUCAAAAUUCCGAAUUCCACCAUUUUUGUCAUUUUCCACUCGUGCACACACAGUAACUUUUCUUCACAAUUUUAGUCCAUGAAAAACGUUCUAUCAUUCGGAUUUUCUUUAACAGAACCUUCCAAAACAUUUCAACAACAACAAAUGCUAUAAACAUGAUCGUUUAACAAAUCAUCAAACAUCAACUAUAAUAUUUCUUUAAACGGAAAAAUCAUGAGAUCAUAAACCAAACGCUCUGAUACCAACUGUUAGACAAUUCAUAUAAAACUUGAUGCGGAAAUUCAUAACAAAUCAUUGAUCUUUGAUCUUCAUGAUUUUCACAAAUAGAUUCAGACAAACCUUUAUCCAUAGCGCUACGCUUGAUGAUGAUCGUUGUAGAAAACCCAAUGAUCUCGAACCAAAAGGAGAAAUCCGAUUUCUCUCCCUUAACCCACUAAACCUUAAUGUAUUCAAUUGAUGGAGGAGAGAAUACGUUCUUUCAGUUAUUGUUGUUCGUAUGUGGGUGGAGAGAGGACCGGACUCUUUUAUACGUUCGUUGAAAAUGUGCAUUCCAUCAAAGCGAUAUACCCUUUCGUUUUAUUAGAGUCGUACCUUCUCAUAACCAAUAUUAUUUAUAGCAUUUCAAUCAUUAUUAAACCAUAUAAUAAAUCACAUAAUAUGGGCCACAAUAAUUCUUACACACCGAACCUCCCUCCGGUGAUGCACUGAUCUUCAGCUCGUAGCUAGUGUUCUCCAAGGUGUUGGCCAGCAUGUUGCUCUCGAUGAUUGAAUUGGAGUAGGAGUAGCUCCCAUUGUCCAGGACCUCGAGCUUGUGCUUCACUACCUUGUUCCGAUGGCCUAUAGAAAACGCAAGUCACAUUUGAGACGCCACCGGUUUCGAAAAUCGCAAGCACUGCUUUGAAACACCAUUGACUCACGACAUCGUCAUGUUAAUGGUCAGGAACAUUUGAAUUAACCAAGUAAAUUUACUAACCUUCGCUGCCAGUGGUCUCCUCGACAAGCUCGGCACUCUUGAGGAAAGGGAAGAAGACUCUGGAGAUGAGGUUUAAGGCCCUAACGAUGGCCUCGAACGCCUGGGCUAGGAGGAUGGAGGACUUGAUCUCAGUCCUGAAGUAUUCCAUGAUUCUCUGUCCGAAAAAAAUCUGCUAAAAGCUGAAAGGGAAUGAUGAGAAUUGCGAGUACUGAGUAGGAGUGAAGUCUUGAUCUAAAAUUUCGGAGCGCAGUUCUAUAUAUUUAUAGAUAGGGUGCGAGAGUGAGAUGUAGAGGAGUCCGUGUGUAUCUAAUGACUCUUUCGGGACGUUUGGGUGGACAAGGGGAACUUUUUUAUGUUUUUUUCUAGUUGCUUUACGGGUUACUUUUAUCGGCACAGAUCAGCCGGGGUUUCUUUCCGGAUUGGGCGCUUUCAAGAAUUUUGGGUGGACUCGGGGUUUAAACGAGAGGUAGAAAAAGCCAAGGGAACAGGAGGCAGGUGGGACCCUUCAGCCCGUGCUUUUUCCUUUUUUCCAUUGAGAGGACGGAGACGAGGAAAGCAUAUCCGGCCCGCUCGACUUUUGGCAAUGACAGAAGCUCUCUCGUUGAUAAAGCUAGGCCGUGAGGUGAGUUGAGUCAUGCACAAGUACACCAAAUUGAAACUCUUCCGCACGUGGAGAUAGCUUCAGACAACUUAGAUGCCGUGAAUUGUGUCAUUUCCUUGGAACUUCUAGGUCCGUCAUCCAGGAUUGUGAUCUUCUAUUGACCCAACUAGAAGCAUAAAUUAAACUAAAAUAAGAACCCAAAGAAGCAAAUCGUGUUGCGGAUUGAGUAGUCAAAGACCCACCGAGUUAGAACCCUUCCAUCCAAUUGGGUUGUUUAUCCCCCUCAUUUCCAUUGGUAAAUUUAAGUCUUGAAUUUGGUACUAGUUAUAAUUCAUCUUUGAGUUAGUAAUCAAAAGUUAUUUUCGACCAAAAAAAAAAAAACCACCGAUGACGUACUAAUUCGAUGUUGUUGAUUUUGUGCGUACAAAGUCCAAAUCAACAUUAAUGACGUCAUAUAUGGCGUGCUAAAAGUUGUUCAUGAGUUGAAUUUUUGCAAUUACGUGCCCAAUGAAUUUUGACGCUCUUGAGUGGGAAAUCACUAAAUUGUUAACUUUUUCCAAAUGCCUGACGGGUGUCAUAGGAUUAGUUUGGCGAGUAGAGAUAAAAAGUUAGCACGCAAGUAAUUUAAAAGCGCAGUGUAAAUUCGAUUCUCCCAAUCAAUGAGCAUAAACGAGAACAUGGGGGCGAAAAAGGUUGUUACCAGCAUUGAAAAAGUGGACUUUUGAGAAGCUCCAAUCACUAAAAUGUUGCGUAUUCGGCAAGAUGCAAGUAAGUCUAUCCAUCGAGAGUUAGUUUUUAGAGAAAUGCAUAAACAGAUAUUAAAUCAAUAGAUAUGCUUAGAAAAAUGUCAUACAUAGCUUUUUUAGCUUUUUUAGCUUUUUUAGUAAGCAAGAGGUCUUGACUUUGAUUCUCAACGAGAUCCUUUUUCUUUUGACUUGUAAUAUUUCCUUUUUUCACAUUCAAUCUUCUUCCUAACAAUUUUUUUGAUAAAAAAAAAUUCAAUCGAGCCAAAAAAUGAAUUGCUUAAUACAUGAUAGAGCCAACAUAUAUACAUACUAUAUAUGUGUUUUUUCUCAGUACAAAUGGUUAUACGAGGACCCAAUUAGUAAGAGGGAGGUCUUGAAUUUGACUCUCAACAAGAGCAUUUGUCAUUCAAACUUUUUCAUAACAACUAUUUUACUAAAGAAAAAAAUCGAUUGAGCCAAAAAAAUUGUCACUUAAUACAUCAUAAAGCCAGCAUACACAUAUAAUUCAUUUUUCUCACUACAAAUGGGUAUACGAGCACCCAUUUAGUAAGCAGGAGGUUUUAAGUUCGACUUUCAAUGAGAGCAUUUAUCUUCUGACUUAUAAAUUUUCCUUUUUGUAAAUUCAAACUUCUUCAUAAUAAUUUUUUUAAGAUAAAAACCACCAAAAACCCCAAACUUUGCUCAAAGUGACAAAUUUAUCCCAACCUUUAUAUUUUGAUAUGAAAAAUCCCGAAUUUUGCCAACUGUGACACAUUUAUCCCAAACUUUUUUUUAUGACACAAAAAAUUCUGAACUUGUAUUUAUGUGACACAUUUACCCUAAAUUGUAAGGUAUUUUGGUCUUUUACUUUUAAAAUAUUUUUUUUACUUUUUUUUUUCUUCUUCUCUCUUCCCUCCACCAGCCAUGGCAGAGCCGAUGGAGGAAGCCAUAGUUAGGCGAGGGCUACCCUCACCGGCGUCAAGCGAGGGUCGCCCUCAGCUAGGCUGGCUAGGGCCGCCCGACGCCAGUGAGGGAGGUCCUCGACCGACCCAGUCGAGGGUGGCCCUCGCUUGAUGACGCCGAGUGCAGCCCUCGCCUGACUCCAACUUCCCUCCGCCAUGGCCAGCGAAAGGAAGAGAGAAGAAGAAGAAAAAAGAAAAAAAAAGAGAAUAAGACGAAAAUGCUAUUGGUGGGUUAAAUGUGUUACAGUUUGCAAAAUUUGGGGUUUUUAUGUCACAAAAGAAGGUUUAGGAUAAAUUUGUCACUUUAGGCAAAGUUAUGGUUUUUGGUGGUCUUUUCCCUUUCAAUCGAGCCAUAAAAAAAGUCACUUAAUACAACAUAGAGCCAACAUAUAUAAUAUAUUUUGUUCCUUUUCUUGGUAUAAAUGGGAUACCAGCACUCGUUUAGCAAGCCUAAGUCUUGAGUCCGACUCUCAAUGAGAGCACUUGUCUCGUGACUUAUAAUCCUUCUUUCUUCUACAUUCGAACUUUUCCGUAACAAAUUUCUUGACAAACAUUCAAACUUCUAUCUUCUUGAUGCCGUUAUAAUAAGGGAUACGGAACUCUAGUGUGAAUGGAACUCAUUGCUGUGAUGCUAAAGGGAAGGCGAUGCUGACGAAUCCUACUGGAAUAUGCGGGGGACAGAAAAUCUUAGAGCUGGCGGUUAGAUCUAGUUGAGGUUACCAAGGGUUGAUUAUUGCUUAUCGCCCCGGAACUGACUUACCUAGGUCAUGCUCAGCCCUCACCCUUAGAAAAAGGAACUCAAGAAAAAAAAUUCAGUCACUGCUCCAUAAUGAUUAAUGUCCAUCAUAGUUCAAGUAAGGAGAUAUAAGCAAACGUUCAAACAAUAAAUAAAUAGAUCAACAAAAUAAAUUGGAUACCAGACUUAUAUGAUUCAAUCGCAGUGACCUACCUCUAUAAGAAAAGUAAUAACAAAUUUUAUUGUAGAUCAAACAAUAUGACGGAAAUUAUAAUCACAGUCGAGUUACUUUAAUACUCUUAUUGUUUUCCAAUUUCUAAUUACAUUCAAUAAUUCAAGUAAUAUAUAACCUCACAAUUUCUAACUAAAUAAUCCUUUAAUCUCAAGAAGAAAUUAACAAAUCGCGAAUUAAACCCUAAUUUCGCUAUAUGUAAUUCAAGGAGAAUAUCCAAUGUCAAGCACGCCAACGGCACUACUUGCGGCUGAAAAACCCGUGAUAAAGUCACCUCUCCACACGAGAGAGAGAGAGAGAGAGAGAGAGAGAGAGAGAGAGAGAGAGAGAGAGAGAGAGAGAGAGAGAGAGAGAGAGAGAGAGAGAAUGUGUGCAUGUCUGUCUUUUUCCUUCGGCAUUUUUGGCGGCUUCUUUUGUGGCAGUCAUCUAAGGCCUCGCAUGGUAAUGUUUCUGUUCCUUUUCUGUUCCCGGGAACAGAAACAAAAAAAAAAAAGUGUUUCUGUUCCAGGGAACGGUUUUUGAACAAAAGAACGUGUUUGGUAACGUUUGUUCCGGGAAUAAAAAAUGAAUAGAAACACGUUUGGUAAAUUUUAUUCUUUUUUUGUUUCUUUUAAUUUUUUAAUAUUUUUAUUUUAUUUUCCAUUUUUUCCUUUCUUUUUUAUUUUUUUCUUCUUUCGGCCGGUCGCCGACCUCCGGCGACCAGCCGACGAGGCCGGCAGCCUCGCCCGGCCACGGCAAGGCUCGCCGGCCCCCGGCAAGGCCGAGCCUCGCCGUGGUUGGGCGUGGCUCGGCCUCGCCGGAUCUAGGCGAGCUCGAGCUCGCCCAGCCAUGGUGAGGCUCGGCCUCGCCGGAUCUAGGCGAGCCCGAGCUCGCCCAGCCAAGGCAAGGCUCGGCGUCGCCAGUGCGGGCGAGGCCGAGCCUCGCCGCCCUGCCGUCGGAGCCAAGCACCUGCGCCCCGAAGCCCGCAGCUCAACGCCGUCCUGAUCUCACCACACCAUUCGCGACGCCGUCCACCGGCAAGGCCCGUGUCGCCCCGUGUCGAUCCCGAAGCCUCUAGUACGGCGCUGCCGUCGCACCGUCCUCCGGAGCCCCUCGCCGGAACCCUAGCCGAAGAUCUCCCAUCGAGCGAGGCCGAGCCUCGCCUUGGCUGGGCGAGCUCGGCGUGGGCGAGGCUCGGCCUCGCCAGGGGCCAGCGACGCUCCGGCGAGGUCGUUGACCCUCGAGGGCGUCGCCAGCCCUUGACGGCCGGUCGUCGGCCAUGGCCGAGGCCGGCGACCGGCCAGAAGAAAAAAGAAGAAAAAAGAAGAAGAAAAGAAGAAGAAAAGAGAAGAGAGAGAAGAAGAGAAGCGUUUCUUUUUGGCUUUGAAGAAGUUUUUCUUUUCUCCAGAAACAACUUUUUUGUGUUUCUUUUUUUUUGUUCCAAUUUUGUUCUGGGAACAAAAAAACAAAAAAAGAACAUAAACGCAACCAAAUGCGUUUCUGUUCUUUUUUUGUUCCCGGGAACAAAAAAAGUACAAAAGUGUUCCAGAAACACUUUUUUGGAGCGUUUCCAUGUAGGGCCUAAGUGACCGGUGAAGAAAGACCGAUAAAAAGAAGAAGAAGAAGAAGAAGAAGAAUACUUUCUGAGAGAGAGAGAGAGAGAGAGAGAGCAAUCAAUAUUGUCAGUGCACUGUUCGGGGUACAAAGCAAUGAUUUCAUCAUUCUUGAUUAGGGUUUUGAAAAUAUGGCUUUUCAAUCCGUUUCAUACAUUCUCCGGUUCCCUUUUGGGAGUAGUCGUGCACUACUCCCCGCCCCCUUCUCUCUCUCAACCGUCGUCUAGUUGAACAAUUCGUAACAGUCCCGACUCGUGCUUUUGCCGUCUGUCCCUUCUGCCUGAGAAUCUUGAAACGGUGCCGAUGUGGACCUCUUCCUCAACGGCAUCGCCGGCCCUCAACGGCCAUGGCCGAGGCUAGCGACCGGCCAAAGAAAAAAGAUAGAAGAAAAUGGAAGAGAGAGAAAAAAGUGUUCAUAAAUUUUGUUCCAGAAACAAUAAACAACUUUUUUUUUUCUUGUUUCCGUUCCAGAUGUGUUUCUGGAAACAAAAAAAUAAUUUUGGAACAAAAACGCAAACAAACGCGUUUCUAUUUCAAAAAACAAAAAUUUGUGUUCCUGGGAAUAGAAACACAUUUUAACAAACAGGCCAUUAGUAACUGUCCAAAAUUUCAAUUCCCAAAAUAGAAUUGCGUUUAGUAAUAUGCUCAAAAUUUCUACUCAAAAUCAUUUUCUUUUAAUUUUUAAAUAAUUUUAUUACUUUUUUCCUUUUUUUUCUUCUUUUCUUUUUUCCUUUCUCUCUCAUGUUCUUCUUCUUCAAGUGGCUAGUCGCCGGACCAGCGACCGGCUAGACGAGGGCUGGCAAUCUCAUCGAAAUGUUAAUAGCACUUAGCGAGGCUCGCCUAGCCUCACCGGUGCCUAGCCAGGCCUCGACGAGGCUGGGCAAGCCUCGUCGGUGGCCAGGCGGGCCUCGCCGAUGGCCGAGUGGGCCUCACCAGGGCUGGGCAAGGCCCCCCUGCUGGUGGCUAGGCUUGCCUCCGGCGAACUCGCUGGACCUCGCCCUGGCUUGGCAAGCCUUUGACAAGCUCGCCAGACCGGUUGUCAGCAACCAGCAAUAGUGGGUGGCGGACGGCAACCGCAGCGAUGGAUGAAGAGGAAGGAAAGGGAAGAAGAAGAAGAGAAAAUAUGGACUUGAUUCUUGGAUUUGUUCUCAAGAACAAGAAUCAACUUUUUCUUUUAAUUCUUGAUUAUGCUCCAAAUCCACUUCCCUAAAAAAAAAAAAUCCCAAAAACAAAAAUUUUACCAAACACGAUUCCGUUCCAAAAUUACUCCUGGGAACAAAAGAAUAAAAUUUGACACCGUUUGGCUGGUUACCAAACAGGUCCUUAGCAAGCUAAAGUUUUGAGUCCAACUCUUAACGAGAGCAUUUGUCUAGUGACUUAUAAUCUUUCUUUCUUCUACAUUCAAAUUUUCGUAACAACUUUUUUGAUAAACAUUCAAACUUCUGUCUUCUUGAUGCUGUUAUAAUCAGGGAAACGGAACUUUAGUGGGAAUGGAACUCAUUGCGGUGAUGCUAGAGGGAAGUUGAUGCUGACGAAUCUCACUGGAACAUGCGGAGGACAGAAAAUCUUAGAGCUGGGGAAAAUGAAUGGGUUUGGGAUUAAAUCUGGCUAAGUUAUUGCCCCGAAACUGACUCACCCAGGCCAUGGUCAGCUCUAAAGGGAACUCUAGAAAAAGAAUAAUGACUAAUGUUCUUUAUUGUUCAAGCAAAGAGACAUUUUCUAUCGGCUAAACCUUAUGCUUCUCACAUUCAAUGCUUGUGUUCCAUCUGAAGUUAUUUUUUACCACAUAAUUGUCGAAUGAUGGUUUUAAUUAGUGAUGGGCCUAAGUUGGCCCGUCUGCCCAUGCUGGGCCCAAAAGGCCCGGCCCACGGGAAUAGGGCCCGUAGAAGGGGAAGGUAUAAAAGGGAGGAGAGAGAGAGAGAGAAGACAACGCUUGGCUGAACGUACGUACGUUCUCUCCCUCGCUCUCUCUCCAAAAGGACAACAAGAACAGUAAGGCAAACGGCACGUUCUUCUUCCCUUCAAGGCGCCAUCGGAUCGAACAGGACCAGAAUUUCUUCUCGAUCUUUAGCAUUGGUGUCUAAUCUGUGGCUAACAAGGUACGCUCGAAUCCGUGGUGUGCUUUAUGAUCGGUGAUACGUGUUUUCCCGGGCUUCGUCUUCCGCAUUGAUUUAGGGGUUUGAUUGAGUGUCGAAUCCGGUUUUCGGGGAUCAGUCAUUCCCAACAUUGGUAUCAGAGCCCUAGUUCACGUUUUUCCCGAUCAAUUUGAUGUUUUUGAUUGAUCUUUCGCGAAAGAACUUCGGCCGUACGGAUCGGGGCGAAAAAUCCCGACACCCGAGCGCUGUUCGGCCAUUUUUCUGAGUUUUCGUAAGUCGAAAUUGAAUUCUGAAAGCACUGAGUGAAAGAGGUCGUCGAGACGAGUCCGGCGACAUGUUGUGCGUCGCCGAACGACGCCGCACGCACACACAUGCGCGGCCACAAGCCUCUGCGCGUGGGCGCCACGCGCCCGAAGCGCUGGCAAUGGCCAACGCGUGCGCCACACGCGCCGGUGACGAACCGGCACGUGCGUGCCGGCGACCGGCGAAACGGCACACGCCGGUCCGCGGACCAACGCGUGCUGACGUCACGUGAUGACGUCACCGUGACGUCAUCCAACGGUCGGUAACCGCUCGGAUGACGUCAUCGCCGACGACGUUUCGCCGGGCGGUUACUGGCCGGCGACCCGACCCAACGACGACCCGACCCGAACCGCGACGCCCGGCACGCCCGCGGCACGUGCCGGGUGACGUUUGCGUGACGUCAUCCCGCGCACGCGUGCGGCACGUGCGGACGGUUCGCCCGAACCAGCCCGACCGGUCUGCCCGGUCCGUCCGGCGACCGUUGACCCGUUGACCGACCGUUGACCGUUGACUUUGACUGUUGACCGUUGAUGAAAAAAAAAAAAGGAAUUUGUUUCUUUUUCAUAUAUGCCUAUGUGGUUUAUAUGUAAUCCAUUAUUUAUUCUGCAUUUGUUGCAUGAAUUUUGGAAAAUUAUGUGUUUUCCCUUAUGUUAAUUAUGGAUUAUAAGUGAUCCAUUUUUUAAUUCUGCAUUUGUUGCAGGAAUUAUGAUGCGUCAUGCACGAAUACCUACAAUCCCGAGAACGGACGAGGGAAAUGCAAGACUUAAAAGGCUGAUGACAGAGUUGGCUGAUUAUCGGUGGCAUAACGGUGAUUUAGUAUCACAUGUGGUCAAGGUCAAUAAGAUGAUACAGGAAAUCAUCAAUAAUGGUUAUCUUAUGCCGGAUUUUUAGAAGGUGCCGGCUUUGUUGAACACUCUUCCACCUGAAUGGCAAGCAGUGUUAGAUCGGCUAUGGGAGGUCAACGUGGUCCCGGGUUAUAGGAGGCUGGUGGAAGCUUUUGUAAGAGAGUACUAUAAGAUUGAGUUUGCCAAAACUUCAACCCUUAGAUUGUGCGCUACGUGGCGCAGAGUGAAUGCGCCUUGGUGGCGACAUGAAUGCUCUCCAAAAGUUUUUCCAUGGUUGGCAAAUGUGCCUUCAGUUUUCUCAGAUGUUUUGACUAAUAGAUUAGAAUGGACAUUCCCUAAUUAUUUCUUAGAUUAAUUGUGGGAUUUUUUUUUAUGGAUGUAAAUAUCUCUUUCCAUGUUGAUAUUUUUCUCUGUAUAUAUUGCUUAGUGUAAUGUAUAGUUGUAUUAUGUGAAAGCACUAUUAUUCUAUUGGAUGUUAGAUAAUAUUUGCUUUCUGUUACUGCUGAUUGCUGUGGGUAGUUAGCUGUGGGUAGUUCAUAGAAGUUUUUGUAGCUUCAUAGAAUUGUUUUUGCAUAUGACAAUCAUAUUAAUGAUAGUUUUAAGUUAGGAUUUUUGGAGGAUGAUUGGAAACGUAGUGACCUUUUGAUUCUGAAACCUUACUUGAAAUUAUUCAUUAAUAUGAUGGGUCUAUGCAAAUAGGGAUGCAUAAAUGAUAGGCAUUAAUUAUUCGUGCACAUAUGUCUGAUGUGUUCAGAUUGAUGGAUUCAGCAACUAAGAACGUAAUUGCUGAUGUGAACGGCAACAAUUGUGAAAUAUUGAAUAUGAAGAUUCAAUAUGUGCUGGAAAAGCAAGAAGCACUAGAAGCUCUUGACCAUGUUAUGGAAGAUCUUGAGGAUGCUGUGCGCCACCUUGAGUUGGUAGAGGACCGCUUAACGGCAUGUGAGCUGAAAAUAAAUAUUUGCAAUGCUGGUUCUAGCUCAGAAAGGGCUUUGAGCUCUAAGCGCAAGCGUAUUGAUUCGUUCAAUAUGUGGGAAUGCAAAGGAUCAAGUCCUUAUUGCAAGAGAUAAAGAGUUAACCAAUACAAGAGAGGAAAACGUCCUCAAGUUAAGAAAAUGUCAAGGGUGAGGUGUUACAAUUGUGACAAGAAAGGUCACUAUGCUCGCGACUGUCGUGAGCCAAAGAAAGUAAACACCUCUUGUACAUUUGAAAACUUUACUUUUGUGUCAAAUUCUGUAUUAUUAGCUGAAUUCAAUCCUUUGUGAACUGUAGAUUCAGGAGCAACAGACGAUGUAGCGAAAGAUAAAGGAUCCUUCGUGGAAUUCCGACGAAUACCAACUGGAACUAAGUGGAUCUAUGUGGGAAACAGCUCCAGAGUUGAAGUUAAAGGGAUUGGCACCUGCCAACUGAACAUGUGUGGUGGACGCACCUUGUUCCUACAUGAUGUUCUAAAUGCUCUGGAGAUUUGUCGAAAUUUAAGUGUCUGUUUUGAUGUUGGUUAAGCUUGGUUUUGAUAUGAACUUCCAUAAAUAAAGUGUAGAUUUGUGUUUAGAUACAAACUACUAUGGUUGUGGUCACUUUCUAGAUGGUUUUAUUGUACUAAAUGUUGACUGUGGUGAUGUCAAUAUGUUAUUCCCUUGUUUCACGUCUUUUACUUCAUGUGAUAAUGAUGUGAAUGUGUGGCAUGCUAGACUUGGUCAUAUUGGCCAACAACAUAUGAAUAGACUUGCCAAAGAGGGCUUGUUGGGCAAUAUUGAAUAAGUCGAUUUGUCCAUAUGUAAGCAUUGCUUAGAAGGGAAAACGACAAGGAAACCAUUUGGAAAAGGUAAAAGAGCUGACAUUCCUCUGCAUUUAAUCCAUUAUGACGUUUGUGGUUCAAUGAAUGUGAGAGGAAUGCAUGGGACUGUUUACUUCAUCACUUUUAAUAGAUGAUUAUACUCGAUUCGGAUGUGUCUAUUUGAUUUCUCAUGAAUCUGAAGCAUAAGUUGUUUCAAAAGGUUUAUGAACUUGGUUGAAAAUCAAUUAGACAAGAAAAUAAAAGCAUCGAGAUCUGAUCGAGGUCGAGAAUAUUUAUCUGAAAAGUUCAGAAAAUUAUGUGAUGAAAAAGGAAUAGAAAGACAGUUGUCUAUUCCAUAUACUCCUCAACAAAAUGGUGUUGCGGAGAGAAGAAACAGAACCCUACUGGAAAUAGUUAGGUCCAUGAUGGCGCAUGCUAACUUAGAUAUCACUUUUUUGGAGUGAUGCGUUGUUAACUGCUGUCUAUAUACUUAACCGAGUGCCUUCCAAAUCAGUUAGUUCCACUCCAUAUGAGUUAUGGACAGGUAGAAAACCAGACUUAAGUUUUCUUAAGCCAUGGGGUUAUGCUGCCUAUACUCAUGAGUCCUCUCACAAGUUUGGGAAAUUGAGUCCCAGAUAAAAGAAGAGUAUUUUCAUGAGAUACUCCGAACACUCGAAAGGGUAUAUGUUCAUAGGUGAGCAGGAAAGUGGGAGUAUGACUAAAUUUGAAUCACAGGAUGUCACAUCCUUAGUGGAUGAAUUUCCUAAGAAGGGCGAAAUAGGGGAAGAUUAGUCCCUAUUUGAAACCUUGGAUCAAGAUAAUGAUAUUAAUGGAGUUCGUCCAAGUGGGAGUAAUAUGAGAAGUGAUGAAUUGAAUUCAACUCAUUCUCAAUUACAACCACAUGAUGAGAUGAUAUCGUCAUUAUUUAAUCCGAGUGGGAGCAUAAUGGGGAAUGAUGUGCUAAAGUGUACAAUCUCCCAUAUAGCGAACAAGUCGCCAAAGGAUUCCCCGUCAACGUUUUGACAUUGAAGGGGAAACUUCUAAUGAUUGCUCCACAAAAUGAGGAUGAGCCAAGAAAUAUUAAUGAGGCUCUGAAUUGCCCUAGUAAGAAAAAAUGGAUUUAUGCAAUGAAAGAGGAGAUGGAGUCAAUGAAGUCAAACCAAGUCUGGGAACUGGUUGAUCUUCCAAAAAGGGGACGCAAAGCUAUUGGGAACAAGUGGGUUCUCAAAAUAAAGCAAAAGGCUGAUGGCUCGAUAGAAAGCAUAAGGCUCGCCUUGUGGCGAAGGGGUAUAAUCAACAGAAAGGAAUUGAUUAUGAAGAUACAUUUUCUCCUGUAGAGGGAUUUACCUCGAUUCGCAUUAUUCUGGCAAUAGUGGCUAGUAUGGAUCUUGAGUUACAUCAAAUGGAUGUAAAGACUGCUUUCCUCAAUGGAGAAUUAGAGGAAUAAAUAAAUAUGGAACAACCUGUUGGUUUCAUAGUGAAAGACCAAGAAGAAAAGGUAUGUCGACUUUGGGGGUCGAUAUAUGGCCUUAAGCAGUCGUCAAGACAAUGAUAUAUACGUUUUCAUAAUGCCAUAAUAGCAUAUGAUCUUACAAUGAUAGAUGAGGAUCAUUGUAUAUAUAUCAAAAGAUCCAAGGAUCAAUUUGUGAUCAUAUCAUUAUAUGUUGAUGAUAUAUUAAUUGCCGGAAGUAAUAUGGAGUUUGUUCAUACUGUCAAAAGUUGGUUGUCUUCCAAUUUUGAGAUGAAUGAUAUGGGAUUGUAAACACAUAAACACUCCUAUUGCAAAAGGUGAAGGAUUGAGCCAUAGACUGUGUCCAAGGACUCCACAAGAGAAGGAACAAAUGAAACAUGUUCCUUAUGCUAGUGCUGUUGGGAGCUUGAUGUAUGCUAUGAUGUGUACAAGACCUGACAUAUGUUAUGUAGUUGGAAUGGUGAGUAGAUACCAAUCCAAUCCAGGUCAAGCACGUUGGAAAGCCGUUAAAAAAAUACUAAGGUAUCUAAAGGGGACUGCUGAUUAUACGCUGAGUUAUUAUGGAAAGGAUCUGCGACUCUAAGGCUAUUCUGAUGAUGAUUGGGGAGGAGAUUUAAAUAAAAGGAAAUCUACCUCUAGGUUUGUUCUCUUACCGAAUAAUGGCACCAUGUGUUGGAGCAGUAAGAAACAAAAGUGUAUAGCCUUGUCCAUGAUGGGAAUUGAGUUCGUGGCAUUAUCAGCAGCAGUAUAAGAAGAUGUUUGGCUUAAGAGAUUUUUUGGAUCAUUUAGGUGUUAUUGGAAGUGCUGCAGAUUAAUUGUUGGUUAAUUAUGAUAGCCAAGCAGCAAAAGUGUACACCAAAGAUCCAAAAUAUCAUGACAAUACCAAACAUAUAGAUACCAAGUAUAAUUUUGUCAUGGAUAUGAUUGCACGAAAAGAUGUGAACUUAUAGUACAUACUACGCAUAGAAUGGUAGCAGAUCCUAUGAUAAAGCCAAUACCUAGAGAUGUGUUUUGUGGCUAUAUGAAAUCUCUAGGAUUGCGUAGAGGCUGAUGUACUGAAUAUUGUAAUUUCCCUAAGUGUUCACAAUUUGAUGAAUUUGUGUUUUCAUCAUUAAUGCCUAUGAAUCUUUGUUUGAUCUUUAUGCAUCUUAAUGCUCAGUGCAUUACUUUAAGUUAAGAGAAGUAUGUCGGACAGAUAUAAGAUUAGCCCACUCACACGGGUAAUCGCCUCUAUUUACUGUGUGAUAAAUAGAGAUGAGACUGUUUUUAAGCUUAUUAUCUAGGUGAUAAUCGAGAGCUCAAGCUUAAAACACGUAUGUCACCUUAACUAAGUGUUAAGAUGGGGACAUAAUACUUACUAUGUCCGAAAGUAAAAUACCCCACAUAUUUUACUUUAUCUGUUUAAGAUGCCAAAUGUGAGUUCUGAUGAAUUUUGUAAAUGAGUAGAUACGUGAACUCAAGUUAGACAUUGGGUAUGUCUGAACUAUCAUCUGUACGGUAUUGAAAGGUGUAGACAUACGCUCCAUGGGAAAGGAGUUGAUACCGUAAUACGUAUUUCAUACUACGUAUGCAUGAGACGACUAAUAAGAGUGGCAAAAGUUUGAUCUCAACUUUUUUUUUAUGUCGUGUGAGACUCUUGAGGAAAAGAGUUCCUCAAUUUUUUAGUCCCCUCAUGACUCUUACUUAUUCUCAAGAUUUCUAUUUAGUGUUUGCUAUCUUAGGAUGUUGCCAAUGGUCAUGAGUUUCAUUCGAUCUAAUGGGGCAUUUCUAGAAAAGCAAGCUGAACUGAAAUUGAGAGUUUGAAGGAAAGAGGAAGAUCGAUUUUGGAGAAUCACAUUGUAGUUUUGUAUUCACCGGUUAACCAAUUAUGACUGUCUUUGGGAUAAUCAUAAUUGUGAAUACAAUAUAUAUAUAUAUAUAUAUAUAUAUAUAUAUAUAUCAUUGUUUAAAAGAGAUCAAGAGAGAUAUAAAUGUGAUCAAUCGAUCUAGGGAACUGCAUACUAAAUCUACUCGGAGUGUGAUGCCCAUUAUGAGCUGCUAUAUAUUCCUAACAGAUGUAUGGCAACGAGCUCUCAAAGUAUGCUAGUCGCACGGAUUAUUCACUGGUAUGAAUGUUGAAGAGAGGUAAAGAGAAUUCUGUUCGGCCCACCAUGUGCGAGUGGGAGAUGAUGGUUUUAAUUAGUGAUGGGCCUAAGUUGGCCCGUCCGCCCAUGCUGGGCCCAAAAGGCCCGGCCCACGGGAAUAGGGCCCGUGGAAGGGGAAGGUAUAAAAGGGAGGAGAGAGAGAGAGAGAAGACAACGCUUGGCUGAACGUACGUACGUUCUCUCCCUCGCUCGCUCUCCAAAAGGACAACAAGAACAGUAAGGCAAACGGCACGUUCUUCUUCCCUUUAAGGCGCCAUCGGAUCAAACAGGACCAGAAUUUCUUCUCGAUCUUCAGCAUUGGUGUCUAAUCUGUGGCUAACAAGAUACGCUUGAAUCCGUGGUGUGCUUUAUGAUCGGUGAUACGUGUUUUCCCGGGCUUCAUCUUCCGGAUUGAUUUAGGGGUUUGAUUGAGUGUCGAAUCCGGUUUUCGGGGAUCAGUCAUUCCCAACAGUUGACAACCUAAUUUGACCAAUAAACGCAGUACAUCUAUAUAGUAUCUGGAGAGCAGCUGUUGUUGCUAGCUAAGGAUUACAUCAAGUAUCUUUUUAGUGGAUGUUUGAGUGUUAGGUCAACCCGUGCGAUACCCCAGUGAGGAAGAUUUUACAACGAGCUAACAGAGAAGAAAGAGGUUGAUCAGUAUUGGUUAGUGUUGAAAAUUGAGAUCCAUUUUCUAAAACUAGCUAAUUUCUUCUAUUGUAAUCUAGAAGCUCCUAAGUAAAGGUUUUGGUAGUGGAAGUUGUGGUCUAACAAUGUCCAAGUUAAGAGAUGUUUGGAUGAAUGGCCGUGGACAGUUGUAAAGCAAAAAUAUCUCUGACAAAAGCAGGAAUCUUUCCUUGAAGAAUACGGUGGGUGGCUUUAUGAGUAAAGCAAGAACUAGUUUGUGUAAGGUGGUGGAAGCAUCAGAUAAACUCCAGCCACGUGAACAUCCCGUCCUACAAUUAUGUAACGCCACAUUUCUAUCAAAUAAAUAAACGAUAUUCUUGUCUCAUAAAUCUUUUUCUAUAUUCCUCAGAGUAUUCAUCCUUGUCCAUUCCCCUACAUCAACUAUACCAUAAACAUAUACAUUUACACAUACAAACAAAAAAAUAUCAUUGAUAUCAAAGUCAUUCUUCGGCACAAUCUCACAAUUUCCAACAGUUAGAGAAGGCGAUAAUUAAUAUCCCGACCUAGUGGGACGGUCCUGAGAAGUAGAGGCGCAGGGAGAGAAUAUAGACAAGAUUUGUCUUCCAGCUAUGAUAAUGACCUCUGAACAAUUCAUCUUCGUCUUCCCCAGUCAUUUUAGAUGGAACAGCGAUAUCAUUCCACGGUUCUAGUUUUGCAGUGAUCCGAAGCUUGAUCUUGGUAGACGAUGAGAAAGCUGUCUUGUGUAGUUGUUACACCAUCCGUCAUGGAAUUUUCGUGCAAAAUUUAACAAGAACAAGGUCAGAUGAAUGAAGGAUUGAAGUCUAUGUCAUUCUGUUUUGUUGCAGUAUGAAUGACUGAGUUCAAGUUGAUUCAAAGCGUUAGAGCAAUUGGGACUUGAUAGGCUGCUUCAUCGGGUGAGGACUUCUUCGUUCCAACUUUUUCUGUCCCUUUUGAUUCGUUUUCAUUUCUGCUAUUGAUUUCGUCAUUUUGAGCUUAGGUUGCUACCUAAUAGGCAGAAUUUUUGUAACAUUUGAUAUGAUAUGCAAAUACACAUUACUUGUGUAUAUCUCGAAAAUUCCCACAUUUAGACACUGCUUUAGGCUGGCUUCCAAAAAAAUGCCCUUCUAUUAAUCUUCCGAGCGUUAAAAACUACAAAUACAAACUAAAAAAGUCAGAUUGUGAGAGCAACUUCCGUUUGCUCUUUCUUUUGUUUUGCAUUGCAUAUUGGUCCUUCCCCUAUUUUUGCAUGCUGACAGCUAAUCAUAAACACCAAGUUGCUUCAAAGGUUAUGGUUGAAACAAGCAUAUACUGAAAUGUAGAGGCAAAAGAAAUUAUGUAGGUUCUCGAAACUCUGGUGGUUGACCGCAGGGACAUCACCCGAUCCCGGUAUGUUGAGCUUUUUGAUGGCAAUGAUUUGGCUGCUGGCCAGUUCAAUCCUGUAAACGCUCCCGAACCAGCCCUUCCGAUGCAGUACUUUUCACUGCAGUCAUUGGUAGCCUUGGCGAUGUCAUUGAAUGUGAACUUCCCUUCCCUUCCCCAUAUGAUCGACUUGGAUUGCUCUUGCUUCACAAGACUCUUGAUCUCUUCAUCGAAUUCCUUGUUUCGCCACCAAAGUGCCAGAAUCACAGCAAUUGAAAUCACCAGAAAUAGUAAGCAGCAGAUGCCCAGGGUCACACCAAAAAAAACCUUUUCCCUAUGGUCGGUCGAUUUACGCUCAUCCCACAAGGAGAUAAUCCGGUCGUGUUUCCACACAAACCUAGAUUCGCGAUUAAAGCACUUCCCUGUGCUUGUUGGGAGAGGCGACCACUACGAACCACACUAAUUGGCUUGUUGCACGAUAAGUCUGUUGAGCUUCAACUCCUCAUGUUGGUGAGAGGAGCUGGGAUCGUAACCGACAAUUUGUUAUGCAAAAGAUUGAGAUUUUCCAAUUCAGUGAACUUUGCUAAAUUGGAAGGAAUUGAUCCUGCUAGAGAAUCAUGGCUCAGGUUCUCCUCUGUAGCGUGAACAAGUUCCCCAGCUCUGGCGAUAUGACAUCCAACAUAUUGUUGUUGCUCAAGUUCAAGCUCAGUAAAUUCUUGCAAUUCGCUAGCUCUUCCGCUAUGCUACCGCUCAAUGCCUUCUCCCCGACAAAUCAAGAUAUUCUAGCUUCAAUAAGUUUCCUAACUAGGUGGGAAUAUCUCCAGCCAAAUGGUUGUAGCUCAAGUUCAGCCUAAUCAACGCCCCCAGACUUACCAAAUCAUCAGGAAUUUUCCUGGUCCAUUCAUUGCCAUAUGGAGUCAGAUCGUGCAAUUGAGACAAUUUAUUAAUCUCCGGCAAGAUGCGGCUGGGGAUUUUGUUACCAUCUAUCUGCAAAUUCGUGACAUUCGUGCACUCUCCCCAUUCUGCAGAGAGAUUCCCGACAAAUCGGUUGUUGCUGAGGACCUGAGGCUUAUAAAGUCCGGAUUCAGAUAAACUCCAAACGCACUCAUGACAUCUGCGGUGAACCGAUUGCUGUCCAGACGGACUCUCGUUAGCCCCGGACAAUUCCUAAGCAGUUGGGCAGCGGCUAGGUGAAGUUAUUCCCAUCGACCACGAGAUAUCAAAGAGCAAAGCCGCUGCAUAUAUCUGGCGGCAGCUCUCUGGUGAAGCUGUUGUUCGAAAAGUUAACAUUGCCCAGAGAAUGGCUGUACUUGCCAAAAUCACGGGGUAUGCCUCCCGAGAAAGUGUUCAUGAACAAAGAGAUGGACUGUAAGUGAUGCUACAUCAUGGCUUUUUCCUUCCCAGCCCUGAUCUCCUCUUCUUCAACUUGAAGUGCCUCCUUGGUGGUAUACUUGCUGGUCAUCUUGCAAACCGACCUUCAUCACUGACAGCCUCUCAAACUUGACCUCGUAAUCAAUCGACUCGAGUUUGUCCUCUAAUGUGUCACCUUCGAUUAUCGUCUACCUACACACGAAGUUCUCCUUGUCGAGCUCAUUGAUCCGGUGCUUCACAUUCUUGAAAUGACUAGCUGCAUUUGUGACCAAACAAGACUUACAUUAUGAAACUCCCGGCUUGACGAGUGUCUGUUGAGUGUUCGUACCUUCGGCGAUAUUAACUUGCUCGAUGCUCCCGGCUCCUCCGUUGCCUUGCACGAGCUCCACGCUCUUUAUGAACUGAGGCAGGAGCUUUGGGAUCAGGGAAUUCAACCCGACGAUCAAGGCCUUGAACAUGUGAGCUGGAGCAAUCGGGCACGUGAGCUCUUGUGUGAUGCUGGUUGCACCCAUGGCUAUUGGCAAUGAGAAAGAAAUAACCCCAGAGAAGUUCGUGCUUCUGAGUCCUGUCAAUGCCUCCUAUUUAUGGUUAGAAUUAUGCGAAUAGGUAGGCUUGGUUUGGCAAGAGUCACGUUUGAGGAAAAUAGAAGAGUCGAGGAUUCGCGGCCUAAAGAAAUAUAUAAUAAGAAUGUACUUUUCCUUAAUGAUUUUACUUAUUGCGGUUCAUGAAAAAUUGUGCCACCUUGAUAUGUUUCGAUGAUCGAUCCGGAUCGAGCGGGAUCGAUAGUCCAUAUUCGAAAUAUUAGGCCACAGUUUACCAUGAAUUCAUUUCACUCAUGUAUCCUCUCCAUGUAGCGCAGUUUACCAAAUGCCAUAAAAACCACUACACCAGAUUCCUGUCACAUCUUUCAUUCUCUUAUUCUCAGCAAAGACUGGAACAACAACAAUCACCAGCCCAACAUGCUUUAACUUCGAACACCAAGUGACUCAAACGCUUCUUGUCUUCUAUUUAGUUUUGCCCAACCGGACAAUAAAAGAUAGCGACGAGAUCGGCGCAACAGGCAUCAGCGUUUGCCACGACAGAAGCCUCUAUGGCCUUGACCAUCGCGUCCACCUUCUCUUUCCCGGCCUUGAUCUCCUCCUCGGUGAUAUUCACCUCGCCAAUGGUGAAGUACUUGCUCAUGCACUUCAACACCGAGCCUCCCUCGGGCGACGCGGUGAUCUUCACCUCGUAGCUGAUCUUCUCAAAGGCGGUGCCCAGCGCAUCACCCUCGAUGAUUGAGUAACAGUAGGUGAAGUUCUCCUUGUUCAAGGCCUAGACCUUGUGCUUUGCCGUCUUGUACCGACUGCCGAUCAGAGUAACAAAAAGUAACAUUCACAUUUAGAACUUGCCGGUUUCAACAUUGUGAGCACCGAUCUUGAUGGUGUAGAAUCGGCCAUUCAGGAAUUAGCCCCCAGCCACAAUCCAAUACUAUUAACUUAGACAUGGCCUGAUUUUGCCUUAUCGAAAUCAGGUCACAUGAUCACAUGUGUAAAUUUAAACAGUUAGAAACGUCUUAAUUAAUCAAGUCAUAUAUCUAUAUUUUUCAAUCAAGUCAUAUAUCUAUCAUUAAGGAAUUAGCCCCCAGCCACAAUCCAAUACUAUUGACUUAGACAUGGCCUGAUUUUGCCUGAUCGAAAUUGGGGCACAUGAUCACUUGUGUAAAUUUAAACAGUUAGAAACGUCUUAGUUACUAUCUAUCUUUUUUAAUGUCCAUUAUAGUGUUCCAUAAGGUUGAACCCGCCUUGAUUUGGAGCAAUCCUAAGUUCCUAAUAUGGAUGGACUAACCUUCGCAGAAAGUCAUCAACUUGAUGGUCCCGGGACCUCCAUCGCCCUUGAAGACUUCAAUGCUCUUGAUGUCUUGUGGGAGGACCUUGUUGAUGAGGUUAUCGGCGUCAAGGAGAGUGGCCUCAAACAUCUCGGCCGGAGGGAUUGGGGACGUAAGUGAUGACACCCAUGACUGGAUCCGAACAAAGGUGCAGAAACUGAGAAGAGGGUGAUGAUUAGGAAAGACUUAGUAGUGAUGAAUUUGGUCUCUAGGACUUGGGAGUGAAGGAAGGAGGCCGAAUUGAAGAAGACAUAUGUAGAGAGACUGAGUGUGAAGGGUUAUGAUUUCUGAAUAUUUUCUUCUUUCUCAGGUGGGUUUUGCAGAAAAUAAAUAAUUUAAAAAAUAUUUUCCUAAAAUUAAUCGUCAAAUUUGGAUAGUGUUUCCAAGCAAGAGUUAUUUGGUGAGUGUGCUGCAUAUUGUAAAUUGAUCUAAAUCCAUAUAGAACUCACAAGAAUUACAAGCCUAUAUCUCCUUAAUAUAAAUACGAUGAAAAAAUGCUACCUCAUUUCCGAAUUUUCGUCAAAAUUGUGCUAUAUAUACUAUGUUAAUCUAAAUUGCUAAAUUCAAUGGGCUCACGUGGGAUCCAUACAAAACUCACCAGAGUUAAAAGUUUUGAUUCCGCUUAAUAUGAAUACAGUGCACUUUCGUCAAAAUUGUGUUGUCUAUACUAAAUUGAUUUAAAUCACUAAAUCUGAUGGGUUCAUGUGAGACCCAUAUGGAACUUACUAGAAUUAAAAAUCCAAAUUCAGCUUAAUAUAAAUACAACCUAGCUCAUUUAUGAGUCUUCAUUAAAAGUGUGUUGUAUGUCCUACAUUGAUCUAAAUCGCUAAAUAUGAUGGGUUUGCGUGGGAUCCAUAUAGAACUUACUAGAAUUAAAAGUCCAAAUUCCCCUUGAUAUAAAUACGACACUACCUCAUCUCCAAGUCUUCGUCAAAAUUCUGCUAUAUGUACUAAGUCAAUCUAAAUCGCUAAAUUUGAUGGGUUCACGUGGGAUCCAUACGAAACUCACUGACAUUGAUUCCACUUAAAAUAAAUAUGAUGCUCUUUCAUUGAAAUUGCGUUGUAUGUACUAAAUUGAUUUAAAUCACUAAAUAAGAUGGGUUCAUGUGGGACUUAUAUGGAACUCACUGGAAUUAAAAGUCCAAAUUCCACUUAAUAUAAAUUUGACCCUAGCUUAUUUUCGAGUCUUCGUCAAAAGUGUAUUGUGGGUUCAAGUGAGAUCUAUAUGAAACUCAUUGGAAUUAAAACUCCAAAUUUCUCUUACUAUAAAUAUGAUGCUAUCUCAUUUCCGAGUUUUCAUCAAAAUUAUGUUGUAUAAGCUAAUAUACGGGUUUGUUUUAUUAUUAUGACUUUUGAGAUUCCCUUUCAUGGAUCAGUUUGAUAAAGAAUCGAAAUUUCCUUUUGACCCAAAAAAAAAAAAAGUUAAUCUAAAUCACUAAAUUUUAUGAGUUUACAUGAGACCCAUAUAAAACUCACUAAAAUUAAAAGUCUAGAAUCCACUAGAUAUAAAUACGAUGCUAGCUCAUUUCCAAAUCUCCAUCAAAUGCCUUUUUAUCAUCAUUUUGAAGCUUCUGAUCGCACCCCACUCUGUCACACGUGAAUUGGGAAUGAUUUUCGACGCCAAAGUCUUCGUUAAAUCUCAUAAAGAUUGAGCCAACGUGGAACAACAACUCAAUUGUAAGCAUCGGGGUUUUGCAAGAGAUGGGCUCCAAUGGCUUUCAACAUUCCCAUGGCCUUCUAUUUGCUAGCCUUGUUCUCGAACCUGUCCUUGGCGAAGUACUUGCUCGUGCUCUUGCACGUGCACCCUCUCUGUCUGGACUUGAUCUCGUUCGAGAUCUUCUCUAGCACGUCGCCCUCCACAAUGAUGUAAGCGUGCGGGAGCUUUCCUUGUCCAGCUUGUCGACUGGUGCUUCACCGAGUUGAACCGUGUAGCCGCGACACAGAAAACUGUAGUCAGCUCCCACGUUAGUCUUAUCUAAGAAUGUCAGGCAAAUAUGUUGACAUCACAUGUUGAUGUGUGAUCAAAAUGAGUGAAAUUAGAAGACGCGCAGGUACUCGCCUUCGCCGAAAACGAUGCGAUGGUGACGGGACCGCCGUCACCUUCAAGGGUGACAAAAUCCAGAUUGGCUUGUAGGAGGAGCUUGGGGAUGAGAUUUUUAUCAAGAUCAAAUGCCUUGAACAUUCGUGCAGGUGGGAUGGAAUGCGUCUUAGCCUAAGAUUUCCAAGUCCCAGGGCAAGAGAUGUGAGAUUAUGUUGAAAUGCCCUUUAAAUGAUUCUCAAUCUCCUCGUUUAGUAAUCUAAAUCAGCAUCACAAUGUUCUUAAAUAAUACAAUAAAAAAAGAGGACAAAAGGCAUGGAUCUCAAGCCCAAAUUAUACUUAUUAGCAUGCGAGAGACCUUUGAAUGCUGACACCCUUGAGGGUGGGAAUUCACUAAAUUAUAAUUUAAAUAUUCUAACGGCGCCAACGGCUCGGACAGGAAAGCUUGAGUACGUGCGGAUAAUUCUUGCGCAACGAAAUGCAUGGUAAGUCACGAAUCGAGACUCAUCCGCAUACACGCUAUUGCGACCAUGACCAUGAAUACCACUUCCUUGACCAGUUGGCCAGUCGGAGGAGGAAGAUGUGGGUUGAGCAUAUCCUAUAGUGGCACAUUUGAGUCUUUGAAUAAUGUCGACAUUUGUGUCAUUUGUAGGGAAGAGAGAAGAUUCCGGGAUGCUUCCUCAUCAUUCUCUAGCAUCGGUACUUUUACUGUUGACUCUGUUUCAUGAAAGAAGAAUGAAUCAAUGUUUUGAUCACAACCUCAAGUUGCCUACAAAUUCCAAAUUUUUGAGAUUCUGUUAAUACAUACCACUUUUCAAAAUCUGUACUUGCUCUUCCUAAAAGUCUUGUUAGAAGUAUUGGAUGAAUCCAAAUUCAAUAUGUCAAUUGAAGGUAUUUGAUCAACCCGAGACCAUAGGUACAGGGGGAAUGUACUGAUUAGAUUUGAUCAUGUAGCUUACCAGGAACCAUGUAGCCAUAAGAUCCAGCCACUGGGAUCCAAUUCGACGAAUCCGAAUUCAAGAGCCUCACUGUCCCAAAAACCAAAAGCCAAGGCUCGAAGUCCGACUCGAGCAAGAUGUUGUUCAACAUCAUGUUCCGAUGGACAAUAGGCAGUGAGCAAUUGUGAUGCAAGUAGGCGAUCACGGGAGCCACGCAUUGAACAAUCUUCACUCUCUUAACACAAGUCCAAUUCAACUGCUCCGCUUCCUCCAUGCAAGACCUUUGCCAAAGUUCACAAAAGAUUGGAUGAUGUCCCUGCGGUUAACCACCACUUUUUUUUACCAUGACGAUGUGGCCGCUGGCCUAUUCGGCCUUGUAAACGCUUCUGAAUCCACGUUUUCCGAUGCAGUACUCUCCAUUGAAGCCGUUGGUGGCCUUGGCAAUAUCGUUGAAUGCAAACUUCAUUCCCCUUUCCCAUAUGAUUUCACGUACUUCAUAAGAUUUCUUAUCUCUUCAUCGAGAUGCUUGUUUCACCGCCAAAGCACCAAAAUCAGAGCAAUAAGAGUCACGAGAAGUAGUAAGCAGCAAACGCAACAAUCACAUUAAUCAGAACCUUUCUCCGAUGGUCAGUCGAUUUACUGCUCGACCCACAUGGAGACAUUCCGUCGCGUUUCCUCACAAGCCCGGAUUUGCAAUAAAAGUACUUCCUAGUUAUUGUUGGAAGAGGCGACCACCAAGAACUGCGCCUGUCAACUUGUUGUACAAGAAGCCCAUGAAGCUUAAACUGCUCAUGCUGGUGAGAGUAGCUGGGAUCGUACCCAACAAAUCGUUAUGCAAAACGUUGAGAUUUUUCAAUUUAGUGAGCUUUGCUAAAUUGGAAGGAAUUGAUCCUACUAGUGAAUUGUGGCUCAGGUCUAGUGGUUCUGUAGCGUGAACGAGUUCCCCAGCUCUGGCGACAUGACACCCAACAGAUUGUUGUUGCUCAAGUUCAGGCUCAGUAAAUUCUCGCAAUUUGCUAAUGCUUUUGGUACGAUCCAUAGAGAAGGGAUGUACUUGCCGUAUUGUGGUUUAUGAAAGAUUGUGCCACAUUGAUAACUUUAGAUGUUAAUCCAAAUUCGAAAUAUCAGGCCAAAUUUUGGUAUUUUAUUGGCCAUUUGGCAUUUCAUUUGUAACUCAUGAAUUCUCUCCUCGUAAAAAAAUUACUAAAUUAGAGAAUUUCAUUCUACAAGCCUUGUAUAAACAUGUAGCAUAGUUUAUCAAAUUCCACAAAACCACUGCACCAGAUUCCUAUCACACCUUUUAUUCUCUUAUUCUCAGCAAAGACAAGAACAACAAUACUCACCAGCCCAACAUGCUUAGCUCCAAACAGAGUGACUCAAACUCUUCUUGUCUCCUUUUCAGUAUAGCACAACCACACAUAUUUAACGCAUUACGUAAACAAUACAAGAUAGCGAAAAGAUAGGCUCAGUAGGCAUCAGGGUUUGCCAAGAGAUAAGCCUCGAUGCCCUCGUACAUCGCGGACACCUUCUCUUUCCAGGUGUUGAUCUCCUCCGCGGUGAAGUAACUGUCCGUGCACUUCAACAUCGAGCCUCCCAAAGGCAACGCGUUGAUCUUCACCUCAUGGGUGAUCUUCUCGAAGGUGGUGCCCAGCAUUUCGCUCUCGAUGAUUGAGUAGCGGUAGGUGAAGUUCUCCUUGUCCAGGGCCUCGACCUUGUGCUUCGCUGUCUUGAACGGAUUGCCUAUCAAUGUAACAAAAAGUCACACUCACAUUUAGAACUCGCAGGUUUCAAUAUCACGAGCACCAAUCUUCAUGGUGUCCAUCAGGCCAUUUAGGAAUUAACCCAAUUGUUCCGACCGCAAUCCAAUACAAUUGACUUAGACAUAGCCUGACUUUGCCUGAUCAAAAUUGAGUCACAUAAUCACUUGUGUAAAGUUAAACGGUUAGAAACAUCUUAAGUAAUCGAGUCAUAUUUCUAUCUUUUUCCAUAUUCAUUUUAGUGUUCCAUAAGGUUGAACCUACCUUGAUUCAAAGCAAUCCUAAGUUCCUAAUACGGAUGGACUAACCUUCGGCAAAAGUCAUCAACUUGAUGGUCCCGGGACCUCCAUCGCCCUCGAGGACUUCAACGCUCUUGACGGCUUGUGGGAGGACCUUGGGGAGGAGGUUAUCGGCAUCGAGGAUAGCGGCCUUGAACAUCCUGGCCUGGGGAAUGGGGGAUGGGAUAUCGAAGUGAAAAGUGAUGACACCCAUGACCGGAUCUUACUAGAGUUGCUGAAACUGAGAAGGGGGUGAUGAUCUGGAAAGACUUGAGUAGUAGUGACGAAGUUGGUCUCUGGGACUUGGGAGUGAAGAGAAGAGGCUGAAUUGAAGUUGACAUAUAUAGAGAGAGGGAGAUUGAGUGUGAAGGGUUCUGAUCACUGCAUAUUUUUUUCUUACUAAGAUGCAUUAUAUUUUGCGGAAAAUAAAUAAUUUAGAAAAUAUUUUCCUAAAAAUAAUCACUAAAUUUAGAUAGUGUUCUGAGCAUAAGUUAUUUGGUGAGUGUGCUGCAUGUUCUAAAAUGAUCUAAAUUGCUAAUUUAAUGGGCUCACUAGAAUUAAAAGUCUAGAUUCCCCUUAAUAUAAAUACGACACUACCUCAUUUUCAAGUCUUCAUCAAAAUUGUGUUGUAUAUAAAUAUGACCCUAGCUCAUCUCCGAGUCUUUAUCAAAUGUGUGUUGUAUGUCCUAAAUUGAUCUAAAUCUCUAAAUCUAACAGGUUCACGUGGGAUAAAUGUGGAACUCACUAAUUAAAAGUCUAGAUUCUCCUUGAUCUAAAUACAAUGCUAUGUCAUUUCGAAGUUUUCGUCAAAAUUGUGUUGUAUAUACUAAGUUAAUCUAAAUCGCUAAAUUUGAUGGGUUCAUGUGGGAUCCAUAGGAAACUCACUGAAUUAAAAGUUUAGGUCAACUUAAUACAAAUACAGUUUUCUUUCAUCAAAGUUAUGCCGUAUGUACUAAAUUAACCCAAAUUGCUAAAUCUGAUGGGUUCAUGUGGGACCUAUAUAAAACUCACUCGAAUUAAAAGUCAAGAUUCUCCUUGAUAUAAAUACGAUGCUAUGUCAUUUCAAAGUUUUCGUCAAAAUUGUGUUGUAUAUACUAAGUUAAUCUAAAUUGCUAAAUUUGAUGGGUUCAUGUGGGAUCCAUAGGAAACUCACUAAAUUAAAAGUUCAGGUCAACUUAAUAUAAAUACGGUUUUCUUUCAUCAAAAUUAUGCCGUAUGUACUAAAUUAACCCAAAUUGCUAAAUAUGAUGGGUUCAUGUGGGACCUAUAUGAAACUCACUCGAAUUAAAAGUCAAGAUUCUCCUUGAUAUAAAUACGAUACUAUGUCAUUUCUAAGUUUUCGUCAAAAUUGUGUUGUAUAUAAAUAUGACCCAAGCUCAUUUCCGAGUCUUUAUCAAACGUGUGUUGUAUGUCCUAAAUUGGUCUAAAUCACUAAAUCUAAUAGGUUCACGUGGGAUCCAUGUGGAACUCACUCAAAUUAAAAGUCUAGAUUCUCCUUGAUAUAAAUACGAUGCUAUGUCAUUUCUAAGUUUUUGUCAAAAUUGUUUUGUAUAUAAAUAUGACCCUAGCUCAUCUCCUAGUCUUUAUCGAACGUGUGUUGUAUGUCCUAAAUUGAUCUAAAUCGCUAAAUCUAACAGGUUCACGUGGGAUCCAUGUGGAACUCACUUGAAUUAAAAGUCUAGAUUCUCCUUGAUAUAAAUACAAUGCUAUGUCAUUUCUAAGUUUUCGUCAAAAUUGUAUUUUGUAUAUAAUAAGUUAAUCUAAAUCGCUAAAUUUGAUGGGUUCAUGUGGGAUCCAUAGGAAACUUACUAAAGUUAAAAGUUCAAAUCAGCUUAAUAUAAAUAUAGUGCUCUUUCAUCAAAUUACGUCGUAUGUACUAAAUAACCCAAAUCGCUAAAUCUGAUGGGUUCAUGUGGGACCUAUAUAAAACUCGCUGGAAUUAAAAGUCUAGAUUCUACUAAAUAAAAAUUAGGCCCUAACUCAUUUCCGAGUCUUUGUCAAAAGUGUGUUGUAUGUCCUAAAUUGAUCUAAAUUGCCAAAUCUGAUGAGUUCACAUAGGAUCCAUAUUGAAUUCACUAGAAUUAAAAGUCCAAAUUCCACUUAAUAUAAAUAUGACGCUAGCUCAUUUCUGUUUCUUCAUCAAAAUUGUGGUAUAUGUACUAAGUUAAUCUAUAUCGCUAUAUUUGAUAGGUUCAUGUGGAACCCAUAUGAACCUCACUAAAAUAAAACGUCCAAAAUCGAUUAAAUAUAUACACUACUUUAACUCAUUUCUAAGUCUCCAUCAGGCGCCUUUUUCUCAUCUCUUUGAAGCUUCCGAUCUCGUGCCAUUCCGUCACAUGUGAAUCGCGAAUGAUUUUCCACGCCAAAGUCUUUGUUAAAUCUCAAGACUUAAAAAUACGAAUGUGAAGUAACAACUGCGUGUCAAAUGCAGAAAAUUCAUAUGUGAAAAAGUUGACCGUCCCUUCUUGAGUCAACUGUUCUCUUCCUCGAUAUGCUUUUCUGAUCUGGCCUCACAGAUAGAUGGGCAAAGCGGCGCAUUCAUAUCUAUAAUCUCGCGGCAGUUUCAACUCUGUUAAAAGAAUGCCGAGAUCUUUACAAGAUGUUUGACAAGUGUCUUUGAUGACAGCAUGCAGCAUAUCUACCGCUUCAAAACAUAGUUACGGUUCAGUCUCGAUUGUUAUUUUUCUUGAAAGAGACACGAAUGAAGACAUAAAUUAUCGUGGGAGAUAGAAAGAUCCAGCCAACAUGUAACGACAACUCAAUCGUAAGCAUCAGUGUUUUUGCAAGAGAUGGGCUUCUAUGGCUUUCAACAUUCCCAUGGCCUUCUCUUUGCUGGCCUUGUUCUCGACCCGGUCCACGGCGAAGUACUUGCUCAUGCUCUUGGCCAUACACCCUCUCUGUCUGGACCCGCCUCAAACUUGAUCUCGUUCGGGAUCUUCUCUAGCGCGUUGCCCUGGACGAUGGCGUACGCAUGCGCGAGCUUUCCUUGUCCAGCUUCUCGACUGGUGCUCCACCGAGUUGAACUGUCUAGCUGCGAGACACAGACAACUGCAGUCAGCUCCCACGUUAGCCUCAACAAAGAAUGUCGGCAAAUGUCCUCUUUGACAUCACAUGUUAAUGCGACGCAAUCAAAAUAAAUUAAAAUAGAAGACAGCGCAAGCACUGGCCUUCGCCAAGGAUGGCGCCGGGACCCCCAUCACCUUCAGGGAUGACAAAAUCCUUAAAGGCUUGUGGGAGGAGCUUGGGGAUGAGAUCAUCGUCAGGAAGAACGGCCUUCUUGCAGGUGGGAUGGAAUCGUCUUCACCUAAGAGUUCCAAGUCCCACGGCAAGAGAUCUGUGAUAUUAUGUUGAAAAUGCCCUCUAAAUGAUUCUCAAUCGCCUCGUUUAGUAAUCUAACUCAACAUCACAUUGGUCUAAAUCAUAUAAUAAAGAAAGAGGACAAACGGCAUGGAUCUCAAGCCCAAAUGAUACUUGUUAGCAUGCGAGAGAUCUUUGAAUGCUGACAACCUUGAGGGAGUCACUAAAUUAUUAUUAAAAUAUUAUAAUAGAACCCAAUGGCUUAGACAAGCAAGCUUGAGUGCAUGUGGAUAAUUCUUGCUUGAUGAAAUGCAUGGUAGGUCGCGAAUCGAGACUCGUCCCCAUGCACAUCCACUCCCUCGGCUAGUUGGCCGGUCGGAGGAGGAAGCCGUGGGUCGAGCACAUCCUUCAAUAGCACAUUUUAGUCUUUCAAUAAUGUCGACGUUUGUGUCAUUUGUAGGGAAGAAAGAACAUUCAAUGGAUGCUUCCCAUCAUUCUCUAGUGUCACUACUUUUACUGCUGACUGUGUUUCUUGAAAGAAGAACUAGCCAGGGUUUUGCUCACAACGUCAAGUUGUCCACAAAUUCCAAAUUUCUGUGAUACUUUAAAACAAACCACUUUUCAUAAUCUAUACUUACUCUUCCUAAAAGUAUUGUUAGAUUUAUUGAAUGAAUCCAAAUUCGAUUUGUCCAUUAACCGCGGAGUUACUACUAAUUUUAUUUUUCAAGAAGAAGAAUGAAUCAAAGUCAUGAUCAUAAUGUCAAGUUGUACCCAAAUUCCAAAUUUGAACGACACUCUUAACACAAACUACUUUUCAAAACCGGUACUUGCAAGAAUCCUAAAAGUCCCGUUAGAAUUAUUUAAAUGCAAAUUAUCGAUCUGAGACCAUUUGUACCUGCGAAAUGUUCGAUUAGAUUCCAUCAUCUAACUUACCAGCAACCAUGUAGCCAUAAGAUCCAGCCUCAAAUAAGGCCGGAAACUCGCAUGAACCGGAAAGCAGCAGCCCAGUCCGGCGAGCCCGAAACAGGGCAUGGGCAAAAAAAAGCGCGGUCGGCCGAGAGUCCCUACCCAGCUCGCGGCGUCGGACGGCGGACGAGCUCGAUAGAUCGGGCUAUGCCCGUCCGCCUCGCUCGUCUCCUAGCCGGGAUCCUCGGGAAGCCGACCCCGAAUCGGGAAAAACCAAGACCGCCCGAAGGGGUACCUACCAUGGCCUCGAAGUGGACAAGGAGCGGCGGCGGAUCAUCAGUUUUGGUUCGGAAGUGGAGCCCAACAGCAGCUCUCUCAGUCGCGUCCUCGGAUCCGAAUCCCUCUCGCCUCGUACUUGACCCCCUCCGAUUUCUCCCUCCUCCCCCCGACCUCUGGCCUUCGAUUUAUAGGCUGAGAAGGCCGGUCGGCGGAGGCGCUUCGGCCGCCGGUCCUUCGCGCGCCGACCGGCCCCCCUUGGCUGAACCAGCAUCACAUCACCCGUCGCCUCCAGCGCCGCCUGCUCUGCUUUGCGCCUGCUCUGCUCUGCUCUGCUUCUACUUCUGAUUCCGUCCUCGCUGGCGUGAGGAAGAAGCGGGAAGGAGGAAGGAGGAAGGAGGGGCCGGGCCGGGGUGAGAAGCACAAGCAGAGUGGGCCCUGGGCCCACUCGGGGAACAAAGGAGAAAAGAGGGGGGCUAAGGCGAAGGCCCAGCCGCCGUGGGCCCUUUUUUUAUAAAUAAUAUUAAAUAGGGCUAAAUAAGAGAAAAUAAAAUGCAAAUGAUAUUUAUGCUUAUAUGAUGUGAAAAUCGUUUUUAUUAGUGUCAAAUUGAUUCCAAAUUUUUUAUAUAAUUUUAAUUAUAGAUAUUUAGUCAAAAUUUAAGUAUCAAUAAAUAUAAAUCUCAAACUGCAAGAGUAAAAAUAAAAAAAGAAAAGAAUUAAAGAAGAGACAAGUGCGGUUGCACCUUUAUCCCAUCAUGUGACUGAAAUUGUUUAAGAAAGUAAAAAAAAUUGGGAUAAGUGCAUUAGAAAUCUUAAAAAUUAUCAUGAAAAUGCAAUUGAGUCAUAAAACUUUCAAAAAGUGCAAUUAAGUCCUAAAAAUUGGUACGAAAGUUCAAUCAAAUCCUAAAACUUUCAAAAGAUUCAAUAAAAUCUAAAAACUUGUUUCGAAAGUACAACCGAAUCCUAAAACUUUCAAAAAUGCAAUCAAUUGAAGGACUUAGAUUGAACCACUUUAAUAAGUUUUAGGACCUGAUUGUAUUUUUUGAAAUUUUUAGGACUUAAUUGCAUUUUAUAACAAGUUUUAUGACUUAAUUACCUUUUUUAAAAGUUUUAGAACUUAAUUACAUUUUCAUGACAAAUUUUAGGACUUCAAAUGUACUUAUCCCUAAAAAAUUCAAUGAACAUCACAUGCUCUAGCUUUAAUUGAAUUAUUGGGGGAGGGGGGUUAUUUUUUCCCUAUAAAAAGAACUCGCCACACGACGAUAAUUGGGGGUUUUAAUUUUUUUGGAGGACCUCGAAGGGAUUUUAUUUUCUCUCCCAGUUUCUAGGUGAAGAAAUUCAAGAAAAAGAGAGAAAAAUUCCCCUUCGUUGAAGGGAAAGUCAACCAAAGGGUUUUUCCCUUGUGGUUUUUUCCUUUUGCUGAAAGUACAAGGGCAGUAGAAUUGAGAAAAUAUUGGGUACCUUAAAAAUGCCAUGUAAUUUGUGCUCUGAACCAUUUAAAGUGUGACAUAUGUUUGUGUGUCAAUCCAUGUCGUCCCACUUCUCGAUUUCAAACCAACGCACGGGAGGUUCUCUCUCUGCUCUCUCAAGCAUAAGCCCUGGCCCACCUCUUUGCAUGCUCUAACGCUCUCUUUCCUUUGCUCUCCUUUGCAGAUCAUCUCUCUCCUCUUUCUCCUCUCUGUCUCUCUCCUCAUUCUCUGUUCCGUUGCGAGGAGAACAAAAUUGUGGAGGGUUAAAGGAAAACAUAAAAGUUGAGCCCCUCCGCCUCCACUAGUUGCUUCCAUCGCCUCCCUCUCACGACAUUUGCUCUGCUCUGCUCUGCUCUCUCUCCCCUCCAUGAAGUCGUGCCUCUCUUCCAGCGAAAUGUGACGCCGAUGGUCCUCCACCUCCACCUCCACCGGUUGCCUCCAUCGCCCUUGACUCCGACGCCGAUGCCCCUCCGCCUCCCUCUCACAACCUCUACUCCACUCUCUCCCUCUUUCCUCUACGGAGCGCCCUUAUUGGCCAACCCUGAUGCCGACGAACCCCUGCUCACGUUUUGGCCUCCCUCUCAGCGAGUGAAGGUCGCUUGCUCUUUCUGUCUUUCCUCUGUGAAGCACCCCCCAUUCCUGAACGUGGACGCCGCUGACACCGAUGCCGUCGCCUUCCUAAGCCCCACCGAUAGCCACCCCACUGGCGAUUCCCGUACGUCCAAAGGUUCUUUUUUCUUUUCUUUUCUUUUUGGAUUCUACUUGGUAGAAUUCGGUAACAUGUUUAAGUUUAUAGAUACAUUUGCAUUAGGUACUGCUUUAUCUUACUUGUUGCUGACUUGCUGUGUUAUUCAGAUAGUGAAGAUUGGAAGAAAGUGAAACGGUGGUAUCUUUUGAGAUUGUUUGCAUAUAGUCCUCCUAAGGGAUUAGAGGCUUCUGAGCCUAAAUUGGUCACUCCAUGCUUUUAUUUUCUCCCAAAAUCACAUGUCUGUUGGAGAAGUUGAUCCUUGCGUGCUUCUGAAUAGUCAUUUGCGUUGCAAUUCCAAAGGUGUAACUCAGUUGUGAAGGAUAAGAUCAAAAUAUCUCUCUAAGAUCUACCUUCUUGGUCCACUGAUCUAUUAGAAAUAGGUAGUUUACUUAGGCAAAUUCAUUGCAGCUUGGGCUGUUUAAACCAACAAGUACCUCUUAUUUUGUUCAUGUGCCAACGAGAGAUAUGGUGGGACAUCCUCACAAGCAUGGAGCCAGAAGCUUAUCUCUCUGUUUGCUUUGCGAGAGAGCCAUUGAAAAUUGCAGGUUUCUUGUGUUUAGCUGAAUUUGACAUACAGAGACUAACCAAAUUUGUGAAGAUGACUAAUUUCACGUUGUUGUUUUUUUAAGCAUAAACAAAGGUUUGAUUUGAUGUUUAUGGUUUUAUCCUAAUUCCACUUAUUUAGAAUCUCUUGGAUAUUGGACAGGGUUAGACUUUCUUGCUUUAUCUCGUCAUAGUAGAUGCCAUGCACUGGAUUAUAUUAUUUAGCAUGCGCCGUUUCUCUGUAAUUAGAGCUGCCUUUUGUUCAUGCUAAACUUUUGAACAACUGCUUUGCCUUACCUAUAUGAACUACAGAUCCUGAUAGACCUAAGAAUGACAAGGGAACCAUUCUUACGGACACAAUCCAGGUGCUGAAGGAUUUAAACACGGAAGUUAACAAAUUGAAAGCUGAAUGUGCAGCUCUUACUGAAGAAUCUCGUGAGGUGAUCACUUAGUUGGCAUUUGCUUAGCUCUUCUCACCGCAUCGGCUUGCUCGCGAAGGAAAAUGUUAUGAAAGGAAAAUGCAAAUCAUGCUCUUGGGCUGUCUCUAUUCUUUUAAGCUUUUAAAGCAUUUGUCUUCGUAGUUUGUCCUCUUCAAACAAGUUCUUAACAUCUACAUCUACAUAAACAGAGUAUCCUAGAAGCAUCCAUUUCAUGAUCAGCAUUCCAUGCUAAAUGCAAAUCAAGUGGUGCAAUUCUCAGCAACCCAACAUCAGGGGAACCAACUAUAACAAGUAAAUUCUCUAGGCUAUGCCACAAAUGAGCACGCGACUUCACCUGUGUCCACAAUUAUUGGUAUCAACGGAGCCGCCGCGCAGACCGACCUCGCAGUCACUGCCAUUUCCGGCGGCCUGAAGACAUUCAGAAGAAACGGCUCAAAGAUUCGAACUUUAGCAUUCGAAACUCACAUACCCACUUCACAUGCAAAAGCGGGGAAUCGCAACCGGGCAUCAGGACGACGCCCUGAUCCUCUAUCAGCCGGUGCACGCGCGUCUGCCGCGUCGUCAUCCUGACCGUCGGGGAAGAAUGAGAAGUGAGAUGGGGCAUGUUUGUUGCCGAGCGCAGCUUGAGGACAAAUCAGUGAGAAAAGUGUCGGAAGAACAUUGAAGUUGUUGACAAAGGUGGAGUGUGAAGAGUUGUUGUCUCGUGGGACAGAAUACCCAUGAGAGAGAGAGAGAGAGAGAGAGAGAGAGAGAGAGAGAGAGAAGAGAAUCAAGACCCGUGAAGCACAGACAAAAAGUAAUAGAGCUUGUACACAAAUCAAUAAUGUAAAUGAAAAUCAUGAGGGAUGGAUGAUAGCAAGGGGAAAAAGCCUAUGAUGUAAUGCUUAAUGCUUGAUCAUAUAGCACAUGGUGAUGCUAACACGUUGUCAAUUUGUUUUUUGGAUUGCAUAUAUGGCAUUCGGAACGCUCAAAGGCAAAGAAUGCAAAAUCAUUUAAUUCAAGUGCAUCAGGUUCCGUAUAAAAAGGCACCUGACGUUGUAUCUAAAGUUUUUUUAGGAGGAAGACAUAAUUCCAACAAGAAAAUAAUUAUCGCAUUUGCAUGAAGCGUGUCUAAUCAUUCAGCCAAUUAUCAUACCAUCAUGAUUGAGGAUUCACAAGAUUCUUUGCUGUAUUUAGAACUUCGCCGCAUUUGUAAUCUCGUGCAAUUAAUAAAGGAGAGCAUUCUUCUUCCAACAACCAUGACAUAAUUGAUUGGAACAUAUGCCUGAAACUUGAACAAUGAGGGCACAUUCAUUACUUUUUUAAGGGUUUAGCUCCAGCAGCCAUGACAUAAUUGAUUGGAGCUCAGAUUUUGCAUCCAAACUAUCUUGCGACUUUUGACCUGCCAUGAGGCAUAAGCCAGGUUGUACUCCUGCAUGAGUCACUCGCAUCGUGUAGUAGUGAUGCCCUGGUGGUUAUUAGAUAAAAAGAGUCUCCAGAGAUGCUGUCGUCAAGAGGUAACGAAUCAGUGUACCGAUGGAGAUGCGAGCUAGCAUACGCUUUUGGGUGUUCCCAUCAUCAUUGACCGGAGCAAAAAAAGGCGAAUUCCUACAUUCGCUAUUCUAUUGGCCAUGAUUCAACGCGAUGAUGAAUGGCUCUUUAAACCAAGAAGCGUCACCCUAAAUAAUAUGAUCAAUUUAUCUUCGUUAAUGGCUGCUCAGCAUACAUCUCUAAAUCCUUCACAGAAAAAGCAGGUGCAUUGCUCAUCUCUGAGAGAGACUGAAAAAUGUUUACACUUGAUUCAUUUGCGAUGCCAAAAAAAUUGGGAAAAGAGAAGGCCUUACAAGUAAAAAAGCAUUGCCCAUUCUGUAAUAGAACAAACCCUUCAUGAAUGCUGUCACCAGCGACCUCCUCGAUCAGCACGGCAUCCGAUAUCUCUCUCACAUCAUCCUCCGCAAGAUGGGGUUCACUUCACGUGAGACGAAAUCGGCUUCUCCUUUCUUCACCGCCUUGUCAGCAGCUUCCAUUAUUAUGUGUCCCAAGCUCGCUCCGAGAGAGAAAGAGAGAGAGAGAGAGAGAGAGGGAAAGGGUCAGGAAAGGGGGAGGAAGUUAUGAAGGUAUGGAGGAAGGCAGGAGGGGAGGGGAGAUGGGCAAAGAUGGUGGAGAGUGUGGCCUGCCCAGAUACGCGCAGAAAGAAAGAGAGAGAUGGUCAGCUGCAACCAAAACGGCAAAAAAAGACCACGAUCUAUUAACCCCUUGCGGAACAUAAACAAAUCAGCGAGUAGGAAAACGGGGUCGCAAUCCCCGGAGAAAGAUCUCAUUCAAGACAGACCGACGGGCAAGAAAAAGGGGUCGCGGUCCUCGAAGGGAGAUCUCCACCAGGUCAAAUCGCACCUCGUGCUUCUGUUCGGGUCGCCAUCGCGUCCCUUGAUGGCCAAGGUCUGUUGCUGCUGGUUCUGCUUACUCUGAGCGAGCUUCUCGCUUGGGUCGUUGCUAAUGAGGAAGGAAGACGAAGGAAGGAAUCCCCGGAGGGAGAUCUCCGCCAGGCCGAAUUGCACCCGGUGCUUCCGCUUAGGGUCACCAUCGCGUUCCUUGAUGGCCGGGGCCCGUUGCUGCUGAAUCUGAGCAAGCUUCUUGCUUGGGUCGUCGCCGAUGAGGGAGGAAGACGAAGGAAAGAACGUGAGGGGAGAGAGAGAGCCCUUGAAAAUUGAAAAGAGGAAAGAGGUUUUUGUUGAGCGGGAGUGCGAAGGAAAGAACGUGAGGAGAGAGAGCGCCCUUGAAAAUUGAAAAAAGGAGAGGUUUUUCUUGAGCAGGAGUGCGCUUUUACUGUUCUGUCUUUUCUCCGUGCGUUCCCCAGAGGAGAGAGAGGGGAAGAAGGCUAUGGGUCCCAUGUGGACACGUGUUGCGCUCCCACCAUCUUCUUGUUUGCCUAGAGCGUAAGACGAACGCAAUAUUAUUCUCUCACCUCUCACGUCUCCAAAAAGGAGAGGAAGCAGAGGCAGCCAGCCCCGAGCGUCGACGCCGUUGUUUCUGCUCCGCCCCCCAGCCGCGACGCUUCCGCCUGCCGGUCUCCGCUGCACCGGUUGCCACAGUCGCUCCUCCAGCAACCCGCAGGCCACCCUCACGCCGUUCACCGCGCCGGCUACCACCGCUCGUCUCCCCGCGAAGCCACCGUUCCCUUGCCGAUCGCUGUUGUUGACCCGCGAUACCCCUGCUCGACUCCAUACGUCGCUCUGCCGGCCAACGCUGCUCCGCGCCCCCGAAGUCGCGACGCCGCCUCUGCCGGCCCCGCCUCUGUCCAGAUCUUCCGUGCCGGAACGCGACCCCGAGUCAUCGCGCGUCCGCGCGUCGCCACUGCUGCAAUCCGACACCAGAAGCCGCCUCUCCCGCGCCUGAGCGACCUGCAGCACCCAACGUCCCCCUCUCCUCUGCUGCUCGUGCCGCGUAACCAACAGGGUUACCCCUCGCCCGCGAGCUCGCACCGCCGCCCCGCCGUGCCGAUCCGCGACGAUCUGACGCCUCCGCGUUGCUGCUUCUGGCCACGUCUCCGCCAGCCACUGCCGUGCACCAUCGCCGACCUGCAGCUUCUACCCGAGCCCUCUGCCGCCAGCCUCCGCCUUCGAUCGACGCAGUUGCAGCCCAACGCCAGAAGCAGCAGCUCCCUGCUCCGUCGUACCUCAGUCACUGUUCUGCCUCGCCGUUCCCGUUCCACCCCAGCCGCGACGCAGCCUCUGCCGGACCGACGCCUGCUGCCCUGCCUCCUGCACCAGCGCCGACGCCCGAGCUCUAUCGCCGGGACUGCCGUCGCACCUCCCCGCCGCCGGUCUCCUCGCACACCGUGCCAGCGCUAGCCCGCCGAGCCGGUCCGCCUGCACGCCGGCUGCCGCCCUUCGCCGGAGCUCCGACCGCCGGCAGCUCCACCGCCCUUGGCCGCGCACCACCACAGCUGCCGAGCCUUGUUUGGAAAAAAAAGAAAAAAUCAAAUUAGGUAGGUUUAUUUUAUUUUAUUAGGUUGAUUUAUUUUAUCUUAUUUUAUUUUUUGAAAUAUUUCUCCAUGCAUAAUUAAAAUUCCCGGCAUACCACCUAAUUCGUAUAAAGUUUUAGAUGGGAUAAUUGAUUGAUAUCUUGAUGUUUAAGGUUUAAGAUCAAUUUAUUAAUUUUAUUAGCAAAAUAAUCAGGUUUAAUUAGAUAUCGUUUUUAAAUUCGAAUGAUGGAUAAUAUCUUUGAUGCCAUGGAUGAUUCGUUGUUUAUUUUUUUUAAUUGCUUUGUUUAUUGCAAAAAAAUACAAAAAAAAAAAUUUGUAUUUUGCAUAUCAUGUGGAUUAGAAUUGUUUUCUUAGAUAGAAUUGCAUGGUAGAAUAGUUAGAUUCUUUUCUAGUUAUAUUAAAAUGCUUGUAGUAUCUAGGUUAGAUAAUAUUUUUUGGAUUAAAUUACAUGACGAGAUAAUUUUCUAAGUUAAGAUAGGAUUCAAAUUGGUCUAUUCUUAACUUAAAAUAGAUAAUAUCUCACUUUAGUUAGAUUUUAUAUUUUAGUACUUUUAAUUACGAAUUUUUAUUUAAAAAAAUGCCAAAAAAAAAUCAUACGCAUAUCAUAUAGAAUUAGGUUCAUGAAAUGCACAUCAUUUAGUGUUUGUUGCUAGGUUCAUUUAAUUAGAAAUUAACCAUCAUUAGAAUUAAAUCAUUUGGUUAAUUUAGAUUGCACAUUUAAUUAUUGCAUUUUUUUAAUUUCGAAUUCAUGAGAAAAAUCCAAAAAAAUUGUCUUUGAAUAAAUUAAUUUCAUUUUCUAGGAUAGAUUGCAUGCUCAUUAAGCAAACACAAAAUAUUUCACGUCAUAUAGUUUAGGUCAUGUUUCCAUGUUAUAUCAUUUAAUGUUAGAUUAGUGGCAUGUAUUGCAUAAAUAAUUCUCAUUAAAUAAGUAAGAACAAAAAAAAAUUAAUUGCGUGUUAAUUAGAAAUCAUAUGUAGAACUGUCGAUGUGAAUUCUAAUCUAACCUUGCAAAUGCUUUUGAUGCCAUGAGAUAAGUCCUGAAAUUUAUUCAUUGCUUUAUCUGGGUAUUAAAUUAAUGGUUUGCACACUCGCAUGAUCAUUGAGAUAAAUUAAAAUCAAUUCAAGCUACUUGCCAAAUAUUUUUUCAAAAUAAAAGAAAAAUGUACCGAAAUUGCAUUAAAGAAAUCUAACGUAAUCAAGUCUCCGAACUCAUAAUCUCUAGUUUACAGAAGUAAAGUAAAUCUCCUAUUACUUUACUUGGAAUUCUAAUUGACUCAUCGAAAAUAGAUUAGUGACAACUCCUAAUUAAAAUUUGCAUAUUAAGAACUUGAACUUAAGUAGCGAAUUAGUAUGGGCUAGGGAGAGCCCGAGCUAUGUUUAGGCUUAGUAAUCUAUUAGCCAAAUCCUAGGUAGUGCAUCUGAAAUUUUGGUCGCGACAAAUGUCGUCAAUCAACUAUGAGAUGCCGAUGUCAAUGGAGAAGUUACUGAUAUUAAUGGUUGUCAAUGCCGAUAUUCCAGAAUUGAUACCGAUGAUUUUGUUUGGUGAAUUGAUACCGUUGACUGUUCGAUGCUCGAGUUAAUUAGAUUCUUUAUUGUAGCAUUGUUUUUGAGAAGUCUGUUCGUAUUUUUAUUUCAUGACUGUUCAUGUUUCUAAGUGUAAUCAAUGUUUUGUAAGUUCUUAGGAUUUUAUCACCUCAGAACAUUAGCUAUAUUUAUUAGUCAUUAGUUUAAGAGUUAUGUGUGAAGCAUAUAAAAGUGGAGGCCUGUAAUUGUUUUCAAUAAGGUGAAGAAAAGGUGAAAUAAACAAGAAGGAUAUAUGUCUCCUUCUCUUCUCUGUGUUGUGUUAGUGGGUGUUUCAGCUUUAAAUUAUCCCAUCAAGAUGUAGUCUGUAUUUGUCUUUUACAAAAACUCGAAAUUUUCUAGUUUUGAUGCCAUAUGAAAUUAUGAAGGAGCACUAUUAGCUAUUAUAGAAGUUUAGAUAAUUAGAUGGAUGCAUUAUUCAAGACUUAAUUGAUAUAACGUCUCUUUCACGACCUAUGUUCCUUUUCAACAGCUAGAUUACUUGCACAGCUUGGGAUCAAUGGAAGGAGAGCUAUCUAUAGAAGUGGAGGAUGGUGGAAUGAACAACUUGAUCGAAAUCUGGAGAGGUCGACGGGAGAUAAUGAAGAAUGCAUUGGCGGCUUCCGCGGGGGGACAAGAUCCGGCAAAAGCUUACGAAUAUGCUCGAAAACUGGCGCGUGUCAUCGAAGGCGGCAAGGUUGACGAGUUCCUUUCCAAGAUCAAUGUAAAUGAUCCAUUGUUGCGGGACAUCGAUUGGUCUGCCGUUUUAAAUUCCCGAUCUGAAGGCAACGAAUCACUGCUCCACAUGGCAGCAGCAAUCGAGAACGACGACAUCCUAAGGCUUCUGGUUGAUUAUGUUGGUGACCACCUCAUAACCGCCCAAGAUGAUCGGGGAAAUACCCCACUCCACUGGGUCGCUCGGUAUGGGGGAUCUACUGGAGCUGCAGAGAUGUUGAUUCACCGGGCAAGAGGCCUCCCCAACGUCGAGGACAAGAACCUCCUAUUGAGGAUGAAGAACAAAUGGGGAAACACCGCUUUGCACAUAGCCGUGCACGAAGGUCACGCCAACUUGGUGCGCUAUUUGUUGAGCGAAGAUUUGGAGCCCGUGUACUGGAAGAACGCGAAUGAGAAAUCUCCCCUGUACCUAGCCCUCGAGACUUACGACUCCGCUGUACAUGAGGCUUUAUUUUCACACUCGUUGGAACCAUCAAGGAUAGAAGGCUUGCCGCCCAUUCAUGGUGCCAUUAUACGUUCACGACACGGUACGUACCUAAAUCUAUUUACGUGGAAAUAUAUUUAUCUAUUUCUGGACUGACUCAUCCCAAAUCUGUGCAAUAACUUUUUGCUCUUACAAAAACCCCUUACCGGUUUUUACUUAAAAUUCCCUACCCUGCUUGUUAAAGUGGUUGGAUACCCAUCGGUUUAGCCGCAUUAUAAACGAAUUAUUCACAUUAGAGCAUAAUAGAUCGGCUUAAAUAUUACAAAUACAACCAUUUCACUAGAAACUCAUGUGUUGUCGAUCUUUGAUUAGAAAAGCUAUAAAGUGCAAAUAUUUAAGAUUGAUGACCAUGAAAAUCUGGAAUCUAACAAUGACGCUGUGUGCCAUGAACCAAAAUGAACAAAUGAAAGUUUAGGGCAUGAAUUAUAAACUGGUAGCAAACCUGUAGGCUGCGCAGGCGUGAUUUUUUCAUUGGAAAAAAAGGAGGUGAAGAUUCCAUCACUCUCAGCAAAUUGAUGGAACAUCGUAAACCAUUAAUUUGUUUGUGACAAACAAUCAAUAGGUUUUUAAGAAAUUAAGAAAAGUGGAUCUAAAUAAAGAAAUAUAUUUUUUAUUUUUUAUUUUUAAAUUAAUACAGUUAUCAUAAUCUUUGCAGAAAAAGCUGAUACGGUAGUGUAGCCUAUAUUACCUUGACCAUUAAAAAUAUUGAGAUAAAAUUCAUCAGACACAUGAUAAUCAAUUAUGUGAAAUUUUUUGGCUGCUAAUGCCACGUAUCCCAAGUUUACUACUUGAAGUGCAGCUAACGUUCAUUGAUCAUCAGAUUGGUAGAUGGCAUUUAGGUGUUACAGUCAUAUCGAAUAGAGAGAAUUGUCCAAAAAGUUAUAAAUGUGUCAAUUGUGUCAAUUUAACCUCUAUUUUAGUCCUAAACUUUUUAAGGAUUUACCAACUUAGUCCCUUCUAAACAAUUUCUAUUGGAAAUCGCUAACAUGGCGGUCUAGUCAAAGCUAGCCAUCCUACGUGAUGUUGAUCGCUUAUGUGGCUUUUUUACAAAAUAUUUUUUAAUUUUUUGCAUUUUUUCCUUUUCUUUUUUUUUAAUCCUUUUUUCCCUCUACCAGCCUCAGGCGAGGGCUACCCUCUAACCCUUGCAUAGAGCAACCCUUGCCCUUGCUCGACCUCCAUUAGGUGUCAACUAUGGAUGGUUAGAGAAGAGAAAAAGGAAAAAAAAAAAGAAAUUAGAAAAAGAAAAGGAUAAAGGUGGGCCCGGCGGAUCCUAGGUCACCAAAAAAAUAAAAGACAAAGGAAAUGAAAGGAAAAAGGAAAAAAAUUGCAAAAAUUAUCCGCAUUAGCAUUGGCUAUGCCAUGUAGGAUAUUCAGUACUACUAGACCACUAUGCCUAUGAUUUUCAACAAAAUUGGCUAGAAUGACUAAAAUGACAUAUCGUUAAAAUGUUUAUGAUUGAAUUGGCAAGUUAUUAAAAUUGUUAUGACUAAAUUGACACAACUGAAAGAUUUAAGACUAAAUUAAUCAUUAUACAAUAUAUUCAAAACUUUUUGGACAAUUUUCCCUAUCAAGUAUAAUUACAACCCUAGAUGCAGUAACUUUAUUUUUAUCCUGUCCCAAUUUAUUAAUCCGAGCACAUGUUAUUAUUUACAUUGCACGACGUAACAUGUUUGAGGCUCUCUUUUUGAACUGAACAUGCAAAACAAUUUCAAAUAGACAUAAAGUGAAAAUGCGUAACAAUGUAUUGUGUGAUGCAAAUAUUAAAUUAGCAUACCCAAUAAACGUAUGUGUCUAAACUUACGUUGCACUCAUUGAAUAGAUUAUAGAAGUCGACCUGCACACAUAACGUUCAUAAUCCAUUUAUAAAUGGCUUAACUUAUUUGUGAUAACACAAUUAAACCUAAUGCUACCAUAUUUAACCACGUUCCAUGUAGUGAACAUGCAUGUAGAAGGGCUGUUUCAUAGUUUGUCAGCUCAUAAUUCUAAUAAGCACUUUAGAAACUUUACAAAAGAUCCCAUUGAAAUUGGAUUUACUAUAUAUUUCUUAUUCUUACUGUCCAAUAUAUAAAAAUCCUUUUAUGAAGUACUACUGAUUGAAAUCUCGUAAUAAUAGUUCAGUUUGUUCUUCAUUGAAUGUAAAAGUAGAUGACAUUGUGGAAUGAAUCGAGCGUUGACAUGGGCUUUUGUAGAUAGGUACUUUAAUUAGGUUAUCAUGAUAGGCACUUUUUUUAAGGUUCAUAUCAAUUAAAUAAGGUAAGGUUAUUUCUUUAAAUCUAGUAAUAUUCUUUCACUUGGGAAAAUUAUCCAAAAAGUCCUAAGUCUAUUGCACUUUUGCCAAUUCAAUCACAAAUCAUUCAAUUUUGUCAAUUCAAUACUAAACAUUUUCACUUUUUGCCGAUUGAGUGUAUCCGGCUAAUUUUGACUAGAAUUUAUUGACAGGGAUAAUUUUUAAUAAUAAUUUAAUUCCUUUUGAAAUUUUUUGUACUUUUUUUCUUUUAUCUUUCUUUCUUCCCCCCUUUCUUCUUCCUUUCAUCGGUGGCUAGCUACCAACCACCGGUGAUGGCUAGCUACCGGCCAUGGCUGGGUGAGUUGACCUUGCUCGCCGUAAGUGAUGCCUAGCCAGGCAAGGCCAGGCCCUAGCAAGGGUUGGCCUCACCUAGGUUAGGCAAGACAGCCUCCUAGGUUAGGCAAGACCAACCCUUGCCCAAACUAGGCGAGAUCGCCUAGGCGAGGGUGAGCCCCCUUGUUCGGCCACAUCUUACCCGAGGCAUGUGAGGCUAGCUGGCUCGGCCAUAGUCGGUGGCUGGCACAAAAGGAAGAAGAAAGGAAAAAAGAAAAUGAAAAAAUAUUUUUAAAAAUUGUUUACAUUAGUGCCGACCAUCUUACAAGAAACCGCUAGUGUCCACGUCAGCGAAUUCCUAUCAAAAUUGGUUGGAUUGACUCAAUUAAUAAGAAGUAAACAUGUUUACGACUGAAUUGGCAUAAGUGCAAUAGAUUUAGAAUUUUUUGGACAAUUUUCACUCUUUCACUAAUGUAUCUAGAAUGUAACCGGUUACCCAUAUUGAAAUUUGUGGCCUGAAUUGCUUCGUCAAUUUCAAGAAUGACGGCAUCUGUCAUGCGAAUAGAAUAAAGGUGAAAUUCUUAAUUCAUGUUAUAUAUUAAUGUAAAAUAUAGGGGGCUCGACGACAAUUAGAAAAUUCCUAAUUAUCGUUGUUAGAUGACUCAUGAAAUUUGUAUAUGUACUUAACAAUAUUAUUAGAGUAUAUUUUAUAGGAAGUAUUAUAGAAAUGUAAGAACUUUCAAUAAUUGCUCAUUUGCAGUUUUUGAAACUCAUUAGAACUAAUUUCAAUAAAACUAAUGCCUCUUUUGUUGAACAAAAGUCAUGGUAUAAGAGGCAAACAUAAAUCCUAAUUUGAAGCAAAAUAAAAGGAAAGUGGAAGAAAAACACUCUUUGUGAGGAAAAUAAUCAAUCCCUUACAAAUUAGAGCCCUAUAAAUCACUUUUAGAGACAAUUCUUAAAGAAAAAAUCAUUAUUUAUUUAUGUAGAUGUUACAACGGUCUAGAUUAAUUUGCAAAGUUCACUGAACUUUUAUUAGUAUUAUGGAUGUAAUUUUUCUGGUGGUAAAAUGAGACUCCUUUUGUUUUGUGUUGUGUCAUCACAGCUUAAAUAUGUGGUCGUUAUAGCUAGGAUAUAUAUGACUCCAUGCAAUGCACAUAUAAGAUAGAACAUAUAAUGUGAUUUUUUGAGUAAAAAUAUUUUCCCAGAAUCACUAAAAUUUCACAAAAUAUAUUUGGUCCAUUCACAAGAUAUAAUGGGAUUGAGUAGCACAAUCCCCAAGGAUGAGGUUAUCUCUAAAGCACUCUCGCCUGUCUUUGAAGUCCAAUGGCCACCCACAAUCCUCAAACACCGUUGGAAUAUUCUCAAACAAUUGAAACACCUCUCUCGCAUUAUUGAACCUCUUUACUAGCACCUCUGAAUUUUCAUAGUUGGGGCCAAAAUAAAUUUUCUUUUGGUGGAGCCUUUCCUUUCUGUAAUUUGUGAUUUAUAAGCUCUACUAUCUUAGAAAUAGAUUCUGGUCACAAAUUACUUAGAUUUUACUCACAAGUUUUGGUAAAUACAUAAUCUCUUAAUUGAGCUGAAUAAGUGCCAUAUACCUUUACGAAGAAGAUGACGUUCAAUCUAGAGAGGGUGGAACAACUUUAAGGGGGAUUUCGAUACGGUGCUGUGGAGGCUAUUGCAAUGUUCUCGACAAUUAAAUAAGUUUGCUUGAUACUUGCUAGAAUUCGACGGACAUAAUAUGAAAAGAUCAUUUUCCUUUUCUUGAUCUUGCCUUAGCCUGCAUUACGCCUGCCGACUGUAUAAAUAAUUCAUGGCGUGGAAAUGCCAUAUAAAUUGCUAUGUCAUUUAGUAAGAUUUUUACAGUGAAAUCUUAAGCACCUGUCGAUGUCAUUAACUAGUUUUGGUAUUGCAAUCUAAUCUGUUAUUGUCGACUAUCAAUACUAGUAGUGAUUAAGGCACGUCAAAGAUGUCCUUACUCCAAAAUGGUUUUAAAUAUAUUGAGACCAACCAAGCUCCAACCAUCCUAAUUUGGAGCUCCUGAUCCCAGAUUUAUUCGACCUGAUGCUCAAGAAAAACAUGGAGCUAUUUGCAAUGACCGACUCCAACGGGGGCAAUGUAUUCCACUUAGCAGCUCACCUGAAUCACGCCUGGGUAUUCGAAUUCUUACGACCAGAAACUGAAUAUUUGACCCGAGAACCGGACAUGAAUGGAGAUCUCCCCAUUCAUAUUGCAAGCAAGAUGGGUUAUGUUGAACAUAUUGAGAAGCUAAGGGAAGUAUCACUUUUGCCAAAUGGGCAAGGGAAAAACAUUCUUCAUAUUGCCGCAAAAUAUGGUAGAGUCUCCGUAGUGAGAUAUAUACUCAGCCAUCCAAUUCUAGGGAAGAAUCCAAUUCUAGGGAAGAUGUUAAAUGCAGCAGAUGAUGAUGGAAAUACAGCUUUGCACUUGGCUGCGAUGCAUUCACAGCCCGCUGCUUUGAUUGAUCUUUUGCGGACUGACGGAAUUCUACCAAGCAUUUUCAACAAUGAAUGCUUGCUUGCUGUUGACAUUGCUCGACGACGACACCAGGCAGAGGGGUAUAACAUUCGGCAUGUAGGUAACAUGAACAGUCACUAUUUUAUUUAUUAACUUACUGGAGAUUACGUAGACUAAUGCAUUAGUUAAGGCUGAUCUUGUAUUCAAAUCAUUAUGUCUCCUAGCCAACUAGAUAGUAGAAGUAUUGAUCAAAUUUCUAGAAUAGCCGAGACUCCUCUCGGAUAAAUGUUCUACAAGUCCCUAAUUUAGUCUUGAUAGGAGGUAAUUAAAAUUUGUGAUCAUGAAUUUCUCUGCAGUUAGAAACAAGUAACGUGUCUUUCAUAACACGGAGAUAACAAUUUAUAUAUAUCGUUUAAUUGAGCCUCUGAAUACAGUCAUGAAUAAAAAGGCAGGGUUUGCCAAGGUUGCAUUCUGUUUUUCAUAAAAGGCCAGGGGUCAAUGUGACAAAUUUGACCGCUCCAUAUGUAGCACAAUCUCAUAACAUUAUCAUUUUGUCGACCUAUGAAAUGAUCGCCCACAUAAAUUCCAUUCAUGCCUCUUUUUUCAUCUAAAAUGAACUUGGUAGUUUUGUGCUAAUUCUUCAAAAAGAGCAGAAACUGCAUCUUUAGAAGCAAACGUUUCCAGAGUUCAUUCCCGUUAUCAAUAUGGAAUAAUUUUGUUCUUAUUUUCCUUUUUACAUGCUUCCGAUCUCAGCAAUUGGCAUACCUGGCGUUGGCUUGCUCGCUCGCGGGAAAAGGUCCACUUGGAAACCAAGAGUUACUCCUACUUAGAGCGAAAGCUCGAGAUGAAGAGUUAUCAGUAGUCCGCUCGCGCAAAAGCAUGCCGAGCAGGGACAUCGUCAAGGAUUACAUCAAUUCCCGCAUGGUGGUGGCAACGCUUGUGGCCACAGUGAGUUUUGCAGCUGGUUUUGCAGUUCCUGGAGGAUUUAACGGCUCGGACACAGCCUCCAAAGAUGAGCGGGGCAUGGCUACGAUGCUGGACAAUCGAAUGUUCCAGGCUUUCGCGAUUUGCAACACCAUCGCGAUGUUCUGCUCAAUGACUGUGGUCGUCAACCUCAUCUGGGCGCAGACAGUUGAUGUCGACGUUUUAGUCGCUGCAUUCGAGCGCACAACGCUACCACUACAAAUUGCACUCCCGGCGAUGUCCACCGCUUUCUUAACUGGUGUCACCUUGACCGCUGGCAAACUCCCAUGGCUUGCUAACACCAUAUUUUAUUUGGGACUCGUUUUCCUCCUCAUUAUCUCAUUUGCUAAAUUGUUAGGGGGGCCUAUCUUCUUAGAAAUCUUCGGUCAUCCUCUCCGUCGACUAACAUUCUGGCUUAUUCUCGCUUACAUUUAUUUGGGGAGAGUUGAGACGUACAUUUAUGAUGACGAUGACGCCAAAGAUAACAGAAGGGAGAAGAAGACCUUCGCUAGUCCGCCUGUGGAUGUUGCCGGUGAAUCGAGGACCGAUGACUCGGCGAAAGCAAAAUGUGAGGAUGCGUUACAUCCUCCAAGUCGCUGAUUUGAAUUGAUCAUUCCAUAUUAUCUGUAAUAUGUAGUAAUAAUAUAUGUUUUCCUUGGUGAGUGGGACUCACUAUACGGUUGCUUUCCUUUAUGUCAGAUCAAACGUGAUUGUUAAUGAAUGUAAGCUAAACCAUGUGUUUCUCUAAUAACUUAACUUAUUAGAAUUGUUGGAUAUAAUUCCAUCAAAUUUCAUAUGUUAUUAAAGCAGAGGUUCUAAGUUCAAACAUUUUCAGGUCCUAUUUGCUUCAUCUAUUAUAUGUUUUCAUGUUUCAUUCUUAGAUCAAGUCAAGCUUACGAGUGAAGAUGAGUAUAAAAGUAUUUGUAUUAAAGUAUUUGAAUUAAACAUCCCAUUUGUCUAAUAAUUUAAAUUUUUAGAACGAGUAAUUGUAGUUCCCCGAAAUUUCAAACCGAUACACACUUCAUGUAAAUUAAAUGGAUGAAUGGCUCAUUUCAUCCGUUUCAUCGCCCUGGAAUCAAAUUGUUAACUUUGAACAUGUGGAAGCUCGUGGGUUUAUGAAAUCACUCGUCUAGAGUAGCCAUGUCCGAUUUACUUUGAACUAGUCCAAUUUGCGGCAAUCUCGAGUCACGAAAUCCUAAGCACUCACUUACCUGUCUAGUAAGGGUGUGCAAAAUAUCCGAAAACCGCUCGGACUGCUCGGAACCAAACCGAAAUCGCCAAGUACCGGUGGUUCUUGAGGGAACCGGUCCAGUUCCUGGUUCCAAUUUAUGGGAACCGGUGGGUACCAGUCCAGUUCUUGGUUCCAUUGGCGGAUCCGCCCGCCCACCCACCCGGACCAGAUCGGAACCUUUUUAAUAUUUAAAAAAAAAAUUACUAAAAGAAACCCUAGAUCUCAUCUCACUCCCUUCAUCUUCGGCUCCUAAUCCUAUUGUCAUUUCGCUGCGUUUACUUCUCUCGCUGUUCGCAUCUCCACGUACUUAAAUUUGAUUUUUCUUUCUUUGGCUUGCUUUGAUGUCACGUAGUCCUUCUAUGUUGAAAAUCAAAAUUGUUUCGCGUCAAGAUCAGUUCCAUGGAUCCACUCGGGAAUCGGACCGCUCCGGUCAGGUUCCUGGAUGGAUCCAUGCAACAAACGAGUGGAUCCUGGUAUCAAUUUUUGGGAACCGGUUCUUAGCGAGUGGUUCCCAGUUCUAGAUCAGGAACCGCCCACCCAAACCAUGCACACCCCUACUGUCUGGUGUGCAAAGAAAAUAAUUCUCAAAUUCUCAUCGCCUACUCUCUGAGUCGAGAGUUGGGUGAAGAAAACCGGAACAAAAUAAUUCUCUUCACUACUCACAAAAAAAUAGAAUCAAACACCGAACUCAUUUCCAAUGACACCCCUUUCAUUUCCCCACUUCUCCCUCCUAGGCGCACAAUUUCUGUGCAUGCAAAUGAGUUUUGGUGUUUGAUUCGUGGCGGGGUAUAAUCUAGUGAGCAGCGGGCAGAAGUCAAGUCAAGGGACGAGAUAAAAAGGAGUUGCAAUACGCAACCCAAGGAGAAUUGUGGAAAAGUCUGGAUAUGUGAUUUUCCUCCUCCGAUCUCUGAUUUUUAUUUCAAAGCUAGUUGGUAUUGACACGUAGAAUAUAACUCUAAAGUGAUUCUGGACCUAUCUAUUCAACAGUGAAUGUAGAUAAUUACAAAAAAUAAAAAGGAUCCCCUUGUACGAAUGUCUAUUGAGUUAUAAACUAUUAAAAUUAGCCGAUUUAAUUUUAAACAUCUUGACGAUUUGUUAAUAUAGUCAUUUCAAUCAACUUUGACCGAAAAUCGUUGACGUAGACGCUAGCCAUCCUAUGGCACAUGACUAGUAUUGAGGUGGACAAUUUUUGUAAUUUAAAAAAAAAAAUUCUCAAUUUUUUUUUUUUUUUUCAUGUUUUCAUUUUCUUCAUUUUCUUUUCUUAUAUUUUCCUUUUUUCUUUUUCUUAUUCCCCUAUGCAGCCAUUGGCCGGUCCAUGGCUUCAAUGAUUGAUAGUAAGGGCCCAGAUGCCCUCGCCAACUGGCAAGGGCUGAUGGAUUUGCUAGGGCCACGUACUAAUGGAGGGAUAAAGGAAGGAAAAAAAAAGUUUUGAAAAAAUUGUAAAAAUUAUUCACAUUAGCAUCGGCACCUAGAUCUGGGCGAGGCCAAUCUCGUCAUGGCUUGGCCUAGAUCUGGGUGAAGCCGCCUCGCACACAGUCCUUAGGCCUCGCUCAUGGCCGACGAGACUUGUCAAAGAAGCAAAAGAAUAAAGAAGAGAAAAAAAUAAAAGGAAAAAUAAAAAUAUAUAUAUAUCAAAAAAAUUAUUAAAAAUUGCCACGUUAGCGUUGACCAAAUGGCCAGUGUCCACAUCAGCGCUAGCCAAUCAAAAUUGAUCGAAUAGAUUGAAUUGACAUAAUCACGAAAAGUUUAGAACUAAAUUGGCACAAUUAUAAUGGAUUUAUAACUUUUUUUUGGUAAUUCUACCAAUUUAUUUGUUAUCUCCAUCUUUAGAUUGCGACAUGUGUCCAUCCAAUUUUAGUCCUCACUGCACCUCAUCUAAAUACCAUCAAACCUUAGCAGCGAGGAUGGUACUUGGAGAUCUAUGCAAAUAUUUAUAUAUAAAAAUUACAUUGAGAUAGUAGAGUGUGCUCACCAUCAUCAUAUCAUCAUCCAUCAAGUCGAUUCCACAUAAUGAUCUAUUUGUCACUUUCAACAUCCUGGGACCGACCCAAAAAAACAUCCUAGGGAUUAAAUGUUUCAAUUAAUUACGGUAGGAUAGAAGUAUUUUUCAUCAAGAACGGACAUUCAAGAAGUCUUGCUAGAUUGAUAGAUUGAUGUUGCAAAUGGUUCUCUUCUCAAGUAGCAUGAAAAAUUAUGCUACUCAAAUGUAGAGCCUCCUUUUUUCUAUUUUUUCAGCAGAUCUUCCAAAUCAAAUUACAGGGUUACAACUUUGAAAACUCACAGUACAAGUACAAAAAAUACCAAAUCAAUCAUCUAUUGACUUCUCGAUGCUCAUUAAAUCUGAUUCACAAAAUAGGUUGGGACCCAUUUUGCUAGCCCUACUAAAAUCUAAACAUUUUAUUAAAUUAAGGAUUUAUACAGCAUCCUAGUUCACAAAGAUGUGUUGCUGUUGACAAAUCGACAUUGAUUGAUUUUCAUGAACUCGUCGUCAUAUUGUCGACAUUCCCAUUAUAUACGAGCAAAGAGCGAACUUUGAUUUUUGAGCAUCAAGAGAUAAGACAGACUUAAAUAGAAUGCCAAAUAGCCCAAGUGUCACGUCCAAACCCCAAACACUUUUUUUUUUAACCCCAAACACAUUCAACUAUUGUUUUUUUUUUUUUUUUCCUUAUAACUUUCUUCAAAUAAUAUAAGAAUGUACUUUAUGGUUAAUGAUCAUAUAUAUCGCGGUUUAUGAAAGACUGUGCCACAUCGAUAGUUUUAGAUGUUAGUCCAAAUUCGAAAUACCAGGCUGAUGUUCGAGAUUUUAUUGGCCAUUCGGCAUUUCAUUUAUUACUCAUGAAGUCUAUCAUUGCAUGAAAUUUACUGAAAAUUAGAGAAUCUCACAAUACCAACAAAACAUCAAGUUUAUUCAACUUUUUUACCCUUGAUACACUCCACAUGUAGCCCAAUUUACAAAAUUCCACAAAAACCACUGCUUAGCAAAGACGAACAACAGCACCCAUCGGCCCAACAUGCUUUGCUCCAAGCAUAGAGUGACUCGAACUCGUCUUGUCUCCUUUUCAGUUUACCACAACCAGACAUAUUUAAUACAGUACCGUGAACAAGACAAGAUAGCGAUGAGAUCGGCUCAAUAGGCAUCAGGGUUUGCCAAGAGAUAAGCCUCGAUGGCCUUGAACAUCGCGGACGCCUUCUCUUUCCCAGCCUUGAUCUUCUCCUCAGUUAUGUCCGCCUCGCCAAUGGUGAAGUACUUGCUCGUGCUCUUGCACACCGAGCCUCCCUCGGCCGAUGUGGUGAUCUUCACCCCGUAGCUGAUCUUCUCGAAGGUGGUGCCCAGUGCGUCGCCCUCGAUGAUCGAGUAGCUGUAGGUGAAGUUCUCCUUGUCCAGGGCCUCGACCUUGUGCUUCAUUGUCUUGUACUGACUGCCUAUCAAGGUAACAAAAAGUAAUAUUCACGUUUGGAACUCGCUGGUUUCAACAUCACGGGCAAUGAUCUUGAUGGUGUCAAUUGGGCCAUUUAGGAUGUUCCAACUGCAAUCUGAUACGAUUGACUUAGACAUGGCCUGAUUUCCCUCGAUUGGAGUCAAGUCACGUGAUCACUUGUGUAAAGUUAUUCCCAUUGACCGCGAGAUAUCCAAGAGCAAAGUCGCUGCAUAUAUCUUGCAGCAUUUCUCCGAUGAAGCUGUUGUUCGAAAAGGUAACGAUCCCCAGAGAAGGGCUGUACUUGCCGAAAUCACGUGUUAUGCCUCCCGAGAAAUUGUUCUUGAACAAUGAGAUGGACCAUAAGUUAGCAAGGCGAGAGAUGGUCUCACAAGAAAAUAUUGUGUACACAAGCGAUGCUACGUCAUGGCUUUUCCUUCCCAGCCUAGAUCUGCUCUUCUUCAACCUGAAGUGCCUUCUUGCUGUUGUCCUUGCUCGUCAUCCUGCAGACUGACCCUCCGUCGCUGGUGGCCUCAAACUUGACCUCGUAAUCGAUCGACUGGAGCUUGUCACCCAGCGUGUCGCCCUCGAUCAUCAUGUUCCUACACAUGAAGUUCUACUUGUCGAGCUCAUCGAUCUGGUGCUCACAUGAAGUUCUACUCGUUGAGCUCAUCGAUCUGGUGCUUCACAUACUUGAAAUGACUAGCUGCAAUUACAUUAUGAAACUCCCUGCUCGAUGAGUGUUGAGUGUCCAUGCCUUCGGUGAAAUUUAACUUGCUCAAUGCUCCCGGCUCCACCGUCGCCUUGCACCAGCUCCACGCUCUUUAUGAACUGAGGCAGGAGCUUCGGGAUCAGGGUAUUUGACUCGACAAUCAAGGCCUUAAGAAUGCGAGCCAGAGCAAUCGGGCAUGUGAGCUCUUGUGUGAAGCUGGUUGCACCCAUGGCUAUUGGCAAUGAGAAAGAAAUAACCCCAGAGAAGAGUGCUUCUGAGUCCUGUCAAUGCCUCCUAAUUACGGUUGGAAUUAUGUCAAUAGGUAGGGUUGGUUUGGCAAGAGUCACGCUCGAGGAAAAAAGGAGAGUCAAGGAUUUGCAGCCUAAAGGAAUGGAAAAGAGGAAUAAAGGUGGUCUCUUUUGUUCUUUUGGUCAUGAAAAUGAUUUCGGUCCCUUUCGGAUUCAUGUUGAAAUGUCAAAGUUUAUGUUCCAAAAGAUGAACAUUCUAGUGCUCACAUGGGCGGCCAUCCCUUUGAAAUGAUUGUUGUGGAGUUCGAUCUAACAAUUUGCCGAUUAAAUAUUAUAACGAAAAUGUCCUUGUUUGAAGAAAAGUGUAUUAAUCAAAUUCUGUCUCAUUUAAUAUGUAGCAAACGAGAAUACUUUAUUAGUUGGUGAUAUCACGUUAACUUGUCGCGCAAUAUAAACAUCACAUAAUAUAUUUCUUCAUUUGUAAUGCCCUAAUGUCACGGUGGAUCUAAUUCAAAUGUAUGAAGUAAGGCCUUUUGAAAUCAUUUUCGUAACUUAGGGUUGAUUCAAACUUCACUAGCACCGACAGUUUGACUCAGUCAAAAUUGGGUCGGCAAUCGGGGUGUCCCAAGAUCAGCUCGUCGUCUAAGUUUUGGGGGAGGUGGAGGCUGCGGCUUUUCCGUUAUAUUUUGCUUCUCUUUCUCUUUUUUAUCAUUAUCAGUGUUGAAGCAUUUGAUCUCUAAUCCAAUGUCCCCAUCAAAGAUGUCCCCAUCAAAGAGGUAAGAUAGGAUUAGCUUAAAUAGAAUUUCAAAUAGCCCAAGCGUUACAAUAAGAUAAGUCCAAAACCUGAACACUUUAACUUUAUUUUUCGAUAGCGUUCUUGACAUAUAAUAAGAAUGUGCUUUUCUUUAAUGAUCAUAUGCAUAACAAUCUCUGAAAGAUUCUACCACAUCCAUAGUUUUAAGUGUUAAUCCAAAUUCAAAACAUAAGUUUGGAUUUAUUCAUUUGUUACUCAUGAAUUCUAUUCUUUUAUGAAAUUUAUUGAAAAUUAGAGAAUCUCAUGAUACCAACAAAAUAUCAAGCUUAUUCAACUUUUAUUCCCUUGAUACGCUAUUUAUGUAGCACAAUUUACAAAAUUCCACAAAAACCACUUCACCAGAUUCCUGCCACACCUUUCAUUCUCUUAUUCUCAGCAAAUACAAGAACAGCUACGCUCACCAGCCCCCACAAACUUUACUCCAAACACAAGAGUGACCCAAACUCUUCUUCUCUCCUUGUGAAUUUAGCACAACCAGACAUAUUUCACACAGUACAGUGAACAAUCCAAGAUAGCGAUGAGAUCUACUCAACAGGCAUCAGGGUUUGCCAAGAGAUGAGCCUCGAUGGCCUUGAACAUCUCGGACGCCUUCUCUUUCCCGGCCUUGAUCUUCUCCUCAGUGAUCUCCACCUCGCCGAUGGUGAAGUACUUGCUCGUGUUCUUGCACACCGAGCCUCCCUCGGGCGAUGCGGUGAUCUUCACCUCGUUGCUGAUCUUCUCGAAGCUGGUGCCCAGCAUGUCGCCCUCGAUGAUCGAGUAGCAGUAGGUGAAGUUCUCCUUAUCCAGGGCCUCGACUUUUUGCUUCAUUGUCUUGUACUGACUGCCUAUCAAAGUAAGAAAAAAUAAUAUUCACGUUUAGAACUCGCCAGUUUCAACAUCACGAGCAACGAUCUCGAUGGUGUCGAUCGGGCCUUUUAGGUUGUUCCAACUGCAAUCUGAUACGAUUGACUUAGUAGACAUGGCCUGAUUUCCCUCGAUUGGAGUCAAGUCACGUGAUCACUUGUGUAAAUCAAUGGUUAGAAACAUCUUUAAUUGAUCAAGUUACAUAUCUAUCCUUUUUAAUGUUCAUUAUGAUGUUCCAUAAGGUUGAAACAGCCUUGAUCCAGAGCGAUCCUAACACGGACGGACUAACCUUCGCCGAAAGUGAUCAACUUGACGGUCCCGGGACCUCCGUCGCCCUCGAGGACUUCGACGCUCUUGAUAGCUUGCGGGAGCACCUUCAGGAUGAGGUUAUCGGCGUCGAGGACAGCGGCCUUGAACAUCUUGGCCGGAGGGAUUGGGGUCGUGAUCUCGCAGUCGUAACUGACGACACCCAUGAUUUGGAUCCGAAUGGAGUUGCCGAAAUAGAGAAGAGAGUGAUCAGGAAAGGCUGACUAGCAGUGAUGAAGUUGGUCUCUAGGACUUGGGAGUGAGGAGAAGAGGAUGAACCGAAGCUGACAUAUAUAGAGAGAUCGAGUGUGAAGGGUUCUGGUCAUUGGAUAUUUCCUUCAAGUGUGUUUGUUUGGUACAAAAUAAAAAAUUCAAUAACUAUUUGUAUCAUAUGGUAUAUUUAUUUGAUGAUAAAUUUUUGCAUUAUUGACAGUAAUUUAUAUUUAAAUAUUUUCGUGGAAGAUGAAAAUAUUUUUAUUUAUUCUUUUUGUAAGUUAUACGGAAAAAAUAUUUUUUUACAAAACAAAUGAAGCUUAAUAAAAAAAAUCUUAAUCAGUCUGUGGGUUGUUCACUCAUGACAUGGACCUUGAUCAUAAAAUAAAAUGUCUAUAUGAUAAUGGAAUAUUAGUCAGAGAAGGCACCAUCCUAGAAUGAUACCAAACGUUCUUCCAUUUCCCUUUCAUGUAUAGACUUGACUUUUGAUCCAGGAGCAUUUGCUCAGCAAAUUCUCUUGGCUGAGCUUCACUGAUUUCUUACAUAGUGUUACUAUCAUAGAAAAUAUCAAGCCCUUAGCUGCAUAUGGUCACGAUCCACCCAGAUCUCAUCCUACUUUGCUUCAAUCCGUUCGCAAAAGUAGCAAUCUUUAAGGUUGGUAGAGGCCUCGGGAAGAAUUAUCAUCGAUUUCAUACGUACAAAUAAUAUUCGCUUAAGCCUGUGCAGUAGAAAAACUCGAAAAAUUGAGGCACAAUUUUUCCUGCUGGGUGAUCUCGGUGCUUCAUGUUUCUGUUGAGCUUCCAUCUAAGAAAAAGUACAGAGUGAUCUCAAUGUUGCACUAAUCCAAUUUAGCAGAAAAAGAUGGGAAAGGUAGUUUGGUAAUUACAAGGCUUUGUUACUUUUAGUCAACAAAGGCUGCUCUGAAAAUCAAGAUGGACGUCUAUAGAUUUUGAAUUUUUCUACUUGCUUUCAUGUGUCUAGUCCUUUUAAAUAAUAUUAUUGCGAACCAUUUUCUGCUAAUUGUCUGGUGGAAGUGUGGUGGAUCAAGCGAGAUUGGCUCACGCGUCACUUGCUCAUUAAACAUUUUUUAAUUUUCCUUUUCAUCUAACGGUAUAGCAACGUAGAUUUUUAGAAACGCUUUCUUCGUAUCUAAUUUUCUUCUUUUGUCUAGUUCAUCUUGUGGUAGUCACGGACCAUGUGAACGUAUAGUAGAAUGUCCAUGGGCGUUAGAUCAGAUUAAUUAAUGAAUUUCGUCGCAUUGAGACAAAAUUGAUUAAACUUGUCAAUCAUCUCACUGCGACGGAAGAGUCGGAAACUAUUAAUGGAUAACAACAGCAUAUGUUUUCAGAGGAAAGUAUUGGAGAGGGGCAUGGAUGCAUUGCUGAAGUUAUUUAAUGAGCAUGUCAUAUGUACUAAAUUAAUCUAAAUAGCUAAAUUUGAUGGAAUUCAUAUGAAACCUAAAUGAAACUCAUUGAAAUUAAAAGUCCAAAUUUUGCUUUAUAUAAAUACGACGCUAGUUCAUUCUCGAGUCUUUAUCAAAAUUGCGUUGUAUGUCAUUGAAUGUGAACCUCCCUUCCCUAUGAUCAACUCAGAUUUCUCGUACUUCAUCGACUUCCUUGUUUCGCUGUUGAAGCACCAGAAUCACAGCAAUUGAAGUCACCAGAAGGAGCUCACAUCAAUAAGGACCUUUUCCCUAUGGUCGGUCGAUUUACUGUUCAUCCCACAAGGAGAUAACCCCGUCACGUUUUCACACAAGCCCGGAUUUGCGAUAAAAGCGCUUUUCGGUGCUUGUUGGAAGAGGCGACCACUAGGAACUGCACCUGUCAGCUCAUUGUACGAUUAGUCUACGGAGCUUAAACAAGUUAUGUGUCCAUUUCUUUCAAUGUUCAGUAUAAUGUUCCAUAAGGUUAAAACCACCUUGAUCGAGAGCGAUCCUAAGUUCCUAAUAUGGAUGGACUAACCUUUGCCGAAAGUGAUCAACUUGAUGGUCCCGGGACCUCCAUCGCCCUCAAGGACUUCAACGCUCUUGAUGGCUUGUGGGAGCACCUUGGGGGUGAGGUUAUCGGCGUUGAGGACAGCGGCCUUGAACAUCUUGGCCGGAGGGAUCUGGACGUGAUGCAGAGUCGUAAGUGAUGACACCCAUGAUUGGAUCCGAACUGAGCUGCUGAAACUGAGAAGGGGGUGAUGAUCAGGAAAGACUGAGUAGCAGUGAUGAAGUUGGUCUCUAGGACUUGGGAAUGAAGAGAACAGGCUGAACCGAAACUGAUAUAUAAAGAGAGAGAGACUAAGUGUGAACGGCUUUGAUCAGUGAAUAUUUUGCGAAACAAACAAAGCUUAAGAAAUAAAAAAUUAUUCCGUGGAUUAUUCAGAUUAUGACAUGCCCCUUUUUCCUAAUAUAAAAAUGUCUAUAUGAUAAUAGAACAAACCGUUGGAUGAGAAUAUUGGGGAGAACUGGGCAACAAUUUACUAAUAACGAAACAUAAUUUAGCAUCAAUUUCUCCUCUAAAACUAAACCAAUCGAAAUCAACUCAACCCCAACGACCACCAGCAAUUUGUAAUACCAAAAUGACAAUAAGACAGAGCCAACAACGACACUAAGGUUUUAACAUGGAAACCAAUACGGAAAAAAUCACAUACCCUCCUCACUAACAGUAAUAGGAUACACAAAACAUUAUUUUCUAAUCACACAUUAGAGACUCGACAUCAAUAAUAUAAUCAUAUUUUCUCAUUCCAAAGAUAGAUUAACAUAAACGGAGCAAGAAAACCCUAAUUGGUUGGAGAAUCUGGAGGGGGUUAUUAUCGAAUGAAAUCAAUCAAUUCGUAGUCCUUGGUUUUACGAAACAACAUUCAAAUUUGAGCAAAUUCCGUCGGCAUCUUGCGUUCGAAUCGGGACCGAAAAGAUUGUGCCCUUUCUUUAGGAACGCAGAGAAAGAAGAGCCCAGGACACAGACAACAAUUACCCACUCACUAAGUCCCGAAAAGCAUAGACGAGCGAAAUGCUUCACGAAUUAACCUAAGAGCAACAGAAACACGCCGAGAUAGAAAAGAAGCCGACGCCCCAAAUUGCAAACUUCUUCGACCCCCCCCCCCCCCCCCCCCAAAAAAAAAAUUUCCAAAAUGAAACCUGAAAAGUGGUGAUUAAGCCCGGAGGCGGGAGGGGGGGGGAAGGGAGCCCCUUGAUGUCCAAAUGGGCGUCCCCGGUGGCGAGGAGCCCCGAGGGGGGGGGGGGGGUGGAAACCUAGGGUUAGGACGGGUUUGGCCUCAUGCCAAUUGAUCUGGACCGUGCCUCCCUUCAUAUCUUCGCCGGCCGCUCCGCCGCUUCCUUCCUUCCUUCCUUCCCUCUCUCUUUGAAAUCGAAGCCUUCUUCCUUCAUUUCUCAUGGAACGAAAUCGAUCAAUUCGUGGAAUUCGUGAUAUUCGUGCGCUCUCCCCAUUCUGCGGAGAGAUUCCCGACAAAUCGACCAGUGCUGAGGUUCAUAAAGACCAGAUCCGGGUAAACUCCGAACGCACUCGUGAGAUCUGCAGUGAACAGAUCACCUUCUAGACGGACUCUCGUUAGCCCCGGACAAUCCCUCAAGCAAUCGGGCAGCAGCCCGGUGAAGUUGUUCCCAUAAACCGCGAGAUACCGAAGAGCGAAGCCGCCGCACAAAUCCGGCGGCAGUUCUCCGGUGAAGCUGUUGUUGGAAAAGCUAACAUAGCCCAGACGAUAUGGAUUCGCAGAAAUCACACGGUAUGCCACCCGAGAAAUCGUUCGUGAACAAAAGAGAUGAACUGUAGGUUUGUCGAUCGUCGUUUCAGUACGGCGAGUGUAGAGCCAAAAAAAAGGGGAAGAAAGAUGACACAAUUGGCUAUGACAUUGAGUGACAGUUUAUUGCUGGCCUCCCCCACGUAAGUAUGUCACGAGGCCCACCCUUCAUGGCUCAAGUUCAUGAAAACAAACUAAUAAAAAAAAGACCCAAAACGUCUGCACUACCAUCCUCGCGGAAAUCCAACCAAAAAAAGGAAAAGAUUAAAAAGGCAACCAUCCCAUACAAAAGCAUUCGCCACACGCUACUAAAAAUUAACCACACAGAGACUCACUAGUCUCAGGGUUCGCCUGGAGGCAAGCCUCGAUGGCCCCGAACACAGUGAAUGCCUUCUCUCUCACGGCCUUUAUCUUCUCCUCGGUGAUGUUUAUGUUGCCCCUGGCGAAGUAUUUGCUGGCGUUUUUGCACACGGAGCCUCCCUCCGGUGAUGCGGUGAUCUUCACCUCGUAGCUGGUGUUCUCCAAGGUGUUGGCCAGCAUGUCGCUCUCGAUGAUCGAGUUGAAGUAGGAGAAAUUCCCAUUGUCCAGGACCUCAACCUUGUGCUUCACUGUCUUGUUGCAAUGACCUAUAAAAGACGCAAAACGUGGCAAAUCACAUCUGAGAAGCCACCGGUUUCAAAAAUCGCGAGCACUGCUUUGCAACAUGAUUGACUCACGACAUCACGGUGUCAAUGGUCAGGAACAUUUGAAUUAACCAAGUAAACUUACUAACCUUCGCUGGAAGUGGUCUCCUCGAUGAGCUCGGCACUCUCGAGGACUGGCAAGAGGACCCCGGAGAUGAGGUUUUCAGCCCUGACCAAGACCUCGAACACCUUGGCCGGGGGGAUGGAGGGCUUGAUCUCGGUCUUGUAGCUGAAGUGUCCCAUGAUUCUCUGCUCGAAAAGAAUUUGCUGAAAGCUGAGAGGGAAGUCUUGAUCUAGGAUUUCGAAGCUAAGACCCCAUGUGUAUAUAUAUAUGCGCGGGAGAGAAAACUUUGCGGACCUGCUUUGGGUCCAUUUCAGAGGAAAACCAAGCAAUCGCGUGCUUUGGGUUGAAAUUCUUCUACCUACAUGAUCGAGUCACUGUCGAGUCUCGACUUUUGGAAUGUGUAAGAAAAAGCAAAACAAUGGUUGAAAUUCUUCUACGCACACGAUCGACUCACUGCGAAGUACUCGACUUUUGGAAUGUAUGGGAAAAAGCAAAACGAUACAGAGGCUAGAGUUUUUUUUUUUUUUUUUUUUGGUCUGUUCCAUAGGAAAACCAAGCAUUCGCGUACUUUUGGUUGAAAUUCUUCUACGCACAAGAUUGGAACGUGUGGGAAAAAGCAAAACAAUGGUUGAAGUUCUUCUACGCACAAGUAACUGUCAAGUACUUAACUUUUGGAAUGUGCGGGAAAAAGCAAAAAGAUAGAGGCUAGAGUUUUUUUUUUUUUUGGGUCCGCUUCAGAGGAAAACCAAGCAUUCACGUACUUUUGGUUGAAAUUCUUCUACGCACACGAUUGCAAUGUGUGGGAAAAAGCAAAACAAUGAUUGAAAUUCUUCUAAGCACAAGUAAUUGUCAAGUACUCAACGUUUGGAAUGUGUGGGAAAUACCAAAAUGAUACAGAGGCUAGAGUUUUUUUUUUUUUUUGGUCGGUCAUAUUUUAAUUCUUAAAUUUUUACUUUGCUUCAUUGUAGAGCGUGAAAGUCGAAACCCACACUUGAAACUAAAUCGUCAUCUGAAAAUGUGGGAAUUUGAACCCCCACAUUCCCUUUCUAUAUUGAAAAUGUGGUCACAAAGACAAAUCCUAGUGUUUACAGGCUAGAGUUGGAAAUAUGUUAUUAAACACAUUCCUUUUAUAGUCUCCCUUCAAAAAUCCCGUAAAAUAAAUAUGCAUGGUCUAAAAUACUCUUAUCUUGUAAUUUGAAAGUCAAAACUCAACAAAAAUCAAAUCAAAUCGAGUACUCAACUUUUGGAAGAAACAAAGUAGGUUACGUCUAGUACUGAAAGGGAAGUCUCGAUCUAGGAUUUAAAAGAUAAGACGCAUAUGUAUAUAUAUGUUUUCGGGUCCUUCUAAGGGGAAUACCAAUUAUCGUUGUUGAGUAGCUCUGCGGGGUCCUUUUGAGGCCAAGAUUGGGUCGGCUUUUCUCUUAAAAAGGCAGAGAACAUGCCAUCCCAAGUCAUAGCGCACUCAUUACGACUGGAUUUCCAACCCAUCACUCCACUUCUGGAUGGAGGGAAUCAAGACUUUUGGAAGAAUGUGUGCACUCGACUUUUGGAUGGAAGAAAUGAAGAAUUUUGGAAGAAUGUGUGAUGGGGAGCGUGUGCAAUUGCCCACACGUGAUGGGAACGUGAGGCAUGGAACUUGUUGCCAAACAAGUCAAUCAAAGAUGCACCAAUUUGAGAACAAGUAAUAAAAGAUAAAAGAAAAUCAAAAUCACAUGAGACGCAAAACUUACGUGAAAAACUCAAAACGAGAAAAAUCAUAGGAAGAGAGAAGAGUCUCAUUAUUUUCAAUAAAGAGCACGAGAAUAUAAUCCAAAAAACUCUAAAACCACUUGAUGAGCCACGAGAUUUGAACAUCUAGCAAGAAGAUAGGAAAAAACAAAACAGGAAACUAUACAGACGCUAGAGUUGGAGAUGUGUUAUAAACACGUUCCUUUUAUAGUCUCCCUUUAAAAAUCCCUUGAAAUAAAAAUGUAUGGUCUAAAAUAUUCUUAUAUCUUAAUUUGAAAGUCAAAACUCAACAGAAAUCAAGUCGAAUCGAGGACUCAACUUUUGGAAGAAACAAAGUAGGUUACGUCUAGUUCAACUUUCUCAAGUAGCUUGGGGGAAAUGUAAAGUAAUGUAAGCCUAAAGGGUUUUGGCAAAAUGUAAAGAUUGUUUGAUAAAAUAUGUUUUGAGAAGUAGCUUUGACAUAAAUGUUGGUUGAUAUAAAAUAUAUUUAAAAAAACUCAUUUGGAUGAUUAAUUUAAACUGUUUUAAUUAAUUAGGGGUUGGAUUUUUUUUAUUUUUUUUAUUUUUUGGUCUGAGGGGUUGGAUACUUUGGGUACUAUUGUGUGGUGUUCUCGAGUGCCCGAGAGUACCUGUAAGUUUUUGUCCAUAGUUAAAGUCUAGAGAGAGAAAUAGAGAGUGCAUCUGCCUUUUAAGGCUUCUGAUGAUUGGAGAUUUUCUCUAAUCAAAUAAUUCAAUUUAAUAAUUUAAAUAGAGAGAGAGAGAGAGUUUGUGCAUAUCUUUAAUAGGCGUCAUAAUUAGAGAGAGAGCAGAGCAGCGCAGAGCAGAGCAGAGCAGAGAUUUUCUCUAAUUAAAUAAUUCAAUUUAAUAAUUUAAACAGAGAGAGAGUAUGUGCAUAUCUCUAAGAGGCAUGCCAUAAUGAGAGAGAGAGAGAGAGAGAGCAAUAUGGACUAAGCAUCCAAUCUCUUCUACUUCUACUAAUGAAGAAAUAAUUUGACCUCGUCACUUCACAACACAUUCCGGGCUGAAUAAUGGAGCUUUGGGGACAUGGUGGUGAAUAACAAGUGAUAUAGAAGAGAUGAUACGCUAUUAAAUUAUUGUCUCAAGUUUAAGUCCGUGUACAAGAUUCGACUUGAUUUGAAUAUGUAGAAAACCGAAUCUAUUAGGAAAAAAAAAUACCAAUAUCACAUUUGGUAUUUGAAUUAUAAUUUAUCUUGAAAAGAAUAUUCACGUUAUAUAUACUGAGACGAGUUUUUUGUGCAUUCCCCCAAAAGUCAAACCCCCACAGUAACCCCCUUUUUCUCUAACUCCCGCACCCUAUUUCCAUAUAUAUGGAUCUUCACUUCCAAAUCCGAUCGAGAUGCUGAUAAAUACUAAAUAGUGUUCGAAUGGGGGGGGGGGUGGGGGGUGGGGGGGUGGAGACAUUGCUUGCUGAUUCAUGUUGUGAAAUGCGUGCUCUCUUCUUCUUUUCGCUAAGAAGCUGACGAGUAACAACAGAGAAAGGAAUAUGUCCCCGUAUCGAUAAACUCUCGGUAGAUAGGAAGAUACAAUUAAGACGCAAUCAAAACGACAAGGAUGAAAGCGAGGUGAGAGAUAAAAUUAAGGCGAAAAGAUAAAACAGACAAAGGCGCGAAAUACUGCAGCAUCUUAGCGUAAAGAAGAAAGAAGAGAGAAGUUGGCACCCAAUUGAGGUAUGUUGUCCGUGAGGAGAUGAGUGUUUCAAGACUUGAGGUAAUUUUCCAUGAGAUUGAACACUGUGAGCUUGGGUGCAAUUUAGGGGUGAGAAACAUUCAAACAUUUAGUCGAUUGUAACUCUUUGAUUCUCCAAUUGUUAGUGGAUUAUUUUCUCUUCCCCAACUGACACUUAGACCGAAUUACGUAAAUCUUAUUAGUUUCCGCGUUAUAUCACAGCAACAACAACUGGUUUGAAAAGUGGCGUCAAAGUGUUUAUGCUAGAAAUCUUGGGGUGGAACAAAUUGUGCUAAAGUGAUUUGAAAAAAUUAUGCCAUGAUUUUUACAAGAUGUUUGACAAGUAUUUUUAAUUACAACAUUCAGAAUUUCUACCACCUCAACUGUUGUCUCACCCACUUUGAAGGAGUCGCAUGUAUUACUGAACACAAAUUAUAACACUUCAUGCCAAAAUAUAGUUACAGUUCAGUCACGAUUAUAAUUUUUCUUAAAGAGAUGGGAGAAUGUAAACAUAAACCAUGAUGGGAGACAGAAAGAUUGAGCCAACAUGCAACAUCAACUCAAUUGAAAGCAUCAGGGUUUUGCAAGAGAUGGGCGUCAAUGGCCAUGAACAUUCCCAUGGCCUUCUCUUUGCCGGCCUUGAUCUGCUUCUCCGUGAUCUCGGCCCCGUCCUUGGCAUAGUACUUGCUCGUGCUCUUGCACAUGCAUCCUUGGCUAGCUGCAAGGCACGGAAAACCACAAUCAACUCCUAAGCGUUGGUCUCAUUUAAACUGUCGGUGAAUGUCUUGAGACCCAUGUUGAUGCGGUGCGAUUAAAAUGUGCGAAGUGGGUGAAAUUGAAAGAUGCGCGAGGACUAGCCUUCAUAGAAAGCGACAUACUUGAUGAUUGAAAUGCCCUCUAAAUGAUUCUCAAUCGCCUGUUUAGUAAUCUAAAUCGCCAUCACAAUAGAUAAAUCAUAUAAUAGAGAAAGAGUACUAAAGACAUGGAUCUCAAGCCCAAAUGAUACUUAUUAGCAAGCGAGUGAUCGUUUGAAUUUUGAUGCUCUUGAGGGUGGGAAGUCACUAAAUUAUUAACUUUUUUCCAACACCGGUUGGGUUCCAUGGGAUUGUUUCCACUAUAGAGAUAAAAAGUUAGCAUGCAAGUUGUCGCGACCUAUCCCUCGGGGGGAGGGAAUAGGUUUAGAGAUAUUGCCUAAAAGAUGGACUUAAGGCUCAAGAUUGGGUGAGAGCUCUCCCAAACCUAUACUUCGCGUGACAUUAGAGUGUUUUUAAGAAUUUUUCAAUGAGUCACCACCACUAGCCUAUUGGGGUUAGCUAAAAACCAAGUAAGGCAUGUGAGUAGAUCUCGCUUCCUACACAACUAGAGAAUCUAGGGUCGAUAACUUGAUUACAUUAAUUAAUCAAUUAAUGCUCUUUCGAUACCUAAUCUUAUUUAUUUUAAAAGAAAAUAUUUUUGUCAAGUAGUGGAUUAAUUUUAUACUUAUCCACUAACAUGUGAAGUGAUCAUGCAAAUACACAAUCAUUAAAGUAACGGUCAAUAACCAAGAAAGUAUUAAAUAAAUUACAAGGAAAAGCAAUAAUCUAACAUAAAUAAUAAUAAUAAUAAUAAUAAUAAUAAUAAUAAUAAUAAUAAUAAUAAUAAUAAUAAUAAGAAAAAUUGACAUUCCUAACUAGGUUAAAGGGAAAUCACAAUCAAUAUAUUGAAAGUGCACCAUCAUUUGAUAAUUUGUCUCAAGAAGGGAAAUAUUAGAACCCUAUUGCAAGGCCUUAAGAGUUUGUUCAAUUUUGAGCCCUAUUUUGGUCGAUGAUUUUCCCACACUUUAAGAGAAAACUGUUCAAAAACAAAUAAAAAAAUUCGAAAUUUUUUUAAAUAUAUAUUUUUUUGCAAUUUUUUUAUUCCGAAAUAGCAACUCGGGCCGGGCCCUCGGCCCGAUUCAAAAGUGGGUCGGGUAAAGAUUCAUGGGUUUGGGCAAUGAACACUAAAAGCCAAAUUGAAGAAGUGGGUUCAAUGACUUAAAUGCAUUCGAAAAAGGGCCAAGAUCAAGCCCAAAUUUAUCAAAGGAAAACACUUAAUCCCCUUUACACUAAGAUCACUUUAAAACAACUUCCAGCACAUCCUAAAUAAGCCCAGCUCCGAAAUUAGCCCACUUACUUGACCUAUCCACAAACUCCUUCUUAGGCACCAAAAUAACCCCUGAACAGCAGCUUCUCUUUCUGCGACUCCUCCUUCCCGAAGUCAUUUUUACCUUUUCAUAGUUUACUUUUUUUUUUUUUGCUUGUUUUCUUUUUUAUUCUUUAUCCUUUUUUUUUUUUUUUACUUCAUCCCUUCCCCUUCCCUGCACCUAUCUUCUUCCUCGACGACUCCCUCCGAAAUGGGUUCCCUUGCCGAACCAUAACCAAAAUAAAACCACGUCCGACGAGCCCUCACCAAUGUUUGGGAUCGCCGCCAAACCACCAUCGGGCGUCGGUCGUUCAGUCCGACCGAUGCCGGCCACGGCCGUUGGCCGAGACACGGCUCGGCCCCCACCGAGGUUAGCCGAGGGACGAAACUCGGCCUGAACGACCGGGUACCAUUCAACAUAGCCCUGAUACCGACAUCCUCCAAUACCUAACGGUGCCAUCACCGGUCACCGUCCCUUUCCCGGCACCAUCCACGACCAACCCAUAGAAAGAACAAAGAAAAUAUAUGCAGACCUAGCCUAGACAUAAUGUCGAGCACCUGUGUGCGUCGACUGAAAAGCUAACGAAAACUCAACUGGGAGAUGAAUCAACAGUCAAGGCAGAAGCAACAACCAAGCAAAGUCUAAGACAACAAAAUCGCAGCUCACCGGGAUCGGAGACUCGUGCGGGCCAGAGAACCGCGAGCUCCGGUCUGGUGAACUAGAAAAAUCUGAAUAAAAGGAGGUGCUCGGGUGACGGGGCCCUACUCGGCUCGAUAACGGCGGCCUGCAAGCAGGUUCGAAAUGGCACGAACCGUGGCCGACCACCCUAGUGUCAUCAAGACGAGAUCAUCGGGUUAAAGGGGACUGAACUCGAAAGGAGACUUACCGGAAGAAUGGAUGCCGGGAGGCGAGGUCACGGGCGCGGCCGAGCUUCUUUCCCGCUCUCUCCUAUCAAUUUCUCGCUUUGCUCUCACUCACGAUGCUCUGUCCCUCCGACUUUCUCCUGGUUCGGUCUCUCUCCAGCUCUCUCCCCUUCAAGCUCUCUCCCUCUGUCUUGCGGUGCUUCUGUUCUCUCCUCCCCCCCCCCCCCCCCCCCCCCCCAAAACCCAUUUUUUGCCCCUGCCUCCGGCUGUUCCCCCUGCUCCGCUCUGCUGUUCUGCUUUUCUUCUUUUUUACAGGCGCGCGAGGAAGGACUGCAGGAGGAGGACGACCAGCUGGCGGGCCGCGAGGAAGGCGGAGCUGGGCCUCCGUGGGGGAAAGAAAAGGAAGAGAUGGACCGCGCCCAGGCCCGCGCGGGGGAAGAAGAAAGAGAGGCGGGCCGGGCUAAGGUCGGAUCCGGCCCGACCCGGCCUCUCUUGUUCGUUUUUUAAUUAAUAAUUUGUUAAAUAAUAAUAAUUUUAAUUUUUUUAAAUUUUUUUAAAUUAAUUUUUUUUUACCAAUUCCUAACUUUUAAUGCUUUUAAGUCUUAAGUAAAAUUGGCAAAAUUUAGGUGUCAACACAAAUAAUAUAAAAGCACAGUAUAAAUUUGAUUCUCCUAAUCAAUGAGUAUAAAUGAGAAUAUGGGGGUGAAAAAAAUGUUACAAGAACUAAAACGUGGACUUUUCGAGAAGCUCCAAUAACAGAAAUGUCGCAUAUUCGGCAAGAUGCAAGUACGUCCAUCCAUCGAGAUGUAGUUUUUGGAGAAAUUCACAAACAGAUAUUGAAUGAAUAAAAACGUUUAGAAAAAUGUCAUAAAUAGCUUUUUUAGCUCAGUUAAAUAGAGCUUACUUUAGUAAGCGAUAGGUCUUGACUUUGAAUCUCAACGAGAUCCUUUGUACUAUGACUCGUAAUUUUUUUUUUUUUUCACAUCCAAUAUACUUCGUAACAAUUUUUUUGAUAAACAAAACUUCGACCGAGCCAAAAAAAUUAGUCACUUAAUAUAUGAUAGAGCCAACAUAUACAUACUAUAUGUGUGUGUGUGUGUGUGUGUUUUCUUAGUACAAAUGGUAAUACGAGCACCCAAUUAGUAGGGGGGAGGUUGAGUUCGACUCUCAACGAGACAAUUUGUCAUUCAAAAUUUUUCAUAACGAUUUUUUUUAUAAACAAAAAAUUCAAUUGAGCCAAAAAAUUUGUCACUUAAUAUAUCAUAAAGCCAACAUAUACAUGUAAUUCAUUUUUCUUGGUACAAAUGGGGAUACGAGCACCCAUUUAUUAAGCAGGAGGUUUUGAGUUUGACUCUCAAAUAAGUUUUCUUUUUUGUAAAUUCAAAAUUCUUCAUUACAAUUUUUUUAUUAAAAAAAAGAUCGACCGAACCAAAAAAAUUGUUAGUUAAUACAUCAUAGAGCCAACAUAUACAUACAAUAUAUUUUGUUUCAUUUUCUUGGUACAAAUGGGAUACAAGCACCCGUUUAGGGCGCGUUUGGUAACGCUUUUAUUCCCGGGAACAAUUUUUUAUCAUAACUGAUUCUUUUUUAUUCUGUUUCCGAAAGCAAUUUCUAAGCAUUUUAAGCCGUUUGAUAAUUGUUCAAAAUUUCAAUUCUCAAAAUAGAAUUGCGUUUGGUACAAUGUUUAAAAUUUUUAUUCCAAAUCAUUUUCUUUUAAUUUUUAAAUAAUUUUAUUACUUUUUCCCUUUUUUUCUUUUCUCUCUCAUAUUCUUCUUCUUCAAGUGGCCGGUCGCCGAGUCGAGGGCCGGCAAUCUCACUGGAGCGUUGCCAACCCUCGGUGAGGCCUGUCCUUGUCAGCCGAGCCUCGCCAGCAACUAGGCAAGGCUUGCCCAGCCUCGCCAGUGGCUAGGCAGGCCUUGACGGGGCUGGGCAAGCCCCACCGGUGGCUAGACGGGCCUCACCUGUGGCUGAGCAGGCCUCGCUAGGGUUGGACGAGGCUCCUCUCACUAGUGGUUGGGCUUGCCUCCGGCGAGCUCGCUAGACCUCACCCUGGCUUGGCGAGCCUCCAACAAGCUCGCCAAAUCGGUUGUCGGCGACCAGUGAUGGUGGGUGGCGGACGGCAACCGCAACGAUGGAUGAAGAAGAAGAAAAGGGAAGAAGAAGAAGAGAAAAUAUGGGCUUGAUUCUUGGAUUUGUUCUCUGAAACAAAAAACAACUUUUUAUUUAUUUUUUAUUCCGUUCCAAAACCACUUCCGGGAACAAAAAAAUAAAAAUUUGUUCCCAGGAACAAAAAUUUUACCAAACACGGUUCCGUUCCAAAACUACUCUCAAGAACAAAAGAAUAAAAUUUGGCACUGUUUGGCCGAUUACCAGACAGGCCCUUAGCAAGCCAAAGUUUUGAGUCCGACUCUUAACGAGAGCAUUUGUCUUGUGACUUAUAAUCUUUCUUUCUUCUACAUUCAAAUUUUUUCGCAACAACUUUCUUUGUAAACAUUCAAACUUCUGUCUUCUUGAUGCUGUUAAAAUCAGGGAUACGGAACUCUAGUGCGAAUGGAACUCACUGCGGUGAUGCUAACGAAUCCCACUGGAAUAUGCGGAGGACGGAAAAUCUUAGAGCUGGGGAAAAUGAAUGGGUUUGGGAUUAGAUCCGGCUUGGUUAUUGCCCCGGAGCUGACUCACCCAAGCCAUUAGAAAAGAGAACUCUAGAAAAAGAAUAAUGACCAAUGUUCUUUAUUGUUCAAGCAGAGACAUUUUCUAUCGGCUAAACCUUAUGCUUCUCACAUUCAAUGCUUGUGUUCCAUCUGAAGUUAUUUCUUACCACAUAAUUGUCGACAACCUAAUUUGACCAAUAAAUGCAGUACAUCUAUAUAGUAUCUGGAGAGGAGCUGUUUCUGCUAGCUAAGGAUUACAUCAAGUAUCUUUUUGGUGGAUGUCUUAGUGCUAGGUUAACCCGUGCGAUGCCCCAGUGAGGAAGAUUUUACAAGGAGCUAACAGAGAAGAAAGAGGUUGAUCAGUAUUGGUUAGUGUUGAAAAUUGAGAUCCAUUUUCUAAAACUAGCUAAUUUCUUCUAUUGUAAUCUAGAAGCUCCUAAGUAAAGGUUUUGGUAGUAGAAGUUGUGGUCUAAAAAUGUCCAAGUUAGAGAUGUUUGGAUGAAUGGCCGUGGACAGUUGUAAAGCAAAAAAAUCUCUGACAAAAGCAGAGAUCUUUCCUUGAAGAAUACUGUGGCUGACUUUAUGAGUAAAGCAAGAACUAGUUUGUGUAAGGUGGUGGAAACAUUAGAUAAACUCCACCCACGUGAACAUCCCAUCUUACAAUUAUGUAACGCCACAUUUCUAUCAACUAAAUAAACGAUAUUCUUGUCUCAUAAAUCUUUUUCUAUUUUCCUCAAAGUAUUCAUCCUUGUCCAUUCCCCUACAUCAACUAUACCAUAAACAUAUACAUUUACACAUACAAACAAAAAGAUAUCAUUGAUAUCAAAGUCAUGCUUCGGCACAAUCUCACCAUUUCCAACGGUUAGAGAAGGCGAUAAUUAAUAUCCCGACCUAGUGGGACGGUCCUGAGAAGUAAAGGCGCAGGGACAGAAUAUAGACAAGAUUUGUCUUCCAGCUAUGAUGAUGGCCUCUGAACAAUUCAUCUUCGUCUUCCCCAGUCAUUUUAGAUGGAAUGGCGAUAUCAUUCCACGGUUCUAGUUUUGCAGUGAUCCAAAGCUUGAUCUUGCUAGACGAUGAGAAAGCUGUCUUGUGUAGUUGUUACACCAUCUGUCAUGGAAUUUUCGUGCAAAAUUUCACAAGAACAAGGUCAGAUGAAUGAAGGAUUGAAGUCUAUGUCAUUCUGUUUUGUUGCAGUAUGAAUGACUGAGUUCAAGUUGAUUCAAAGCGUUAGAGCAAUUGGGACUUGAUAGGCUGCUUCAUCGGGUGAGGACUUCUUCGUUCCAACUUUUUCUCUCCCUUUUGAUUCGUUUUCAUUUCUGCUAUUGAUUUUGUCAUUUUGAGCUUAGGUUGCUACCUAAUAGGCAGAAUUUUUGUAACAUUUGAUAUGAUAUGCAGAUACACAUUACUUGUGUAUAUCUCGAAAAUUCCCACUUUUAGACACUGCUUUUGGCUGGCUUCUAAAAAAUGCCCUUCUAUUAAUCUUCCGAGCGUUAAAAACUACAAAUAAAAACUAAAAAAGUCAGAUUGUGAGAGCAACUUCUGUUUGCUCUUUCUUUUGUUUUGCAUUGCAUAUUGGUCCUUCACCUAUUUUGUAUGCUGACAGCUAAUUAUAAACACCAAGUUGCUUCAAAGGUCAUAUUUGAAACGAGCAUAUACUGAAAUGUAGGGGCAAAAGAAAUUAUGCAGGUUCUCGAAACUCUGGUGGUUGACCGUGGGGACAUCACCCGACCCUGGUAUGUUGAGCUUUUUGAUGGCGAUGAUUUGGCCGCUGGCCAGUUCGGCCUUGUAAAUGCUCCCAAACCAGCCCUUUCCGAUGCAGUACUUUUCACUGCAGCCAUUGGUAGCCUUGGCGAUGUCAUUGAAUGUGAACUUUCCUUCCCUUCCCCAUAUGAUUGACUUGGAUUGCUCUUGCUUCACAAGACUCUUGAUCUCUUCUUUGAAUUCCUUGUUUCACCACCGAACUGCCAGAAUCAUAGCAAUUGAAGUCACUAGAAGUAGUAAACAGCAGACUCCCAGGGUCACACCAAAAAGAACCUUUUCCCUAGGUCGGUCAAUUUACCGCUCGUCCCACAAGGAGAUAAUCUGGUCGCGUUUCCACACAAACCUGGACUCGCGAUUAAAAAACUUCCCUGUGCUUGUUGGGAGAGGCGACCACUACGAACCGCACUGAUUGGCUCGUUGUACGAUAAGUCUAUUGAGCUUCAACUCCUCAUGCUGGUGAGAGGAGCUGGGAUCGUACCCGACAAUUUGUUACGCAAAAGAUUGAGAUUUUCCAAUUCAACAAGCUUUGCUAAAUUGGAAGGAAUUGAUCCUGCUAGAGAUAUGUGGCUCAGGUCCAGGAGAUUCUGUAACGUGAACAAGUUCCCCAGCUCUGGCAAUAUGACAUCCAACAGAUUGUUGUUGUUCAAGUUCAAGCUCAGUAAAUUCUUGCAAUUCGUUAGCUCUUCUGGUAUGCUACCGCUCAAUGCCUUCUCCCCGACAAAUCAAGAUAUUCUAGCUUCGAUAAGUUUCUUAACGAGAUGGGAAUGUCUCUGGCCAAAUGGUUGUAGCUCAAGUUCAGCCUAAUCAAUGCCCCCAGAGUUACCAAAUCAUAGGGAAUUUUCCUAGUCAAUUCAUUGCCAUAUGGAGUCAGAUCGCACAAUUGAGACAAUUUCCCAAGCUCCGGCGAGAUGCGGCUGGGGAUUUUGUUACCAUCUAUUUGCAAAUUCGUGACAUUCGUGCACUCUCCCCAUUCUGCAGAGAGAUUCCUGACAAAUAGAUUGUUGCUAAGGGCCUGAGGCUUAUAAAGUCCAGAUUCAGAUAAACCCCAAACACACUCAUGACAUCUGCAGUGAACCGAUUGCUGUCCAGACGGACUCUCGUUAGCCCUGGACAAUUCCUAAGCAGUCGGGCAGCGGCUCGGUGAAGUUAUUGUUAAAGCUCAUAAAACAACAAUCAAAACAGAAAACAUAUAUGUUGUUUGAGGGAGAGAAAGGAUAAAAAAACAGAGCAUAACACUUCAUACGUUUUGUGCAAAAGAAAAAACUGUCAAGUACCACAACUAAAUACAAAGCAAAAACUGCUCACAUACGUGCUAUUAACUUCCUAGAAAAUAGCAAAAACACUAAAUGCAUAACUAAAUGAACUUGGCUAUUAAAAAAAUAACAAAGGAAAAUAGAGGAAAAAACACGACCGAAAACAGCAGCACUGAGACAAUUCCAACAAACUCCUCCUUGGAUCACUUGUUGCUGCAAAUUCCUAUUUUCUCUCUUAACAGCUCAAAUUUUCCAGCCUGAAGUGGUUUUGUGAACGUAUUUGCAAGCUGAUCUUCAGAUCUGCAAUAGAUCAACUUAACUUCACCACUUUGUUACACCUCACGCAGAAAGAAAAAUUUGACUUUAAAAUGCUUGGUUUUGCCAUGGAAAACUGGAUUCUGUGAUAUUGCUAGAGCAACCUGAUUGUCCACAUUGACUUCGAUACAAUCACUGGAAUUCAACCACAAAUCCUUCAUUAUCUUCUUUAGCCACAAAGCUUGAUUUGCAGCUGUAGUAGCUGCUAUAAACUCAGCCUCUGCAGUAGACUGAGCUACAAUCUCUUGCUUUUUAGAACAUCAGGAGAAACAAGCAAAACCAAAACUGAAACAAUAUCCAGACGUACUCUUCAUGUCAUCUAUUGAACCGGCCCAGUCACUAUUAGAAAAUUCUUGCAAAUUAAACUUCUGACAUUUCUUAAACUUCACACCAAAGAACAAUGUUCAUUUGAGAUAUCUCAAGACCUUUUUUACUGCAAUCAAAUGUAACUGACUAGGACUAUUCAUAAACCUGGAUAAAAUACUUACAACAAAUAGAAUAUUUGGUCUGGUUGCUGUAAGAUACAUGAGACACCCAAUCAGACUUCUAUACAUAGAAGUAUCUACUGCAUCUGUUCCAUCAUUCUUGUGCAGCUUCUCUUUAGCAACCAUAGGAGUGCUUACACUUCAACAAUCUUCCAUCUGAAACUUCUUUAGAAUUUCCUUCAUCUAUUUUUUCUGACAGAUGAAGAUCUCAUUUGAAGCUUGUUUGACUUCCAAACCCAAAAAAUAAGUCAUUUUUUCCAAGUCCGAUAUCUCAAAAACUGCAAAUAGAUCUCGCUUCACCUUCUCUAUCAAUUCCAUAUCAUUCCCUAUCACUAAUAGAUUAUCUACAUAAAGUGACAGAAUUAUAACAUUGUGAUUCACCUUCUUGACAUAAAGAGUGAACUCACUUAAGCUUUUUACAAAGCCAAAAUCCUAUAAAUAUCGAUCUAUAUUCCCAUACCAAGCUCUUGGAGCCUGCUUCAGUCCAUAUAGAGGUUUCCUUAACCUAUAUACACUCUCUUCUUGCCCGUUGAUACUGAAGCCUUCAGGUUGUUCAACAAAAUCUCCUCCUCAAGCUCUCCAUUCAGGAAUGCAGACUUGACAUCUAACUGAAAUAUAGGCCACCCCUUCUCUGUUGCAAUAGCUAACAGUGACCUUAUUGUAUCAAGUCGUGCAAUAGGAGCAAAUGUUUCAGAAUAGUCUACUCCCCAUAUUUGUGCAUAGCCUUUUACCACCAGUCUAGCUUUGUGUUUAUUGACAGAACCAUCAGGAUUAAGUUUUAUUAUAAACACCCACUUAACCCCAAUCACAUUCUUAUCAGAUGGUCUAUCAACAAGCUCUCAUGUGUGGUUUUUCUGGAUCAUUGCAAUCUCCUCCUACAUUGCUGUAAUCCACCUCUAAUCCUCCUUAGCUUCCACAAAGUUAGAUGGUUCGAGCAUUGCCACAUUGCUUUUUUCAUAGAUUUCAGCAAGUGACCUUGUGCCUCUCAUGUGACACCCCGAACCCUUCGCAGGUCGUCACCAGCGCCGGUGUUACAUCUUUUACCAUCUCUAUCUCUUGGCUAAAUUAAGCCUUGCCAGAUUACAGGCAUUUUUUUUUCUUUUUCUUUUAAAGCGGUCCCAUGCGCGACUCAUAACGGAAGCAAAAUUCACAUCGUCAUCUAUCUCCCUUCUAACCCAUGAUACAAAUACACACCAGCUAAACAUCAUGAUUUUAUAAACGAACAUCGACACAUUAUUUACAUAUAUUUUCAAGAUGGGAUUACUCUCGGGUCGGUACAUAACAAGGAAAAGCUAGGACUCAGCCAUGUCCAGCCUAAAACCUCAAAAAGAAACCUCGACCCUUAACAUCAUGUGAACAAAGAACCCUCCCAUCGAAAGCGUCGGUUUUCUACAUCAAAAAGUGAUCUAGCUCCUACUCCUCGCGUACAGGUCUCACACCCAACCCGGUGUGUCAGGUGGUGGCGGCAGCAGCAUCCCUCGCAUCGCUCCAUCCCGUCGAACGUGCACAGAUAGGAACUCUUGUAUGAUAGGGCCCCCAGCCAGGCCGAUAUCAUACAUAACUAAGCAUCGCACUCGGAUAAACGUCAAUCCGGGCACAGAGGGACAAUCUAUCUCCGUACACUCCACCUCAACAUCAGACGGUAGACCGUAAAAUACCCCACGCAAAACAGCAGGUAGCGGCAUAGUGCUAAUCUGAAAUGUUAUCCCCAAAAGGGGUGAGUACAACCACUCAGCAGAUAGGGAAAUCUAAUGACAACUCAGUGCACCAUGCAUACCAUCAUACAAUGCAGGCAUUGCUUACCUUUUUUAUGUCAAGCGUAUUCAUGCAUCAUCAUAGCAUAUAUAUAUCAUCAUCAUGGCGUCUCAUAUAUCAUUAUCAUCACAUCAUCAUUAACCAUGCAUCACCAUGCAUAUCACAUCAUAUCAUCAUUAGCCAUGCAUCACCAUGCAUAUCACAUCAUCAUUAGCCAUGCAUGACCAUGCAUAUCACAUCAUAUCAUCAUUAGCCAUGCAUCACCAUGCAUAUCACAUCAUAUCAUCAUUAACCAUGCAUCACCAUGCAUAUCACAUCAUAUCAUCAUUAGCCAUGCAUCACCAUGCAUAUCACAUCAUCAUUAGCCAUGCAUCACCAUGCAUAUCACAUCAUAUCAUCAUUAACCAUGCAUCACCAUGCAUAUCAUAUCAUCAUUAGCCAUGCAUCACCAUGCAUAUCACAUCAUCAUUAGCCAUGCAUCACCAUGCAUAUCACAUCAUAGAUCAAUUUCCACUUUUAUUUAUCAAUUGAUCCCCACAUUAUCUUUUCUCAAAUCAUCAAAUUCACCAUCAUCACCAUCCCUUCGGGCAGAAACCUCCGACAGGGAUCCCAGUAACCCAGCCAUCUCAUGGCCACUGGGCUUCCGGCCCCCCACAUUCCGGGCAUCUCGCAUCUCAACUAGCAUCACGAGGCAUUCCCUUCGGACAGAAACCUCCGACAGGGCUUCCGGCCUUUACCCUUCUAACCGGGGAUCUCGCACCCUAAUCCUGGCAUCGCGAGUCACUCCCUUCGGGCAGAAACCUUCGACAGGGCUUCCGGCCCCCCACAUUCCGGGCAUCCUGAAACUCCCAGGGAAUCUCUGGAAUUAUGCCACUCGGCCACCAGAUAUCAUCCUCCGCCACAACCUCUUACUCACAUACCAUUUUCCACUUUUUAUCAUCCUUUUCAUCUUGUUAUUUCAUGGCAUAUGAUUUACAUACAUGCAUCACAAUUCAUGAUCAUUCAUACAUCAAUGCCAUAUAACAAUACAUCAUAAUUCAUGAUCAUACAUGUAUCAAUGUCAUGUAGCAAUGCAUCAUAAUUCCAUAGGACUCAUGGCCAAUAAAAUAAUCCACCUUUUAUUUUAUUAUUAUUUAUUAUUAUAUUAUUAUAUUAUUAUAUUAUUAUAUUAUUAUAUUAUUAUAUUAUUUAUUUUCAUAAAUAAAUAUUAUAUUUAAUAUUUAUGAUUUUCCAAAAAUCAUAAUCUUCAAUCAAUCAUUAAACAAACAAUUAGAAUCAAAUUUCACAUAAAAUCCAUGGCUAAUUUGCAUUUUACAUAAUUUCCCAAAUUUCCACAAAAUACACACAACAUUCGGAUCAUGGCCAGAUUGCACAGUUUUCGAAUUAAUUCAAUUAAAAUACUCAUAUGACCUCCGAAAAUUCCCAAAUUUUACAGGAUGAUAGCCAACACAUUUUCGUGCAUUUUUCAUGAAUAACUCUAAGCAAAAUUCUUUAUAUAUUAAUUUAUAUAACUCCACGAAGCUUCUGGAACCUCUACCGUUUCGUCCAGAACGUACAUCACCGAAAAACUUAGGUUCGACCCAUCAAAUCUCUUUCGUUUCUCCUGAAAUUCGAGUAUGUUAUAUAUCAAUGUGUCCUUUACAAGUUUCAUGAAGAGAUCUAGGUUAAAUAACCAAAGCAUGAUCCUCUUUUAAGUCCUUGAAGUCUCGGGUGUCUCGGUUCACUUCAACAGAACCAUCCGUCUCAAAGAUCUAGCUGGUUAACUAGGCUAUACUCAUUUUUUCUCCUAAAAUUUGAGUAUGUUAUAGUUUAUGAUGUUAUCUACAACAUUCAUGAAGACAACAAAGUGAGAUCUCCAACAGAAAUCAACAUGCAACCAAGAAAUCAACAAAAGGUCAGUAGGAAAUUCGCAGAUCUAAAGCCUCCGUGAAAUAGAACUUUUGACCCCUCAUAUCACCAUAGUUUUCCAUGAAAUUCGAGUAUGUCAUACCUCAAGAUGUUAUCUUCAACUUUCAUGAAGACACUGAAGCCAAAAUCACACUUCAAAUACACAUGCAAGCUCGAAUAAGAUACUGUCUACCACCAACCGAACGGAAACAGCCACAUAACAUGAACACAUUCAACCCUUACUUCGGUAUUUCGCCCAAAUCACCCCUAAACCCGAACAUGCAACCAUCAAAACAACAUGCAAGAGAAGUUAAGGACCCCCCACUUGCCUCCAAAAUGAACGAACAGCAAGCACAAGGCGGCGUAGGAUGGUCGGACAAGGUGGCGACGGCGAGACACGACGGCGGCAACUCUCGGCUCCACCUCCUCUCUCUCGGUCUCUCCCCUUUCUCGAACACUCUCUCUCUCUCUCUCUCUCACCUUUCUCGGCCAAAAUGAGCUAGAGGAACCGGCCACUCUCUUUCCUAAUCCCCUUUUUAUAUCCCCUCAAUUGCAAUGAUUAACUCACCUCAACCAUGGCCAAUGCAUGAGGGCUUGUCUUGCCACUUGUAAUUCUUGUUUUUAAAUUUGAAUUUCAAUGGGCUUGGGCUUAGGCCCAACCGGCCAUUUCUCCUUCUUGGGCUGGUCGAACUCCCCUCUUGGGCCCAAUGGGCCGACUAGCUUGGCCCACCAAGCUCUAGGCUAAUGGGUCCAAGGCCCAUUUCGAAAAUAACCCUAUUUUCUCUUCUUUUUUUUUUUGAAUUCCUAUUUAUAAAUAUUUCUAAAUUCAAAUUUCAUCUUGGCCAAAGUCUUGGGAUAUUUCAAUUAUUGAAAUUUAAAUCAUAUGGCCAAGCAUUUAAAUUUAAAUUUCCACAACACAAGCAAAAUUCAUCAAAUUAAAAGACAAAUUGGCUAAAGCAUAAGCCAUAAAAUUCUAUCACCUAAUUAAAGACAUUUAACACACCUUAAGGCUUGGCUUUGAAUUUCCGGGAUGCCACAUCUCACUAGUAAAUCAUCCAUACUGUCUUCUAAUCCAUCUAUAACUUCAUCAACCUCUACAUCUGUUGCAGGUUGUUUUUCGAACUGCUGUUGUUUUGCACUCUUUCCUUCCAUCCAAUUCCACUCAUCUUCCCCUAGAAAAAUAACAUCUCUACUCACAAUCACCUUCCUUGUCAUGGGAUGGAAAAUCCUAUAAGCCUUUGAUUGAAGAUUAUACCCAAUAAAGAUUCCAAGCUCUACUUUCUUAUUCAGCUUGUCCCUCUUGACCUCAGGAACAUGAGUGUAACACAAACACCCAAAAACCUUCAAAUUCUUCAUAGAAGGUCUAACACCAUGCCAGACUUCAAAAGGUGUUGACUUCUCUAAGGCCUUUGUGGGCAAUCUAUUCAAUAGAAACACUGCAGUAUUAGCUGCCUCAACCCAGAACUUCUUAGGUAACUUCUUCUCCUGCAUCAUACAUCUAGCCAUCUCCAUAAGGCUUAUGUUUUUCCUCUCACUCACCCCAUUCUGUUGAAGUGAAUAGGGAGCAGUGAACUGCUGUACAAUUCUUGCUUGCUCACAAUUCAACUUAAACUUGUGAGCUGUAUACUCAGAACCAUUAUCAGACCUGAGCAUUUUAAUUUUCUUCCCACUCUGAUUCUCAACUAAGGCUUUGAACUUCACAAACACAUCAGCAACUUCAGACUUGGCUCGCAGAAAAUAAAUCCAACUCAUCCUAGUCAUAUCAUCAGUGAAAGUAAUGAAAUACCUACUACCAUUGAGAGAAGACUCGGACAUAGGUCCACAUAAAUCUGUGUGGACUAAUUGUAGCUUCUCACAUGCUCUCCAGCCUCCUCCUUUGAAAGGAAAUUUGGCUUGCUUGCUAAGAAGACAAGUUAUGCACCGUGGAAAUUCCUCCUCCAAACUUGGCAAGUCAUCUGCCAAGUUAUUCCUCUGCAUAAACGACAUGCUCUUCUUGUGAACAUGCCCAAGUCUUUUAUGCCAUAGCUUUGCAUUUUCUUCUUUGCACUUUAAAGCCAUUUGUUGCAUCUCUUGUGGCUUGAACAUGAAACUCUUGUCCUUCAUUGGGAUUCUUAGCACUUCUUUGCUAUAUGCAUUAUUAAUAAGAUGUUCCUUCUCUUCGAACUUCACUUUAUAGCCCUUCUCAACUAAUUGACCAACACUUAACAAAUUCUAGUCAAUAUUUGGCACAAAAAGAACAUCACUGAUCAGCUUCACCUCCCGAUUUCCUUCAAUAACCACUGUACCCUUCCCUUACACUUCGAUAUACUGUCCAUUUCCAAUUCUAACUCUGGACCUGACUGACCUGUCUAGACUCCUAAACAACUUCGAAUUGCCAGUCAUAUGAUUGGUACAGCCACUAUCCACCAGCCAUGCAUCAUUCCCAACAGAAGAUCCAGGAAAUGAAGCUACAAACAAGUGCUCUUCCUCAAUUUCAUUCACUGCAACCUGUGCUUCUCCUGCUUGCUAGUAAUUUUUCUGUUUGUAGAUGGUUUCCAUGUGACCCAACUUGUGACAUCUUCUACACCUAGCAUCAGGCUUUCUCCAACAUCUAAAAAACUGAUGAUUAGUUCCACCACAAUAUUGACAAGGUUUUUUGUUCUUCUUCCAUUUGCUAGACUCACCAGAAUUUCCUUCUUUUGCUAUAAACUUGGAAUCACCAGCAUUUCCUCUCAACUGAAUCCAUUUCUUCCAUUUGCCUCCAUCAUUGGACUUCACUCUAGCUUGCAGUGCACCCUCUACAUGCUCUUCUCUUUUCAUCAGUCUUCUGUGCUCCUGUGCCUGCAGAGCAUUUAAUAAUUCUGCAAGCUUUAUAUCAGCUAAGUCUCUUGUAUUUUCCAAAGACGCUAUGGUGGCUUUGAACUUCUCUAGAAGAGACACCAGGAUCUUCUAAACAAGCCUUUCAUCCUUCAAGUUAGUUUCUAAAACUUUGAUUUUUUCAGCUAUCUCAACCAGCCUAUCAAAGUACUCCUUCACUGACUCUGAAUCCUUCAUCUAUUGUCUCUCAAACUCCCUCAAGAGAUUCAGCACCUUCAUGCCUCUUAUCUUCUCAUCUCCCUCGUAUUCAUCCUUCAAGAAGUUCCAUAUUGCCUUUGCAGAAUCACAUCUCAUGAUCCUUGUGAAGACAGUGGGUGAAACAGCAGCAUACAUGCAAGACUUUGCCUUAGCCUUCUUUGGGAUUCUCUCUUUAUGGUACUUUAUCUGAUUUAAGGUCGGAUUAACUGGAAGUGGAGCAACCUCAUAAUCAUUCUCCACAGCCUCCCAUAGAUUGUGACCCUCCAAGAAUGCUGUCAUCUUGACAGCCCAAGCUUGAUAAUUUUCCCCAGUAAAGACUGGAGCAACCAUUGUAGAGAAUCAACUCGAUCUUGCCUCCAUCAGCUUUUUCUUUGCAAAUUGGAAGCAAUCUUCACUCACUUACCCUCACUUCACAGUCCCUUAAGAUCCUACAAACGCUCUAAUACCAAUGUUAAAGCUCAUAAAACAACAAUCAAAACAGAAAACAUCUUUGUUGUUUGAGGGAGAUAAAGGAUAAAAAAAAAAAAAAAAACAAAGCAUAGCACUUCAUAUGUCUUGUGCAAAAGAAAAACUGUCAAGUACCACAACUAAAUACAAAGCAAAAACUGCUCACAUACGUGCAACACAUAACUGCACACAAACGUACUAUUAACUUCCUAAAAAAUAGCAAAAACACCAAAUGCAUAACUAAAUGAACUUGGCUGUUUUUUUUUUUUAAAAAAAAAAAAGAGGAAAACAGAGGAAAAAACACGACCGGAAACAGCAGCACUGAGACAAUUCCAAUAGUUAUUCCCAUCGACCGCGAGAUAUCAAAGAGCAAAGCCGUUGCAUAUAUCUGGCGGCAGCUCUCUGGUGAAGCUGUUGUUCGAAAAGCUAAUGUUGCCCAGAGAAUGGCUGUACUUGCCGAAAUCACGUGGUAUGCCUCCCGAGAAAUUGUUCAUGAACAAAGAGAUGGACUGUAAGUGAUACUACGUCAUGGCUUUUUCCUUCCCAACCCUGAUCUCCUCUUCUUCAACUUGAAGUGCCUCCUUGGUGGUAUACUUGCUCGUCAUCUUGCAAACCGACCUUCAUCACUGACAGCCUCUCAAACUUGAUCUCGUAAUCAAUCGACUCGAUUUUGUCGUCCAAUGUGUCACCUUCGAUUAUCGGCUACCUACACACGAAGUUCUCCUUGUCAAGCUCAUCGAUCCGGUGCUUCACAUUCUUGAAAUGACUAGCUGCAUUUGUGACCAAACAAGACUUACAUUAUGAAACUCCCGGCUUGAUGAGUGUUUGUUGAGUGUACGUACCUUCGGCGAUAUUAACUUGCUCAAUGCUCCCGGCUCCUCCGUCGCCUUGCACGAGCUCCACGCUCUUUAUGAACUGAGGCAGGAGCUUUGGGAUCAGGGAAUUCAACCCGACGAUCAAGGCCUUGAACAUGUGAGCUGGUGCAAUCGGGCAUGUGAGCUCUUGUGUGAUGCUGGUUGCACCCAUGGCUAUUGGCAAUGAGAAAGAAAUAACCCCAGAGAAGUUGGUGCUUCUGAGUCCUGCCAAUGCCUCCUAUUUAUGGUUAGAAUUAUGUGAAUAGGUAGGCUUGGUUUGGCAAGAGUCACGUAUGAGGAAAAUAAAAGAGUCAAGGAUUCGCGGCCUAAAGAAAUGUAAAAGAGGAAUUAAGUUGGUCUCUUUUGUUCUCUUGGUCAUGAAAAUGAUUUCGGUCCCUUUUCAGAUUCAAGUUGUUGAAAUAUCAAAGUAUAUGUUCCAAAAGAUGAACACAAGAGAGCGCAUUCUCAUGCUCACAUGGGCGGCCGUCACUUAGAAUUGAUUGUUGUGGAGUUUGAUAUGACGAUUCAGCGAUAUCGUAAUCAAAUGUCCUUGUUUAGACAAGCGAGUGUUCAUUGAAUUUCAUUCAAUAUGUAGCAAACAAUAACACUUAAUAAAUUAGUGAUAUCACAAUAAUAUGUCGCACAAUAUAAACAUCACAUAAAAUAUUUCUUCACACUCGAUGCCUUAAUGUUGUGGUAAAUCCAUUUCAAUUCAUCCAAUAAGGCCUUUCGUAAUCAUUUCCAUAAAAUUUAAAAGAAAAAGGUUAAGGUUGAUAAAGCUUCACUGACACCGGCGGUUUGACUGGGUCAAAAUAGGGUCGGCAACGGGGUGUCCCAAGAUCAGCUCAUCAUCUGAGUGGGAGGGGAUGUGGAGGCUGCUGCUUUUCCGUUAUAAUUUUCUUCUCUUUUUCUUUUCUUUUUUUCUUUUUCUAUUAUUGUUGAAUCGUUUGAUCUCUAAUCCAUUGUCCCCAUCAAGAAUCAAGAUAGGAUUAGCUUAAAUAGAAUUCAAAUAGCCGAAGUGUUGCAAUAAGAUAAGUCUAAACCCUAAACACAUUCAACAAUUUUUGUAUAGCUUUAUUGAUAUUUAAUAAAAAUGUACUUUUCCUUAAAAAUUUUACUUAUUGCGGGUUAUGAAAAAUUGUGCCACAUUGAUAUGUUUAGAUGAUCGAUCUGGGUCAAACGGGAUCGAUUGUCCAUAUUCGAAAUAUCAGGCCGCAGUUUACCAUGAAUUCAUUUGUCACUCAUGAAUUCUCUCCAUGUAGCGCAGUUUACCAAAUUCCAUAAAACCACUACACCAGAUUCCUGCCACACCUUUCAUUCUCUCAUUCUCAGCAAAGACGAGAACAACAACAAUCACCAGCCCAACAUGCUUUAACUUCAAACACCGAGUGACUCAAACGCUUCUUGUCGCCUAUUUAGUUUAGCCCAACCGGACAUAUUUAAUACGUUACAUGAACAAUAAAAGAUAGCGAUGAGAUCGGCGCAACAUGCAUCAGGGUUUGCCACGACAGAAGCCUCGAUGGCCUUAACCAUCGCGUCCGCCUUCUCUUUCCCGGCCUUGAUCUCCUCCUCGGUGAUAUUCACCUCGCCAAUGGUUAAGUACUUGCUUGUGCUCUUCAACAUCGAGCCUCCGUCGGGCGACGCGGUGAUCUUCACCUCGUAACUGAUCUUCUCAAAGUCGGUGCCCAGCGGGUCACCCUCGAUGAUUGAGUAGCAGUAGGUGAAGUUCUCCUUGUCCAAGGCCUAGACCUUGUGCUUUGCCGUCUUGUACCGACUGCCUAUCAAAGUAACAAAGUAACAUUCACAUUUAGAACUCGCCGGUUUCAACAUUGUGAGCACUGAUCUUGAUGGUGUAGAUCCAGCCAUUUAGGAAUUAACCCCCAACCCCAAUCCAAUACUAUUGACUUAGACAUGGCCUGAUUUUGCCCGAUCGAAAUCGCGUCACAUGAUCACUUGCGUAAAUUUAAACAGUUAGAAACAUAUUAAUUAAUCAAGUCAUAUAUCUAUCCUUUUCAAUGUUCAUUAUAGUGUUCUAGGUUGAACCCGCCUUGAUUCGGAGCGAUCCUAAGUUCCUAAUACGGAAGGACUAACUUUCGCAGAAAGUCAUACCUCCAUCGCCCUCGAGGACUUCAAUGCUCUUGACGUCUUGUGGGAGGACCUUGUUGAUGAGGUUAUCGGCGUCAAGGAGAGUGGCUCAAACAUCUCGGCUGGAGGGAUUGGGGACGUGGUCUCGAAGUCAUUAGUGAUGACACCCAUGACUGGAUCCGAACAGAGUUGCUGAAACUGAGAAGAGGGUGAUGAUCAGGAAAAGACUUGGGCGUGAUGAAGUUGGUCUCUAGGACUUGGGAGUGAAGAAAGGAGGCUAAACUGAAGAUGACAUAUAUAGAGAGAGACUGAGUGUGAAGGGUUAUGAUUACUGAAUAUUUCCUUCUUACUUAAGAGGGUUUCGUAGAAAAUAAAUAAUUUGAAAAAUAUUUUCUUAAAAAUAAUCACUAAAUUUGGAUACUGUUUCCAAGCAAAAGUUAAUUGGUGAGUGUGCUACAUAUUCUAAAUUGAUCUAAAUCCAUAUAGAACUCACUAGAAUUAAAAGUCAAGAUUCUCCUUAAUAUAAAUACGAUGAAAAAAUGCUACCUCAUUUCCGAGUGUUCGUCAAAAUUGGUUUGUAUGUACUAUGUUAAUCUAAAUCGCUAAAUUUGAUGGAUUCACAUGGGAUCCAUACGAAACUCACUAGAAUUAAAAGUUCAAAUUCCACUUAAUAUAAAUACGGUGCUCUUUCCUCAAAAUUGUGUUGUCUAUACUAAAUUGAUUUAAAUCACUAAAUCCGAUGGGUUCUUGUGAUACCCAUAUGGAACUCACUAGAAUUAAAAAUCCAAAUUCAGCUUAAUAUAAAUAUGACCAUAGCUCAUUUCCGAGUCUUCAUCAAAAGUGUGUUUGAUGUCCUACAUUGAUAUAAAUCACCAAAUCUGAUGGGUUUGCAUGGGAUCCAUAUAGAACUUACUAGAAUUAAAACUCCAAAUUCCCCUUGAUAUAAAUACGACACUACCUCAUCUCCGAGUCUUCAUCAAAAUUCUGCUAAAGGUACUAACUUAAUCUAAAUCGCUAAAUUUGAUGGGUUCACGUGGGAUCCAUACGAAACUCACUGAAAUUAAAAGUUCAGAUUCCAUUAAUAUAAAUAUGAUGCUCUCUCAUUGAAAUUGCAUUGUAUGUACUAAAUUGAUUUAAAUUGCUUAAUCUGAUGGGUUCAUGUGGGACUUAUAUGGAACUCACUAGAAUUAAAAGUCUAGAUUCUGCUUAAUAUAAAUCAACCUUGGCUCAUUUCCGAGUCUUCAUCAAAAGUGUAUUGUGGGUUCACGUGGGAUCUAUAUAGAACUCGUUGAAAUUAAAAGUCCAGAUUCCUAUUAAUAUAAAUAUGACACCACCUCAUUUCCGAGUUUUCAUCAAAAUUAUAAGUUAAUCUACGGGUUUGUUUUGUUAUUAUGACUUUUGAGAUUCCCUUUCAUGUAUUAGUUUGGUAAUGAAUAGAAAUUUCUUUUUGACCCAAAAAAAAAAUUAAUCUAAAUCGCUAAAUUCUAUGAGUUUACAUGGGACCCAUAUGAAACUAUGGAACUCACUAAAAUUAUAAGUCUAGAAUCCACUAGAUAUAAAUAUGACGCUAGCUCAUUUCCAAAUCUCCGUCAAAUGCUUUUUUCUCAUCACUUUGAAGCUUCCGAUCGCACCCCACUUUGUUGCACGUGAAUCGGGAAUGUUUUACGACGCCAAAGUCUUUGUUAAAUCUCAAAAAGAUUGAGUCAACGUGGAACAACAACUCAAUUGUAAGCAUCGGGGUUUUGCAAGAGAUGGGCUCCAAUGGCUUUCAACAUUCCCAUGGCCUUCUAUUUGCUAGCUUUGUUCUCGACCCCGUCCUUGGCGAAGUACUUGCUCGUGCUCGUGCUCGUGCUCUUGCACGUGCACCCUCUCUGUCUGGACUUGAUCUCGUUCGAGAUCUUCUCUAGCGCGUCGCCCUCGACGAUGGUGUAAGCGUGCGCGAGCUUUCCUUGUCCAGCUUGUGGACUGGUGCUUCACCGAGUUGAACCGUCUAGCCGUGACACACAGAAAACUGCAGUCAGCUCCCACGUUAGUCUUAUCAAAGAAUGUCAGGCCAAUGUCUUGACAUCACAUGUUGAUGCGACGUGACCAAAAUGAAUGAAAUUAGAAGACGCGCAAGUACUCGCCUCCACCGAAAACGAUGCGAUGGUGACGGGACAGCCAUCACCUUCAAGGGUGACAAAAUCCAGACUGGCUUGUGGGAGGAGCUUGGGGAUGAGAUUUUUAUCAAGAUCAAAGGCCUUGAACAUUCGUGCAGGUGGGAUGGAAUGCGUCUUCGCCUAAGAUUUCCGAGUCCCAGGGCAAGAUAUGUGAGAUUAUGUUGAAAUGCCCUUUAAAUGAUUCUCAAUCUCCUCGUUUAGCAAUCUAAAUCAGCAUCACAAUGUUCUUAAAUAAUACAACAAAAAAACAGGACAAAACGCAUGGAUCUCAAGCCCAAAUUAUACUUAUUAGCAUGCGAGAGAUCUUUGAAUGCAAACACCCUUGAGGGUGGGAAUUCACUAAAUUAUAACUUAAAUAUUCUAACGGCACCAACGGCUUGGACAAGCAAGCUUGAGUGCAUGCGGACAAUUCUUGCGCAAUGAAAUGCAUGGUAAGUCGCGAAUCGAGACUCGUCCACGUACACGCUAUUGCGACCAUGACCAUGAAGACCACUUCCUUGACCAGUUGGCUAGUCGGAGGAGGAAGAUGUGGGUCGAGCAUAUCCUAUAGUGGCACAUUUGAGUCUUUCAAUAAUGUCGACAUUUGUGUCAUUUGUAGGGAAGAGAGAAGAUUCCUGGAUGCUUCCCCAUCAUUCUCUAGCAUUGGUACUUUUACUGUUGACUCUGUUUCAUGAAAGAAGAAUGAAUCUAUGUUUUUAUUACAACCUCAAGUUGCCUACAAAUUCCAAAUUUUUGAGAUACUGUUAAUACAAACCACUUUUCAAAAUCUGUACUUGCUCUUCCUAAAAAGUCUUAUUAGAAGUAUUGGACGAAUCCAAAUUCAAUAUGUCAAUUAAAGCUAUUUGAUCAACCCGAGACCAUAGGUACAGGGGGAAUGUAUUGAUUAGAUUUGAUUACGUAGCUUACCAGAAACCAUGUAGUCAUAAGAUCUAGCCACAGGGAUCCAAUUCGAUGAAUCCAAAUUCAAGAGCCUCACCGUCCCAAAAACCAAAAGCCGAGGCUCGAAGUCCGACUCGAGCAAGAUGUUGUUCAACAUCAUGUCCUGAUGGACAAUAGGCAGUGAGCAAUCGUGAUGCAAGUAGGUGAUCGCGGGAGCCACGCAUUGAACAAUCUUCACUCUCUUGACACAAGUCCGAUUCAACUGCUCCUCUUCUUCCAUGCAAGACCUUUGCCAAAGUUCAGAAAAACAUUGGAUGAUGUCCCUGCGGUUAACCACCACUUUUUUUACCGUGACGAUGUGGCCGCUGGCCUAUUCGGCCUUGUAAACGCUUCUAAAUCCGCGUUUUCCGACGCAAUACUCUUCACUGAAGCCGUUGGUGGCCUUGGCAAUAUCGUUGAAUGCAAACUUCGUUCCCCUUUUCCAUAUGAUUUCACGUACUUCAUAAGAUUUCUUAUCUCUUCAUCGAGAUGCUUGUUUCACCGCCAAAGCACCGAAAUCAGAGCAAUAAGAGUCACGAGAAGUAGUAAGCAGCAAACGCAACAAUCACAUUAAUCAGAACCUUUCUCCGAUGGUCAGUCGAUUUACUGCUCGACCCGCAUGGAGACAUUCCGUCGCGUUUCCUCAUAAGCCCGGAUUUGCAAUAAAAGCACUUCCUAGUUAUUGUCGAAAGAGGCGACCACCAAGAACUGCGCCUGUCAGCUUGUUGUAUAAGAAGCCCAUGAAGCUUAAACUGCUCAUGCUGGUGAGAGCAGCUGGGAUCGUACCCGACAAAUCGUUAUGCGAAACAUUGAGAUUUUCCAAUUUAGUGAGCUUUGUUAAAUUGGAAGGAAUUGAUCCUACUAGUGAAUUGUGGCUCAGGUCUAGUGGUUCUGUAGCGUGAACGAGUUCCCCAGCUCUGGCGACAUGACACCCAACAUAUUGUUGUUGCUCAAGUUCAAGCUCAGUAAAUUCUCGCAAUUUGCUAACUCUUUUGGUACAAUAUAUAGAGAAGGGAUGUACUUGCCGUAUUGUGGUUUAUGAAAGAUUGUGCCACAUUGAUAACUUUAGAUGUUAAUCCAAAUUCAAAAUAUCAGGCCAAAGUUUGGUAUUUUAUUGGCCAUUUGGCAUUUCAUUUAUAACUCAUGAAUUCUCUCCUCGUAAAAAAAAUUACUAAAUUAGAGAAUUUCAUUCUACAAGCCUUGUAUAGUUUAUCAAAUUACACAAAACCACUGCACCAGAUUCCUAUCACACCUUUUAUUCUCUUAUUCUCGGCAAUGACAAGAACAACAACACUCACCAGCCCAACAUGCUUAGCUCCAAACAGAGUGACUUAAACUCUUCUUGUCUCCUUUUCAGUAUAGCAUAACCACACAUAUUUAACACAUUACGUAAACAAUACAAGAUAGCGAAGAGAUCGGCUCAGUAGGCAUCAGGGUUUUCCAAGAGAUAAGCCUCGAUGGCCUCGUACAUCGCGGACGCCUUCUCUUUCCGGGUGUUGAUCUCCUCCUCGGUGAUGUCCACCUCGCCAAUGGUGAAGUAACUGUUCGUGCACUUCAACAUCGAGCCUCCCAAAGGCAACGCGUUGAUCUUCACCUCAAAGGUGAUCUUCUCGAAGGUGGUGCCCAGCAUUUCGCCAUCGAUGAUUGAGUAGCAGUAGGUGAAGUUCUCCUUGUCCAGGGCCUCGACCUUGUGCUUUGCUGUCUUGUAUGGAUUGCCUAUCACUGUAACAAAAAGUCAUAUUCACAUUUAGAACUCGCAGGUUUCAAUAUCACGAGCACCAAUCUUCAUGGUGUCCAUCAGGCCAUUUAGGAAUUGACCCAAUUGUUCCGACCGCAAUCCAAUACAAUUGACUUAGACAUAGCCUGACUUUGCCUGAUCAAAAUUGAGUCACAUAUUCACUUGUGUAAAGUUAAACGGUUAGAAACAUCUUAAGUAACCGAGUCAUAUUUUUAUCUUUUUCCAUAUUCAUUAUAGUGUUUCAUAAGGUUGAACCUGCCUUGAUUCAGAGCAAUCCUAAGUUCCUAAUACGGAUGGACUAACCUUCAGCAAAAGUAAUCAACUUGAUGGUCCCGGGACCUCCAUCGCCCUCGAGGACUUCAACGCUCUUGACGGCUUGCGGGAGGACGAUGGGGAGGAGGUUACCGGCAUCGAGGACAACAGCCUUGAACAUCCUGGCCAGGGGAAUGACGGACGGGACAUCAAAGUGAAAAGUGAUGACACCCAUGACCGGAUCCUAACGGAGUUGCUGAAACUGAGAAGGGGGUGAUGAUCUGGAAAGACUUGAGUAGUAGUGACGAAGUUGGUCUCUGCGACUUGGGAGUGAAGAGAAGAGGCUGAAUUGAAGUUGACAUAUAUAGAGAGAGAGGGAGACUGAGUGUGAAGGGUUCUGAUCACUGCAUAUUUUCUUCUUACUAAGAUGCAUUAUAUUUUGCAGAAAAUAGAUAAUUUAGAAAAUGUUUUCCUAAAAAUAAUCACUAAAUUUAGAUAGUGUUCCGAGCAUAAGUUAUUUGGUGAGUGUGCUGCAUGUUCUAAAUUGAUCUAAAUUGCUAAAUUUAAUGGGCUCACUAGAAUUAAAAGUCUAGAUUCCCCUUAAUAUAAAUACGACACUACCUCAUUUUCAAGUCUUCGUCAAAAUUGUAUUGUAUAUAAAUAUGACCCUAGCUCAUCUCCGAGUCUUUAUCAAACGUGUGUUGUAUGUCCUAAAUUGAUCUAAAUUGCUAAAUCUAACAGGUUCACAUGGGAUCCAUGUGGAACUCACUCGAAUUAAAAGUCUAGAUUCUCCUUGAUAUAAAUACGAUGCUAUGUCAUUUCUAAGUUUUCGUCAAAAUUGUGUUGUAUAUAAAUAUGACCCUAGCUCAUUUCUGAGUCUUUAUCAAACGUGUGUUGUAUAUCCUAUAUUGAUCUAAAUCCCUAAAUCUAACAGGUUUACGUGGGAUCCAUGUGGAACUCACUCGAAUUAAAAGUCAAGAUUCUCCUUGAUAUAAAUACGAUGCUAUGUCAUUUUGAAGUUUUCGUCAAAAUUGUGUUGUAUACACUAAGUUAAUCUAAAUCGCUAAAUUUGACGGGUUCAUGUGGGAUCCAUAGGAAACUCACUAAAUUAAAAGUUCAAGUCAACUUAAUAUAAAUACAGUUUUCUUUCAUCAUAAUUACGCCGUAUGUACUAAAUUAACCCAAAUUGCUAAAUCUAACAGGUUCACAUGGGAUCCAUGUGGAACUCACUCGAAUUAAAAGUCAAGAUUCUCCUUGAUAUAAAUACGAUGCUAUGUCAUUUCUAAGUUUUCGUCAAAAUUGUGUUGUAUAUAAAUAUGACCCUAGCUCAUCUCCGAGUCUUUAUCAAACGUGUGUUGUAUGUCCUAAAUUGAUCUAAAUCGCUAAAUCUAACAGGUUCACAUGGGAUCCAUGUGGAACUCACUCAAAUUAAAAGUCUAGAUUCUCCUUGAUAUAUAUAUGAUGCUAUGUCAUUUCUAAGUUUUCAUCAAAAUUGUGUUGUAUAUACUAAGUUAAUCUAAAUCGCUAAAUUUGAUGGGUUCAUGUGGGAUCCAUAGGAAACUUACUAAAAUUAAAAGUUCAAAUCAGCUUAAUAUAAAUCUAGUGCUCUUUCAUCAAAAUUACGUCGUAUAAACUAAAUUAACCCAAAUCGCUAAAUCUGAUGGGUUCAUGUGGGACCUAUAUAAAACUCGCUGGAAUUAAAAGUCUAGAUUCUACUAAAUAAAAAUGAGGCCCUAACUCAUUUCCGAGUCUUUGUCAAAAGUGUGUUGUAUGUCCUAAAUUGAUCUAAAUUGCCAAAUCUGAUGAGUUCACAUAGGAUCCAUAUUGAAAUCACUAGAAUUAAAAGUCCAAAUUCCACUUAAUAUAAAUAUGACGCUAGCUCAUUUCUGUUUCUUCAUCAAAAUUGUGGUAUAUGUACUAAGUUAAUCUAAAUCGCUAUAUUUGAUAGGUUCAUGUGGAACCCAAAUGAACCUCACUAAAAUAAAACGCCCAAAAUCGAUUAAACGUAUAUACUACUUUAACUCAUUUCUAGGUCUCCAUCAAGCGCCUUUUUCUCAUCUCUUUGAAGCUUCCGAUCGCGUGCCAUUCCGUCACAUGUGAAUCGCGAAUGAUUUUCCACGCCAGAGUCUUUGUUAAAUCUCAAGACUUAAAAAUACGAAUGUGAAGUAACAAUUGCGUGUCAAAUGCAGAAAAUUCAUAUGUGAAAAAGUUGACCGUCCCUUCUUGAGUCAACUGUUCUCUUCCUCGAUAUGCUUUUCUGAUAUGGCCUCAAAGACAGAUGGGCAAAGCGGCGCAUUCAUAUCUAUAAUCUCGCGGCAGUUUCAACUCUGUUAAAAGAAUGCCGAGGUCUUUACAAGAUGUUUGACAAGCGUCUUUGAUGACAGCAUGCAGCAUAUCUACCGCUUCAAAACAUAGUUACGGUUCAGUCUCGAUUGUUAUUUUUCUUCAAAUUAUGGUGGGAGAUAGAAAGAUCCAGCCAACAUGUAACAACAACUCACUCGUAAGCAUCAGCGUUUUUGCAAGAGAUGGGCUUCUAUGGCUUUCAACAUUCCCAUGGCCUUCUCUUUGCUGGCCUUGUUCUCGACCCGGUCCAUGGCGAAGUACUUGCUCAUGCUCUUGGCCAUACACCCUCUCUGUCUAGAAAAGCAUAGAACUUGAUCUCGUUCGGGAUCUUCUCUGCGCGUUGCCCUGGACGAUGGCGUACGCAUGCGCGAGCUUUCCUUGUCCAGCUUCUCGACUGGUGCUCCACCGAGUUGAACUGUCUAGCUACGAGACACAGACAACUGCAGUCAGCUCCCACGUUAGCCUUAACAAAGAAUGUCGGCAAAUGUCCUCUUUGACAUCACGUGUUAAUGCGACGCAACCAAAAUAAAUGAAAAUAGAAGACAGCGCAAGCACUGGCCUUCGCCAAAGAUGGCGCCGGUGUUAGGGAAAUCCCUUAUGAUGUUUUGAAGAUGACAAAAUAAAUCAAAGGCUACUAACAUGUUUGAUGGUUGAGUAAUAGACCAUGCAGAUGAUAGAACAUGUAAAGGAUUUUAUCAAAGUCAGAAGACGGCCAGAAGACUGAACGUAACAUAUGUCCAGAGUAUAUUUUGAAGAUUUCCAGACUUCUGUGUCAAAGUCUGAAGACUGUCAGACUCAAGACUCAUAUUGUAAAGUCUACAGACCCAGAUUGUAAAGUCUCAAGACUCAUAUCGUAAAGUCUAAAGACUCAGACUUUACAUCCAGAUUACGAUGAAUCGUAACUCAAGCCCAAUCAUAUAACGGCUAGUGAUCUGGUUUGGAUUCCACAUCAAGAUUGAUUUGAUUGAAGACAAGAACUUUACAUACGAAGAAGCUUUACUUAUGGAAACCAAGAUUUCGUUUGUAUGGGCGAUCGGAAUCCAUUUGGGAUUCUACCUUUGUCACUCAACGGCUACUAAAUCUUCUAGAUACAGAGCUGUCCAAUGGGUAUAUUGGAAGACGAUUCUCCGGGAUAUUGUCCAACGGGUAGUUUGGAAAUGGAGGAGUAUUUAAGGAGAUGAAGGACCGAUGAGCAAGUAAGAGACGGAGCGUAGAAUUUAUAAUUCCAAAGUCUAAGCGACUUUAGAUCAUAUACUUGUCUCUUGAGAGCUUAAAUGUUUGUAAUCGUGAGAGAAAUACCAAGAGAGUGACUUAGUGAGAUAGUGUGAUCUACUAAGUGUAUGCACUCGAAGUUGUAAUCUCUUGUUGAUUGCAUAUUGGAAUCCAGCCAAGAAGGCUGUUAUCGUGGGAGAGUGGACGUAGGCUUGGAUUAAGCCGAACCACUAUAAAUCUUGUGUUCUUAUUUUCUUCCUUAACUCCUUUAUUUUGUUCAUACUAGCACUCUCAGCCGGGACCCCCAUCACCUUCAGGGAUGACAAAAUCCUUAAAGGCUUGUGGGAGGAGCUUGGGGAUGAGAUCGUCGUCAAGAACAAACGCCUUGAACGUUCUUGCAGGUGAGAUGGAAUCGUCUUCACCUAAGAGUUCCAAGUCCCACGGCAAGAGAUCUGGGAGAUUAUGUUGAAAAUGCCCUCUAAAUGAUUCUCAAUCGCCUCGUUUAGUAAUCUAACUCAACAUCACAUUGGUCUAAAUCAUAUAAUAAAGAAAGAGGACAAAAGGCAUGGAUCUCAAGCCCAAAUGAUACUUGUUAGCAUGCGAGAGAUCUUUGAAUGUAGACAACCUUGAGGGAGUCACUAAAUUAUUGUUAAAAUAUUCUAAUAGAACCCAAUGGCUUAGACAAACAAGCUUGAGUGCGUGCGGAUAAUUCCUGCUUGAUGAAAUGCAUGGUAGGUCGCGAAUCGAGACUCGUCCCCAUGCACAUCCACUUCCUCGGCUAGUUGACCGGUCGGAGGAGGAAGCCGUGGGUCGAGCACGUCCUUCAGUAGAACAUUUGAGUCUUUCAAUAAUGUCGACAUUUGUGUCAUUUGUAGGGAAGAAAGAACAUUCAAUGGAUGCUCCCCAUCAUUCUCUAGUGUUGCUGACUCUGUUUCUUGAAAGAACAACUAGUCAGGAUUUUGCUCACAUCGUCAAGUUGUCCACAAAUUCCAAAUUUCUGUUGUACUUUUACAACAAAGCACUUUUCAUAAUCUAUACUUACUCUUCCUAAAAGUAUUGUUAGAAUUAUUGAAUGAAUCCAAAUUUGAUUUGUCCAUUAACCACAGAGUUACUACUAAUUUUAUUUUUCAAGAAGAAGAAUGAAUCAAAAUCACGAUCAUAAUGUCAAGUUGUACCCAAAUUCCAAAUUUGAAACCGACUCUCUAAAACAAAUCACUUCUCAAAACCUAUAUUUGCAAGAAUCCUAAAAGUCCCGUUAGAAUUAUUUGAAUGCAAAUUAUCAAUCCGAGACCAUUUGUACCCGCGAAAUGUUCUAUUAGAUUCAAUCAUCUAACUUACCAGGAGCCAUGUAGCCAUAAGAUCCAGCCACAAAUAAGGCUGGAAACUCGCAUGAACCGGAAAGCAGCAACCUAGUCCGGUGAGCCUGAAAUAGGGCAUGGGCACAAAAAAGCGCGGUCGGCCGAGAGUCCCUACCCAGCUCGCGGCGUUGGACGGCGGACGAGCUCAAUAGAUCGGGCUACGUCCGUCCGCCUCGCUCGUCUCCUAGUCGGGAUCCUCGGGAAGCGGACCCCAAAUGGGGAAAAACCAAGACGGCCCGAACAGGGACCUACCAUGGCCUCGAAGUGGACAAGGAGCGGCGGCGGAUCAUCAGUUUUGGUUCGGAAGUGGAGGUCAACAGCGGCUCUCUCAGUCGCGUUCUCUCUCUCUCAACUCACGGUCUCUCUUUCACGGCCCUCUCUCCUCCGGAUCCGAAUCCCUCUCGCGUCGUACUUGACCCCCUUCGAUUUCUCCCUCCUCCCCAACCUCCGACCUUCUAUUUAUAGGCUAAGAAGGCCGGUCGGCGGAGGUGCUUCGGCCGCCAGUCCUUCAUGCGCCGACCGGCCCCCCUUCGCUGAACCAGCAUCACAUCACCCGUCGCCUCCACCGCCGCCUGCUCUGCUUUGCGCCUACUCUACUCCUUCUGCUACGGCCGCCCUCGCUGGCCUGACGAAGAAGCGGGGAAUGAGGAAGGAGGGGCCGGGCCAGGGUGAGAAGCACAAGCAGAGUGGGCCCUAGGCCCACUCGGGGAAGAAAGGUGAAAAGAGGGGGGCUAAGGCGAAGGCCCAGCCGCCGUGGGCCCUUUUUUUUAUAAAUACUAUUAAAUAGGGUUAAAUAAGAGAAAAUAAAACUUAAAAUGCAAAUAAUAUUAAUGCUUAUAUGAUGUGAAAAUCGUUUUUAUUAGGGUUAAAUUGAUUCCAAAUUUUUUUAUAUAAUUUUAAUUAUAGAUGUUUAGUCAAAAUUUAAGUAUCAAUAAAUGUAAAUCUCAAACUGUAAGAGUUAAAAUAAAAAAUAAAAGAAUUAAAGAAGAGACAAGUGCAGUUGCAGCUUUAUCCCAUCUUGUAACAAAAAUUGUUUACGAAAGUCAAAAAUUUAACGAACAUCACGUGCUCUAACUUUAAUUGAAUUAUUGUAAGCCCACGAAUCCCUCGUUGAAGUCAUCCUUUGAUGUUACAUAUAUAAAUGAAUCGAAAUUUGUCUAUAUGUUAUACGUAGUGACACGUGUAAUGCAGUGUGGCUUUUUUGAUAGGACAAAUAUCCCCACAUCACCAAUUACCUCUGAUUAGGGCAAGUUCUUUCAAGUAAGGACCCUGUCUUUUUUCUUCUUCUUUUUUGAUAAUAUCCCUAUUAUUGUUCAUGACAUGUUUCUUUUCCAAAUUAAUUGGAAUAUAUAAUUUUAAUGGAUCAGAUCGCUACUUUAAAUGGGAGUAUGAGUCUUUCAAAUGCCUAUGAUAUAUUAUUAUCAAUAGUCACACACGAAUAACAUGCCAGUUGAUGCUACGGUGUGACACAUAAUAAAUAAAGAUGAAAAGCUAGAUUUUAGUAAAACAAAUUCAAAAAUGAGUUUGAGUGUUGAGAUUAUUUAUUGACAUGGACAUCAACCUAUAGCAUCUCCUUUUACUAAUGAACAGGGCUUGGAUUAAAUAAUCAACCUAGUGAUAUUCUAAAAUAGCUCCUUUUUGCCUUGCUCUUCUAGCUUUGGACAUCACUUUAUUUAUUUUUUAAUUUUCUUGGAAUCUUAUUUGGUGAAAUCUAUACAUGUUCAUCGAAAGUGCACGAUCUAAAAGAUUUCAUCAGUGUCAUAGCCACAACCAAGAAGUAUGUAUGAUAUAUAUAUAUUAGAAUACCAAACUACAUUCUAGGCAACCGUGCAUUUAAGUACCACAAGAGUUGUAUUUAGAUCCCACAUCAACUAAAAGAACACUAACAUUCGGACCAAUAUCUAAUCACUUGUGGAUUGCCGACUAUGAAACCAUAAAGGAGUAACUAUAUAUAUUAAUCCUAGCUAGGAUUCCCUACAUUUCUACAUGGGUAGGCAUUUAAAUGAUCAAUGAGAGAGAGAGAGAGAGAGAGAGAGAGAGAGAGAGAGAGAGAGAGAGAGAGAGAGAGAGAGAGAGAGAGAGAGAGAGAGAGAGAGAGAGAGAGAGAGAGAGAGAGAGAUUAUAUAUAAAUCAUAAUUCAAAGUGACGAUCUACUCUCUUAAUAAUGAUGAUGACGAUGAUAAUUAUAUAAAAUUGAGAGGAUAAAAAAAAAAAAUUGGCCUGGUAGAGCCUGUAAAGAACUACACAAUACAUCGGGAUGAUCAUUAGAUGAAAGUGCAUGCUUACAACAUUGAAAAUCAUUUUGUAGGGUAUAGAUCUACCAAAUUGUUCAAACAUUGUUUUAAUGGUUUCCCUUGGAUGAAAGAUUCUUCGUCUAACACAUGAUUUACUUAAUUUAAUUAGUCCAAGAGAGAGAUACACCACCCACGUGCCCCAUAAGCAACGAGGAAUUUGUCUAAUAUGUUAUGAUGUACAAGACCAUACAAUCUCAUUCGCUCUUUUGAUAAAUAUAAAUUAACAUGCAAUCAAUGAAUUAAGAUCUAAUGUUAUUAAGAUUUUUUACGUGUGCACACGUGGUUUUGGUCUAAUAGAUCAAACCAACAUACAACGUCAACUCAGACGGACACAUUUUUGGUCAUUCACUCUUCUUGAUAAAAAUCCCCUUGAAGGCCAAAUGUCUGAUAACCCUCGAUACUUGACAUCUUAAAGUUUACUUAGCAAAGGUUCAAUAAGUCAGGUUUUGGAAGGGUCAUUUGGAGUAUUACAGGUCGGAACGGGUAAAACGAGGAUCUCUAUAAAGUUAACCACCUUGCUAGAGUUGCAUUUGAUGAAUGAAUUUUUCCCCAACUGAAAUUCUUUUAGAGCAUAAGUUAACAAGACAAUCGCAAAAUUGUCGUCAAAUAAAGCGCCCGGGCCAAAAGCGGAUUGAUCACGAUGAUUUUUGCAUUGAAGUGGUGAAAAAGCUUGGUCGAGAGCUAAUUGGGAGAAAGAGAGAGCUCAAACUUUAGGAUAAGCAAUUUUGUGGCUAAUCAUAGAAACUACAAAAGGUUUUGGCCUCCACUUCUGAACCAGGUCUGCUCUCACGUGCACGCGGACCCUGGUCUGUGUCUCGGCCUCUCAAGUCCCUCUCUCCUGUUCUUCAAUCUCCACUUUCCGUCACCCAUUAAUCCCAUCUUCCUCGUUGACAUGAAGUCAUUAACAUUCGAUUUGAUCCCCAGAAAGAGAAAUCAACACUUAUCCCAUGAAUCAAAAGCAAAUACUAUGGAAUCGGUGUCCCAUGAGGUUGAUCUUAUAUGAUAACGUCUUUGUAUCGGCUACAUACAUUAUGUGCAAAUAAAGUGUAAUUAUACUAUCAUAUUUUUUGUUAAUUCACCUCUUUGAUCCGAUAUUAUUUGUUGACAUUGCCCUUAAAGAAUCAAGACAUGACAUCCUCGUUAGUUGAUUGAUAUAUGACAAGGGUCGACAAAAAAGACAGCAUCUAAGUUAACAAUUUGAGAAGAUUAAUGUUUGUGAUGGAGGGUAUUGACUUAUUACGUGGCAAAAUCUUUCCGACAUCAUACAAUUAGCUGUCAAGCAAGCUUUUUUGCCUUUUGCUUUUCAAAAAACAAACAAUCACAAGUUUUUAAAGAUCAAAUGCCCAUUUAGUUGAUGGAAAACUGUUUAUGGAAAAGCUUUCCAUAUUCCAAUAUUUAGAUGAUAGAAAAUUAUUCAAUCUACCGAAAGUGUUUUAUGUGGAUUGAAGAUAAUAAAUUUAUAUUUGGAAAAAAAAAAACUUCUGUUUAUGGUAAGAAAUAAUAGAUAAUAAUUUUUUUGAUAAUUCUUAUAGAUUAAAUUAGCCUAAAUUAGACUUUAUUAACGCAUAUUAGCAGAUUCACUUGCUAUCAAACACCAUAAAAUUAAUUUUUCUCCAACAUGUUUUGGCACGAGCGAACACUAGAAAAUUAUUUACUUUCUCUGGAAUUAAAUUUUUUGAAAAUACUUUUGAGCGAUAAAUUUUCGCUAAAAUAAGCGCACCCAAGCGACAUAUUUGUUAACCUUGUUCUCCUUCUCUCCUUCUCUCUCUCUGCUACAGCUGCUCUUUCUUCUUCUUUUUUUUUUUUUUGGUCGAAAAAGGAUUACUAUGAAAUUACUUAGCCACGGUUUGAGACAAAACAUCAAAAGCAUUGGUGCAUAAUAAGUCUAGUAGAGCGGGCGGGGGAUGAAACAACUAAUUAGAGGGAAUGUAACUAAAUCGACAGGCCUUUGCGAGCCAAUCGGCGGGACCGAUUUGCUGUUCUAUUGCAGUGGGCCAGGGAGAUGUCACAGAAUUCCUGUAGUUUCGCUUGGGCCUGGUCCAGGAGCGGUUGAAGCUACCAGUUCACUUCCGUCGAAGCCGUAACCCCCUGCACGAGUGGAAGACAAUCUGACUAUACUUGCAGGGAGAGUUCCGCACGGUUAGAGAGUAGAUCUAGGGUUUCAAGCAGAGCCAAAGCUUCCGCAUGUGCUGUCGAAGCCGCAUCCACCAAUUUCGCGAAGCCAUCCACAAGACAUCCUCGGUAGUCCCUGCAGAUACAUGCUACUGCUGCUCUGUUUUGCGUUUCUCCUCCGGCAUCUGCUUCCAUGGCGUUGAGCUCGGCAAAUGAAGCAUCUAUAUUAAAUUUCAGCGUAUGAGGGGGCGGAGGUUGCCAACGAUCUGGUAUGGCUUUUAUCUUCCUUUCAUCUACUUGUUGUUGGCUCACAGAUUUGAGGUUAUCGCAGAGAGCUUGCGCCUGAAUUAAAACUUGCUGCGGGUGCAGGGGACAACUCUCGAAGAGGUACUGAUUUCAACCCUUCCAAAUACUCCAGAGGAAAGCCACGACUUGGUCAAACUUCUUAGUAUGGGUAGGGUUGGUUUUGAGAUUGUCUAACCAGUCAUCGAGGCGUGUUAACCCAUAUCUGGAUAUUUUGAUCUAUAGGGGCGCGGAACUCCAAAUCUGAUUUGUCCAUGGACAGAGUAGAAGAAUAUGUUCAGUGGUUUCAGCUUCUUUGCUGUAGAUAGAGCAUAUAGGAUCCGGUUACUAGCUUUCUUCUAUAUAAGUUUUCCCUUGUAGGAAGAGCAUUAUGACAUGCUUGCCAGAGAAAGAAUCUGAUUUUUGGAAGGGUUUUAGCUUGCCAAAUGUGUUUCCAGAGAUCUGGAUUUAUAUGAUGCGAUGAGGUUGCUGUUGGGUUUGUGCUUGUUGGGUUAUCUCUGACUGUGAAGUAGCCACUUUUCACUAAAUAGAUACCAGAGUUAUUAUGCAUCCAGACUAGCUUGUCUUUUGAAUCUGGCCUUCCAAUAGGAGUAGCAAGAAUUUCCUUCAUGAUUUUGUCAUCAAACAUCGACUCCACCCUAUGAACAUUCCAUUUGCUAGUCCCUUGUUCAAUUAGUUCUGCCACAUGUUCUGGUUCAUUUCUUGUUGCUGAGCCUCCAAUCAAACCACUUUUUAUCAAUUUAUCUGCUCUUAUCGAUAGUUUUUUCCCAUUCCCAACUAAGUACAUAGUGUGUGGACUUAUAGAAUCCCUACGCCGAGUUAUACUUUGCCAACCCCAUGAAGGUCGGGAGCCUUUUCUAGCUUUCCAGAAGUCUCCAUGCGGAUAGUAUAGGCCUUUCAUCACUCUGCUCAAUAAGAACUAGGAAUUUUGUGAGAUGCGCCAAGCUUGUUUCCCCAACAUAGCUGUAUUGAAUGCUAUUAAGUCUUUAAAGCCUAGGCCCCCCUCCUUCGUUCUAAGUUUCAAUGCUUCCCAAUUCUUCCAGUGUAUUCCAGCAUUUCUACUAUUCGUUUUCCACCAAAAGUUAGCAAUCCUCCUCUCAAUAGCUUUGCAUAUGGAAAUAGGGAUCUUGAAUAUGGACAUGGCAUAUUGAGGGAUAGCAUGUACAACUGAUUUUAUUAAAAUUUCCUUCCCUACUUUUGAUAACAGAUGUUUCUUCCAGCUUUCUAACUUUCUGUUUACCCUCGCAAGGAUCCAUGCGAACAUAUCUUUCUUUGAGCAGCCCAAAUCCGUCAGAAUCCCUAAAUAUUUCCCUGUUUUUUCAAUUUCUGGAACUCUCAAUUCAUUGGCCAUGUUCCUCCUCAAAGUAAUAGGACAACAUUUACUAAAAUAUAUACCAGAUUUGUUGAGAUUAAUAGCCUGACCAGAAGCAUAACAAUAUUCAUGUAGGAUAGCCACCAGGUUUUGGCAUUCUAGGAUUGUACCAUGAAGGAAGAAAAUUGAAUCAUCUGCAAAUAGCAAAUGCGAUAGAGUGGGGCAGCUAUUAUUUAGCUUAAUUCCUCUAAUAGUGCCAUCUUCUACUAUUUUUCCCAUCAUGUAGGAUAGAACAUUGGCAACUAAUAUGAAGAGAUAUGGGGACAGAGAGUCACCUUGUCGAAUUCCACGUGUUGGCUUGAAAAAAGGUAGAGACUCCCCAUUAAAAUUCACACUGAAAGUUACUGUUCAGACACGCUGCAUCACCCAAUGUACCCACUGUUCGCAGAAUCCCAUUUUAGUUAGGCAUGCACUAAGGAAAUCCUAUUCAAUCCUGUCAUACGCCUUCUGCAUAUCUAGCUUUAAGACUGCUUGGAACUUCUUUUUUCUCUCCCGAGUGCGUAAUCUGUCAAGAACUUCCUGUACCAGCAAUAUAUUAUCUUGUAUUAGCCUUUCCCCCACAAAAGCACUCUGCUCUUCUGCAAUUAGAGUUGGUAGCAGGGGUUUUAAUCUGCUAGUCAGCACUUUUGAAAUAAUUUUAUAAAUGAAAUUACAAAGGCUAAUGGGGCGAAACUGUUCCAGCUUUUGUGGAUUUGAAACUUUGGGAAUAAGAGUAAUGAGCAUUCUGUUCAUAGUCGGAUUGAGAUAGCCUGUAUUGAAAAAUCCCUGUAUCUCUGUAUAGAUAUCCUGACAGAUGUCUGGCCAAUGUUUCCUAAAAAAAAAAGGCCAUGCAUACCAUCUGGUCCUAGGGCUUUUCGUGGGCUCCUAAUUGUUGUAUGCCUUGCGUGAUCUCUUCCAUAGAAACAGGUUCUACUAGACGUUGGUUCAUUCUCACAUCCACCGAAGCUGGAAUUUGUUGUAGAAAGGGUUGAAAGUCACAAGGCCCUAUUGACUCGUAAAGCCUUUGAAAUAUGUGCUUGUCAUCUCUUUCAAUCGUUGUUCAUCACGCACCCACACAUCUUCUGGAUUUUCAACAAAGUAACAUGAUUUGUGGUUCUUCUUUGAAUGGUUGUAGCGUGAAAGAAUUUUGUAUUUUUAUCUCCCCAUGCUAACCAAUUAAUUUUGAAUCACAUUCCCCAAUACAUUUCUUCUUGUCGCCACAACUAUUCAAUUUCUUUUGUCAGUGCCUGUGCUGCCUUGCUUUCUUGAGAUACCCAUUGUUGGAGAAAUCCUCGUGAAGUGUUUUGAAGUUGACAAAACGUUUCCAUCAGUCUAGUCUGAAGGUCAGCAGACUCUGUUAGUUAAAGUCUGAAGACUUCCGGACAGCCAGACUCAAGACUCAAAGUCUAUCCUCAUUGACUGUCUCUAAUCCGUUGAAGAAAGGUUAUCCAGAACUGGAUGUUUUGUUCAGGAUUUAUCCUUAUCAUCUGGAGAAGAUCUCGUGGCUGGAGAAGACGUAUCAGAAUCCUUUGAUUGAUCAAGAUUGAUUCAAUGACUGAAGAUUCGAUGAUUGUCUAAAUAUUAUUGGAAGGUUCUACUUAUGGAAACCAAGAUCCUGAUUGUAUGGGCGAACAGGAUUGAUGGGCUAUCAACACAUUCCUUUAAUAGCUCGAACAAUCUUCCUAGAUGAUUCCGUCCAACGGGUAGAUUGGAGGAAUUCCUUUAGUAAGUGCCAACGGGUAUGAUGGCAUAAAGGAGUAUAUAAGGAAGACGUUCUUAGCUGUUCGAGGUGUGCGCGAUAGAAGAAUUCCAAAGUCUGAAGCUCCAAAUUGUUUAGACAAAUCCUUUGAGCGAAUACUUGUAUACAAAAGAGAGUCUAUAUUUGUGAGAGACCUUGAGGAGGUGUGGUAAAACAUCUACACUGUGGAAUCAAGGCAAAGCUGUGCUGUAACUUCUCUUUUGAUCAUAGUGAAAUCCAGCCGGUGGGCUGUCAGUGUGGAAGAGUGGACGUAGGCUUGGAAUAAGCCGAACCACUAUAAAUCUUGUGUUCAAUUUUCUUUUCCUUACUCUCUCUACCUCAAUCGUAUUUCAUUUCGUUAAUUAAGAGAGAAUUUACCUUCCAUCAUAUGUUAAGAAUCGCUUCCGUAUAUCGAUAAAGUAUUUAGGCACCUAUUCACCCCCCCUCUAGGUACUCAUACUAGCAAUAUCAAUUGGUAUCAGAGCUCGUGUACUCACUUUGUUUGAAGUGUUUUACUUCAGAGUUAAAGAUCCAUGGCUAGUAUGCUAGCACCAGGGCUGAUGGAAGGGCAAAGCAAUACCAGACCACCCUACUUUGAUGGAAAGGAUUACAACAUCUGGAAGAACAAGAUGAAAGCUUUCCUACGAUCAAAGGAUCCUCUGGAAUGGGACGUUGUAGAAAAAGGAAUUACUCCUACCACUGCAUCAGUCUCUGAAAGAGGAAAAGAAACUGAAGAAAUCAGCGGAAUGUCUCAGGAAGAAAUAAUCAAGAGACAGACUCUCGAUGCGAAAGCAAUUUACUCCUUAUAUUGUGCUUUAUCACCAACUGAAUAUAAUAGAAUAUCUUCUUAUGGUACAGCAAAAGAAGUUUGGGACAGAUUGCAUAUCACCUAUGAAGGAACAGAUCGAGUGAAGGAAACAAGAAUCAACAUUCUUCUCGGUCAAUACGAAGCCUUCAGAAUGAAACCAGGAGAAUCAAUAUCUGACAUGUUUAGUCGUUUUACAGAUAUUGUGAAUGGUCUUGAAAAUCAAGGUCAACCAACUUCUGACCCCAUGAAGGUAAACAAGCUACUGCAUGGACUCUCCAGGGAUUGGAAUCACAUAAAGACUUCGAUAAGAGAGACGCAGAGAAUCAUGCCACUAUCUGUCGAUGAGCUGAUUGGAACUCUUCAGUCCUAUGAAGUGGAAAGGAUCAAUGAAGAUGAAGAUCCAAAAGGUAAGAAAUCCAUAGCAUUAAAAUCAAAUGAUGAUUCUGAUGUUACAGAUUCUGAAGAUGAUAUGGACGAUGAGGAGCUUGCUCUCAUGAUAAGAAGAUUCAGAAAACUGAAUAGAAAAGGAAGAAGGUUCAACUCAAAGAAACAAAGCUUUCAAAGACAGCAGACCAAGUCUGUUGAUGAUGAGGAACCAAAUAAAGAUGUAGUCUGCUUCGAAUGCAAGAAAAAGGGACACAUCAGACCCAACUGUCCUCUUCUGAAGAAGAAGAGAGGAAAAUCUGAAAAAUUUCGAAAAGCUCUCAAAGCUGAAACCUGGAGUGAUACUGAGUGUGAAGAAAGUGAUAAUGAAUAUGCCAAUCUAUGUCUGAUGGCACAAUCAGACUCAGACUCUGGAUCAGACUCAGACAGUGAAUUUAAGGCAAGUGAUUUUAAAAUUCCUGUUAAAGUUUCUAAAUAUAUUAAUGAACUAUGCCUUAGUCUUAAGACUUCUCUCAAAAGAAUUUCCGAACUGAAAAAAGAAAACUCAGCUCUAAAUCAAAAGGAAAAUGUUUUAGCAGAAAGAGUUAAAAGUCUAGACCUGUCUAUUUCCAAUCUUAAAGAAAAUGAAGAUAAUCUUUUAAAAGAAAAUGCUUUUUUAAAAACAGACUUAUCAAAUAUAUCAAAGAAAUUUUCUAUAGGGUCUGAAAAACUUGAGAAAAUUCUUUCAGCACAAAGACCUUACUUCAAUAAGUCUGGUCUAGGUAUGACAGAAGAAACAAUUCCCUUGAUUGAUUUUCCUAAAGUAAAAGAAAGAAUUAAGAAAAGACUCUCGAGUGAGGUUUACAAAAAUCACUUCAAGAAAGUUUUUGUAAAACCUGUAGGUAGAAAUGCUCUCAGAUGUUCUAAGUGCAACAGCCCGGAUCACUUUGAAAAAAAGUGUCCUAUGGUAUGGAAACCUGUUAAGAAAGUAUGGGCUAAUACUGUUUAUCUUACUAACACCAAAGGACCCAAGAAAAUUUGGGUACCAAAGAAAGCUUGAGACUUUAUUUUAAAUGCAGGUCUCCGUCAAGAAACAGGUAAAGUGGUAUCUUGACAGUGGAUGUUCAAGACACAUGACAGGAGACUCAAAUUGCUUUAUAAAGCUUGCUCAAGUAAAUGGUGGAAAAGUUUCAUUUGGAGGAAACAACAAAGGAAGUAUUGUGGGUUUUGGAACCGUGAAAAUCGAAUCUCUCACAAUAAGUAAUGUUUCCUUAGUGGAAGGACUCAAUUACAAUCUUCUCAGCAUUCGUCAAUUGUGUGAUACUGGUUUCAAGAUCUUCUUUCAAGAAGGAACAUGUUCUGGAAUCAGUAAAGACUCUACUCAGUCUUUCAUGGGUCGAAGACAUGGUAAUAUCUAUCUUCUAGAUGUGAAACCAAAUGAAUCGCAAUGCCUUAUCUCAAUUCAAGACGAAGCAAGCUUAUGGCAUAAAAAGCUUGGUCAUGUCAACAUGAAGCAAUUAGCCAAAAUCUCUUCAAAACAGCUUGUUCGAGGUCUACCCAGAUUACCAUACCAAAAGACUGAUUCAUGUACUCCAUGUAUUCUGGGAAAGCAGGUAAGAAAUUCUUUUAAGCCAAUUAAUUAUGUCUCUACUAAUCAUGUACUACAGUUGCUGCAUAUGGAUCUCUUCGGACCAACCAGAACUCAAAGUAUUGGGGGUAAGAAGUAUUGCCUAGUAAUUGUUGAUGAUUACUCCCGUUUUACUUGGGUAUAUUUCCUUGCAAGUAAGUCCGAAACCUUUUAGUAUUUUGAAAAAUUUGCUAAAGUGAUUCAAAAUGAAAAAAGGAUGUGUUAUCUCUAGUAUAAGAACAGAUCAUGGAGGUGAAUUUGAAAAUCAAGAUUUUACAAAAUUCUGUGAUGAAUCUGACUGUAAGCAUAUGUUUUCCUCUCCAUAUACUCCUCAGCAAAAUGGAGUUGUGGAAAGAAAGAAUAGAUCUCUUCAAGAAAUGGCUAGAACUCUUUUAAUUGAAAGUAAAAUUUCUUCUCGAUUUUGGGCCGAAGCUGUUUCAACAGCUUGCUAUAUCAUCAAUAGAGUCUUCUUAAGAUCUAUUCUUCAUAAAACCACUUAUGAGUUAUUCAAAGAAAAGAAGCCUAUUGUUUCAUACUUUCAUGUAUUCGGUUGCAAAUGUUUUAUUUUGAAAAAUGCAAAAGAUCGAGUUGGUAAGUUUGAAGAAAGAUCAGAUGAAGGUAUCUUUCUUGGAUAUUCUACAUCAAGCAAAGCCUACAGAGUCUAUAACAAGAAGAGCCAGACUGUGGAGGAGUCAAUGAAUGUCAAAUUUCAAGACUCAACACAAGAUGAAUCAACUCAGACUCAUCAAGAAGAGUCUGAACCUGCUCCAGACCCUCCAAAGUCUACAACUCAAGAAGCAUCUAAGACUCUGGAAAACCAGCUUCAAGAUGUUCGUGAAGAUCCAAACAAAGAAAGAAAUCAUCAACCAGACAAAUCAACGAGUAACUGGAAGCAUAAGUCCAGUCAUCCCAAAGAUCUUAUAAUCGGCGAAAUUAAUGAAGGAAUUCGCACCAGAUCCAAAAGGCGAGAAGAGUCUAGUGCUGUGGCACUCGUUUCUGAAAUUGAACCAAAGAGCAUAGAAGAAGCUUUAUCUGAUGAAAGCUGGAUAGAAGCUAUGCAAGAAGAGCUCAGACAGUUCAGCAUAAAUGAUGUCUGGGAAUUGACAUCUAAACCAAAAGGUAAAACUGUUAUUGGAGCUAAAUGGGUGUUCAGAAACAAGAUGAAUGAGAAAGGAAAAGUCGUACGAAAUAAAGCAAGACUCGUGGCCAAGGGAUAUACGCAAGAAGAAGGAAUAGACUAUGAUGAGACUUACGCUCCAGUGGCAAGGUUAGAAGCUAUUCGACUAUUACUUGCGUUUGCCUGUUAUAAGAAUUUCAGGUUAUUCCAAAUGGACGUCAAAAGCGCCUUCCUAAAUGGAUUUAUCCAUGAGGAAGUUUAUGUGGAACAACCACCAGGGUUUGAAGACCCAAAGAAGCCAGACUCAGUCUUCAGACUGAAAAAGGCUUUGUAUGGUUUAAAGCAAGCACCCCGAGCUUGGUACGACAGAUUGAGUAAGUUUUUAAUUCAAAAUGGUUUUGUCAAAGGUAAAGUGGAUACAACCUUAUUUAUCAAAAAGGAAAACAAAAGUUUCUUACUUGUUCAAAUAUAUGUGGAUGACAUUAUUUUCGGAUCCUCUAAUGAGAAUCUGUGCAAGAAAUUUUCUAAGUCUAUGCAGGAUGAAUUUGAAAUGAGUAUGAUGGGAGAAUUAACAUUCUUUCUUGGUCUUCAAGUAAAACAAUUGGAGGUAGGAACUUUUAUUUAUCAAGAAAAAUAUGCUAAUGAUCUUGUCAAAAGGUUUGGACUGGAAAAUUGCAAAAAGGUCGACAUUCCAAUGUCAAGUUCUUUAAAGAUAGACAAAGAUGAAGAAGGGAAGAAAGUUGAUCAAAAGCUGUACAGGAGCAUUAUUGGAUCACUUCUUUAUCUUACUGCCUCUAGACCUGAUAUUUUGUUGAGUGUUUGCAUCUGUGCUAGGUUUCAAUUAGAUCCUAGAGAAUCUCAUCUCAGUGCUGCAAAACGCAUCAUUAAAUACGUCGCUUCAUCAUCAAGCAUUGGUCUUUGGUAUCCUAAGAAGGGAGACUUUAAUCUUCUGGGAUAUUCAGACGCAGAUCUGGCCGGUUGCAGAGUUGAUAGAAAGAGCACUUCAGGAACUUGCCAGUUGCUUGGAAGCAGGACAGUGUCUUGGUUUUCAAGGAAACAAAGCACUGUGUCUCUUUCAACAACAGAAGCAGAGUAUGUAGCUCUUGGAAGCUGUUGUUCGCAAAUUCUAUGGAUAAAACAACAGCUGAGAGACUUUGAAAUUGAAGACUCAUGCACGGAGAUUAAUUGUGACAACACCAGUGCUAUCAACCUCACCAAAAAUCCAAUUCUCCACUCAAGAGCAAAGCAUAUAGAGAUUCGACAUCACUUUAUAAGAGACCAUGUUCAAAAUGGAGAUGUUUCAAUUCAAUUUGUUGACUCAAAGAAUCAACUGGCGGAUAUAUUCACAAAGCCUUUGGAGAAAAUUCAAUUUGAGUCUAUACGCUCCAGACUCAACAUUUUGAGGUAUGAGGAUAUCAAAGUCUAAACACUUUCAGACUCAGGCUAGCAAGACUUUAUCUACUGUCUUGGCUCGACCUUCAGACUGUAAGUCUUUCUCUCUCCAAUAUUAUCUUGAAAAGGUACGAUCAUCAGACUGUGUUUAAAGUAUUGCAUCGAUUCAUUUUCAAAAAGGUAGUUAUUUUUGAAAUGGCUAUUUUUGCGGAAAAAGACAGUUAUUUUGAAAAGGCAUAUUUUUAUUUCCUUUGUGACGGUUCGUUUACUCUUCUUUUUAACCGAUUGUGCACUGUCGAUUUCUCUUCAUUUUUCUAUUCACUUUUCUCUCAAAAACCCUAGAAAGCAUCGAUCCUCAAUUCCCGUUUGUCUUCUUCGCUCAAUCUUCAAAAAGUUGUCAUCUUUUCUGGGAAAGUCAAGCAAUGAAUCUUCCAAACACUGAGAAAGAUGUCAUCUUCACGAAAGUCCUCAAGAAUCGCAAGCAGGGGACCACAGAGAAUGAGUGAGGGGCUUACGCACUUCGAUCUUACAGAGGAGGAAGAGAAUCCUGAACAGCAAGCGAGCCCACAACUUUCUCAGCAGCGUCAUUCUUCACCAUCUAGUCCUCAAGGAGAUGAUCAUCAGCAACAGGAAGAAAUCAUCGAGGAUGCAGACCCCGUAAGAGUUCAAAAGCCCGCUUUUAUUUACAAGCUUUAUCGUGCCUUAAAAGGAAUUCGUACUCCUUUGAACUAUGUUGAUGAGUUUCUUAGAGACAAAGGAUAUAGGAACGAAUAUAUCUUUCUGCGAAAAAUGGAAAGUAUGGGAAUCGCUCGUAAAGGGGUGGCUGAGGAAACCCUUGCAAAUAUCCCAAGUGAUCCUCGUGAUUGGGGACCGAAUCCUGUAGAUGGGAAUGACGAUGACAAUCUGUUCAGUCUAUUUCAACCGAAAAUGGGUAUUGCGACUGAAAUUCAAGGAAAAAGGGGAGAUUUGUUCAGAUCAAAGGAACAAAAGGAUUUGUACUCGAAACUGCUGAAGCGUGGGGUAAUAAACCCUAGAAGUGUGGACUUUGAUUUUCUGGAUGCUAUGAAAGUGAACUUGAGGGAAAAGUUCAGUUAUCUUCAACUUGAAAAGUUUUGCUCUGACUCAACUGAGGCCUAUGCUGGAUUAACUGCUUAUUUCUAUUCAAAUCUUAGCUUUUUGGAUGCGAAUAGAUUCUCUUUCAGCGUUAAAGAUCAAGACUAUGUUGUGGAUAUGGACAUGCUGGCAGAUGUGUUAGAAGUUGAGAGAGGCAGAUAUCAACCAAUCAAAGUUUCCAUUGCUGGGGCCACACUUGAACUGGUGAAGGACAGGAGAACAGAUGAGAAGAUCACCUACUCACGGAUGAAUGCAUUCAACAUCUUGCUCCACAAGAUUGUGAUCAAUUGCCUUCGGCCGAAAUCAACUUCCAAAACUGAUGUUUCAAGCUCUGAGGCAAAGUUGAUGUAUGCCAUCCUCUGUGGUAAGAAGUUUUCUCUCCCUCAUACUGUUAUGUUUCACAUGUAUAGAGCAGUGAUGAAGGACAGAGGUCAACUCCCUUACCCAAGCCUUGUUACAAAGUUAUUCAGACAUCUGAAUAUUUAGCCUCCGCAAAUCUUUUGUGUUCGAUCAUGCGAUCAUAUGGUGGUAGGACUGAAAAUGGUGACCAAAAUGCGUCUGAAGGAACUGAGCAAGGAAUUGGAGAAAUUCAAGGAGAAGACUCCUUCCAAAUCUCAUCAACUCUCUUCUGCUGCUAAGAGAAAAGGGAAGGAGCCCAUGGUUGCUUCAUCAAAGAGAAGAAGAGCUCUCCUUGUUGAGGAUGAAGAUGAUGACGAAGACAUCACUAUCUCUGCAUUGGCCUUGAAGAAUUUAGGUCGUCCUGUUCCACAGAAAGAAUCGGAACAAAAGACGAAAGAAGCAGAGGAGAAGGAAGAAGAAGAAAGAGAAGCAGAGGAGAAGGAAGAAGAAGAAACAGAAGCAGAGCAAGAAGCAGAGAAAGAAAGACCUGAAGAAGAAACAAGAAAAGAAGGAGAACCUGAGGAAAUCUUUUCUCCACCUGAAGGCAUGGAAACAGGGGGAGAUAAGGAGAAAGGAAUGACGUCUUCAUAUCCUGAUGCAAGUGAAGGAGUCAGUCGCUCGCCUGCAGACCCAGAAGAUGUUUAUGCAUCUCAAUUUCCAGAGGAAUGUCAUGAAGUGUCAUCGCCAAAUCUGCAAGACUAUGCUGAUCUACCAUCUUCUGCAGAUCGAGCCGAAGCAAGUACUCAGACUGAUAAUAGAGCAGAUUUUCGCAGAAUCAUGGAUAUUCUCUUGGAGAUGAAAGGUCAGAUUUAUGCCUUGGGAUGCGAAGUUCAAAGUUUGAAGACUGAAAGUCAAGCUUCUUCCUGUUCAUUGAAUGAUAAGAUGCAAGCCCUCUCUAUUCAGAAUCAGGCCAAUGCCAAGAGUGAGGAGGUUGUUUAGCUGAAGGAAGACUUUAAAAGGCUGGAAGGCAUCGUUCAGUCUAUGGAAGAUUUCCAGCUUGUCCGCAUUCCCAAGACUUCAUCUCAUCCUUUUUAAUGAUGACAAAAAGGAGGAGAGAUGCAUGAUUUGAUCAAAAACUUUCAAUCAUUUUUUUUUGAACUGUUUGUUGGAUUGUGUUGUUGUUUAACUAUUUUUAACAGACUUUGACUUUGUUUUGUGUCUAGAUAAGAUCUGAACUAGACUUGGACUUGACUGCUUCUAUUAACAAGUAUUGAUAUCUUAUGGAUGGUUUUAUUAUAUACAAGACUAACCUAUUUUCUGUGGUUGCAUAUUCUAGUGUUAAUCUUUUAGCCAUUCAUCUCUAUAAGAUAUGCAUAUGUGUUUGAGAAAUGUUUUGCAGGUCAAUGUUAUCCAAAUCUGCAGGAAGGUUUUGUCACCAUCAAAAAGGGGGAGAUUGUUGGAGAAAUCCUCGUGAAGUGUUUUGAAGUUGACAAAACGUUUCCAUCAAUUUAGUCUGAAGGUCAGCAGACUCUGUUAGUUAAAGUCUGAAGACUUCCGGACAGCCAGACUCAAGACUCAAAGUCUAUCCUCAUUGACUGUCUCUAAUCCGUUGAAGAAAGGUUAUCCAGAACUGGAUGUUUUGUUCAGGAUUUAUCCUUAUCAUCUGGAGAAGAUCUCGUGGCUGGAGAAGACGUAUCAGAAUCCUUUGAUUGAUCAAGAUUGAUUCAAUGACUGAAGAUUCGAUGAUUGUCUAAAUAUUAUUGGAAGGUUCUACUUAUGGAAACCAAGAUCCUGAUUGUAUGGGCGAACAGGAUUGAUGGGCUAUCAACACGUUCCUUUAAUAGCUCGAACAAACUUCCUAGAUGAUUCCGUCCAACGGGUAGAUUGGAGGAAUUCCUUUAGUAAGUGCCAACGGGUAUGAUGGCAUAAAUGAGUAUAUAAGGAAGACGUUCUUAGCUGUUUGAGGUGUGCGCGAUAGAAGAAUUCCAAAGUCUGAAGCUCCAAAUUGUUUAGACAAAUCCUUUGAGCGAAUACUUGUAUACAAAAGAGAGUCUAUAUUUGUGAGAGACCUUGAGGAGGUGUGGUAAAACAUCUACACUAUGGAAUCAAGGCAAAGCUGUGCUGUAACUUCUCUUUUGAUCAUAGUGAAAUCCAGCCGGUGGGCUGUCAGUGCGGAAGAGUGGACAUAGGCUUGGAAUAAGCCGAACCACUAUAAAUCCUAUGUUCAAUUUUCUCUUCCUUACUCUCUCUACCUCAAUCGUAUUUCAUUUCGUUAAUUAAGAGAGAAUUUACCUUCCAUCAUAUGUUAAGAAUCGCUUCCGUAUAUCGAUAAAGUAUUUAGGCACCUAUUCACCCCCUCUAGGUACUCAUACUAGCAAUAUCACCCAUGUGCUGUUCAUUAAUUGUUCACUAUUCAGCCAAAUAAUCCUCCUCUUUGCAUUGGUAAAUUUUCCCUGACUCCAUUUUAACAACUUUUUUUUCCACUAUCUGCAGUUUCUCAACCACAUUGAGCUGUUGGAAAUCGGAAGCAGCCCAAGUGUCCCUGACGAGGCUCACACAUUCCUCCUCCUCCGCCCAAAAGGCUUCAUACUUAAAGCUCUUCCUCUUCCUUUGUUUCGAUGGGCAAGUAGAUAGAAUAAUUGGAGUGUGGUCAGAGCCAAUGGCUGGUAUGGCUAUACAUUCUGCUAUAGGAUAUUUAAUACGCCAAUCUGAGUAACAUAAUACUCUAUCAAGACACUCCUUGACCAGAUUUUCUCCUUCUCUUUUGUUUGUCUAGGUGUAAGCACACCCUUUACAUUCCAUAUCCAGCAAAUAACAGUGGUUGAGGAAGUCCUUGAAGGCUGCAAGCCUCUAAUUUGCAGCUCUUUUCUUUCCCACUUUUUCCCAGUGAUAUAGGAUUUCAUUGAAGUCACCCAUACACAACCAUGGCAAGUGAUAACAUUGAGACUUUCUAUUAAUAUUCUCCCAUAAUAGAAUUUGCUCCUUAAAUUCAUUCAAAGCAUGUAUAAAUGAAAUGUGCAUACGUUGGUUGCUGGCUGGUAGAUGGCAUCGGGUGAUGAUAACAUGUUUCGUGAAAGAGUCUAUAGUUAAGAUUACCUCAUCAUCCCAAAAUAUUGCUAAACCCCGCUGUACCUUCUGGAUUCACUAUGAAACAAUGCUGAAAGUGGAGUCUCCGCCUCAAUCUUAACACCUUAUGCUCCUGAUUUUUAAUUUCCAUAAUAAAUAUAAUAUUGGGCCUUUCUUGAGUCGUUAAAACCCUUAAAGCUUGAACUGUCAAGGGAGUGCCCAGCCCUUGACAAUUCCAGCUUAAUAUCUUCAUGGAUGAGUUGGUGGCUUAUUAGGGCUAGCCACCAGAGCCCACUGAGCAGACUUGUUCGCCACACGAAUAGGGGUCUCAACCAGCUGAGUAGUGUCAACCAUUACUGUUUUUUUAUGAUUGUGCACCAUAUGUGCAGAAUCUUUUUUCUUUUUUUGAGGAAGACAAUUUAGCGCUUCUUGUUUUCUCCCUUGUUAGGCCUUUUUCCCUAGCUAUAUUCUCCGCCAUUUCUUCUUCAGCUUCUUUUAACUGUUCUUGAUAUAUCACCAUGACAGAUUCAUCAUCAAGGCAAUUGCUACCUCGCUUCUGGGGGCCCUUCUCUUUGAAGAGUACUAAUUCUUGUGAAGAAAAUGUGGGGUUACCUUCCUUUGAGUUUAGGUUUUCGACAUUGCUCAGUUCACCAAGUUGUUGGGUUUGCUGCAUUACAUUUUGCUGUUGUUCUAGUUUAGGGACCUACUGAAUGGGAGUUUCUGGCACACUUUCCUCCUCCUCUGGCUGUAGUUCUUAUUUGCCAUAGAAAAUUUUUCCAUAUGGACUAAGCUCCCGCGCCUCUGCUCGAAGCCAAUGUCCAAAACGACCUGGUAAGUUCUUUGCUAGCCUUGACUCCUCAUAUGGUAUUUCUUGACAAUAAGUUGCAUAGUGCCUAAUCCUACCACAUGAAUAACAAUAAUGUGGGAGCCUUUCGUACUUAAACUCUACCCACAAUCUUUUUCUGUCAAGAUUCACAAGUACACCGGUUUUGAGGGGGUUUUCCAAAUUCAACUUUACUCUAGCCCUGCCAAUCUUGUAGUUGAUGUUCCCUUUCGCUUCUAACUUUACAUCUACUACAUCUCCGAUUUUGGAUGCUAUUUCCCUGACUACUGCAUCUGUUACUCUCCCGAUGGGUAAGCCAAAGAAAUUUACCCAUAAGUCAUAGUGGUUAAAUUCAUAGCAAAUAUCAGGGGUGUCAGGGUCACAUUGCUUUAAGACUAGUAAAUUACUCCCAAAGGACCACGGCCCUGAAUCGAACACUCGCUGUUUUUCAGCCUCCAACUAGAAAGAAAACGAGAAGUAUCCAAGCUCAACGACAGCACAAGUAAAAGUUUCAUUUUGCCAGGCUUUUUUCAUUAUGCCGAUAAAUGCAUUAAAGUUUGUGGUAGGCUUAUUAAAAAAAACUUCCCAAACAGAGUUUUUCGGCAUGUUUGCAGGUUUUCCUCAAGAAUGUCACCUGUAAUAUCUACAACAUCUUCCUCUGACAAGAGAUUGCCCAAACUCUUACAGAGGGCAUCUUCUUGUAUACAGGAACAUAAUCGAAAUAGAGUAUUAAAGCUGGCCUGAUAGAUUGUGGAACCACUAAAUGCGGGAUGAUGAAAUCCUAUGUGAUUGAAGGGAGCUCUGGGUUUGCAGGUGAAGACAGAUGGAAAUUAGCACCAGCUGGUUGAUUAUGGUGGUCUUGGAAAUUUCUCGCUGAAGAACCGGACCGUACGCUCGAAAUAAGAGCUGUGAUGUGAUUUAGGGCACCGCUUGUGAGCUAAUAGAGGGCUUUGUUGGUAGAGAAGGAGGAAUGGGGUUAGGGUUUUCUACCCAUCCUUUUAAAUCAAAUCUGUGGUAUUGGGAAGGAAGAGGGUGGAAUGCAGUAGUGAUGGGUGGUGAGGAUGCAAUUCAACAGUGGGAAAACCUACCCGAAAGGUAGGAGAAGACUACUCAGGCGGUAGAGCAACAGCUCUUUCUUCGCCAGCUGUACAAAAGGCCAAAAAAUAUAAUUGGGUUUCACCAGCAAUGAUGCACCUAACGUAGCUUUAUUCUCUCUCUCUCUCUCUCUCUCUCUCUCUCUCUCUCUCUCUCUCUCUCUCUCUCUCUCUCUCUCUCUCUCUCUACUGCGGCUACUCUUUCUUUGCUAACUAUACAGAAGGUCAAAAAAUAUAAUUGAGUUUUACCAGCAAUUAUGCACCUAAGUAGCUUUGUCCUUCGGUUUGAUGAUAAGGAGCAACCCAUCUUUGUUGACCUCACUCCAAUCAGUGUCGGCGAAAUAGGUAUACUCACUCCAAGUCCUUCAUCUGUUGGACUUUCCAUUCCAGAGCAUCAGCGUUAGCAUCGUCCUCCGCUCCCAACUGUUAAGACUACAAUAAAUAGCAGUAGCUCAGCCACUAAUAAUGCCACCAAGAACAGGAGGAGAAAGCAUAUGAGGAAGAAGUAGAAUGUAUAAAUGCUGCCGAGAAGUGUACAGGAAGAAGAACCACUGUUAAAAACAAAGAAAGAAAAGAAGAUAAAGAUAAGGGUGAUGCUACGGAUUGUAUUAUUGCAUAUGAAUAAUCUGCGAAGCUUGUGAAGCCAAGAGUUCUCUCUCUCUCUCUCUCUCUCUCUCUCUCUCUCUCUCUCUCUCUCUCUCUCUCUCUCUCUCUAAGCUAGAGCUCUCUGUUUAGCACUCUAUUCUUGUACUUUGUUUCUUCUUUGUUUUUCCGGUAAUCAGUUAGUUUUUCUCUUCAAUUAGGUAGUUGUAUUUUCUUCAACUGUUCAAUACAUGUAGAACAGAUUCUUGAGAGAGAGCUAACGUAGAUAUAAAAGGAAAACUCUCCUGAUGUAGUUUUCGUGAAGUUGAAAUAACAGAAAAAGCAUUUUCAUCUCUGUUUUCUCUCAUUUUCUCUCCAUCACUUCCUGCUCAUAAACUUCUUCAUGGUAUCAGAGCCAUGCAUCCUGAAGAAGUCAUCUCGAUGCUACAUAAAAAUGGCUGAAUCUACAGCAGAUUGAAGUCAAAUUCAAAGCUUCAUUGAUCUAUGAGACAUCUAUAUCUUCCAACAAAUCUGUGAGUUGGUAUUUCUCAUCUACAUCUAAAUCUUCAUCAUCAGAAAUAUACUCGUAGCAACAUACUGCAAAACUAGUAGAGUUUGUGUUUGCAACUAAAGUUGUUCGAAGAUCUGGAAGAGUAGAAUGGCAACAAGAAGUUUGAGAUAUCCAUUUCCUAUUCAUGUCAAUAUCUCAAAUUUUGUUACCAUCAAAUUAACUGAGGAUAAUUUCCUUCUGUGGCAAGCCCAAUUUCAUAGGUUCUUAAGAAGUCAAGACCUAUUUGGUUUUGUUAAUGGAGAAGUUCCACCACCUGCUAAAACAUUGCAGGUCCGAGAAGGAGGUCACACUACUGAGGUUUCUAAUCCCGAUUAUAAUGAUUGGAUCAAGACAGAUUAGCUUGUAUCCUCUUGAAUUAUUGGUGCUGUUUCAGAAAACAUACUCAGUUUGAUAAUUGGCUUAAACACUACAUAUGAAGUUUGGCAGACUUUGCUCAAUCGGUUUACACAAAAAUCUAUGGCAAAGGAGUCUGAGUUAAGGGGAAAACUGCAAGCUUGUUAGAAGCGUGAUAGAACAUUAUCAACAUAUCUCAAAGAGUAUAAAUCAAUAUGUGAUCAAUUGAAUGCAAUAGGGAAACCAGUGGAUGAAAUAACAAGAUUGUUUGGUGUUUUGGAAGGUCUGGGGUAUGAGUAUGAGAGCUUUAAAACAACAAUUUACUGUUUAAAGCCUCAAUAGAAUAUGACAAAGUAAUCUCACAUUUAGAAAGAUUUGAAACAAGGCUACAAAACUAUUCUUCGAAUCAGUUCAGUCCAAAUCUAGCCUACUAUGGCCAGAGGAAGACUGAAGUUAUACACAAAGAAGAGUUUAACAGAGAUUUUGUACAACAGAAUAAUAGCCUUGGAAGUUCAAGAGAGAAUAGUCGUGGAGGAAGAAAUUAUGGAAGAGGAAGGUCAUUCAAUAACAGAUAUAGAAACUUUAGAUAUCCUAGAAGAAGUAUGAAUUACAGAAAUAAUAGUUUGAACUAUGAACAGGGAAGUCAGCAGCUUAAGUAGUUUAAUACCUCCUCUACUUUGGGUUUUGGUCAGGGAUUCAGACCAUAUAAUGGCUUAGCACAAAGGUAUUCAGAUACCAAGACCUAUCCAUCUUCAAAUUUAACUCUUCAUAAAAAUAUGCAGGUGGAGAAAACAACAGAAAACACUCGACUGGAGUGUCAAAUCUACAGAAGACCUGGUCAUGAUGCAUUACACUGUUGGUAUCGAUUUGAUAAUUCCUACCAAGCUGAGGAGAUACCAACAGCUUUAUCAACACUACAUAUUAAGAAGCAAAUGGUAAUGAAUGGUAUCUAGACACUGGAGCAACAACUCACAGUACUGCUAAUGCUGGUAUUCUUCAUAACUUUUCUAAGAAUGCUGGUACUGAUACAGUCAUGAUUGGCAAUGGUUCAUGCUUACUUGUUAAAUACAUUGGUAAUGCAUUGCUGAAUACUGCUACUGAUGUCUUACCUCUAAAUGAUGUGUUGAUUGUUCCAGAAAUUAAGAAAAACCUUCUUUCAGUUUCUAAACUAACAGAUGAUUAUCCAUGUUCAUUUGUCUUUGAAAAAACUGGGGUGUACAUAAAGGACAGCAUCACCAACACAACCAAGAUGCUAGGAAGGAAGGUUAAAGGACUUUACAGAGUAGAUCCUUAUGCUGCAGAGGUCUUCUUCACUCAAAGACAAAGGAUUGCUGGAGAGAAUGUCUAGCAUCAACGUCUAGCUCAUACAAAUCAAAAUAUCCUGAAGCAUAUGAAGAAUCAAAAGCUAAUUCAGUGCCAUAUAGAACCACAAUUUGUAUGUAGAAGUUGUCAACUAGCUAAGAGUACUGCUCUACCUUUCCCAUUGUCGAAUUCUACAACUACUAAACCCCUAGAACGAAUUCAUUGUGAUAUCUGGGGACCUUCUCCAAUUAACUCUUUUCAGAAUUUCAAGUACUAUGUCAUUUUUGUUGACAACUUCUCUCGGUUCAGUUGGAUCUAUCCAUUGAAGCUAAAAUCAGACUUUUAUGAUAUUUUUCUCAUGUUUCAGGGACUAGUAGAAAACCAACUCAACUGUAAGAUCAAGAUUUUCCAAUGUGAUGGUGGAGGAGAGUUUAUCAGUCACAAGUUCAGAACUCACUUACAAAACUGUGGCAUUCAACAGCAUGUCUCCUGUCCAUAUACACCUUAACAGAAUGGAAUAUCUAAAAGAAAACAUUGUCAUAUAGUUGAACUUGGUCUGGCUAUACUGUAUCAUGCAAAACUCCCAUUAAAAUUCCGGGUUGAUGCAUUUGUGACAUCUAAUUAUAUUGUCAAUAUUCUUCCCACUCCAAAGUUAAAGAUGCAGUCUUCCUUUAGCAAGUUAUAUCAGCAUAAGCCAAGAUAUGAUCAUCUCAGAGUUUUUGGGUGUGCUUGCUAUCCCUGCCUUCGACCCUAUGCACAACACAAGCUUGAUCCACGAUCCCUUACCUGUGUUUUUCUAGGAUACAAUACUCACCAUAAGGGAUAUCGAUGCCUUGUUCCUACCACUGGUCAUGUGUACAUCAGUCGACAUGUGGUAUUUGAUGAGACCUUCUUUCCUUUCUCUCAGAAAUUAGCAACAACUUAUUCAACUUACACACAUUUGUAUAAGCUAUGGACAGAAGAAGAGAAAUUUUUACAACCUUCCAGUACAAAUUACAUAAACACUUCAUUAUCUCAUCAUACAGGUUAUGUACAAGACCCUACAGUUGAGCAAACAGUUGAACAAAUAAUCUCUACUAGUUCUACAGAACCAGCAGUUCCUGUUUCUACAAAUAAAUUACCUAUGGAUCAAGCUUCUUCUACUUCUCAAAAUAUUUCACAACAAGUAGAAAUACAUGGUUCCACAACAGAGACAACAGCUGAACCAGAUAUGGAACAAGCUGUUCAAACAGCCUUACAAGGUACACUAUCUACUCAACCUAUGUAAACUAGAUCUAAAUCUAGCAUCAUCAAGAUCAAUCCUCGAUAUGCAUGCCUUACUGAAUAUCGAGUUCCCCCAGACCAAAGUCAAUAAAAUUUGCUCUAGCAAAUCCAAGAUGGCAUCAGGCAAUGCAAGAGGAAAUGGAUGCUUUACAUCAAAAUCAAACUUGGUUAUUAGUUCCCCGUACCAAUGACAUGAAUGUUGUAGGCUGUAAAUGGGUGUUCAAGACUAAAUUUACAUCAGAUGGCAGCCUCAAUCGAUUGAAGGCUCGACUAGUAGCUAAGGGGUUUCAUCAGGAAGAAGGAAUAGAUUUCACAGAAACCUUUAAUCCUGUUAUUAAGCAUGCCACUGUUCGAAUUAUACUCUCGGUGGCAAUAAUAAAACACUGGUCUAUACAUCAACUUGAUGUCAAGAAUGCCUUUUUGCAUGGCACCUUAAAUGAAACAGUUUACAUGGAGCAACCCCCUGGCUUUGUACAUCCACAGUACUCUCAGUAUGUUUGUCUUCUUCAAAAAUCACUUUAUGGACUACAGCAAGCACCGCGUGCUUGGUAUGACAAGUUCAGUAAUUUUUUACUUGAAGCUGGUUUUUUCUGCAGCUCAAUUGAUCCUUCUUUGUUCAUACUUCAUAAAGGUCAAGAGACAUUACUUCUAUUGCUAUAUGUUGACGAUAUAAUCCUGACUGGUAGCUCAGAUAAGUUGCUGCAGACAGACACUUAUUCACUCCCUCAGUAUUCAAUUCCAUAUGAAAGACCUUGGCCACCUCCAUUAUUUUCUUGGAAUUGAAGCUACACGAACAUCCACUAAGUUAUUUUUGUGUCAAACCAAAUAUGCUCUUGACUUACUCUCUCGUGCACAUAUGUCUGACUGCAAACCUAUUGCCACACCUCUUUCUCUUAAACCAGUCACACUAAAAACAAAUGCUGAUCUUCUUCCAAAUCCCAUAGACUACAGAAGCUUAGUAGGUGGUGUGACAUCCUGAAAUUCGACCCCGUUUCGAUAAAAUGAAAUGUGCAUAUCGUCGGCGCGCCUAUGGUCCUUUUUCUCUGAGCUGAUCACUCACGAGUUAGCCAACCUAUUGGGUGAAGCCGUUAAGGGAUAUAACCGUGGUAAAAUCCCUAAAAGCUACCUAAUUGGUUGGAUUGGACUAAAAUCGCGUCCGGUCGAUUUUAAUCAUGAAAUUUAAUUCGGUCUCGGGAAAUCGAAUAUUCGAGCGUGUCACAAUUCAUUUUUAGGACCGUCUCAUCGUCUGUCAAUUUAUUGACGAGUCCGAAAUUUCAAUAAAGAAAUUAUCGGGGGAUCAAUCGAAGAUCAAAAGAAAAUAGAAAGGAAAAGGAAAAGAGAAAAGGAAAAUUGAAAUAAAGAAUUAUGCAUUUCCUUUUUUCUUUUUCCUCUCUCUCCCUCUCUUUUCUUUUCUUUCUUUUUCUCUCUUUUCUUUCUCUCUCCUCUCCCCUCUCCCCUCCCCCUCGUGCAAAUUGCCCCCCACCGCUCACUUUCUCUCCCUCUUUUAUUGACCGGUCAACCCUUAUCUCUAUCUUCUCUCUCUCUUCUCUCUCCUCUCUCUCUUUCGCACUCUCUUCUCCCCCUUCUGUUCGAGCGAACCAUGAGCCGAAGGAAGACGAGAAACCAGAAGCUGCAGCCCCGUCGCCGCCCGUCCCGCCGCCGCACCGCCGCCCGCGCCGCACCCGUGCGCCCGCCGCUCACCGCCGUCCCGCCGUCCGCGCACGCCCAGGCCGCGCGAUCCAGCCGCGACCCAACUCUGUUCGCUCCUGUUCCAACCAUCUCCGGCCACCUCCGGCCACCGCCUAGCCCCGCCGGAGCUCCCCUGCGACCCCCUCACCCUCCGCCGGCUUCCCCUCGCCGCCCUAGCCGCCGAAGCAGCCUCGAUCGGCUCCGUUCAGCAGACCCACGAAGUGGGUUUCCAGCACUUCGGGCCCGCUUUUGGGCCGUUUCCUGGCCCCGAACCCGAGCCGUGCUUUGGAGUUUGUUGUUCCUCGUGCCGCCGCCGUCGGAUUGAUCCGAUUUGCGCGCGAUUUGGUGAGUAAUCUCACUAAUCCCUGAUUAGUUGGCUAAUUAUGCUUAGGGUUGGUUUAAAUUUAAUUAAUUAUGUUUAGGUUGUUAGAUUAGAAUUAAUUAGUAAUUAUUAGUCAAUUGUGAUGCGAUUUAGAUAAAUUGAUUGUGUAAUUAACAAGUAGACAUGGUCUACUAAUUAUUGGAAGUGCCUCGGGAUUUUUCCCGACCCUUAGUGGGCUCCAAUUAGGCUUUUCGGGCCUAAGUGGAAUUUUUAGUAUUUAAAUAUUAAUUUUCGGAAUUAAAUUAAAUAAUUAUUUAUUUUCCGAAAAUUCAACGGAGAUGGUCUGGAACCGGAAAAUUAUGCUAAUGACCGUGGUGAAGUCCGUUUAUUUGAUCGGGCUUUAUUUUGAGCUAAAUUGAAUUUUUAAUAUUAAUUAUUUAAUUUUCGAAAUUAAUAAAUUAAUUAAUUAUUUUUCGGAAAUUAAGAUUUUGAUGGCCGACGACCGAAAUCUCGUGCUGAUGGUCGUGGCGUAGUCCGUUUAUUUAUUUGAGCUCUACGUUGUAUGGAAUUGAAUAAAUUGUGAUAUUUUAGGGAUUUACCCUAAAUUGAUUGGAAUUGAUUGAGAUUGAAUUGUUGAUUGGUAAAUGGCCAAGUAUGUUAUUCAGCAUUUAUAUUGCUUUGUUGAGUUGAUUUAAUUAUUUGAUUGAGAAAUCGUUGGGCAUUGGUUGUCAGUAUUGAAAGUAGAUUGGUAAUCGCUUAAAAGAGGACACGUGGGCUCGGUGAAUUGGAAUGUCACCUGGAGAAUGCACGUGAGUUCAGUGGUUGAAUAUUUCACCUUGGCGAAAAGGUCGCCUGAGAGAAUGCACGUGGCUUGGAGACUUGAUAUGUCCUCCUUGAGAAUGCACGUGGCUUGGUGACAGAGUUUGGCAUCUAAAAGGGCACGUGGCUCGGUGAUCUGAUGCGUCACUUUGGUAAGCGAGUACCUUAGAGAAUGCACGUGGGCCCAACAUUCCGGAAUGGCAUCUAAAAGGGCACGUGGCUCGGUGACUUGAUGCAUCACUUUGGUGAGAUGCACCUAAGAGAAUGCACGUGGACCCAGGCAUCUAAAACGGCACGUGGGCUCGGUGACUUGAUGCAUCACUUUGGUGAAAUGCACCUAAGAGAAUGCACGUGAGCCCAGGCAUCUAAAAGGACACGUGGCUCGGUGGCUUGAUGUACCACCUUGGCGAAGAGGUCGCCUUAGAGAAUGCACGUGGGUCCGAGGUUCGAGGCACGUGAACUCGGAGACCUGGAAUGUCUUCCUAGAGAAUGCACGUGGCCUAGCUUGUAAAUAUCCCACAGUGGGGAUUGAUUAGUAUGACAUGUAAUCGACUAGUUCGAUUUAUUUGAAGUGAAUGGGUGUUUAUUGUGAAUUGUACUGACUUGCAGGUGGAAUCUGAGGCCAAGGUAAGUCAUCUGCCCUGUGCGUGUUUAGGCAGCCUUUAGUAUAAUGGUUUACUAAUCGGGCUUAGUGGGGUAGAACUCGCUGAGACAUAGUCUCAUCCCAGUUUGGGGAAAAACAUUUCAGGACCCCAUUGAGGAGCUGAGGAGGAAUCUAAGAAGGAGAACUCGGAGGUGAAACCUGAGUAGAAGGAUUUUUGGAAGAAGAAGAUAAUACCGAGAGAGAUUUUGAGUAUGACCUGAAGGGAUUGAGAUUUUAUCUUCUUUGAUAUCUCCAUUUUGAUGUGAAUAGAGUUUGGAAUAAAAAUUUGUGAAGUGUUUGGGUUUGUGUUUUGUAUAAAAGUUUGGUUAUAAGUUUCAAUAUGAAAAAUAUGGCCCUGCUUUUCUAUCCCAUUGUUUUAUUGUCUGGGGAUUUUAACUGCUUCCGCAUGUGCUUAAUAAAUGAAAGGGUCGGUGAUACAUUGUCCUGGGAUAUCACAUUAUAAAAUCGACCAAGAGUUGAAGGAUGUGCGCGUGCCCGAGGAUCGGGACGUGACAGGUGGCUUACAAUAUCUCACUAUCACUCGUCCUGAUCUUGCAUUUGCAACAAAUAUCUUGUGUCAGAAAAUGCAACAACCCACUGUUGGUGACUUCCUUAAACUGAAGAGAGUACUUCGUUAUGUAAAAGUAACAAUUCACCUUGGCAUCUAUCUUCACUCUCGAAGUUCUCUCAAUUUAUAUGGUUUUUCUGAUGUAGAUUGGGCUGGUUGUGUUCAAACUAGAUGAUCUACCACAGGUUUCUGUACUUAUCUCGGCUCUAAUCUCAUCUCAUGGGCAGCCAAGGAACAAACAACUAUUUUCGUUCUUCCACUGAAGUAGAAUAUAGAGCACUUGCUUCGGCAACAACUGAUCUUACUUCGAUCACUUUUGUUCUAAGAGAUAUUAGCCUUCCUCUACACUCUCCAACCUUACUAUUUUGUGAUAAUCAAUCUGCAAUAUCCCUCACAGCUAAUCCUAUACUUCAUGCUCGAACAAAACAUAUUGAGGUUGAUUUUCACUUUGUUCGAGAAAAAGUUGCCUCUAGAUCCUUGUGUGUUAGAUAUAUUCCCAGCAACAAUCAAAUUGUUGAUAUUUUACAAAGUCUUUAUCCAGACUAACACAUUCUUCUCUUUGUCUCAAAUUAGGAAUUGGCUGUUCACCCUUGCCCAAUUUGCGGGGGGAUGUUAAGACUACAGUAAAUAGCAGCAGCUCAGCCACUAAUAAUGCCAUCAAGAACAGGAGGAGGAAAGCAUAUGAGGAAGAAGCAUAAUUUAUAAAUGCUGCCGAGAAGUGUAUAGGAAGAAGAACCACUAUUAAAAACAGAGAAAGAUAAGAAGAUAAAGAUAAGGGUGAUGCUACGGAUUGUAUUGUUGCAUAUGAAUACUCUGCGAAGCUUGUAAAGCCAAGAGCUCUCUCUUUCUCUCUCUCUCUCUCUCUCUCUCUCUCUGAGCUGGAGCUCUCUGUUUAGCACUCUGUUCUUGUACUCUAUUUCUUCUUUGUUUUUUCGGUAAUCAGUUAGUUUUUCUCUUCAGUUAGGUAGUUGUAUCUUCUUCAACUGUUCAAUACCUGUAGAACAGAUUCUUGAGAGAGAGCUAAUGUAGAUAUAAAAGGAAAACUCUCAUGAUGUAGAUUUCGUGAAGUUGAAAUAACAGAAGAAGCAUUUUCAUCUCUAUUUUCUCUCAUUUUCUCUCCAUCACUUCCUGCUCAUAAACUUCUUCACCAACACCAUAUUUUUCUUCUCAAGUCCAACCUUUCUUUACUCUUCCGGUUUUCUUGCUUUGAUCUCUUGACUCAUGGCUUCUGUCCUAUGAUAUGCUUCAUGUGCUUCCAUGUUCUGUUAGAUCUGGGUUUUGGGUUUGGCGACGGUUUUCCUGUCUUAUGGGAUCGGACUCUUUUAAGGAUACUCGAACAUCAUAGUUUUGUUGCUUUCUGAACUAUGCAUGUACAUUCAAACAUCACAUGGCUUUUUGCAAUUGCAUUUAGCUUGAUAUAAGAAUGUUUAAUUCUUUGGAUUAGCUAACUUUGAUCUGCAUUUGGUUUCUGCUAAUUCUGCCUCACCCCCAGCUUCUAGAUUGCCCUGAGAAAUCUGGUCAUCUUUAGUUUGUUGUGAGCAUAAUUUGAAUUUGCAGCCCACCCAAAAGAGAAAACCUUACGUGUUCAGAGUGAAAAUUCUAAGUCAAUUAAAGUGAGAAUUUGCAGACUAUCAAGAAAAGUGCUAUUAAGUUAUAAAUAAGUCAUAUGGAAAUCAGGUAAUACUUUUUUUUUUUUUAUCAAUAACUUUUUAACACUUACCAAUUCUUUCAGGAAUUUAUCCGCAUGAAAAAUAUCCGUUUGUUUUAAAAUGGAGUAAGUAAAGUCGUCCCUGUGACGUAUGAGAGUUAAUGCAUUUUUAACAAUUUGCGUCUGGAUGGCCUCUUCACUAAACAAGAGGUCUUCUUGUAAAUGGCGUAAUUAUGACUUUUUGGGUGUUGAAUUGUCGUGAUCAUAAUUAUUAUUACUUUUUUGACCAAGAUCAUGUGUUCUCCGUUAGUCCAAUUCUAAGGAAAUUUGUUACCCUCGUAACAGUGGGGUGAAUUUUAUUUUAUUUUUUUGGAUAUCCAGGAUCUGCCAGAGCCUGUGGGGUGAAUUGAUUUUUCAAGAUAUUAAAAAUCAAUUUUGUAAAACCUACCCCUAUAAAAAUUGUGCUUCUACUACCAAGUAUACUAGCAAUUUAAACAGGACAAAACUAAAAAGUUUAGAAAAAGAAAAAUUGCAAAAUGAGAAUUAUGAAAGUUCAAUUCGGGUAUACAUACUCCUCUUUCUAGCUCUAAUAGCCCAAAUAGACUGAACUCUACUAGCUAUGCCAAGAGUACAAAUACCAUCUUGUUUAGAAAAGUACUCAAUCGGUCUUAAACUUUUCAAUUUUGCCAAUUUAAUCUUAAAUAUUUGUAUAAAAUUCCAAUAUAUUCCUUUCAGUUAUUUUUCGCUGGAAAUUUCUAACGUGACAUCAUCGUUGGCCGUCCUCUGUAGCAUACCACUAUGCCCACGAUUUUCAGCUAAAAUUGGCGAAAAUAUUAGAUUGAAAUUUCACACGAAAGUCUAGUUGAUAACCAAAUUAGUAUCCAUGCAAUAAGUCUAGGAUUGAUUAGACAAUUACUUGUUACAAGUGUAGAAUUUGCUGCCACGGAGAACUUGACUUCCUUCUACAGCAAUCCCGCUAUACACUGAGUAACUUUUGGACCCUCCAAUAGCCAUUCUCACAUCUUGUUCACACGAUAUAAAGGUCCUUUUCUAAAUUAUAAACCACACCUCCGACUGUUUACAAAGAGUCCAUUAUACAUUUUAUCUCUUGCCUAGAUACAUAGUGUUCACUCUAAGUAUGUAAAACCACCCUUUUCAUAUGUUUACGAAUGGGUUUGUCCCUCUUGCUAAUAAUUAGACACAACACUAAAAUGGGUAUUACAAGUUUACGAAAGACACGAACUCAAAAGUCCCCCAAUAAUACUUAAAUUCUCUUGUAGUAGUUAUAUCUAUCUAAUCUUCAAUUAAAAAAGAAAAAUCUCAGCAAAAUUCCUUAAAAACACAUGUAUAAAACCUUGUUACAAUCUAGGCCAUCAAUCUGAUCUUCUAUUAAUGCAGGUUUUAAUCAUAUUGUUUCGCCAACCUUCUGAGCGAAUUAGUUCCUUUUUUUUUUUUUGCAUAACUACUCUUGGGAUGUCACAUUUUAUUGCUAUGACUUGGGGCUUUGAUUUAGGAACUCCAAUAGUCAUUAAAUUUAUCCAUGGAGAGCGCCUGCUAAAAAAAUCUGACUGCUUUGCAUAACCUAGUUUGGUUCUACACCUUUCCUCCAGCAGCUUUCCUAACAUAGUAAAACCUUACUUAUGUACUUGUAAAAUCCGAACCAAGCUUCUGUAUGGUUUAAACAUGAACAUUUGCACACUUAAAUGAAUUCUUUAAAUCCUUGGGUUAAAUUUUGAUAUUAUCAUAAUCUUUUUAGUAUAUUUUCCAAGCAGUUUCACCAUUUUCAACAAUGACAAACCUAUACCAUUCCUUCAAUAAGAGUGAGUUAUGCACAUAAGCAUGCAUAUUCUGCAAAACUAUCUGACUGUAAAACCAGAGAUGAUUCAUGCAUGCUUCCACAUGCGACAUUUUAAUAGACCAUAUAAAUAUGUCUGCAAAACAUAAUAAACUCCCCUUAAUAUGUACACAUAGUGCGAUUCUCCCCCUGAGUAUGUGCUUCUCCCCCUUCUUGUUUCUUAAAAAAGCAUUAACAUCAGAUGCCCAGGGAUGAAAACCAUAUAAGCAAAAGCAUUCAUUUAUUUAUAUAUAAGAGUGUUCUACAAAGCAUAUUCCGGAAAAAUUAAUAUAAAGGAAAGUGAACACUAACCAAAAGGAUCACAAACACCGAUUUCAUCCAUCAAGCUAGAAACGUAUUGUUAUCAAGAGGUCUAUUCAGAAUAUGAGAGAAUUGCAAAUCGAUGCUAACAAAUCCUUUUCAUUGAUUCAUGUUGUGCUGUGGCUGCCAUAAUUAAAUAAAUAAAUAAAUAAAAGAAUCAUAUGAAAGAGUCUCUCUUCUUGAAGUUUGACCUAGUUCAGAGUUCCUCGAAAUGGAAGCCACCCCCGUUAAUUAGCACAAUUAAAUAUUUUAUUAGAAAUCCAAAAUUUAGGCAGUUGAAUACUUGGCCAAUUUUUAAGACAGUGUGACUCUAAAAAUUGUGCUCGUAUUCAACUGAAACACAAUUACUAAAGAAAGACUUACCGAUUGCUUAACAAUGUUGCAAUUACACUUUUUUUCAAAUCCUUACAUUAAGGAUGACACGUCCUUAUAUCUCAAUAAGGGCCAUUGACUUAACUAAGACAUUUUAUCUGUUCCCUUUUUGCUGAUCAAUAUGUCAUGAGGUUUGGUACACAACUAACUAUACUAUUAUAAAUAAUUUGAUUCUGUUGAAUACUCAAAACACAUAAAUCUGACUAAUUGGAGUUUGAAUUACUGAAACUGCGACAACAAUUGAGUAGAAAUGUAAAAGAGACUUAGGGUUGAUGCCUGAUUAUAUAUCGAAAUACCAUGGGUUUGACAUAUAGACCUCCUUUUCAAAGCCCCGUAUGCUAUUGGAAAUAUGUAUACGUAUUAGGAGCAUUUUGUGGGCUACUACAUGGUGCACUUGUUUUAUAUUUAAAGUUUCAAUGGGUCAGUUUUGUCUACUAGUAACAUUCUCCUCCAAUCAUACUUUCAGUUAACAGGUCAAAGAUUAUGGACAUUAUCAAUAUGAAAAUUUAAUCAAAAUCAAAUACGAGUGAUGUUAAUAUUUGUGUGAUCCAUCAAUGAAAGUUAUGGCUAAAAAGAGUUCAUCCAGCUAGAGCGUUACAUGUGCAAAUAGAGAUAAAAUAAAUUUAGAAUUCUAUCUGUGAGCUUUUACAUCAUUGACUAUGGUUGCUAACAAGCAUUUUCAUUGCAAAAUUUGACAACAUUUUUGGAUGGCUUUUGGAUUAUUGAUGUUGAUUACAUAAUUCUGUCGUAAUUCAGUUUUAUCACGUUCAGAUUUAGUUUUCUUACAUUUAUUUGAAUCUAAGUUACUAUUAUUGCACAUGAUUGUUGACAUCUGAAUUUCGCUAUUUUACUUAAGACUUAAUAGCAUUAAAAUUUAGGAAUAAGUCGCUAAAAAAAAUUGAUUUUUUUUAAAAAAAAAAAAAAAGAAGAGAGAAGAAGAAAAAACCUUAGGGGUCGGGCCGGAUCCGACCUUUGCCCAGCCCGCCGCCUUCCUCUUCUUUUCCCCCCGCGCGGCCCAAUCUCUUUUCCUUUCGGCACGCCCGCACCCCAGCUGUCUUCCUUGUCCUGUCUUCGCGCGCAAACCUGCAGAGGAGGACAGACAGCACGCGACCAGGCGGGACCGGCAGAAAGAAAAGACAGGGUAAAGCAGAGAGUAGGAGGAGGGGCAGAAAGAAAGUGGAGCAACCAGAGAAAGAAAAACAGAGGGAGAGAGCUCGAGAGGGAGGAAGAGAACCGGAGAGGAGGAGGGGAGUCUCCGGCACUGUCGCCACCGCUGCCGAUGCGUCUCCUAGCCGCCGACAUUUAUGAACAUUGAUCAAAUCCAACAAUUUUCUAAAAUUUAUUUGAAAGGCAAUUGCAUAAAAAUCGACAAGAAGUAAAAUGUCAAAAGGGUACUGACCUUCUUAUGACUCGUGCUCCUUUCUCAAGUUAUAAUUUUAUGCUCUUUUGCCUGGUGAUCUCGUCCUAUCCAUUCUAAAAAGGAAAAGAAACAACAAAUUUAUUGAGAUGUGUGAAAAUAUAAUAACAAAAAUGAAACAAAUUAUGCAGAUUCAUAAUAUUCAUGCCGAGAUAGCAAAAAAUUCACAAUCACAUCUAGAAAAAAGCAAGUUCGUUCAAUAAUUCAUAUGCUUCAUAAUUGUGAUCGAGGAAAGCGAACAUUAAAAUUAAGCCAAAUUUAUUCAAGACCACAUCCCGGAGGAAACAACCAACAACUACAUGCCACAUUUGACAUUUUCCUUUAAAAAUAAUGACAGCAAACUCCCAAAAAAUGAUGAGAAAUGAAUAGAAUAUCUAUGAACUAUUUUAGCAACCAAUAUGCCCUCAAACAAUGUCAUGACCCAACUAAAUCACAUCUAACCCAGAAUAUCCAGCAACUACCAUUGCAAAUGACCUAUGGUAAGGUGUUAGUCUUUAUUUACUUUUAUCUGUUUCUAUUUGCUAAAAAACGUUUGGUUUUGCUAAACGUUGGAGCACCACUACUGUUGACAUCUCCUUCUAUAAUUGCAGUUGGUACCUUUGGAUAUUUGUGGUCAUCUUCUUAUUGCUCAAUGUCCAAGGUGAGAAACCACAUUAAUCACAUAUUGCAAUUUCCAAAUUUACGCGUCAUGAAUACAACAAGGUUUACUUUUCAUUAUUGUAGUUUUUACCCCAGCAAAACAUGGCUGAACACAAUUUAGGCAUGGUUUGGCAUGGCGAUUCUAGUCCUCAUAUUGAGAAGGAAUUUGCACGGAGUUCAAUGGUCCUUUCCGGAGAAACACCUAGGCUGUUGAUGCUUCUGAGCAUACGAGAGUCAAGAGCAGUUAAUAUCAAGUUACCCACAACAUAAUUCCCAUCAAAACCCCUAAAGUAACGCUUAAAGGCCAAUCCUAUAAACGGGGGAUUUAACUAUAACUGAUGAGGGGCUGCAAUCAAUUAUGCAGGCUGGCAUGCAUACUUUUGGAUAUCUUUCAUGCAUACUUUUGGAUAUCUUUUGUUCUCUUUUUGGUGAGUAGAACCGUGUCCCGGCAUUGGGCUGCUUAAGCCACAUUGUACAUCUCUUGAGAAAUGAGUCAUAGUGGGAUUCAGUUUAUUAGUUAUUCUAUUUCCUUUUCUAGCUCUUGCUGUCGGAACAAAGCUGGAGCACGUGAUAAAUCAAUUAGCGCAAGAUGUGAGAGUGCUAGUAUGAACAAAAUAAAGGAGUUAAGGAAGAGAAUAAGAACACAGAAAUUAUAGUGGUUCGGCUUAAUCCAAGCCUACGUCCACUCUCCCACGAUAACAGCCUUCUUGGCUGGAUUCCACUAUGCAAUCAACAAGAGAUUACAACUCCGAGUGCAAACACUUAGUAGUAGAUCACACUAUCUCACUAAGUCACUCUCUUGGUAUUUCUCUCACGAUUACAAACGUUUAAGCUCUCAAGAGACAAGUAUAUGAUCUAAAGUCGCUUAGACUUUGGAAUUAUAAAUUCUACGCUCCGUCUCUUACUUGCUCAUCGGUCCAUGAUCUUCUUAAAUACUCCUCCACUUCCAAACUACCGUUGGACAGCAUCCCGGAGAAUCGUCUUCCAAUAUACCCAUUGGACAGCUCUGUAUCUUAGAAGAUUUGGUAGCCGUUGAGUGACAAAGGUAAAAUCCCAAAUUGAUUCCGAUCGCCCAUACAAACGAAAUCUUGGUUUCCAUAAGUAAAGCUUCUUCGUAUAGAAAGAUCUUGUCUUCAAUCAAAUCAAUCUUGAUGUGGAAUCCAAACCAGAUCACUAGCCGUUGUAUGAUUGGGCUUGAGUUACGAUUCAUCGAAUCUGGAUGUAAAGUCUGAGUCUUGAGACUUUACGAUAUGAGUCUUGAGACUUUACAACCUGGGUCUUUAGACUUUACAAUCUGAGUCUGUACCCAGUUCAGCUUCAGCAUAGAGUCUGUCUUCAGACUUUGAGUCUUGAGUCUGACAGUCUUCAGACUUUGAGUCUCGAGUCUGGCAGUCUUCAGACUUUGAUAAUAUCCUCUACAUGUUCUAUUAUCUGCAUGGUCUAUUACUCAACCAUCAAACAUGUUAGUAGCCUUUGAUUUAUUUUGUCAUCUUCAAAACAUCAUAAGGGAUUUCCCUAACAAGAUGUCGCGGAGAAGCAUGCAGCCGUGGAAGGGGACUUGGUGGUUCAACCUUCUGUUGAUCAUUUCUGGUUCCAUAGACCUCGCAUUGUCCUGCUGCUCAUUCAUAUCCUCCUCUUCCAAAAAGCUUUUGAGCUCGCUUUCUUCUUCUUCAUUUGUGCAAGGGAUAAAAAUAGCUGAAUUGCCAAAAGAAAAUAAGUGCUUACGAUUACUUACUGGAGCUUCCAUGGGGAAAAAACCUGGCAGGUUCAAUAUAGUUUUGACUCGUGCAUAAUGGGACAAGUCGGUUUCAUAAUCCCAAGACUCGUGAUAGGGUAAAAGCCUUCUUCCUUCUCCUCAUAUGUGGAUUUAUCCUUACCAAUAUCACAUGUAUCUGAAUGGCUAGCUACAGGCAAUGUUGUCAGGGUGUUGGUUCACUUCAUGUGCAGCUACAGCACCUUGCCACUCUAUGCGAUAGUUACCCAGGUGACCAAUCUAGGCACAUCGUUUUCACGGUUCAUGACUAUUUACUGCAACAUGAUAUUGAAACUGAUGGCAUACGUACUUGCGUGUUUGCGCUUGGUUGUUAAAGAUGGGAAGCUCAUUCAAGAAGGCUAUAUUUGAGGAACACAUACAUGAGGGGCUCAGCGUCUGGACCCAGCAUGCAAAAAUGAAGAAGAAUGCAAGAAUGACGGCGACUGGCACACGAUUGACCACCCUCCCCGUGGACCCCAAAGUGACUUAACAAUCCCUUGGCGAGCCAACGAAAGAAGCUGAGAUCCAAUAUGAUCCUUCCUUCCAGGGACCAAAAGAGAUGUAGCAACCAUUCGAAACAUUCCCUUCCAAUUUCCAUGUUUCAUCAUCUUUAGACCUCUUAAAUGGGAAAGUCGGCCUGCUUUCUCUACCCCGAUGUUGAUUAUAUUUCAUAACCAGACACCAAACAACAGUCAACAAAAAUGAACCUUCCAUCAAGCUCUAUUUUCUCCGAGACGGUCAUUUCUCAUUCUACAAGGUUACAUGUGAUCAUUUAGAUUUCUAGUUAGGAGAAGAUUAGAGGAUAUAAAAAUUUUGCUAAAUUCUAUCAAUUGUUCGUCGCAGAGAUAAAAUCGAAUAUAUCCACAUCAUAUUAUAUAUAUUGUAUGGUAUAAACAACAUGUCAAUACAAAAUGAAUCUAAAAUUUGCGCAAUAGAUAUGAUAAAAAUCUCUCAUAACUCUCUAACUUCAUUUUUUAUUUGCUAAUUUUUUUUAUAAAAAAAAAAUUCCUAUAUUUUUUUUAAAUUUUUUUCCCCCUUCCAUCAUUCUCUAAUAAAAUUUUAUUAUAUAGUAAACUAUAGUAAUAUAUCUAAAAUACUAAAGUCCUAAAAUAUGUAAUAUUCAUAAUGAAUAUAUGUUUAUAUAUUGAUUAAUAUUAUAAGAUAGAAAUAAAUAAAAAGAGGAUUAAAUAAAAAUGAAAUUUUUGCUUUUUUGUUAUUUUGAAUUUUUUUAUCAGAAUUAAACUAUUAUUUAUCUUCCAAUAUUAUUUUAAUUUUAUAAUAAGAAUUUUUUUUUUUGAGAAAAAAUCUUUUAUAUUAUAGAUAUUAGAAAUCUUAUUUACCUUUAUCUCACCUCUCCAUAAAAUAAUUAUAUCCAUGCUAUAGCCCUCUUAAAUAUUGAACGAACACCAAACAUAAAAUAAAUAUUAUAUCCUAAAUUUUAUUCCGAUUGUCAAAUUAUUCCACACAUUUGGACUUUUAAUACUUAAAAUCUGAUUCUAGGAAAUGAGUCAAUAGUAAAAAGUGAAAUUUUCUUGGUGCGCAAUGUUGCAAUCUUGCAGAUCAUGGAGUAGGAUAUUUUAUGUACCAAGACAGUAAACUCAAGAGAGCAAUUGCCUUAUAUGUAUCUUCUUCGGCAUAAUUUAUUACAAAUACAAAAGGAGAUACAAGAUCAAUAAAUCGUGAUUCAAUGCUUCAAAUUAUUCCCGCCCAAGCUAUUUUUGCUGUCAUAGUGGAGCUGCAAAACCAAGUUAUUUUGCAGACAUUAACUAUAAAAAUGGUUUCAAUAACAAAAAGUAGUGCAUAAUUCAACAAUCAUUACCCAUUAAUUUAAACCUUUCAUGAUUAAUCAAGAAAGUGGUUUGAGACAACAGCUCAAACAUAAACAUCAUGACGGUAACUGACUAUUACACAUAUUCUGCAGCAAAAUAGCCGCCUAUCUAUACUUCCAAUACGCAAAAUUCUCCUUUAUCAAACCGGACCCGGCCGUACCGACCGGUCUAAACCCGGGUCGGGUCAGACCGGACCCGACUCAUUUCGCCCUUUUUUAAAAUUAAAAUUAUUUUUAAAAAAUUUUAAUUAAAAAAUUAAAAAUUAAAAAUUUCGAAAAUUAAAAAAUAUAGAGUUUGGUUAGGAAUUGUCAUAUCUUGCAUUUUUACAGUAAUAUUAGGCUUUUAUUUUCUUACACCUUGAUUAUAUUGCAUGUUUGAUUCGCAUAUUUGAUUAUGUUUGUAGAUGUUCAAUUGCACGUACUCAAUUUUACUAUAAUUAAGAUCUUCAUAACUACGAUUGUUAUUUUAAUGAUUGUGUAUUCAUAUGAUCAACUCAUAUGUUAGUGGAUAUGUAUAAAAUUAAUCUAAACUGUCGAACAAAAAUCAUUAAAUUUUUAAAUGAAUAAAGAUUAUGUACAAAAAUGGCACUAAUUGGUUGCGUAGUAAGUGUGGCAUACUUCCAUGCCUCACUUGAUUUUUUUUUUUCUUUUUGCAAAAUUCUUAAGAAUAUCUAAUGUCAUGCGAGAUAUAGACUUGGAAGAGCUUGUGCUUAAUCAUGGGCCUUUUGUCCGUCAUUUAAUCUAUCCCCUCCCCUUGAGGGAAGUUUGCGACAAUGAUCUAAGCUCCAACAAUAUUCUUACAUGACAUUUUUUGCUUGUUAAUCAUGUGACUUUAACGAUGUUGUAAGUUAAAUCGAUUACACGUAAAAAGUUCCUAUCAAUAAUUGACACAAAUAGUAGUAGUGGACCGACCACAUAACAUUAGAUUGGCAGUAAAAAAUCUAAUUUCAAGAGAUCAAUAGCCUAACUGUAGCAAAUAUCGAACUUUGGCACCGUGAAUGAAAUUUCUCAGUGUUAAAAAAUAAUUUUCCUUCUCUUGUCGCGGCCACAGAGAAAAUCUUUUGACACCGCCACUACAAAAAAGGAUCGUGUUUUCUUCCAUCACAAAUUUGAUUGGCAAGUUAUCAAAAUCUGAAGAAUCAUCCUAGAGACCGAUUCAAGGACAGCAAUUGAUCUACUAGUUGGCAAGAUUACAGAGUUGUCGAGGCCAGAUUGGGUGGUGAAAACCAACACAGCCCGUGAAGGCAAAACGUGCGACGAUUGAUAAGCCAAUGCAGCGUUCUUUUAGAGACCAUAUUUAGUUAUUCACUUAGGUUUAUCUACGGGGCUUCAAUUUGUACUUUUUAGGAGAUAAAAGUGGGUGUUAGGAGGCCGGGACUUGCAUAUGAGAUGUGUUAGAAAUUAAACCAAAUUAAUAAAUGUCCUCAAUUGACUACGAGUUGCUGAUGUUAUGGAGAAGUUACCGAUAUUAAUGGUUGUCAAUGCCGAUAUUCCAGAAUUUGGUACCGAUGAUUUUGUUUGGUAAAUUUUUUUUUUUUUUGUCAGUCUUACUCUAUGCCUACUUUACACUCACUCUCAGACUUCUGCCCUGCCUCUUGUAGGGCUUGGGAGUCGAAACCCACUCCUGAAACUUACGCGUCCCCACCCCAUCCCCCUAAGAAGGUGGGGAUUUGAACCCCACAUCUCCCCCUUCCAUGUUGGAAGGAUGGCUACUGGGAUGAAUCCCACUGGGGUGAAUUGAUACGGAUGACUAUCCGAUGCUCGAGUUAAUUAGAUUCUUUAUUGUAGCGUUGUUUUUUAGAAGUCUAUUCGUAUUUUUAUUUCAUGAUUGUUCAUGUUUCUAAGUGUAAUCAAUGUUUUGCAAGUUCUUAAGAUUUUAUCACCUCAGAACAUUAGCUAUAUUUAUGAGUCAUUUAGUUUAAGAGUUAUGUGUGAAGCGUAUAAAAUUCGAGUCUUGUAAUUGUUUUCGAUAAGGUGAAAAAAAGGUGAAAUAAACAAAAAGGAUAGCUGUCUCCUUCUCUUUUUUGUGUUGUGUUAGUGAGUGUUUCAGCUUUAAAUUAUCUCAUCAAGAUCUAGCUUGUAUUUGUCUUUUACAAAAACUCAAAAUUUUCUAGUUUUGAUGCCAUAUGAAAUUAUGAAGGAGCAUUAUUAGCUAUUAUAGAAGUUUAGAUAAUUAGAUGGAUGCAUUAUUCAAUACUUAAUUGAUAUGACGCCUCUUUCACGACCUGUGUUACCUUUCAACAACUAGAUUACUUGCACAGCUUGGGCUCAAUGGACGGAGAGCUGUCUAUAAAAGUGGAGGAUGGUGGGAUGAACAACUCGAUCGCGGAGGAGGUAAAGAAGGAUGAAAGAGGACAUUUAACGGAAGUGUCAAAGGAUGAAAGGGAUUCUGAAGAAGAAAUCUGGGGAGGUCGACGGGAGAUAAUGAAUAAUGCAUUGGCGGCUUCCGCGGGGGGACAAGAUCCGGCAAAAGCUUACGAAUAUGCUCGAAAACUGGCGGGUGUCAUCAAAGGCGGCAAGGUUGACGAGUUCCUUUCCACGAUCAAUGUAAAUGAUCCAUCGUUGCGGGACAUCGAUUGGUCUGCCGUUUUAAAUUCCCGAUUGGAUUGGAACGAAUCACUGCUCCACGUGGCAGCAGAAACCGAGAAGGACGACAUCCUAAGGCUUCUGGUUGAUUAUGUUGGUGACCACCUCAUAACCGCCCAAGAUGAUUGGGGAAAUACCCCACUCCACCGGGUCACCCAGUUUGGGGGAUCUACUGGAGCUGCAGAGAUGUUGAUUCACCGGGCAAGAGACCUCCCCAACGUCGAGGACAAGAACCUCCUCUUGAGGAUGAAGAACAAACGUGAAAACACCGCUGUGCACUUCGCCGUGCGCUCUCAACAUGCCAACUUGGUGCGCUAUUUGGUGUACUGGAAGAACGCGAGUGAGAAAUCUCCCCUGUACCGAGUCCUCUACAUUAACGACUCCACAAUACAUGAGGUUUUAUUUUCACUCUCGUUGGAACCAUCAAGGAUAGAAGGCUUGCCGCCCAUUCAUGGUGCCAUUGUACUUCUACGACACGGUACGUACCUAAAUCUGCUUAUGUGGAAAUAUAUUUAUCUUUUACUGGACCGACUCGUCCCAAAUCUGUGCAAUAACUUUUUGCUGUUACAAGAACCCCUUACCAGUUUUUACUUAAAAUUCCCUACCCUGCUUGUUAAAGUAGUUGGAUACCCAUCGGUUUAGUCGCAUAAUAAACAAAAUAUUCACAUUAGAGCAUAAUAGAUGGCUUAAAUAUUACAAAUACAACCAUUUCACUAGAAACUCAUGUGUUGUCGAUCUUUGAUUAGAAAAGCUAUAAAGUGCAAAUAUUUAAGAUUGAUGACCAUGACAAUCUGGAAUCUAACAAUGACGCCAUUUUGUUGGUUGCGCAGGCGUGAUUUUUUCAUUGGAAAAAGAGGAGGUGAAGGUUCCGUCACUCUCAGCAAAUUGAUGGAAUAUCGUAAACCGUUAAUUUUUUUGUGACCAACAUUCAAUAGGUUUUUAAGAAAUUAACAAAAGUGGAUCUAAAUAAAGAAAGAAAUUUUUGACUUUUUUUUUUAAAUGAAUACAAGUUAUCAUAAUCUUUGCAGAAAAAGCCGAUACCGUAGUCUAGCCUAAAUUACCUUGACCAUUAAAAAUAUUGAGAUAAAAUUCAUCAGACACGCAAUAAUCAAUUAUGUUGAAUUUUUUGGCUGCUAAUGCCAUGUAUCCCAAGUUUACUACUUGAAAAGCGCAACUAAUGUUCAUUGAUCAUCAGAUUGGUAGAUGGCAUUCAUCUGUUACAGUCAUAUCAAAUAGAGAGAAUUGUCCAAAAAGUUCUAAAUUUAUUGUACGAUUAUCAAUUCAGUUAUAAACAUGUCAAUUGUGUCAAUUUAACCUCCAUUUUAGUCCUAAACUUUUUAAAGAUUUAAUAAUUUAGUCCUUCUAAUUAAUUUCUACUGGAAAUCAAUUUCUUCUGGAAAUCGCUGACAUGGCGGUCUAGUCAAAGCUAGCCAUCCUACGCGAUGUUGAUUGCCUUUGUGGUUUUUUUACAAUAUAUUUUUUAAUUUUUUGCAUUUUUUUCCUUUUCUUUUUUUAUCCUUUUUUCCCUCUACCAGCCUUAGACGAGGGCCGCCCUUCGACCCUUGCGUAGAGCAACCCUUGCCCUUGCUUGACUUCCACUAGGCGUCAACCGUUGAUGGUUAGAGAAGGGAAAAAGGAAAAAAAAAUUAUAAAACUAAAAAAAUUGCAAAAAUUAUCCGCAUUAGCGUUGGCUGUGCCAUGUAGAACAAUCAGUACUACUAGACCACCAUGCUUAUGAUUUCCAACAAAAUUGGCUAGAAUGAUUAAAAUGACAAAUUGUUAAAAGAUUUAUCACUAAAUUGGCAAGUUAUUAAAAUUGUUAUGACUAAAUUGGCACAAUUGAAAGAUUUAGACUGAAUUAAUCAUCAUACAAUAAAUUCAAAACUUUUUGGACAAUUUUCCCUAUCAAGUAUAAUUCCAACCCUAGAUGCAGUAACUUUAUUUUUAUCAUGUCCCAAUUUAUUAAUCCAACCACAUGUUAUUAUUUACAUUGCACGACAUAACAUGUUUGAGGCUUUCUAUUUGAAUUGAACAUGCAAAACAAUUUCAAAUGGACAUAAAGUGAAAAUGCGUAACAAUGUAUUGUGUGAUGCAAAUAAUAAAUUAGCAUACCCAAUAAAUGUAUGUGUCUAAACUUAGGUUGCACUCGUUGAAUAGAUUAUAGAAGUCGACCUGCACACAUAACGUUCAUAAUCCAUUAUAAAUGGCUUAACUUAUUUGCGAUAAUACAAUUAAACCUAAUUCUACCAUAUUUAACCACGUUUCAUGUAGUGAACAUGUAUGUAGAAGGGCUGUUUUAUAGUUUGUCAGCUCAUAAUUCUAACAAGCACUUUAGAAACUAUACAAAAGAUCCCAUUGAAAUUGGAUUUACUGUAUAUUUCUUAUUCUUACUGUCCAAUAUAUAAAAAUCCUUUUAUGAAGUACUACUGAUUGAAAUCUCGUAAUAAUAGUUCAAUUUAUUCUUCAUUGAAUGCAAAAGUAGAUGACAUUGUGGAAUGAAUCGAGCGUUGCCAUGGGCUUUUGUAGAUAGGCACUUUAAUUAGGUUAUCAUGAUAGGCACUUUUUUUAAGGUUCAUAUCAAUUAAAUAAGGUAAGGUUAUUUCUUUAAAUCUAGUAAUGUUCUUUCACUUGGGAAAAUUAUCAAAAAAGUCCUAAGUAUAUUGCACUUUUGCCAAUUCAAUUUUAAAUUAUUCAAUUUUGUCAAUUCAGUGCUAAACCUUUUUCACUUCUUACCAAUUGAGUGUAUUCGACUAAUUUUGAUCAGAAUUCAUUGAUGUUGAUAAUUUUUAUUAAUAUUUUAAUCCUUUUUAAAAAAAAUUAUAUUUUUUUCGAUUUUCUUUCUUUCUUCCCCCCAUUCUUCUUCCUUUUAUCAGUGGCCGGCUACCAAUCACCAGUGAUGGCCAGCUACUAGCCAUGGCUGGGUGAGUUGACCUUGCCGUAAGUGAUGCCUAGCCAGGCAAGGCCAAGCCUCAACAAGGGUCGACCUCACCUAGGUUAGGCAAGACCAACCCUUGCCCAAACUAGGCGAGAUCGCCUGGACGAGGGUGAGCCCCCUUGUUCGGCCACAUCUUACUGAGGCAUGCGAGGCUAGCUAGCUUGGCCAUAGUCGGUGGCUAGCACAAAGGAAGAAGAAAGGGAAAAAAAAUUAGAAAAAAAAUCAAAAAAUAUUUUUAAAAAUUGUUUACAUUAGUGCCGACUAUCCUACAUGACACCGCUAAUGUCCACGUCAGCAAAUUCCUAUCAAAAUUGGCCAGAUAGACUCAAUUAGCAAGAAGUAAAAAGGUUUAUAACUGAAUUGACAAAAUUAAAAAGUUUAUGACAGAAUUGGUAUAAGUGCAAUAGAUUUAGAACUUUUUGGACAAUUUUCACUAUUUCACUAAUGUAUCUAGAAUGUAACCGGUUACCCAUAUUGAAAUUUGUGGCCUGAAUUGCUCCGUCAAUUUCAAGGAUGAUGGCAUCCGUCAUGCGAGCACCUUUUUUUGUAUUUGUGUAAAAUUGAAGUAUGUUUUUUAUUAUAAAUUAUUGGUGAAAUAUUAUUCUAUUUCAUAAAAAAAUUCUUCUUUUGAAUAGACUAAAUGCAAAAUUCUUAAUUCGUGUUAUAUAUUAAUGUAAAUAUAGGGGGGUCAACGACAAUUAGAAAAUUCCUAAUUAUCGCUGUUAUAUGACUGAUGAAAUUUGUAUAUGUACGUAACAAUAUUAUUAGAGUAUAUUUUAUAGGAAGUAUUAUAGAAAUGUAAGAAUUUUCAAUAAUUGCUCAUUUGCGGUUUUUGAAACUCAUUAGAACUAAUUUCAAUAAAACUAAUGCCUCUUUUGUUGAACAAAAUUCAUGGUAUAAGAGGCAAACAUAGAUCCUAAUUUGAAGCAAAAUAAAUGGAAAGUGGAAGAAAAACACUCUUUGUGAGGAAAAUAAUUAAUCCCUUACAAAUUAGAGCCCUAUAAAUCACUUUUAGAGACAAUUCUUAAAGAAAAAAAUCAUUAUAUAUCUAUGUAGAUGUUACAACAGUCUAGAUUAAUUUGCAAAGUUCAUUGAACUUUUAGUAUUAUGGAUGUAAUUUUUUUGGCGAUGAAAUGAGGCUUGUUUUAUUUUGUGUUGUGUCAUCACAGCUUAAAUAUGUGGUCGUUAUAGCUAGGAUAUAUAUGACUCCAUGCAAUGCACAUACCAUAUAAUGUGAUUUAUUGAGUAAAAAUAUCUUUCCCAGAAUCACUAAAAUUUCACAAAAUAUAUUUGGUCCAUUCACAAGAUAUAAUGGGAUUGAGUAGCACAAUCCCCAAGGAUGAGGUUAUCUCUAAAUCACUCUCGCCUGUCUUUGAAGUCCAAUGGCCACCCACAAUCCUCAAACACCGUUGGAAUAUUCUCAAACAAUCGAAACACCUCUUUCACAUUAUUGAACCUCUUUACUAGCACCUCCAAAUUUUCAUAGUUGGGGCCAAAAAAAAAUUUCUUUUGGUGGAGCCUUUUCCCUUCUGUAAUUUGUGAUUUAUAAGCUCUACUAUCUUCGAAAUAGAUUCUAGUCACAAAUUUUACUUAGAUUUUACUCAAAAUUUUUGGUAAAUAUAUAAUCUCUUAAUUGAGCUGAAUAAGUGCCGUAUACCUUUACGAAGAAGAUGACGUUUAAUCUAGAGAGGGUGGAACAAUUUUAAGGGGGAUUUCGGUAUGGUGCUGUGGAGGCUAUUGCAAUGUUCUCAACAAUUAAAUAAGGCCCCGUUUGGUUGGACUUUCCCAAGGGGCUUUUGGGCCCGAAAGCCCCUUGGGGAAAAAUUUUUGUGUUUGGCAAUCAUUUUCAAAUGCUACUUGGCCAAAUGUCAGCAUCCCCAAUCCUGAAAGCCCAAUGCUGGGAGGACCAGCUUUGAGCAUUGGGCAUUUCAGAAAUGCCAGUCCACUGUUCAUCUUCUUCCCCCUUUCUUCUUCGUUCGUCUUCUUCGUCUUCGUCUUCCUCGCUGACUGAGAGUGCGGCUUCUCCGGCAGCCGCCACCGCCGCGUGGGGGUCCCGCGUCCCUGGUGACCACCGCCUGGGGUGGCGAGACCCGCGACCCAGGCGGCGUCGCCUGGCGGGCGCGAGCUAGGCGACGCCACCUGAGGUCGCGCGGACCUCAAGUCGCUAGAUCUAGCCGUCCGGCGGCCAGAUCUAGCGGUCUUGAGGCCAAAUCUUACUGCCGGACGGCCAGAUCUGGCCUCCGCGACCUCAGGCCGCCAGAUCUGGUGGUCCGGCGGCCAGAUCUGGUUGGCCGGCGGUUGGCCGGCCGCCGGAAUUCGAUUUUCUGACUUAAAUAAAAAAUAAAAAAUACCAAAAGUCAAUUACAAAGCUGAAUUUUACCAAACGGUGUUUAUACUAAGUUGCCUUUCAAUGCUACAAUUUACCAAACGGUAUAACAUUCCCAUAAACCCCUUUACCUCAAAGAUAUUUGUAUUCUCCAAAUGGCAUUUCCCCAAAGUUGAACCAAACGGGCCCUAAGUCUGCUUGAUACUUGCUAAAAUUCGAUGGACAUAAUAUGAAAAGAUCAUUUUCCUUUUCUUGAUCUUGCCCUAGCUUGCAUUACGUCUGCCGACUCUAUAGAUACUUCAUGUCGUGGACAUGCCAUAUAAAUUGCUAUGUCAUUUAGUAAGAUUUUUAUAGUGAAAUCUUAAGUACCUGUCGAUGUCAUUAACUAGUUUUGGUAUUGCAAUCUAAUCUGUUAUUGUCGACUAUCAAUACUAGUAGUGAUUAAGGCACGUCAAAGAUGUCCUUACUCCAAAAAGGGUUUAGAUAUAUAGAGACCAAUCAAGCUCUAACCAUCCUAAUUUGGAGCUCUUGAUCCCAGGUUUAUUCGACCUGAUGCUCAAGAAAAACAUGAAGCUAUUUGCAAUGACCGACUCAACGGGGGCAAUGUGUUCCAUUUAGCAGCUCACUUGAAUAUCGCCUGGGUAUUCGAAUUCUUACGACCAGAAACUGAAUAUUUGACCCGAGUAAGGGACAAGAAUGGAGAUCUCCCCAUUCAUAUUGCGAGCAAGAUGGGUUAUGUUGAACAUAUCGAGAAGCUGAGGGAAGUAUCACUUUUGCCAAAUGGGCAAGGGCAAACCGUUCUUCAUAUUGCCGCAAAAUAUGGGAGAGUCUCUGUAGUGAGAUAUAUACUCAGCAAUCCAGAUCUAAGGAGGAUGCUGUUGAAUAAACAAGAUAAUGAUGGAAAUGCUUGUUGGCUGUUGACAUUGCUCGACGACACAAGCCAGAGGGGUAUAAGAUUCGGCAUGUAGGUAACAUGAACAGUCACUAUUUUAUUUAUUAACUUACUGGAGAUUUCAUAGACUAAUGCAUUGGUUAAGGCAGAUCUGGUAUUCAAAUCAUUAUGUCUCCCAGCCAACUAGAUAGUAGAAGUAUUGAUCAAAUUUCUAGAACAGCCGAGACUCCUCUCGGAUAAAUGUUUCGCAAGUCCCUAAUUUAGUCUUGAUAGGAGGUAAUUAAAAUUUGUGAUCAUGAAUUUCUCUGCAGUUAGAAACAAGUAACGUGUCUUUCAUAACACGGAGAUUAAAAUUUAUAUAUUUCGUUUAAUUGAGCCUCUGAAUACGGUCAUGAAUAAAAAGGCAGGGUUUGUCAAGGUUGCAUUCUGUUUUUCAUAAAAAGCCAGGGGUCAAUGUGGCAAAUUUGACCUCUCCAAAUGUAGCACAAUCUCAUGACAUUAUCAUUUUGUCGACCUAUGAAAUGAUUGCCCACAUAGAUUCCAUUCAUGCCUCUUUUUUCGUCUAAAACGAACUUGGUAAUUUUGUGCUAAUUCUUCAAAAAGAUCAGAAACUGCGUCUUUAGAAGCGAACGUUUCCAGAGUUCAUUCCCGUUAUAAAUAUGGUAUAAGUUUGUUCUUAUUUUCCUUUUUACAUGCUUCCGAUCUCAGCACUUGGCAUUCCUGGUGUUGCUUUGCUCGCUCGCGGGAAAAGGUCCACUUAAAAACCCGGAGUUAUUCCUAGUUAGAGCGGAAGCUCGAGAUGAAGAGUUAUCAGUAGUCCGCUCGCGCAAAAGCGUGCCGAGCAGGAAAAUCGUCAAGGAUUACAUCAAUUCCCGUAUGGUGGUGGCAACGCUUGUGGCCACAGUGACUUUCGCAGCUGGUUUUGCAGUUCCUGGAGGAUUUAACGGCUCGGACACAGCCUCCAAAGAUGACCGGGGCAUGGCUACGAUGUUGGACAAUAGAAUGUUCCAGGCUUUCGCGAUUUGCAACACCAUCGCGAUGUUCUGCUCAAUGACUGUGGUCGUCAACCUCAUCUGGGCGCAGAUAGUUGAUGUCGACGUUGCAGUCGCUGCAUUCCAGCGCACAACGCUACCACUACAAAUUGCACUCCCGGCGAUGUCCACCGCUUUCUUAACUGGUGUCACCUUGACCAUUGGCAAACUCCCGUGGCUUGCUAACACCAUAUUUUAUAUGGGACUCGUUUUCCUCCUCAUUAUCUCAUUUGCUAAAUUGUUAGAGAAGCCUCUCCUCUUUAAAAUCCUCGGUCGUCCUCUCCUUCGACUAACAUUCUGGCUUAUUCUCGCUUACGUUUAUGUGUGGAGAGUUGAGACGUACAUUUAUGUUGACAAUGACGCGAAAGAUAACAGAAGGAAGAGCAAGACCUUCGCUAGUCCGCCUGUGGAUGGUGCUGGUGAAUCGGGGACCGAUGACUCGGCGAAAGCAAAAUGUGAGACAUCCUCCAAGUCACUGAUUUGAAUUUGAUCAUUCCAUAUUAUCUGUAAUAUGUAGUAAUAAUAUAUGUUUUCCUUGGUGAGUGCGACUCACGAUACGGUUGAUUUCCUUUAUGUCAGACCAAAGGUGAUUGUUAAUAUAUGUAAGCUAAACCAUGUGUUUCUCUAAUAACUUAACUUAUUAGAAUUGUUGGAUAUAAUUCCAUCAAAUUUCAUAUGUUAUUAAAGCAGAGGUUCUAAGUUCAAACAUUUUCAGGUCAUAUUUGCUUCAUCUAUUAUAUGUUCUCAUGUUUCAAUCUUAGAUCAAUUCAAGUUUAUGAGUAAAGAUGAGUAUAAAAGUAUUUGUAUUAAAGUAUUUGAAUUAAACAUUGCAUCCAUCUAAUAAUUUAAAUUUUUAGAAUAAUUAAUUGUAGUUCCCGAAAUUUCAAAGUGAUACACACUUCAUGUAAAUUAAAUGGAUGAAUGGCUCAUUUCAUCCGUUUCAUUGCCCUGGAAUCUAAUUGUUAACUUUGAACAUGUGGAAGCUCGUGGGUUUAUGAAAUCGCUCGUCUGGAGUGGCCACGUUCGAUUCACUUUGAACCAGUCCAAUUUGCGGCACUCUCGAGUCAUGAAAUCCUAAGCACUCACUUAGUCACUUACCUGUCUAGUGUGCAAAGAAAAUAAUUCUCAUCGCCUACUCUCUGAGUCAAGACUUGGGUGAAGAAAACCGGAACAAAAUAAUUCUCUUCAUUGCUCACAAAAAAAUAGAACCAAACACCGAACUCAUUUCCAUUUACACCCGUUUCAUUUCCCCACUUCUCCCUCCUAGGCGCCCAAUUUCUGUGCACGCAAAUGAGUUUUGGUGUUUGAUUCAUGGCGGGGUAUAAUCUAGUGAGCAGCGGGCGCAGAAGUCUAGUCAAGGGACGAGAUAAAAAGGAAUUGCAACACGCAACUCAAGGAGAAUUGUGGAAAAGUCUGGAUAUGCGAUUUUCCUCCUCCGAUCUCGGAUUUUUAUUUCAAAGCUGGUUGGUAUUGACACGUAGAAUAUAACUCUAAAGUGAUUCUGGACCUAUUUAUUCGACAGUGAACGUAGAUAAUUACAAAAAAUAAAAAGGAUCUCAUUGUACAAAUGUCUAUUGAGUUAUAAACUUUCUAAAUUAGUCGAUUUAAUUUUAAACAUCUUGACGAUUUGCCAAUAUAAUUAUGCUAACCAAUUUUGACCAAAAAUCGUUGACGUUGACGCUAGCCAUCCUAUGGCACAUGACCAGUAUUGAGGUGAAUAACUUUUGUAAUUUAAAAAAAAUUCUCAAUUUUUUUCUUUUUUUCAUGUUUUCAUUUUCUUCAUUUUCCUUUCUUAUAUUUUCCUUUUUUUCUUUUACUUAUUCCCCUUCGCCAUCCAUUGGCCAGUCCAUGGCUUCGGUGAUUGAUAGUAAGGCCCCAAUGCCCUCGCCAGCGAUUGCAAGGGCUGAUGGAUUUGCUGGGGCCACAGACUAAUGGAGGGACAAAGGAAGAAAAAAAAUGAAUGAAAACUUAAAAAAGGACAAAAAAAAAAAGAGUUUUGAAAUAAUUGUAAAAAUUAUCCACAUUAACAUCCGCACCCAGAUCUGGGCGAGUCCAAUCUUGUCAUGGCCUGGCCUAAAUCUGGGUGAAGCCGCCUUGUGCACAGCCCCGAGGCCUCAUUUGUGCCCAACAAGGCUCGUCAAAGAAGCAAAAGAAUGAAGAAGAGAAAAAAAUAAAAGGAAAAGUAAAAAAAAAAUUAUUAAAAAUUGCCACGUCAGCGUUGAGCGAAUGGCCAGCGUCGACAUCAGCGCUAGCCGACCAAAAUUAGUCGAAUAGAUUGAAUUGACACAAUCACAAAAAAAUUAGAACUGAAUUGGCACAUUUAUAAUGGAUUUAGGACUUUUUUGAUAAUUCUCCCGAUCUAUCUAUUAUCUCCAUUUUUAGAUUGCGACAUGUGUCCAUCCAAUUUUAGUCCUCACUGCAUCUUAUCUAAAUACCAUCAAACCUUGGAUGGUACUUGGAGAUCUAUGCAAAUAUUUAUAUAUAAAAAUUAUAUUGAGAUAGUAAAGUGUGCUCACCAUCAUCAUAUAAAAAUUAUCCUGGGGGAUUAAAUGUUUCAAUUAAUUACGGUAGGAUGAGAAGUAUUUUUCAUAAAGAACGGACAUUCAAGAAGUCUUGCUAGAUUGAUAGAUUGAUGUUGCAAAUGGUUCUCUUCUCAAGUAGCAUGAAAAAUUACGCUACUCAAAUGUAGAGCCUCCUUUUUUUCUAUUUUUUCGGCAGAUCUUUCAAAUCAAAUUACAGGGUUACGACUAUGAAACCUCACAGUACAAGUACAAAAAAUACCAAAUCAAUCAUCUAUUAACUUCUCGAUGCUCAUUAAAUCUGAUUCACAAAAUAGGUUGGGACCCAUUUUGCUAGCCCUACUAAAAUCUAAACAUUUUAAUAAAUUAAGGAUUUAUAUGGCGUCCUAGUUCACAAAGAUGUGCCGUUGUUGUUGACAAAUCAACAGUGAUUGAUUUUCAUGAACUCGUCGUCAUAUUGUCGACAUUCCCAUUAUAUAUGAGCAUAAUAGCGAACUUUGAUUUUCGAGCAUCAAGAUAUAAGAUUGGCUUAAAUAGAAUGCCAAAUAGCCCAAGUGUCACAAUUAGAUAAGUCCAAACCCCAAACACGUUCAACUACGGUUUUUUUUUUCUUUUAACUUUAUUCACAUAUUAUUAGACCAUACUUUAUGGUUAAUGAUCAUAUAUAUCGCGGUUUAUGAAAGACUGUGCCACAUCGAUAGUUUUAGAUGUUAGUCCAAAUUCGAAAUACUGGGCCAACGUUUGAGAUUUUAUUGGCCAUUCGACAUUUCAUUUAUUACUCAUGAAGUCUAUCAGUGCAUGAAAUUUACUGAAAAUUAGAGAAUCUCACAAUACCAACAAAAUAUCAAGUUUUUUUUCAACUUUUUUACCCUUGAUACACUCCACAUACAGCCCAAUUUACAAAAUUCUACAAAAACCACUGCUCAGCAAAGACGAACAACAGCACCCAUCGGCCCAACAUGCUUAACUCCAAGCAUAGAGUGACUCGAACUCUUCUUGUCUCCUUUUCAGUUUACCACAACCAGACAUAUUUAAUACAGUACCGUGAACAAGACAAGAUAGCGAUGAGAUCGGCUCAAUAGGCAUCAGGGUUUGCCAAGCGAUAAGCCUCGAUGGCCUUGAACAUCCCGGACGCCUUCUCUUUCCCAGCCUUGAUCUUCUCCUCAGUUAUGUCCGCCUCGCCAAUGGUGAAGUACUUGCUCGUGCUCUUGCACACCGAGCCUCCCUCGGGCGAAGUGGUGAUCUUCAUCUCGUAGCUGAUCUUCUCAAGGGUGGUGCCCAGCGAGUCGCCCUCAAUGAUGGAGUAGCUGUAGGUGAAGUUCUCCUUGUCCAGGGCCUCGACCUUAUGCUUCAUUGUCUUGUACUGACUGCCUAUCAAGGUAACAAAAAGUAAUAUUCACGUUUAGAACUCGCUGGUUUCAACAUCACGAGCAAUGAUCUUGAUGGUGUCGAUUGGGCCAUUUAGGAUGUUCCAACUGCAAUCUGAUACGAUUGGCUUAGACAUGGCCUGAUUUCCCUCGAUUAGAGUCAAGUCACGUGAUCACUUGUGUAAAUCAUCGAGAUGCUUGUUUCACCGUCGAAGCACCAAAAUCAGAGCAAUAAGAGUCACGAGAAGUAGUAAGCAGCAAACGCAACAAUCACAUUAAUCAGAACCUUUCUCUGAGGGUCAGUCAAUUCACUGCUCGACCCACAUGGAGACAUUCCGUCGCGUUUCCUCACAAGCCCGGAUUUGCGAUAAAAGCCCUUCCCACUGAUUGUUGGAAAAGGCGACCACUAGGAACUGCGCCUGUCAGCUUGUUUUACAAGAAGCCAAUGAAGCUUAAACGGCUCAUGCUGGUGAUAGCAGCUGGGAUUGUACCCAACAAAUCGUUAUGCGAAACAUUGAGAUUUUCCAAUUCAGUGAGCUUUGCUAAAUUGGAAGAAAUUGAUCCUGCUAGUGAAUUGUGGCUCAAGUCUAGGUGGUUAUGUAGCGUGAACGAGUUCCCCAGCUCUGGCGACAUGACGCCCAACAGAUUGUUGUUGCUCAAGUUCAGGCUCAGUAAAUUCUCACAAUUUGCUAGCUCUUUUGGUAUGCUACCGCUCAAUGCCUUCUCACCAAAAAACAAGAUCACCUGGCUUCGAUAAGUUUUCUAACGAGGAGGUAAUAUCUCCGGCCAAAUGGUUGUUGCUCAAGUUCAGCCUUAUCAACUCCCCUAGAUUUCCCAUCUCGUCGAGAAUUUUCCUGGCCAGUUCAUUGCCGUAGGAAGUCAGAACAUGCAACUGGGACAAUUUCCUGAGCUCCGACGAGAUGCGGCUGGCAAUUUUGUUACCAUCUAUCAGCAAAUUCGAUUCAUACACUCUCCCCAUUCUGCAGAGAGAUUCCCGACAAAUCGGCUGUUGCUGAGGCUUAUAAAGUCCAGAUUCGGUCUGAACGCACUCAUGAUACCUGUAGUGAACCGAUUGCUGUCCAGACGGACUCUCGUUAGCCCCGGAAAAUUUCUCAAGCAGUCAGGCGGCAGCUCAGUGAAGUUAUUCCCAUCGACUGCGAGAUAUCCAACAGCAAAGUCGCUGCAUAUAUCUUGCAGCAUUUCUCCGAUGAAGCUGUUGUUCGAAAAGGUAACGAUCCCCAGAGAAGGGCUGUACUUGCCGAAAUCACGUGUUAUGCCUCCUGAGAAAUUGUUCUUGAACAAAGAGAUGGACCGUAAGUUAGCAAGCCGAGAGAUGGUCUCACAAGAAAAUAUUGUGUACACAAGUGAUGCUACGUCAUGGCUUUUCCUUCCCAGCCUAGAUCUCCUCUUCUUCAACUUGAAGCGCCUUCUUGCUGUUGUACUUGCUCGUCAUCUUGCAGACCGACCCUCCAUCGCUGAUGGCCUCAAACUUGACCUUGUAAUCGAUCGACUGGAGCUUGUCGCCCAGCGUGUCGCCCUCGAUCAUCGUGUUCCUACACAUGAAGUUCUCCUUGUUGAGCUCGUCGAUCUGGUGCUUCACAUACUUGAAAGGACUAGCUGCAAUUACAUUAUGGAACUCCCUGCUCGAUGAGUGUUGAGUGUACAUACCUUCGGUGAAAUUUAACUUGCUCAAUGCUCCCGGCUCCACCGUCGCCAUGCACCAGCUCCACGCUCUUUAUGAACUGAGGCAGAAGCUUCGGGAUCAGGGUAUUCGACUUGACAAUCAAGGCCUUGAACAUGCGAGCCGGAUCAAUCGGGCAUGUGAGCUCUUGUGUGAAGCUGGUUGCACCCAUGGCUAUUGGCAAUGAGAAAGAAAUAACCCCAGAGAAGAGUGCUUCUGAGUCCUGUCAAUGCCUCCUAAUUAUGGUUGGAAUUAUGUCAAUGGGUAGGGUUGGUUUGGCAAGAGUCACGCUCGAGGAAAAUAGGAGAGUCAAGGAUUUGCAGCCUAAAGGAAUGGAAAAGAGGAAUUAAGGUGGUCUCUUUUGUUCUUUCGGUCAUGAAAAUGAUUUCGGUCCCUUUCAGAUUCAUGUUGAAAUGUCAAAGUUUAUGUUCCAAAAGAUGAACAUUCUCGUGCUCACACGGGCGGCCAUCCCUUUGAAAUGAUUGUUUUUUUUUUUUUUAAUACCCAGGGAACCCCGUCAGCCGUUCGUCGCCUUACGGCGGUACAUAGCCGCCAAGUAAACCCUAAAGCGAUGCUAGCGGAGGACCCACCACCCCGACGUCACGCUUAAAUCGCCGAUGCUUCCCCUGGGGUUUGAUCCCCUCACCUUUCCCCCAAGGCAAGGGGUUCUUAUCCAGCGGAGCCACCAAGGCUAGUGGUACCUUUGAAAUGAUUGUUGUGGAGUUCAAUCUAACAAUUUGCUGAUUAGACAUUAUAACGAAAUGCCCUUGUUUGAAGAAAAGUGUAUUAAUCAAAUUUUGUCUCGUUUAAUAUGUAGCAAACAAGAAUACUUCAUUAGUUGGUGAUAUCAUGUUAACUUGUCGCGUAAUAUAAACAUCACAUAAUAUAUUUUUUCAUUUGUAAUGCCCUAAUGUCACGGUGGAUCUGAUUCAAAUGUAUGAAGUAAGGCCUUUUGAAAUCAUUUUCAUGGGUUGUCGCGACCUCUUUUUUCUCGGCACCCGCAAUCGGGUACGAGCGCCUAAGGAGGCUAAUGGCUCGGCUGAAUUUAUUAAGCCCGGACUCUCCCAAGUCCGCCAAUUCACGACUUAAUAGUUUGAGUUUUUAACCUGUAAAUUAAUUUUAAAACGGAGUCGCCACUAAUUGGUUUGGGGUGGGUCGAUUAGAAACCCUAAGCGAAGUAUCGGGAGAAAUACUCGCUCCUGCGCAACCAGAGAAAUUAGGAUCGGGGACUUGAUUACACUAGUUAAUCACUAAUGCCCUUUCGGUACCUAAUCUUGUUUAAACCCUAAGGCUUUUUGGAUUUUUGAGGGAUUUUUCCAUACAUUUUUUGGAGGAAAAACAUUUUUUGAGUCUUUUUCUCAUUUUUGGACAUAAAAGGGAUUUUUUGGAUUUUUUUUUGGAAAAAUACAAGUCUUUUUGGCUUUUUCUGAAUUUUUUGGCUUUUUCAUGAAAUUUUGGAUUUUUUUUGGAUUUUUGGCAUUUUUUGGAAAAUAUGGAAUAUUUUUGAUUUUUUGAUUUUUCGGAAAAUAAAAUAUUUUUAAUAUUUUUUUAAUAUUUUUGGAAAAUAAAUUAUUUUUUUGAUUUUUCUCGAUUUUUUAGAAAAUAAAACAUUUUUCGACAUUUUUUAAUAUUUUUUCGAUUUUUUGGAAAUUAAAACAUUUUUUAAUAUUUUUUUGAAAAUAAAACACUUUUUGAUUUUUUUUUUUUUGAAAAUAAAAUAUUUAUCAUUUUAUAUUAAAAUAGUAAAAUAAAGCCGACCCGGGUCGGAUCCGCGGGUUGGGUCCGACCCGAGCCAGCGACCCAAACGCGGACGGGCCCGCGUUGCGGGCCCGACUCGGAUUUUUCAUCUCCUUUUUUAUUUUUUUAUUUUUUUACUUACUAAAACGACGCCGUGGCCGGGCGUUUGGGGACGCCCGGCCCGGCCCGACGACCCGGGUCCACGACCCGUUCCGCGACCCGGCUCGCUGCGAACCCUACCCGACCCGGAUCCGAAUCGCAACCCGGUCUUCCGCCGCGCCCGCAAUUCGUGGAAUCCCUACCCGGUUCCCGAUCCGGGUCCGACCCGACAACCCGGGGUCGUGACCCGGAAAAUCGGGAACCCUAGGGUUCCCGAAUCGCGACGCCGAGGCACGACAGCGGGGACGACGGCGAUGGCGACGGCGGCGGCAACGGCGACGGUGGCGACAGCGACGGUAGCAACGAGGGUUGGACUUCGGAGGGGGGAAACUAUGGCGACGACAACGGCGGCGGUGGCGGUAACACUACCUGUUCGUGGCGAUGGCGUCUGGAUAGUGGUGGCUGGGCAACUCGGUUUCCCGAUCUGGCGCGGCGUCGCCGGAUCGAUCACGGCAACGGCUUCGCAGGUGGGGCACGGCAACAAGCCGUCAAAGCAACGGCGUCGGGACUGAGGCGAACAGCUGCAACACGGCGUCCGGCGGCAACAACAGCAGCAAAAAAAAAGAUCUACCCAGCCGGACCCUCCUCGGCCUUGAUUUCUCCUCACUCAGGCCAGAUCCGAGCCUCCACCGGCCGGAUCUGACCUUCUCGAAGUCACUCGCUGCCGGCCUUCCCCGAAGUCUCUCGGUGGAAGGCGGGCUGAGCUUGCAACUCGAGCUCUCUCCUGCGCUCGCCCUUCAACCCUUCCCGAUGUCUCUCAGUGAAGGAUCUCCGAGCUCGCCACGCCCUCCGACGAUGCUUGCGGCCACCUAUUUAUAGGCGAAGGAACUCCGGUCGACGGAGGGGCUCGGUCGCCGGCCUCCGGCUUGCCCACCGGUUCCGCUCGGCUGAACCGGUGUCCCAUCGAGCUUUCCAGCGAAGCUCGCUCAGCAUUAAAGGCGCCUGCGAUCUUAUCCCCUCCGGCCGACGUCGCCCUACACUCCUCGGCCGUAGGCCAUCCUUCGCGCGCGUCGCCGGCCACCGCGCGUGAGAUGCAAGCGACUGAGGAAGAAGAAGACAGGAGGAAGAAGAAGAGAGAAAAGGGGCCGGGCCAAGGGUGAAGGAAAAUGGGCCACAUGGGCCACACGGAGGGGGAAGAGAAAGGGAAAGAAAAAAGGGCUGGGCUUUUGUUUUUGUUUUUUUUUUGGCGUGUUUAUUAAUUAUCUUAUUUAUCCGAAAUAAAAUAAAAACUUAACAAAAUAAAAUUAACCUAAUUAAAAAUGAGGUGUCAACAGCUGCCCCUCUUUGAAAGUGAGCUCGCAGAGGUUGCAUUCAAAGACAAACUGAUGCCUCAAUUUUAUCCAUACAUGCGUAGCAGAUUAUAUUUUACUUGGGAUCUAUUAUUCUAUGUAGGAAAAGAGCAAUAUAACUUUUCAUAUACUAAGACAGAUAAGAAGAUACCUGUAGUUACUUACCGGGAGUGAGUGAGAUAGGGUGUGAACCCCGAGUUUUGGCAAGUAUCAAGGCGUCAUCUUACCUGGUGAUAUGAGGAGGUUGCUUUUCCAGGGCUCGAACCAUUCUUCGGUCGCCUGUUAAAACAAUCAAUGAUUUGUCUAGGACCCGAACCUUUCUUCGGUUGCCUUGACGGAAGACUGCUCUUCUAGGACCCGAACCAUUCUUCGGUCGCCUGUUGGAGUAAUCAGUGGUUUGUCUCGGACCCGAACCAUUCUUCGGUCGCCGUGACGGGAGACUGCUCUUCCAGGACCCGAACCAUUCUUCAGUCGCCUGUUGGAGUAAUCAGUGGUUUGUCUCGGACCCGAACCAUUCUUCGGUCGCCAUGACGGGAGACUGCUCUUCCAGGACCCGAACCAUUCUUCGGUCGCCUGUUAAAACAAUCCAUGAUUUGUCUAGGACUCGAACCUUUCUUCGGUCGCCUUGACAGGAGAUGCACCGACCUUUCUCAGGGCAUCUCAUUUGUGGGUGCCUGAUUUGUAUCGAGGACACCAGUUGGUACCCGACCUUUCUCGGGAGAUGCGCCGACCUUUCUCAGAGCAUCUAUUUUGUUGGGGUGUCUGACUUCUGUCAAAGACACUGGUUGGAACCCGACUUUUCUCGGGAGGAUGCGCCGACCUUUCUCAGGGCAUCGAUUUGUGGGGUGUCUAACUUCUGUCGAAGACACCAGUUGGAACCCGACCUUUCUCGGGAGGAUGCGCUGACCUUUUUCAGGGCAUCAAUUCUGGAAGAUACCUGGACAUUCACAAGCAUAUCAAAGAGUACCUGGAUAUUCACAAGUACUAACAUGAAGGAUAUUUGGGCCUUUGCAAGCGUCGAAAUGUGUAUUUGGCUGACCAUAGGCACUGAAAGGGUACUUGGAUGAUCACAAGUAUGAAUUCUUGGGGGAUACCUGGAUGAUCACAAGUAUCAAAGGGUACUUGAUAAUUGGAAAUAUUGAGAACAUACCUUGGAUAUUUGUUAAGGUCUCUCACCUCUUGGUAAUGGGAAAUAUCGAGGACGUACCUGAGAUAUUCGUGAAGAUCUCUCACCUCCUGGUAAUUGGGAAUAUUGAGGACGUGCCUCGCAUAUUCGUGAAGGUCUCUCACCUCCUGGUAAAGGGGAUUUGAAUGUAGCAUGAGGCUUACCUGGAUUGCCACAGGCACUUAAAAGGGGUGGAACACCUGGAUAGCCACAGGUGUACAAAGUACUGGGAUACUUGGAUGAACACAAGUAUUUAAUGAUACGACCUGGGACCACUCUGUUGGUCCAAGUGUAAGAAAGCAUACCUGGGUAGGCGCAGGUACACAAAGCAGUGGAAUGCUUGAACAGCUGCUAUUAUUUGGGGACAACUCGGGCAAGUUAAGUGUCAUGAAAAGGGAGUACCUAGACAAGGGUGGGUACUUGAUGAUAUGGGGAUACCUAGACAGCAGUAGGUAUUCCAAGAGAUACUUGGUCAGUCACAAGUAUCAAUACUCUUGGGACAACUCGAACAUGUCGAGUGUCAGGAAAAGGGAGUAUCCGAACGGUGACCGGUACUCAAAGACAAUAGGGAUACCUAGACAGCAGUAGGUAUUCAACGAUAAAUGGAUACUUGGUCAGUCACAAGUAUCAAUACUCUUUGGACAACUCGAAUAGGUCGAGUGUCAGGAAAAGGGAGUAUCUGGACGAUGACCGGUACUCAAAGACAAUAGGGAUACCUAGACAGCAGUAGGCAUCGAAACUCAAGGGACAACUUGAAUAGGUUGAGUGUCAAGAAGAGAGUACCUAGACAGUGAUAGGUACCUUAAGACAAAUGGGGAUAGAGAUAUGCUUACUUGGCAAUAUCUCUGAUCUCUAUGAGUAUGUCAGCUAUUUGCAUAAUAUGCACAUAUGAUUGUAUAUGCUAUAAAUUCAUGAGUUCAAAUGAGAUUCAUGCAUGAUAAUUUUGUCAGUUCUGCAUCUUUUGAUUUCCACUGGGGAAGAUUUUGAAAGACAACCUUCAUUUAGAAUGUAGAUGUCUUGAGCGUGCCAGAUGAGGGACUUUCAGUCUGAAAGGACUUUCCGCUCACUCUCAUGGAAAAGGCUAUCCUGACCAUUGAUGCAGGAUUCAUAAGGACCACACUAUCUCACCGUCAUCAUGUCAGCAGGGGUCUGAGUAUUCUCGCAAAUGGUACGACUUUACCAAUGUGAGAGGUCUUUGUUAAAACUGUGAUGAAGUCUUGGUCAGCGGCUCAUCAAAGGGGACCAUCAAGGUUGAAGCUGAUGGACGAAAAUGUUGCACGAUCAUCUCUGGGUUUACAAGUCAAGAACCCUGCGAAAAGAGAUAGAGUAAUCUUGCUCGUACUUCUUCGAGCGAUGUUUAUAGACAUAUGAAAUCCUACAUUAAUUGAAGUGCCCCUAGUCUGAAGAGACUUUUACAAUGGGAAUGUAACGGAGAUUUUGCUCACAUGUGAGAGGGUGAGAGUUCGUGACUGUCUUGGCAUUUGUCACUAGUCUUUCUUGUCAGAUGGAGGUUCUAUGGACCACAACAGCAACAUUUUCUUGGCUGCAUUUUUGACUGGGGGGCAUUGGCCUUGCUUUUACCAGGCACACUGCUUUUUUCAUGCCCCUAUUUUUAUUCCAGUUCUUCUUUUAUGGGCAUUGACCUUGCUUUUACCAGGUACACUGCUUUUUUAUGCCCAUAUUUUUUCAUUCUUGUCGUUGGAGGAACUGGCCUAGGCAAGUUCAAUCGAAGCACCGUUAUUAGACUUUUGAGUCUUCAUCUUCAGUAGGUGCUCUGGGCUAUGCUGCUUAAAUGGCAGUAACUUCUGUUUUUUCUCAAUGUGAGGGUAAAAUUACAGACUCACUUGGGUUGUACAAUGAAUACAAGUGCAUAGAGAAAGAAUUGCUCUUCAUCAUUCUAGGGCACUUAAAUUAAUGUGAGUGUUCAUAUGCAAUAAAGACACCCAAAGAUUGAUGCAAGUGCGAGCAAGAAAAUUUCUAUCUCUCUUCUCACCUUGUGAUGCUGCUUUGCUUCUAAUCUGCCCCAGUGUAGGGGUUGUUCUUGACAGAGGUAUGAGAGAAGCUUCACCAAUGUAUGGGGCUCAAUGGGGUGAGCAAUGGAAUGCCUCUCACUAUUUUGGUUAUCGUACCAUUCGCGAGAGAACUCUUUACCCUGCAGCCAUGGAAUCUUCUGCACUCAUCUCACAAGUGUAUAGAUGGGGGACUGUGUGUAGGAUAUGGCUUGCCUGUCAUCAUUCUGACACGCCUCAUCUAGCAUGCUCAAUUAAUCUUGUAUUCUCCACUUAGCUGUCUAUUCUGAUAAUCCUCAGUGGAAUCAGUGGCUUAGACAGACGAAAUCAUCAUGCAGAAUUCAUUUGGAAAUGACAUGCAACAUUUUGAAUAUGAUGGAGUUUGAACUUUUCAAAACAAGUGAAUGGUUUUGACUCGCAAAAGACCCUAUUGACAACUUUAUGGGCUAACAUAAUGGUGUUUCCAAAUAUGUUAGAUUUUGAACAUCAAAAGGGUUAUUCGCAAAUGGACGUCGAUGAUUGUCCCUAUUGAUUAUGAAUAUGACACAUGAAUGAUCAGUCGGGGUUGGGAAUCUGAUCGGGCAUCUCUGCUUUUGCCCCUGCAGAAGAGAAGAUGUACAAGUAGAUCAAUUAGUUUGGCCAAAAUUAAAUGUGAGUUGAGGCCUGAAGGUUUUCUGUCAUUUGCUUUGGCAAUACUUGAGAUGCCAUUUUGCUUGGGAGAGUUUGUCAUGCCUCUCAUUGAUUUGUUAUCUUUGCUUUUGACAGUCAGUUAAUCCUGCAACAAACAAGAGGGAAUGUGUUAGUCAUGAACUCUUUCAAGAGUCGAAUAACUGGAAGCAAUACAACUUUACCCUUCACUGGUUUACAGAUGAUUGGGUGAACCUAAAGUGAGAGGGGGACUCGAAGUCAUAUGUCCCUUGCUUCAUUAGGUCAAUUAUUCUCUGAAUUAGCUCCUGGAUGACAUGUCUUUUUACACGAAACCAGGUGAAUUUAAUGUGGGUCAUUUCCACGUACUAGCUUGGCCAAUAUUGAUUUGCCUAACCAUUGAGUUUGGUUCUUGAGUUGUGAUGCUCCCUGUCAAUAGGGGGAAUAUGUCAAAAGUGAAUUCAAAGAAGGGGGAGUAUUGGAAACGAUACCAAAUUACUCUUCUCCAAAGUUUGUAUUUGCUGACUCCUGAUGAUGUUUGAAUGUCGAUGACAGCCUUUUCGUCUUAGCAUAGUUUGACAUUUCUUUCGAUUGGCCUUCCUCACUUGUGACCAUGUAUGCAUGAUUGCUGGUUGUUGAUUUAUCUUCAACGCAUUCCUUCUGUGGAAUUUUUCUUUCUGCCUUUGAUCAGGCAAAGUCAUGUACCUCAAGCUUCUAUGGAAUCUGAGAUGGACAAUCAAAACCUCAAAUUCUCUAAUGGCAAUUACUUCUUGCAAGAGCAUGUGUCUGGAACAAGAAGUGAGGCUUCCAGAUUCUAAGAUUGUUGACUGGGACAGAAGGUUUCUUUUAACCAGACUGGUUCCUGAAUGACGCAUCCUUUACACCGAGCUGGACAAAAUUGACAGGGAUUACUCUUAUGCGUUUGCCUGGGUAAUGUUGAUUUGUUCAAGUUAUGCCAUCGAGUUUGCUUCUUGAUUUAUGACACUUCCUUAAAGACUGGUCAUCACCAUUCAUUUUUCUCCAUUGAGUCAAAUACACAUUUUUUAUGAUGGUGUAAAUACAUCACUCAUAUAUAAAGGUGCAUAAGCAUUUUCAUUCUGAUAGAGAAGUGCUUGGCAAUGCCAGACAAUAAACAUCUUUCAAGGGUAGUACUUUUUUACAGCAUCGGAAUUAACUGGUUUGGAGAAUUCCCGCCCGUCCAUUUCAGUCAGAAUCAAGGCUCCUCCAGGGAGUAUCUUCUUUAUUACGUAAGGACCCUUGUAAUUAGGGGCGAACUUGCCUCCGGGCUCUGGGAAGAUUGGCAGCGUCUUCCUCAAGACUAGCUCAUUUACCUCGAAGUGCUUGGGUCGCACCUUUUGAUUGAACGAUCGAGCUACCCUUUGUUGGUAACACUGACCAUGACAGAGGGCUUUCAGUCGUUUUUCGUCGAUCAUAUUUAGUUGCUCAAGCCUUUGUUGUGUCCAUUCUUCCUUGGACAAUCCUGCUUGGGAUAAAAUUCGCAAGGAAGGGAUUUCUACUUCUACAGGUAAAACCGCCUCCAUGCCGUAAACCAAGGAAAAAGGCGUUGCCCCAGUGGAAGUUCGAAUCGAAGUUCGAUACGCUGUUAGUGCGAAGGGUAGCCUCUCAUGCCAGUCGCGGUAGUUUUCAGCUGUCUUGGAUAGGAUUCUCUUGAUGUUCUUGUUGGCGGCUUCCACAGCUCCAUUCAUUUGUGGACGAUAAGGGGACGAGUUCAGAUGUUGGAUUUUGAACUCAGAAAACAAUUGAUCAAUCAACUUGUUGUUUAGGUUUGACCCAUUGUCAGUGACGAUAGCUUCUGGUACGCCAUAACGGGCGAUUAUGUCACGUCUGAUGAAUUUCAUAACGUUUCGUGCAGUUACGCUUGCAUAGGAUGCAGCCUCAAUCCAUUUUGAGAAAUAGUCGAUUGCGACCAAAAUGAACCGGUGCCCAUUUGAUGCCUUUGGAUUGAUUGGGCCAAUCACAUCAAUGCCCCACAUUGAAAAUGGCCACGGCUCAGAUAACUGAUGUAAUUUAGUUGGAGGGACAUUUAUCUUGUCCCCGUGGAUCUGACAACGAUGACAGUUUCGCACAUGGUGAGCACAAUCGCUCUCUAAGGGGAACCAGUAAUAACCCAAUCUCAUUAUUUUCUUGGCCAACAUAUGUCCAUUCAUGUGAGGACCACAUACUCCCCCAUGUAUUUCUUGCAUUAUUUGUGUGGCUUCGUUUGCAUCCACACACCUUAGCAGGACUGAGUUAUAUGAUCUUUUGUACAAAUUUUCACCGCUGACGAAGAACCUCGAAGCCAUUUUCAUAAGGUAUUUUCAAUCAGAGGGAGUGCUUUCUUUAGGGAAUUCCUGCUUUUGGAUGUAUUUCAUGAUGUCGUAAUACCAGGGUUUCCCAUCGGGUUCUUCAGUUAUAGUCAUGCAGUGGGCCUGUCUUGUCAAGACUUCAAUUUUCAAAGGCUCUACUUCUAACCCCUUCGCUACUUGUAACAUGGAUGAUAGUGUUGCUAGUGCAUCAACAAACUGGUUACGGAUUCUAGGUAGGUAUUCAAAUGAGAUGUCCUGGAAUUCUUCUACCAAUUCUUCCAAGUAGUCAUGAUAAGGCACUAGUUUGGCGUCUCUUGUCUCCCACUCGCCCACAGUCUGGAGGAUAAUUAAGGCGGAGUCACCGAACACUUUUAGGUUUGACACUUCCAUUCCAAUAGCCGCUUGUAGGCCGAGGAUGCAUGCUUCAUAUUCGGCUAUAUUGUUGGUGCAUGGAAACAUCAGUUUUGCAGCCACGGGAUAAUGUUGCCCAUUUGGGGAUAUCAAGACCGCCCCAGUGCCUGAACCUGACAAAUUUACAGCUCCAUCAAAAAACAUAGUCCACGUGUCCUCUUCUACUGCUGAGAUUCGGUCAUCUGGGGAAUGAUCAUCGCCUACUUCUUUAGGGCAAUCUGCUAACAUAUCAGCAAUCACUCGACCUUUAACUGAUUUUUGCGACAUCACCUGGAUGUCGAAUUCUGAGAUUAGGAUUUGCCAUUUGGCCAAUUUUCCCACCAAGGCCGGGCAACCAAGCAAAUACUUGAUUGGGUCACUCUCAGUUACAAGGAAUGUCUGGUAAUGCAAGGUGUACUGCCGGAGUCUGUGCAACACCCAUACCAAUGCAGCACAGGUCUUUUCUGAUUUGGAGUAGUUUUGUUCUGAUGUGGUGAAUUUUUUACUCAAAUAGUAAAUGGCUCGUUCCUUCCCAUCAUGGGGUCCUUUCUGUGCCAACAUUGCACCUAGGGAUUCACUGUUGAUGGUAAGGUAGAGGGUCAAAGGGUGUCCUGGAGUAGGGGGUACUAAAACCGAGGGUUUCAUCAGGUACCGCUUCAAAUUUUCAAAUGCCAGUCGGCAGUCAUCAUCCCAUUCGAUUUGUGCAUCUUUCUUGAGAAGUUUAAAGAAAGGUUUUGCAGUUUCAGAAAGCUAGGAAAUGAAUCGCGCAAUGUAAUUUAAUCUUCCCAGGAGGCUCCGGACUUCUUUCACAGUCGAGGGAGGAGGUAUCUCAAAUAUCGCUUUAGUUUUUGACGGGUCCACUUCUAUCCCUUUACAGCUCACAAUGAAUCCAAGUAAUUUGCCAGAGGUUGCCCCGAACACACAUUUUGCUGGGUUCAAGCGCAACUUGAACUGGCGAAGUCGAUCGAAUAAUUUUUCCAGGGUCUUCACAUGGUCUUCUCCAUGUCUGGUUUUGGCGAUCAUGUCAUCGACAUAUACUUCAAUUUCUUUAUGCAUCAUGUCAUGGAAAAGGGUGACCAUGGCACGUUGGUAAGUUGCUCCAGCGUUUUUCAGGCCAAAAGGCAUGACCUUAUAGUGAAAAGUCCCCCAUGGAGUAAUGAAUGCCGUCUUUUCCUUGUCUUCCUCCUUCAUUUUUAUUUGGUUGUAUCCUGAGAACCCAUCCAUGAAAGAGAAAAGUUUGAAUCCAGCAGUACUAUCCACAAGAACGUCUAUGUGAGGUAGUGGGAAAUCAUCCUUUGGGCUUGCUUUGUUCAAAUCGCGGUAGUCGACACAAAUCCGGAUUUGACCAUCUUUCUUCUUUACUGGUACAAUGUUUGCCACCCAACUAGGAUAUUGCGAGACUUCGAGGAAGCCUACUACCAGGAGCUUCAUUACUUCUUCUUCAAUCUUUUUUGACAAUUCAGGCUUAGCUCUUCUUAGCCGCUGCUUCUUAGGAGCCACAUUAGGGUUGGUUGGCAAGCCAUGCUCCACGAUCAUUGGAUCAAGGCCUGGCAUAUCGGCAUAAGACCAUACGAAUACAUCUUGAUAUCUCUUUAGGAGGGCAAUUAAGCUUGCAGCUUCUUCUUCAGGAAGGUUCGCGCCAAUCUUUAUCUCCCUUGGAUCUUCUGUGCUGCCUAAAUUGACAAUGAUGGUGUCUUCAGUAGUAGGGGGCCUUGCUUCUUCGUGGCGCUUCCAAUUCCAUUGAAUUUCGUCGGAAUCAUCAAAAUCAUCAUCUGAGUCAUCAGAAUUGCUAUCAUGGCUACUUACGGUGCUGGUUUGGACCGUUCCCAUACCCUCGCCUGCCGCUAUAUUAUUCCUGUGUCAUAGAGUAGAUAGGCUAAGGGAACAAAUAAGGUUAGUAGCAUGCAUGCUUCUUUCUUUUGAAAAUGUGAUAAAUUGCUUUUAAAGAUUAAAGACAAUUAAACAUGAGGAGACCCGGGCCUCAGAUUUCUUCUUUCAUUUGACGGCUGGCUAUCAUCAACGGCCGGUUUGGUGUGUCUCCUCAUGCCCUCAAAUGUUUUCAACUUUAAUUGACAUCGUAGUCCAAAUUUACCACUUGGUUGGCCCAAAGUGUCUAUGAUUGCCUCUCCUAUACGCGCCUCCUUAGCAUGCUCAGGGAACAUGGUACGGGUGCUAGGUACCACGAGGAGGUGAUCAUUGCCGAAACACAGCCAUGGAGAGCGGAACGUGAAUACCCCAGCAUCCAAAAGAUCUUGAACCUUGUCUCUCAGGAUGGUGCAGUCAUCUAGCGAGUGUCCUAAUUCCCCUGAAUGGUAAUCACAUUGCUUGGAUGGAUCAUAAUCAAGGAAGUACUUAGGGGUAGGAUGGUUCAAUUCUCUGCCGAUUAGCCCUUGCUCGAGGAGGAUGGGGAAAAUAAUGGACAUUGAUUUAGGAAGGGGCGAAUAUGGCCGAGUGCUUCUUGGGGAUAAGGGUAGCCGUGCCCCUCGCCAGGUCGUGUCAAUAGGGUCCUCUUCAUUUACCACCAGCUCCUCAUUGUGAUGAGAACGGAAUGCACGGGUAGCUUGAGCGAAGUUUUCUGUCAAAUGGUGUACAGUCUCACGUAAUUCUUCGACUUGAUGUCGAAGCUGGAUGAACGAGAAGUUAUCGCAUGUCUCUUCUAAUUGCUCUUCCUCAAUGGCGCCUAUGAAAAUGUCCCCGAACAUGGAGGUCACAUCGUCUGGCCUUUCUUUCUCAAGUGAGGGCCAAAUUGUGUCUUCCUGGAUUAUGGGCAAUUUCACGCUUUCGGGGUUGAACCAUUCUGGAGUAUCCACUUCCUCUUCCUCAUGCAUCAUCUUGGCUGGGCCCGGGAAAGUUUCCUCGAGACGGGGAUAUACAAGGCCGGUUUUUUUCUUUACUUUUCUAUCUGGGGAAUAUCCCAAACCGACAGUAUAGGGUCUUCUCCGAGCUUCAAUAGGCUGACGAAUGCCCUGGCCUCUCCUACCAAGCCCUUGUCCCGAAAGGAAACCGUGUCCUACCAUGAUUUUUCCUACCAUGAUUGCAGCACUUGAUAUCUCAGGGACGAGGGGCAAAGUCCCUCGAGUUUCGUGUAUAGUGGACACGAGCUCGAACGAUUGAUAGCUAGCUUCAUUCUUGUCACUAGGUUCAACAUAAGGAAUGGCCGUCUCGUGGUAGAUGCGGUGAUCUUCUUCUCCUCGGACCGUGAUAAGUUUUCCUCCAACCACGAACUUCACACUUUGGUGGAGGCUGGAAGGUACUGCUCCUGCGACGUGUAUCCAUGGGCGCCCUAAGAGGAAAUUGAAUGCAGUGGGGAUAUCCAUCACCUGGAACAAAAUUUUGAAUACGGUUGGGCCAAUUUGAAUAUCGAGCUCGAUCUCUCCUACUGUUUCCUUCUUUGUUCCAUCAAAUGCUCGAACAGAAGUCUUGGGUACCUGGAUCCAUGAUCUCUCUAUUUUAAGGCGACAGAGUGUCGCUAAUGGACAUAUGUUAAGAGCAGAUCCAUUGUCAAUCAACACUCGAGCGACGUGAGAUGCGUUGCACUUGACUGAUAUGUAAAGGCCCUUGGUGUGUCCUCUACCCUCCUCGGGAAUCUCUUCAUCAGAAAACGCCAUUUGAUCCUUUAGAAGGAUGGUACUGACAAAUUCCUCGAGUUUGUCAUGCUCAAUAGUUUCAGGGACAUGUACUUCACUUAAUACUUUCAUGAGAGAUUUUUGGUGCUUGACAGAUGUCUGGAGCAAUUCCAGUAGAGAGAUCUGUGCCGGUGAUUUUCGUAACUGUUCCACCACAUUAUAUUCGCUGGCCUUAACUACGGCCAAAAACUCCUUGGCUUCUUCGUCAGUGACGGGCUUAGCAGACUGAGUAUUUGCUUGAGCAUAGGUUCGCCCAGAUCUCGUGACCAAACCAACAUCAAGGUCAUAAGACCAUGGUACCGCAUUGUUGCAUUUGUAUUUGUAAGGUUGGGGAAUCUCAAUGACUAUAGCUGUUUCUGUUGUUGAUGCUUGAACAAUGGCUUCCUUCCUUUCAAAGACGCUCUCAGGUGAGGUUGAGUCAUUCUUCUCCUUUUUCGCAUUUAGCGCGGCAAAUUCUUCUUCCCAGUUGAUGAGGACUUGCGAUAUGGUAGAAACUAUGCUGGUGUGGCCGGCGUACACGAUUAUUCCGGCCUCUAUCAUUCUUAAUACCCUUUCCUCCAUUAUUGCAAAGGGUAGUAUUUCAUCAUCCGGAUAAUAUCCAGUUUCUACUAGCCCUCGAUAGACGUCAGCCAUAUGUGCAUUGACAUUUCUGAUCUGAUUGGUUUCGAAACUGAAUAUCAUGUUUACUUUGUCAGCAUGAUCAGGGAGCGGAUUGCUUUGGACAUUCGGCUUCGCGGUUUGGAAUGAGAAAGCCUUAGUAUCUAGCAGGUUCUGGAUUCGAUGUUUAAGGACGAAACACUCAUCAGGUGAAUGGCCUACUUCUCCCAUGUGAUAGUCACAUUUUUUGGACGGGUCAUAGCUGGAGAAGUUUUCAGCAUUGGGUCGUCUCGGCUCAGUUGAAAGGAGGCUCUUGUUUCGGAGGAUUGCCAAAACCUGGGAGGGAGAUCCAGGAAGCGGAGUGAAUUGUCUUCGGUUGUUGUAGCGCUGGGGUGGACGGCUAUUAGUCUGUUGCUGGCCUGUGUUUGUCUGAACAGUCGGGAGAUGACCGGUGUUUGCAGUGUACGUGGCAUUGACAUCAAUCAAGGAUUCUUUAUCUUUUUUCAUGUUGAGCCUUCUGCUGACAGGUGCAGGCUCAGUGAACCAGCCGUCCCUUAAACCCGUCUCAAUCUGCUCUCCCACUGGAAUGAGUUGAUUGAAUGAUUCAGCGAUUGUAGUCACCAUCCGAUUGCGGUAUUCAAAAGGGAGGGUUUUAAUGAACAUUUUUCUCAAUUCAAAGUCAGUUGGCUCAGGACUGAUCUGGGCGGCGAGAUUCCUCCACCUAAUAGCAUAUUCUUUGAAAGAUUCUUGCUUUUUCUUCUCCGUGCGAUCAAGAUCCUCACGAGAAGGGGUAAUGUCCAUUAUGAAUUUGUACUGCUUGAGGAAUGCUUCACUUGCUUCGCUCCAUGUCUCGAUGAGGUUUAUGUUCUUUUUUAUGUACCACCUCAGGGCGGGACCUAUCAGGCUUGACUGGAACAACUGGAUCAUUAAAGGUUCAUUAUUAACGUACUGGGUCAUUCGAACCAAGUACAUCUGCAAGUGAGCUCUUGGGCAGGUCGUGCCAUCGUACUUCUCGAACUCAGGCAUUUUGAAUUUUUCCGGCAUUUUGACCUUGGAGUAGAUGGAGAGGUCUGUUGGAGUAGGAUCUUGAAGGCCUUGCAAUUGCUUUAGCCUCUCUUCAAGCUUCUCAAGGCGUUUGUCAUGUUCAGUCUUAGACAAACUGUUGGGCUUUGCUUUCUCGACUAUGAUUUGGUGCAUAUCAUCUUCUAAUUCGGGCAUGUUAUCAUCAGUAUCUCUUCCUUGAUCACCUCGAGUAGACGAUUGCGGUAACAAUACUUCGAUUGAGGCAGGGGCGGGAGCUAAUUUGCCUUGGAUGGAAUCUAUUUGCUUUGAGAGUUGCUGAAGCACAUUGAAGACUUGCUUCAUUUCACUUUCCAUAAUCUCGACACGGCUUGGUACAUUUUCUUCGGCCAUUCUAUCUUUUGGCGAAUACGACUGUGAUUGUGAUUACCUGCAUAAAGAAAAUGGAGAGAAUGUAAGCCAGGAAACGUAUGGAACACUGGCCCAUGGCAAGGGUCACGUCAUUUUUAUUUAUUAACAGGAGAUUUAUACAAUGCCAAAAGGGCUUUUUACACAAGUCAAAACGACCCUAGAUAUUAACAUUAGGAAUAUUCACAUCAAAAGUCCCGCUGCCCAUUUUAUAUGCGAUGGGAAGCUCCAGUCUUGUGAAGCCGCUUGCUUCUUCGUACUAACUUCGAUACGUGUCUCUUGCUAGUCUCCAAGCUCUUUUCAAGAGAUUCGAUUCGCCCUUGCAGGGUAAGUUUAUCAACUACAUCAGGGAUUACUGGUUGCAGCUCCUUGGGAAUUAUAUGGUUGAGGAUGUAGAAUGUUGAUGCAUGAUGAACUUUUUCUUGUUCCUUUAACCUUCUGGGCACGACGAUCUUUUCAGUGUGGCAUCUACUCCAUGCGUUCUGAAUUAUGCAGAUCUCCUCCAAGUAGUUGUAGUUCGUACGGGUGAAAAAGAUUCGAAACAAUCCUGAUUUGAGCGGUGGCGGGACUUCUUGAAGGACCCUGUACUGACGAGCCACCCUAUAUGGAUAAUAUGAGGUAGCUCUGGAGAGGCCCAGCAACGGGAUGGGGUUGUAAUAAUCAAGCGCAAAGCGCGCCUCUCCUGCAAUGAACCAUUUAGCUCGCCAUAGGAAUGUCUCAGGGACCGGGUUUUUUAGCAAGUUAAUCCACCGAGAAUAUUCUUCAUUGGGAGAAUAUUUUUCCAAGAUUUGAAACUUUUGCAAUGGGUGUUUAAACUCGUUGAUUUCAAAUAUUUGCAUGAGGUGCCCAAAUCUUUUGAUAUGGGAAAAGAACCACAUUUGUAAAAUUUCUGGAGCGGCCCUCAUGAUUUUCUCUUUUUGGUCCUUGAAAUGAUUAAGGGAUAAAAACGUUUCGGCUAAAACCAUAUUCACAUAUCCUGCUCCAAAAAUGACUUGAUUUACCACCCAUGUGAUUGAAGGAUCUAUAGCAUUCUUUCGAUGGGGAAAGAUAAUAAAACCAAAGAAUGCUAAGAGGAAGAUCUUGGCUUUUUGGGUCAUUGAUUGUUUUUCAAAGCAUUCAGUUAAAGAUGAUAGUGGAAAAGCAUUAUUGUUGGCUUGAACAAUUUCUCUUACCGAAUGAUUUUUUAGAAACCGUGAUAGACUAACCACAGGGUCAAUGCCGAUUGGCUUGACAAGCUCGCUUCCCAGGGGCAUUCCUAUGGCGAGACCGUACUCUUCUAAAGUCGGAGUCAGUUCAAAUUUGCCGAAUAUGAAGGUGGAUGUUUCAGGGCACCAGAAAUGUGGUAGUGCUUGCAUGACCCCAAAGUGGAUAUUGAUUUGGAGCAAUGGGAGGAGAUGACCGAUUCUUGAUUUGACGUACUCUUGGCCGAGUUGAUCUAACUGCUUCCACCAUCUGAGAAGCUCUCCCUUUGGGGUGGGAAUGAACUGGAUAUCAAAUCUUCCCAUCGCAUAUAAGGAAGGGAAAUACACAACCUGACCCUAUUUCGCCAUGAGCCAGAAAAGACUAAGUAAAAAUAAAGAAAUUACUUGGCAAGCACAAAGACAUGCAGAUGGGAUGUGCGGCUCGAUUUCUAACUCAGAAGGAUUGGUGAGAUUAAAAGGAUAUCCGCCCGUCGCAGUCUCGCGUUAGCAGCAUACCCUCUUAACCUCGGCUAAGAAAUUCGGGGAAAAGAAAGGCGACCUCUACAUCGCAGUCUCGCGUUCGAGGUCGUAUCUUUCUUAACACCAUCCUAGAAAUCCUAUGGCGGCCAAGGUCCGGCGGCCGGGUUGUGUGUGCCAUGUGUAGUGUUUAAAACAGUAAAGCAUGCAUAACAAUUUAUAAUCACAAGAUAAUCUAUUAAAAUAAAUUUCUAAGCUUUUGACCUGCAUAAAAAAAACCUAAGUCAGUAAAGAUAUUAAACAAGACAUAAAGGCCUAAGUCCUCAAAGUCCCCAGCGGAGUCGCCAAGCUGUCGCGACCUCUUUUUUCUCGGCGCCCGCAAUCGGGUACGAGCGCCUAAGGAGGCUAAUGGCUCGGCUGAAUUUAUUAAGCCCGGACUCUCCCAAGUCCGCCAAUUCACGACUUUAAUAGUUUGAGUUUUUAACCUAUAAAUCAAUUUUUAAAAUGGAGUCGCCACUAAUCGAUUUGGAGUGGGUUGAUUAGAAACCCAAGCGAAAUAUCGGGAGAAAUACUCGCUCCUGCGCAACCAGAGAAAUUAGGAUCGGGGACUUGAUUACACUAGUUAAUCACUAAUGCCCUUUCGGUACCUAAUCUUGUUUAAACCCUAAGGCUUUUUGGAUUUUUGAGGGAUUUUUCCAUACAUUUUUUGGAGGAAAAACAUUUUUUGAGUCUUUUUCUCAUUUUUGGACAUAAAAGGGAUUUUUUGGAUUUUUUUUUGGAAAAAUACAAGUCUUUUUGGCUUUUUCUGAAUUUUUUGGCUUUUUCAUGAAAUUUUGGAUUUUUUUGGAUUUUUGGCAUUUUUUGGAAAAUAUGGAAUAUUUUUGAUUUUUUUAUUUUUCGGAAAAUAAAAUAUUUUUUAAUAUUUUUUUAAUAUUUUUGGAAAAUAAAUUAUUUUUUUGAUUUUUCUCGAUUUUUUAGAAAAUAAAACAUUUUUCGACAUUUUUUAAUAUUUUUUCGAUUUUUUGGAAAUUAAAACAUUUUUUAAUAUUUUUUUGACAAUAAAACACUUUUUGAUUUUUUUUUUUGAAAAUAAAAUAUUUAUCAUUUUAUAUUAAAAUAAUAAAAUAAAGCCGACCCGGGUCGGAUCCGCGGGUUGGGUCCGACCCGGGCCAGCGACCCAAACGCGGGCCCGACUCGGAUUUUUCAUCUCCUUUUUUAUUUUUUUAUUUUUUACUUACUAAAACGACGCCGUGGCCGGGCGUUUGGGGACGCCCGGCCCGGCCCGACGACCCGGGUCCACGACCCGUUCCGCGACCCGGCUCGCUGCGAACCCUACCCGACCCGGAUCCGAAUCGCAACCCGGUCUUCCGCCGCGCCCGCAAUUCGUGGAAUCCCUACCCGGUUCCCGAUCCGGGUCCGACCCGACAACCCGGGGUCGUGACCUGGAAAAUCAGGAACCCUAGGGUUCCCGAAUCGCGGCGCCGAGGCACGACAGCGGGGACGACGGCGACGGCGACGGCGGCGGCAACGGCGACGAUGGCGACAGCGACGGUAGCAACGAGGGUUGGACUUCGGAGGGGGGAAACUAUGGCGACGACAACGGCGGCGGUGGCGGUAACACUACCUGUUCGUGGCGAUGGCGUCUGGAUAGUGGUGGCUGGGCAACUCGGUUUCCCGAUCUGGCGCGGCGUCGCCGGAUCGAUCACGGCAACGGCUUCGCAGGUGGGGCACGGCAACAAGCCGUCAAAGCAACGGCGUCGGGACUGAGGCGAACGGCUGCAGCACGGCGUCCGGCGGCAACAACAGCAGCAAAAAAAAAGAUCUACCCAGCCGGACCCUCCUCGGCCUUGAUUUCUCCUCACUCAGGCCAGAUCCGAGCCUCCACCGGCCGAAUCUGACCUUCUCGAAGUCACUCGCUGCCGGCCUUCCCCGAAGUCUCUCGGUGGAAGGCGGGCUGAGCUUGCAACUCGAGCUCUCUCUUGCGCUCGCCCUUCAACCCUUCCCGAUGUCUCUCAGUGAAGGAUCUCCGAGCUCGCCACGCCCUCCGACGAUGCUUGCGGCCACCUAUUUAUAGGCGAAGGAACUCCGGUCGACGGAGGGGCUCGGUCGCCGGCCUCCGGCUUGCCCACCGGUUCCGCUCGGCUGAACCGGUGUCCCAUCGAGCUUUCCAGCGAAGCUCGCUCAGCAUUAAAGGCGCCUGCGAUCUUAUCCCCUCCGGCCGACGUCGCCCUACACUCCUCGGCCGUAGGCCGUCCUUCGCGCGCGUCGCCGGCCACCGCGCGUGAGAUGCAAGCGACUGAGGAAGAAGAAGACAGGAGGAAGAAGAAGAGAGAAAAGGGGCCGGGCCAAGGGUGAAGGAAAAUGGGCCACACGGAGGGGGAAGAGAAAGGGAAAGAAAAAAGGGCUGGGCUUUUGUUUUUGUUUUUUUUUUGGUGUGUUUAUUAAUUAUCUUAUUUAUCCGAAAUAAAAUAAAAACUUAACAAAAUAAAAUUAACCUAAUUAAAAAUGAGGUGUCAACAUGGGUUGAUUCAAACUUCACUAGCACCGACAGUUUGACUCGGUCAAAAUUGGGUCCGCAAUCGGGGUGUCCCAAGAUCAGCUCGUCCUCUAAGUUUUGGGGGAGGUGGAGGUUCCUGCUUUUCCGUUAUAUUUUGCUUCUCGUUUUAUUUUUUAUCAUUAUCAGUGUUGAAGCAUUUGAUCUCUAAUCCAAUGUCCUCGUCAAAGAUGUCCCCAUCAAAGAGAUAAGAUAGGAUUAGCUUAUUCAAAUAGCCCAAGCUUUACAAUAAGAUAAGUCCAAAACCUAAACACAUUAACUUUAUUUUUCGAUAGCUUUCUUGACAUAUAAUGAGAAUGUACUUUUCAUCAAUGAUCAUACGCGUAACAAUUUGUGAAAGAUUCUAUCACAUCGAUAGUUUUAAAUGUUAAUCCAAAUUCGAAAUAUAAGUUCGGAUCUAUUCAUUUGUUACUCAUGAAUUCUAUUCUUUUAUGGAAUUUAUUGAAAAUUAGAGAAUCUCGUGAUACCAACAAAAUAUCAAGCUUAUUCAACUUUUAUUCCCUUGAUACGCUAUUUAUGUAGCACAAUUUACAAAAUUCCACAAAAACCACUUCACCAGAUUCCUGCCACACCUUUCAUUCUCUUAUUCUCAGCAAAUACAAGAACAGCUACGCUCACCAGCCCCACAAACUUUACUCCAAACACAGAGUGACCCAAAAAAAAAAAAAAAACCACCGAUGACGUGCUAAUUCGAUGUUGUUGAUUUUGUGCGUACAAAGUCCAAAUCAACAUUAAUGACGUCAUAUAUGGCGUGCUAAAAGUUGUUCAUGAGUUGAAUUUUUGCAAUUACGUGCCCAAUGAAUUUUGACGCUCUUGAGUGGGAAAUCACUAAAUUGUUAACUUUUUUCCAAAUGCCUGACGGGUUUCAUAGGAUUGGUUUGGCGAGUAGAGAUAAAAAGUUAGCACGCAAGUAAUUUAAAAGCACGGUGUAAAUUUGAUUCUCCCAAUCAAUGAGCGUAAACGAAACAUGGGGGCGAAAAAGGUUGUUACCAGCAUUGAAAAAGUGGACUUUUGAGAAGCUCCAAUCACUGAAAUGUUGCGUAUUCGGCAAAAUGCAAGUAAGUCUAGUCAUCGAGAGUUAGUAUUUAGAGAAAUGCAUAAACAGAUAUUUAAUCAAUAGAUACGUUUAGAAAAAUGUCAUACAUAGCUUUUUUAGCUCAGUUAUAUAGAGCUUACUUUAGUAAGCAAGAGGUCUUGACUUUGAUUCUCAACGAGAUCCUUUGUCUUUUGACUUGUAAUAUUUCCUUUUUUCACAUUCAAUCUUCUUCCUAACAAUUUUUUUGAAAAAUUCAAUCGAGCCAAAAAAUGAAUUGCUUAAUAAAUGAUAGAGCCAACAUAUAUACAUACUAUAUAUGUGUUUUUUCUCAGUACAAAUGGUUAUACGAGGACCCAAUUAGUAAGAGGGAGGUCUUGAAUUUGACUCUCAACAAGAGCAUUUGUCAUUCAAACUUUUUCAUAACAAUUUUUUUACUAAAGAAAAAAAUCGAUUGAGCCAAAGAAAUUGUCACUUAAUACAUCAUAAAGCCAGCAUACACAUAUAAUUCAUUUUUCUCAGUACAAAUGGGUAUACAAGCACCCAUUUAGUAAGUGGGAGGUUUUAAGUUCGACUUUCAAUGAGAGCAUUUAUCUUCUUACUUAUAAUUUUUCCUUUUUGUAAAUUCAAACUUCUUCAUAAUAAUUUUUUUAAGAUAAAAAACCACCAAAAACCUCAAACUUUGCCCAAAGUGACAAAUUUACCCCAAUCUUUGUAUUAUGAUAUGAAAAAUCCCAAAUUUUGCCAACUGUGACAUAUUUACCCCAAACUUUUUUUCAUGACACAAAAAAUUCUGAACUUGUAUUCAUGUGACACAUUUACCCUAAACUAUAAGGCAUUUUGUCUUUUACUUUUUAAAAUCUUUUCUUUUUCUUUUUUUCUUCUUCUUCUCUCUUCCCUCCGCCAGCCAUGGCAGAGCCGGUGGAGGAAGCCAUAGUUAGGCGAGGGCUACCUUCACCGCCGUUAGGCGAGGGUUGCCCUCGGUUAGGCUAGCUAGGGCUGCCCGACGCCAACGAGGGAGGUCCUCGCCCGACCCAACCGAGGGCAGCCCUCGCUUGAUGCCACCGAGUGCAACCCUCACCUAACUCCAACUUCCCUCCGCCAUGGCUGGCGAAGGGAAGAGAGAAGAAGAAAAAAAAAAAGAAAAAAAAAAAGAAUAAGACGAAAAUGCUAUUGGUGGGGUAAAUGUGUUACGGUUUUCAAAAUUUAUGGUUUUUUAUGUCACAAAAGAAUGUGUAGGAUAAAUUUGUCACUUUAGGCAAAGUUAGGGUUUUUGGUGGUCUUUUUCCUUUCGAUCGAGACAUAAAAAAAGUCACUUAAUACAACAUAGAGCCAACAUAUAUAAUAUAUUUUGUUCCUUUUUCUUGGUAUAAAUGAGAUACCAGCACUCGUUUAGCAAAGCCAAAGUCUUGAUUCCGACUCUCGAUGAGAGCACUUGUCUCGUGACUUAUAAUCUUUCUUUCUUCUACAUUCGAACUUUUCCGUAACAAAUUUCUUGACAAACAUUCAAAUUUAUGUCUUCUUGAUGCCGUUAUAAUAAGGGAUACGGAACUCUAGUGUGAAUGGAACUCAUUGCUGUGAUGCUAAAGGGAAGGCGAUGCUGACGAAUCCUACAGGAAUAUGCGGGGGACGGAAAAUCUUAGAGCUGGCGGUUAGAUCUGGCUGAGGUUACCAAGGGUUGAUUCUUGCUUAUCGCCCCGGAACUGACUUACCCAGGUCAUGCUCAGCCCUCACCCUUAGAAAAAGGAACUCAAGAAAAAAAAUUCAGUCACUGCUCCAUAAUGAUUAAUGUCCAUCAUAGUUCAAGUAAGGAGAUAUAAGCAAACGUUCAAACAAUAAAAUAAAUAGAUCGACAAAAUAAAUUGGAUACCAGACUUAUAUAAUUCAAUCGCAGUGACCUACCUCUAUAAGAAAAGUAAUAACGAAUUUUAUUGUAGAUCAAACAAUAUAACGGAAAUUAUAACCACAGUCGAGUUACUUUAAUACUUUUAGUGUUUUCUAAUUCCUAAUUACAUUCAAUAACUCAAGUAAUAUAUAACCUCACAAUUUCUGACUAAAUAAUCCUUUAAUCUCAAGAAGAAAUUAACAAAUCACGAAUUAAACCCUAAUUUCGCUAUAUGUAAUUCACGGAGAAUAUCCAAUGUCAAGCACGCCAACGGCACUACUUGCGGCUGAAAAACCCGUGAUAAAGUCACCUCUCCGCACUAACAAGAGAGAGAGAGAGAGAGAGAGAAUGUGUGCAUCUGUCUUUUUCCUUCGGCAUUUUUGGCGGCUUCUUGCGUGGCAGUCAUCUAAGUGACCGGUGAGAAGUUUCUGAAAGACCGAUAAAAAAAAGGGAGAAGAAGAAGAAUAAUACUUUCUAAAAGAGAGAGAACAAUCAAUAUUGACAGUGCGCUGUUCGGGGUACAAAGCAAUGAUUUCAUCAUUCUUGAUUAGGGUUUUGAAAAUAUGGCUUUUCAAUCCGUUUCAUAUAUUCUCCCGUUCCCUUUUGGGAGUAGUCGUGCACUACUCCCCGCUCCCUUCUCUCUCUCAACUGUCGUCUAGUUGAACAAUUUUGAAAAGUCCCGACGCGUGCUUUUGCUGUCUGUCCCUCCUUCCUGCCUCAGAAUCUUGAAACGGUGCCGAUGCGGACCUCUUCCUCCUGCCUCAGUUUCUUUGAAUAUAAUUAGCCCGUUUCACUGUGUUUGCAAGUGGGGAUUGGAGUGCGUUCCCCUUGUAUAUGCGCGCGCCCAUCAACCAACCCCCCCUCCAACCAAUCCAAUCAAAUCUCACUCCAAUCCACUAUUGUCCUUUGGAUUAAUCACCACGGAAAGCGCCGAUUUCACAAGACCGUCGCACCGAAUUCCCGCCCUACCCUUCGGCACCUUCUCAGUAAAAAGACGAGGAGAAAAGCUCACCAUCGGACUUUAUUUGAGCCCGUAUACAGGGCCCGACUUAAUUUGAGGACGUGCAUCAGUUUGUUGAACCCGAUCUAUUAGGGAAAAAAAAAAUACCAAUAUCACACUUUCAUAUUUAAAUUAGAAUUUAUCUUGAACAGAAUAUUUACAUGAGGAGUUUUGUAAGCAUAGCAGUUUUUAAGUUAUUAUGAAAAUAAUAUCAACUGCAAAUUCUUGAAAAAGUGGGUUUCAUAACAAUAUAUAAUUAUUUAUUUUUAUGUAUCAUAGUAUACUGUUAUUCUCAUAUUAAAUUAAAAACGGUCGUUCAAUUAUUUAUCUUCACAUGAGGCGAGUAUUUGGUCUUUGGAGAAAUCUCUGGUGGUCAUGAAAAGUGCGAAUCCAUUAUACUCAGAUUCUUUUUCUUCUCUCUUUUUUAUCUGGCCAAUUGAAAAGUUGGACAAAGCCGCGUCUCAGUGGGUUCUGUUUGUUACUCCAGCCGCGCACAGCCAAGGGAUUUCACGUGCCGCACAGUAGGUUUCGUUUCGUGGGAGCAACACCGUGUGAUUUUCACGCGCCGCUCAGUGUUUACGCUGUAGGAAUCUGGGUCGAACGAAUUAUACUGAAGUGAUUUGAAAAAAUUAAGAUGCCGCGAUUUUUAUAAGAUGUUUCACAAGCAUCUUUAAUUACAGCAUUCAGAAUUUCUACCACCUCGACAGUUGUCUCACCCACUUCGAAGGCGUCGCAUCUAUUACUGCAGACGAAAAUUAUAACACUUUACCUCAAAACGGAUUCAUAGUUCAUUCACGAUUAUUAUUCAUCUUCAAGAGACGUGAGAAUGUAGACAUAAACAUGGUGGGAGACAGAAAGAUUGAGCCGACACGCAACAUCAACAACUCAAUUGUGAGCAUCGGGGUUUCGCAAGAGAUGGGCGUCGAUGGCCUUGAACAUUUCCAUGGCCCUUCUGUCUUUGCCGGCCGUGAUCUGCUCCUCCGUGAUCUCGGCCCCGUCCUUGGCAUAGUACUUGCUCGAGCUCUUGCACACGCGCCCUCCUUCUGGACCUCACCUCGAACUUGAUCUCGUACGAGAUCUUCUCGAGCCCAUCGCCCUCAACAGUGGUGCACACGAACGUGAGCGAGCUUCCCCUUGUUCAGUUCGUCGACCCGGUGCUUCGCCGAGUUGAGCUGGCUAGCUGCAAGACACAGAAAACCACAAUCAACUCCUAAACUUCGGUGAAUGUCUUGAGACCCAUGUUAAUGCGGUGCGAUAAAAAUGUGCAAAGUGGGUGAAGUUAAAAGAUGCACGAGGACUCGCCUUCCCCGAAAGCAACUUGCUUGAUGAUUGAAAUGCCCUCUAAAUGAUUCUCAGUCGCCUGUUUAGUAAUCUAAAUCGCCAUCACAAUAGUCUAAAUCGUAUAAUAGAGAAAGAGUACUAAAGACAUGGAUCUCAAGCCCAAAUGAUACUUAUUAGCAUGCGAGUGAUCAUCUGAAUUUCGAUGCUCUUGAGGGUGGGAAGUCACUAAAUUAUUAACUUUUUUCCAACACCAGUCGAGUUCCAUGGGAUUGUUUCCGCUAUUAGAGAUAAAAAGUUAGCAUGCAAGUAAUUUAAAAGCACAGUAUAAAUUCGGUUCUCCCAAUCAACGAGUAUAAACGAGAAUAUGGGGGCGAAAAAAUUGUUGCAAGAACUAAAACGUGGACUUUUCGAGAAGCUCCAAUAACAGAAAUGUCGCAUAUUCGGCAAGAUGCAAGUACGUCCAUCCAUCGAGACUUAGUUUUUGGAGAAAUGCACAAACAUAUAUUGAAUGAAUAAAAACGUUUAGAAAAAUGUCAUAAAAACGUAAGCGAGAGGUCUUGACUUUGAAUCUCAACGAGAUCCUUUGUAUUAUGACUCGUAAUAUUUAUUUAUUUUUUACACCCAAUCUACUUCGUAACAAUUUUUUUGAUAAACAAAACUUCAACCGAGCCAAAAAAAUUAGUCACUUCAUAUAUAUGUGCACCCGUGUGUAUGUGUUCUUUUGUUGGUACAAAUGGUUAUGCAGGCACUCAAUUAGUAAGCGGGAGGUCUUGAGUUUGACGCUCAACGAGAGCAUUUGUCUUAUGACAUUCAAACUUUUUCAUAACAAUUUUUUUCAUAAACAAAAAAUUCAAUUGAACCAAAAAGUUUGUCACUUAAUACAUCAUAAAACCAACAUAAACAUAUAAUUCACUUUUCUAAGUACAAAUGGGUAUACGAGCACCUGUUUAGUAAGAGGGAGGUUUUGAACUCGACUCUCAACGAGAGUAUUUGUCUCCUAACUUAUAAUCUUUCUUUUCUUUCUUUUCUUUUUUUCUACAUUCAAAUUUCUUCAUAACAAAUUCUUUUAUGAAAAAAAAAAUCGAUCAAGCCAAAAAAUUUGUCACUUGAAACGUCAUAGAGACAACAUAUACAUAUAAUAUAUUACGUUCCUUUUUCUCGAUACAAAUGGGAUAGGAGCACCUGUUUAGCAAUCCGGAGUCUUAAGUCCAACUCUCAACGACAACAUUUGUCUCGUGACUUAUAAUUUUUCUUCUUUCUACAUUCAAACUCUUUCGUAACUAAUUUUUUGAUAAGAAUUCAAACUUCUGUCUUCUUGCUGCUGUUAUAAUCAGGGAUAAGGAACUCUAGUGUGAAUGGAACUCAUUGCGGUGAUGCUAAAGGGAAGUUGAUGUGACGAAUCUUACUGGAAUGUGCGGAGGAAGGAAAAUCUUAAAGCUGGUGGUUAGAUCUGGCUGAGUUACCAAGGGUUGAUUCUUGGUUAUUGCUCCGGAACUGACUAACCCGGGCCAUACUCAGUCCUCACCCUUAGAAAAGGGAACUCUAGAAAAAAAUUUAGUCAAUGCUCCAUAAUAACUAAUGUUCUUCAUUGUUCAAGCAAAGAUACAUUUUUAUGCUUCUCACGUUCUAUAAUUUUAAGGAAGGGCCAAGGUGGAAAUCUUAUUUUGUAAUUAACAGUCUGCUAUCGAGUUCUUUUAAUUCUGUACUGUUCUUCUUUUAGCAUCAAGGUACCUGGAGAUAUUAACUUGCCUGAUUUCCUCCCUUGUUUCAUUCCAUUGUCAGUGUUUUUUAUGAUUUCGAUUGGCUUUUUUAAGCUUUACAAGUAGAUAAGGGAGUUAAUUAUUUGUCUAGGGCCUACUUAAACAGGCUUACCACGUAAGAAGCAAUAUCCCUCGUUUUGUUUUUGCUCUAAAAGGUUCCGAUGAGGAGCAUUCGGUUGUCGUUAGGGUUCGGCUUGGAAGUCCCUUGAGAAAGCAAUGGGGAGUUUUCGCAAAGACCAGUCAAUCGAGGAUGUAUAGCUCUAUGAUGAUGAAGGCCCCGGCAAAGGACCACCAGGGGGUGCUGGAGGUAGUGGUGGCAGCGGUGGUGGUCCUGGUGGAACUGUCGAUGAAGGUUUUGCCUGGAUCAUGGAUGAAACGCCGCAAGAAGUUUUGGCAACACUUGGCUUUAUAGUUCUGGCAUAGUAUCUCCUUGGAUAUCGUUAAAUUUUAGCUGUCAAAGUACGAAAUUUAUGCUCCUUUUCUUCUUCUUUUUUUUCGGUAAUGAAUUACUGGGACAUUCUAUAAGAAGUGUUAGUAUAUAUCGCGCUUAAUGACAUCCUGCAAGAAGCAACUCAGUUAAUUAAACUAAGCUUAAGAUAAUCCAAUCCUGUAAGCGUAAGCCUGCUUGAUGUACUCAAACAAACAUCUUACGUAACAAAUAAUGAGGGGGUAGUUAAGGGGGACAAAUGUUGGUACAUCUACGGAUUGGCAGCUGCAGCAAUAGUUGGGGUAUAUGAGGGGUACUCAUGGUAAUGCUGCUAGCAGGUGAUGUAAUGGUAACGGCGGUCAUGAAGAAAUUGUGCCAGAGGAGGAUGUUAUCUACUUGGAAUUUCAGUCUUGCUUAAGUACUAAGGUGGUGGUCGCAGCGGGGUAGGAGUCAAAGGAAAUGCUAGCGAGUACCGAUGAAGUAGGUAGAAUCGGUCGUUAGUGGUUUGUUUAGUAGAGUGAGAGUGCAUGUGGCCCUGUCGGAUCUGGUGGUUGUAGUGUCAAUUUAGAGGUGGUGCGGGUAAUGAUGGUAGACAGAGGGAAUCGUGUCUACACAAAAAUGUGUGCUUUGACAUGUUGAUAUUGAUAAAUCUCAUUUUUUCGAAGGUCUCUAUUCACCAUCUCAUUAAUGCUUUAGCGACAGUCCAAAUUUACUUUUCAAAUAAUAUCAGAUAUAUUGAGAUUCGUUUCUUCAGUGGAAGAAAAAGAAACCCCUCAAUUACAUUGACCCUUGAUUAAAUUGAUAUAAGUGAAGUUGUAGAUUGUAAUUGGAUCUUGAAUAUGGACCACCUGUUGGAAAGGUCUAUUUGCAGUCGACUAUGUCAGUUAUUAUACCAAAUUUAAUAGAUCGUUUUAGUGUAGCAUUACUAUUUACAUUUCAGAUGAUAAACCACAAAUCCUCUAACGGGUGUCUAUAGUCUGUACACUACGUUUUUCUAAUGCUGCAUCAUGGUGCCUGCAUAAGUUCAUGUGAUAUCAUUACUGUCGUACACAUAAUGGUUGGUUUAUAUUUCUAUGCUUUUGUUCUAUCCGAUGUCAUUUCUUAUCACACAAUUGUCAACAACCUGAUUUGACCAUUCAAUGCAGUAUAUCUAUAUAAUAUCUGGAGAGGAGCUAUUUCGGCUUGCUAAGGAUUACAGCACGUAUCUUCUCGAAGGAAGUCAGAGCGUUAGGUUAACACGUCUGAUGCAUCAGGAGGGAGGAUUUUAUAAGAAGCUAACAGAGAAGAAAGAGAUUGAUCAGUGUUGGUUAGAGAAGGCGAUAAUUAAUACCCCGACCUGGUGGGACAGUCCUGAGAAGUAGAGGCGCAUCGUGAGACCAUCUGAAGAAGUUUCUUACCCUUCUUCCAGCUAUGACGAUGAACUCUGAACAAUUUAUCUCCGUCUUGCCAAGUCACUUUAGAUGGAAAGGUGAUAUCAUUCCAUGCUUCUAGAUUUGCAGUGAUCCGAAGCUCGAUCUUGGUAGAUGAUGAGAAAGCCAUCUUCUGUAGUUGCUACACCACCUGCCAUGGAGAUUUUUGUGCAAAAUUUCACAAGAACAAGGUCAGAUGCAUGAAGGAUUGAAGUCUAUGUCAUUCUGUUUUGUUGCAAUAUAAAUGACAUGAGUUCAAGUUGAUUCAAAGCGUUAAGAGCAAUUGGGACUUGAUAGGCUGCUUCAUGAGGACUUCUUCAUUCCAACUUUUUCUCCCCCUUUUGAUUCGUUUUCAUUUCUGCUAUUGAUUUUGUCAUUAUCAGCUUGGGUUGCUACCUAAUAGGCUGAAGUUUUGUAACAUUUGAUAUGAUAUGCAGAUACACAUUGCUUGUGUAUAUCUCGAAAAUUCCUACCCUCGGACACUGCUUUGGCUAGCUUCUAAAAAAUGCCGUUCUGUUUGCCCUUCUCUGUCCCUUCUUUUGCCCAGAUGAACAACAACCCUCAGGCCGCCACAUGACCAGCAUAUACGCUAGUGAAAUGCACAAUUUUUUUUAUUUUCUAAUUUGUGGGAAGAAGACCCUUUCUUGUGACAAAAGCCCGGUGGAUGAUGAGAAAGUCAUUUUAUUUUUAUUUUUCCUCUUCUCGAUCGCCCGAAGCAUGAGAAAAGAUACAAGGAGAGAGCACAUGAAAUGAUAACACCAUGCAUAGAAAAAAAAAAAUAGGAAUAAGAAGUAGGGGCCAAAUCAUUGCAGGUCACGAAUCGGGGUACCUAAGUAGGGAGAGGGCAGUUGUGGCAGGCUCUCUCAGAUGGUUUCAGAGGUGACUUUCUUUUGGGGUUUUUGGAUCUUGGUUUUUGGUGGGGGCACUCUUUCAUGUGCUCUCUAUCUAUCUCCCCCAAACUCCCCAAACCCCCCCUAGAAAAAAAAAAAUUACCAAUUAUUGACACCUAAAUUUUGGCAACUUAUUUAGAUAUUUAUCGUAUUAAAAAAUUAAAAAUUAAUUUUAUCCCUGAAAAAAUAAAAUCACAUGGCAUAUAGUUUAGGAACAUUUUUGUUUAUUUUAUUGGACUGACGGUGAGUACAAAAUUUUUCACAUAUUCCGUUGAGAUUUUCAUAUAUUUAGACAAUAUACAGUAAGUGAUGUAUUUUUUAUGAAAAUGAAAUUUUCGAAUGAAAUAUUGAAAAAAAAAUACAAAAAAUAUUGUGCCUGGUGGGAUGAUAAGCAAAGUUGACAAUAAAAUAUAUCACGGAGAUAUAAUUUUUCGGUGUAUAAAAGGAGUCGGGUACGGUGGGGAGCAAAGGAGGCCACACAAUUGACUACACGGCCGCAUAGAGACUUCUCCUAGGGUUUCAAGAGGAGAGAGAAAAAAAAAGAGAAAAAGCUUCGGGGUUUCUCCAUUCGUUCCGUAAAAAAAUGGAGGAGGAGAAAAGCUUAUUGGGAAAGGGGAAAAGUCAACAGAAGCUUUUUGCUUCUGCAGAUACAGAGAACAGAACAACACAGCAGGGAGAUUGAGAUUGACGUGAGGGACGUCGAUCAACAGGAAAAAAUAAGAAGAAAAAAGGGUGCUCCUGUUCCUGUUCAUCUUCCCCACCACGCUUUCCCUGAUUCUCGCCGGCGCAGCAGCAGCCGGGUCAACGCUUCCGCCGGCUUUUCUCCCGCUCGCGCCACCGUCGUGGCGCCUCAGCCGAUCUCCCUCGCUGCACGAAGCCCGCCGUCGUUAUCGUCACUCCGAGCAUCCCUCCGCGACGCCCGAGCCGCUCCGCCGCUUCCUCAUCAGCUCUGUACUCAAUCGCUCCACCCACGACGCUCCUGCUCCGACGCCCAGCGAAUCUGCCCCGGACCCACGAAGCUGUCGCUGUCCCAUCUCGCCGGGAUUCCCGCCUGCGAGCCCGCAUCCCUGCACCGCGCCGCACCACCACCCGCGCCUUGCUCCGCUUCUGCAGUAGAUCCCGCAUCCUGCAGCAAAGUCCGAGUCGCCCUGCUACACCUUCAACCCGCCGGUCCGCGACUCCCCUGUUGUCGAGCUUUCCUUCACCAGCCCUCCGAGUGACGCUCGUAGCAACCCGACGUCGCAGCUCCUGCUCCGCCCUCUUCCCGAGCCCGAGCAAAGACGCCUCUGCUCCGACGCCGCAAACACCUGACGUCGUCGCUGCUCCUGUUCGCCUCAGUAGCACUGCUCAACGAUCAGAGUAGACCACCGCCACCAGCGACGACGGCUGCUUCGAACCGCUGCUUCGCCGGCCACGAGCACCGCCACUUGACUCCUCGUGACAACCCGACGCCCGCGCCUUCCCCACCGUGCUGCUCUGCUGUAUCCGACCCGAUGCACGCCCGAGCGACGAACCAGCUGCGGCUUGCUCCCAAACGCCGAACAGCAGCCCCCCUGCCCGCUGGUUAAUGUUGCUGCCGCCGGUCCGCCCGUCGCCCUCGCCGGAGCUCCGAACGGCAACCCAUCUAGCCGCUGGCUGACUUUAGUUUAGGAGGCAAUUAAGGUAGAUUUCUUAUUUUAUUUGAUUUUUAUUCAUUUAUUUAUUUAGUUUUUAUUGUUCAUUUUUUUUCUUUAUUUGAUGAUGAGAUGUUUGAUAUAAAACAGCCUGUGAAAGAUAGUCCGAUUUUCGCGUCCGAAAUCCGACUCGCAAUCACAAUCGCUUGAAAAAUCGUCAAUCCGAUCUCCCGCCCAAGAUUUGAUUCGUGAUUUAUUUAAAAAUUGGCCAACCCGAUCUCAUACGCGAGAUAUGGUUCGCCGGUUUGUAGAUAUCGAUCAUAUCUUAUCUCAUUUGUCGUCAUGUUAAUUGAAUCAAUUUUAUUUUGUUAAAUAAAAAAAUCAAAAAAAGAAAUAUCUGAGUUAGGAUUAGAUCUGUUUUAGAAUAUUCCUUGUUAUCUUACAUAUUUAGAAUAGAGAUUUUAUUUCGAAUUUCAAAAAUAAAAAAUCAAAUCAAUCAAUUCAAGUUGCUAGUGUUUUUUUUACUUAGGUUGCAUGUUUAAUAAUUUGACAAUUCUUAAUUUCGAAUUUCACAAAGAAAAACACAAAAGAAUCAUCAUGCAUAUAUCAUGUAGAGUUAGGGCAUAUUUUUGUACGUCAUUGCAUAUUAUGGUAAAAUUGCACUUAGUUUAAUUUUAGAUAAUAUUUUUCUUAAUUUAUUAUAAGUUUAAAUAUUAGAUAGAUUGCAUUCUAGGAUUAUUUGGGUUAAGAUAAUAUUUUAGUUUAAAUUAGGAUUUGGUUCAACCUAAUUCUUGAUACAAAUUGAAUAGAAUCUUAAUCUAGUUAGAUAAUUUUCACAUUUUAUUUAAUCCCGAAUUUUAUAAAAAAUACACAAAAUGUCAUAAGUCGAACUAGUUUUAGGAUAAAAUGCAUUCUUUAGGAAAAAUGAAAAAAAAUGCCAUACGCACGUCAUUAGGGUUAGAUUCAUUGAGAUGCAUGUCAUUUAGUAUUUUUGCUAGGCCCAUUUAAUUAGAAAUUACAUGUCAUUAGAAUUAGGUCAUUUAGUUAAUAUUGCAUUGCAUAUUGCAUGAUUUUCAUUAAAAAAGUGAAAACAAAAAAAGAAAUUGCGUGUUAAUUAGAAAUCAUAUUUAGAAUUAUUGAUAUGGAUUUUAAAUUAAUAUUGCAGAUACUUUCGUUGCUUUGAGGUAACUUUUUGCAAUUUAUUUAUUUUUUAUUUGGGUGUUAAAUUGGUGGAUUGUGCACCCAUAUGACCACCUCACAUAUUAGAGAAAUAAAUUUAAAAUUAAUCCAAACUGCUUGCCAAACAUUUUUCAAAAAAAAAAAAAAAAAAGGUACCGAAAGGGCGUUAGAGAAUUCUAACAUAACCAAGUCCCCGUACGCAUAGUCUCUGGUUCGUAGGAGUAAAAUAAUUCUCCCGUUAUUUUAUUUGGGUUUCUAAGUGGCGACUCCUAAUUGAAAAUCAAUUGCAUGUUAAGAACUUGAAUCUAAGUCGCGAAUUGAUAUGGGCUUGGGAGAACCCGAGUUAAAUCUAGGCUUAACAAUCCAUUAAUCAAACCCUAGGUGGUUCACACCCGAAAAAUUGGUCGCGAUACCAAUACUCAAUUUCUAGAGAGAGAUAGAUGGGUUAUAUAUAUAUAUAUAUAUAUAUAUAUAUAUGGGGGAAUUAUGAUGGAAAUGGGGUUUUGGGGUAGAGAGAGAGAGAGGGAAAGAAUGAGAUGCGAUGGUGGGUUGUUCACAAUUUUUCCCAAAAUAAGGGACUGUGCCUGUGAGAGCAUGGAGAAGAGGUGCUUCCAAUUUUGCCCAGAGAAGGGCUGUACUCGCCGAAAUCACGUGGUAUGCCCGGCGGUCUACUGUAAGACAGCAAGGCGAGAGAUGGUCUCACGAGAAAAUAGUGUACACAAGUGAUGCUACGUCACGGCCUUUUCCUUCCCAGCCUUGAUCUCCUCUUCUUCAAUUUGAAGUGCCCCCUUGCUGUUGUACUUGCUGUCAUCUUGAAAAGCGACACUCCGUCGCUGGCAGCCUCAAACUUGACCUCUUAAUCGACCGAUUCGAGCUUGUCACCCAGCACGUCGCCCUUGAUCAUUGUGUACCUACACACGAAUUUCUCCUUGUUGAGCUCAUCGUUCCAGUGCCUCACAUACUUGAAAUGACUAGCUGCAUUUGUUACCGAGCGAGAAAUAAUUUCACUAAACUCAUCACUAGACAGAGGACCCAAAAAAUGGUGUAUACUGAGUGUACAAACCUUCAGUGAAAUUAUCUUACCUCGAUGCUCCCGCCUCCUCUGUCGCCUUGCAUGAGCUCCAUGAUCUUUUUGAACUGAGGCAGGAGCUUCGGGAUCAGGGUAUUCGACUCGAUGAUCAGGCCUUGAACAUGCGAGUUAGAGCGAUCAGGCAUGUGGGCUCUUGUGUGAUGAUGGUUGCACCCAUGGCUAUUAGCAAUGAUAAGGAAAUAAACCCAGAGGAAGUGAUAUGCUUCUGAGUCCUGUCAAUGCCUCCCAUUCAUGAUUAGAAUUAUGCGAAUAGGUAGGGUUGGUUUGGCAAGAGUCAAGGAUUUGCAGCCUAAAGGAAUGUCAAAGGGGGAUUAAGUCUCUCUUUUGUUCUUUUGGUCAUGAAAAUGAUUUCGGUCCCUUUUAAAUUCAAGUUGAAAUGUCAAAGAUUAUGGUCCAAAAGAUGGACAACAGAGAGAGCACAUUCUCAUGCUCACAUGGGCGGCCAUCCUUUUGAAUUGAUCGUUGCAGCAUUGGAUCUAACAACAAUUUGGUGGUACUACAUGACAAUGUGCCAAUUAGAUAUUAUGAUAAAAUGCCAUUGUUUGGAGAAAAGUGUAUUAAUCAAAUUUUAUCUCAUUAUUAUGCAACAAACAAGAAUACUUGAUUGGUUAAUGAUAUCAUAUGAUAUAAGCAUCAUAUAAUAUAUUUCUCCAUAAGCAACGCUCUAAUGUCACGGUAGAUCUGUUCAAAUGUAUGAAGUGAGGCAUUUUGAAAAUUUUCAUGAAAAACAAGUUUGGUUAAGGUUGAUACAAACUUCACUAGCACCAACAGUUUGACUCGGUCAAAAGUGGGUCGGCAAUGGGUUGUCCCACUAUCAGCUCAUCGUCUAAGUUUGGGGGAGGUGGAGGUUGCUGUUUUUCGUUAUAUUUUGCUUCUCUUUUUCUUUUUUUGUCAUUAUCAGUGCUAAAGCAUUUGAUCUCUAAUCCAAUGCCACUAUCAAGAGAUAAGAUCGGAUUCGCUUAGAUAGAAUUUCAAAUAGUCCAAGUGUUAUAGAAGGAAAAAUUACCAAAAAUGUCAUAAACAUAUUACAAUUAUACCAAUUUAAUCAUAAACUUUUUUUUGAUCAAUUGAAUUAUAAAAAUUUCUAAUUAUGUUACUUACAAAAAAAAAACAUUUCUAACUAUGUCAGUUUAGUCCAUCCGAUCAAAAUUGACCGAUCGGUGCAAAUGUGGCCGCCGGCCAACGCCCCCAACCAAUUUUUAAUAAUAUUUUAUAUUUCAAAUUUUUUAUUAAUUUUUUUCUUUUUUCUUUCUCUUUUUUUUUUUCCCUUCUCCCUUCUCCUCCCUCCUUCUCCCUUUUGGCUCCAGCGACUGGCCAGAGGGGAGGGCUAGUGGGUCGUUGGACUCAGGCUACCAAGCAAGCUCGCCUCACCAAACCAAGCAACAAUGAAGCCCCCCUCACCGAAUCUAGCGUGGGCUCGCCUCCCAAAUCCGAGGAGGGGGGGGGGGGGGGGCACUCGCCUCGCCAAUUGUGACAUCCCGAUUUUCCAAUUCUGGUUUCAAUUAAAUAAGUCGGGCAUUUCAUCUUCGCGUCUAUAGCUUUCUUCUCUGAGCUGAUCACUCACGAGAUAACUAGUCUAUCAGGUGAAGCCGUUAAAGAAUCUAAACGCAAUAGACUUGAGAAUUCGACCAAGAAACGACUACUCGACCGUACUAAUCUGCAAGGGUCAUUACGGCACAGACCGAUUAGAGACCGGAGAUAGGUCGAUUCUACAGAACCAUGUAAUUCGGUAUGGGUAAUUCCACCUAAUUGCACAAUUCUUGUUGAUCGGCACUAGACCGAUUUCUCUAUCGUUUUGGUACCCUGUGUCCGUAUUUGAAACCUCGAGAUUUCUACGACAAUCAAGAGUCGCAAAUGUGUCGAAGAUGCACUUUAUGGCUUGAAAAUAAUCAACCACAGGUCAAUUGCACAGAAAAUUCCUAAAAGCUACCCAGUAGAUUAGGACGCGCUAAAGUCGCACCAGAUUAAAUUUAACCGUGAAAUUGAACCCGAUUAUAGAAAUUAGAAGUUCUGUCAAGUCACAAUUCAUUUUAGGAAUGUCGACUCAUCUCCAGAAGAUUUUUCUACAAACCGAGAUUUUUGGCAGAAAAGCAAAGUAAGGCCGUUUUUGUUCGAGAUUGUCAGAGGGCCGUUUUUAAUCGAAUCUUCGGGAUGCAAGUUGGAUCAUUUGACGGGGAAAUGUCAUGAGAAGGCCGAGGACACAUGGGUUGGUUUAAUUGAGCUUCAAUUGGAUGGAAUUGAGAGAGAAUUGAAUGGAUUGAAUGGGGGAAUGUCCAAAAUUCGUAGCUCCCAUGGCACACCACAUUUUGCACCUAUUGCCAAGCUUGUAGAGGAAGCUUGGAGGAGAGAGAGUGGCUGAGGUCAUGUGGUGUCAUGGUGGGGGCAAAGCCAAUGAGAAGAUGGCAAGUGUUGAGCUCUAGAGAGCCCAAGGAGACCCCCCACUCUUUAGCAGCUUCUCCUCCCUUAAUCCAAGGCUUUCUCCAUUGUUGUUGAAGGAGAGAAGCUCAGUAAAAACCAGAGGAACCGAGCUCACCAGCCCCUCCAUCGUCGCACGCCCGGAAGGCCAUCGUCGGCCAGGAAGGCCAUCGUCGGCCAUUUUCCUCCCCUGUUUUCUCCUCGUUCCAGUUUCUGCUCCAGCCGACCUUUCGCCAAAGAUUCGAGUUAAAAGUCGACUUCCCGGAUGAAUCAGCGAACGCUCCACCCAUGUCCGUGACGAGGACAUCCAGACCGUUCCGGAGCACCUCGCCGCUCGCCGGAAAGAUUCUCCGGCUGUCCCGAAAUCCUGAGAGAAGCUGCCGCUCGCCGGACCGUCUGGACUCGCCCUGUUCCGCCUGUUUCGGGUUUUCUUGCUGUUUCGCCCCAUUCCGACCCUUCCUUUGCCCAUCCCAACCUCCUAUAAGAUCCCCAAGACCCCCGGGAGCCAUUGGUUGCCAACCACCCGCUCGCCGGAGCUCCGAUCAGCCCGUUUUCGCCGUUGAAGUUGCUGGUUUCUUCUCUGCAGUUCAGUCCAGAUCAGAAGCAGAAGACAGCAAGGUUUUGGAGACUUUGUGGCCCGUUUUCAAGCCCUUCCCGGCCUCCGUUGGUGUCGCCGCUUUGGGGGUUUAUCGACCGCCUUGGCGUCGUGGUCGCCGUGAACUCACCGGAGCGCAAAACCGGUGAGUUUAUCCUCUAAUUCUUGCUUAGUGAGUUAAUGACGCUUAAGGGGUGUUUAGAUUAGUCUAAUUAGGUUUAGGUAGUUAGAUUAGAUUAUUUUAAUAUAAAUUAGAUUAGUUGUAUGAUUAGCUUAAUGGAUGUUUAAUUAGGGCUAAUUAUAUGAUUAAUUUAGUGUAAUCUUGUUUAAGCCCUAAUUAAUUAUUUUUAAUUAAUUAAUUAUUUCGAAUUUAUAAAUAUUAUUUUAUUAAAUUAUAUUAUUAAAAUAUAAUAUUUAAUUAUUUAAUUUUCGGAAUUAAAUUUAAUUAUUUAAUAAUUUCGAAAAUUAUGCCGAGAUGGCCGGUAGUUAGAAUUUCGCACUGAUCGCAGCAGUGCGGUCGGUUUGUGCUAAUUGUAUGCUUAAAUUGAGAAAUUGAGUGAUUGAUGAUUAUGGUUAAUAAUUCCAAAAGUGUGGAAUUGAGUAAUAUUGAUGAAGUUGUGGUAUUUAACUUGAAAAUACCCGGUGUUGGCUUUUAGCACCAUAAUUGGUUUGUAUGACCAGUUUGUAUCGAUUGAUUGAAUGGAUGUUUAUGUGGGGAUUCAUCCCAAAUCUGUUUAGUGUUGGUAUUCGAUUAGAUUUUUAAUCGUGAAAGGUUGUGAUGGAUCUAGAAAAUCAUCGAAGCUCGGCUGUGCCCUGUUGGAUCGUGAUAUACCACCGAAUUGGGAAUCGGUCGUGCCCACUGGGGCCGUAAACUGCCACCUGAUAGAGGUCACGCCCGUUGGGCCGUAAAUUGCCAUCUGAUAAAGGUCGCGCCCGUUGGACCGUAAAUUGCCACCCGAUAAGGGUCGCGCCUGAUAAGGCCGUAACCUGCCACCUAUUAAAGGUCGCGCCCAUUGGGCCGUAAUUUGCCACUUAAAGAUAGAUCGUGUCCUUUGGACCGUGGUUUAUAUCGGAGGAUUGAUUAAGUUCGGCUCGUUGAGCCGGGAGUGAAAUUGGAAUUGGAACGCUUGAGAUGAUCAGAGGGUGGUUUUGAUGACAUGUAAUCGACUGAGUCGAUUGAUCGCUGAAUCGAUAUGAGUAAUUGAAUUGUUUGGAUGAUGUGGUUGUCAAUAUUUAUUGAUUAAACUGACGUGUAGGAAGGAACUGAGGCGAGGUAAGUCCUCUAUCCUAUUUGUGUGGCUAGAGCGCCCUGAGGCGUAUUUUCUUCCUAAUUGAGUUUUAGAGGGUAGGACUUGCUGAGACGUAGUCUCAUCCCGGUUGUGGGAUAAUAUUUCAGGUCCUUAGAUGAUGGUCGUGGAGGACCGGAAGUCCUGGAGUUCGGAAGAUGGAGGCUGAAGAAUCGGCGAACGUGUCUGACAAGUUGGUCAUAGGACAGUUCCCUUUUUGUUGAGCCUGUCUAUUUUGUAGACAUCCAGUGUUGUAUAUAAACCUAUGUGUUUAUAGAAAGCUUGUUUGGUUGUGAUUGAUUGCCUGCUUUUCUAUCUCAAGUUAAAUGUUGUCAGGGGAUUUGUUUCGCUUCCGCAUGUGCAAUAAAAAUGAAUGGGUCGGCGACGUGUCCUGGGAAGUCGCAUUUGUAUCGACCAGAGUGGGAUGUUUGCGCGCUCGGAGGAUCGGGGCGUGACACCAAUGGUUGGGCGAGCUCUCCUGGCCACCUUAGUCCUGCGAUGGGCUAGCCCUCCCCUCUAGCCGAUCGCCGAAGCCAAAGGAGGAGGAGGGAGGAAGGAGAAGAAAAAAAAAAGGAAAAAAAGAUAAAUAAUUUAUAAAAAUAAAAUAUUAUUAAAAAAAGGUCCCCAGUGGCCACGUCAACGACCUUUUUUUUAAUAAUAUUUUAGUAAAAAUAAGCUUAUGACUAAAUUUGCACAAUUACAAUAGAUUUAGAACUUUUUGGUAAUUUUCCUAUUACAAUAAGAUAGUGUUGGUAUGAUGCGCGGGUUCCUUGAGCCACCAAAAAAAAGAAAAAAAAAAAAAGAUAAGUCCAAACCCUAAACACAUUAACUAUAUUUUUUUAUAGAUUUCUAGACAGAUAAUAGGAAUGUACUUUUCAUUAAUGAUCAUACGCAUUACUAUUUAUGAAAGUUUAUACCACAUCGAUAGUUUUAAAUGUUAGCCCAAAUUUGAUAUAUCGAGCUGAAGUUUGGGAUUUAUUCAUUUGCUACUUAGGAAUUCUCUUCUUGCAUGAAAUUUGCCGAAAAUUAGAGAAUCUCAUGAUACCAACAAAAUAUCAUGUAUUCAACUUUUUUUCAACUUGAUACACUACAUAUAUAGCAAAAUUUACAAAAUUCCACAAAAACACUGCACCAGAUUCCUACCGCACCUUUCAUUCUCUUAUUCUGAGCAAAGACGAACAAACAGCACUCACCAGCUGCUACAUAUGUAGUGUAUCAAGUUGAAAAAAAGUUGAAUACACUUUUCCGAUGACGAAAGUCNNNNNNNNNNNNNNNNNNNNNNNNNNNNNNNNNNNNNNNNNNNNNNNNNNNNNNNNNNNNNNNNNNNNNNNNNNNNNNNNNNNNNNNNNNNNNNNNNNNNAUGCGGACCCCACGUUUUUUGUUGGUAUCAUGAGAUUCUCUAAUUUUCGGCAAAUUUCAUGCAAGAAGAGAAUUCAUAAGUAGCAAAUGAAUAAAUCUCGAACUUCAGCUCGAUAUAUCAAAUUUGGGCUAACAUUUAAAACAAUCAAUGUGGUAUAAACUUUCAUAAAUAGUAAUGCGUAUGAUCAUUAAUGAAAAGUACAUUCCUAUUAUAUGUCAAGAAAUCUAUAUAUAUAUAUGUAUAGUUAAUGUGUUUAGGGUUCGGACUUAUCUUAUUGUAAUAGGGAAGUUACCAAAAAGUUCUAAAUAUAUUGUAAUUGUGCCAAUUUAUAAGCUUAUCACUAAAUUAAUGUGUUUAGGGUUCAGUCUCGAUUGUUAUUGUUCUUGAAAGAGACACGAGAAUGAAGAAAUAAACCAUGGUGGGAGAUAGAUUGAGCCAACGUGCAACAAGAACUCAAUUGUAAGCAUCAGGGUUUUUGCAAGAGAUGGGCUUCAAUGGCUUUCAACAUUCCCAUGGCCUUCUCUUUGCUGGCCUUGUUCUCUUCCCGUCCAUGGCGAAGUACUUGCUCGUGCUCUUGCCCAUGCACCCUCCCCGUCUGGCCCCGCCUCGGCCUUGAUCUCAUUUGAGAUCUUCUCUAGCGCAUCGCCCUCAACGAUGGCAUAUGUGUGCGUGAGCUUUCCUUGUCCAGCUUGUCGACUGAUGUUUCACCGAGUUGAACUGUCUAGCUGCGAGACACAAAAAACAGCAGUCAGCUCCCACGUUAGCCUUAUCAAAUAAUGUCAGCAAACAUCUUCUUGACAUCACAUGUUAAUGCGACACGAUCAAAAUGACGGAAAUUGGAAGACAGCGCAAGCACUCGUCUUUGCCGAAAACAACGUGAUGGUGCCGGGACCGCCAUCACCUGCAAGGGUGACAAAAUCCUCAGUGGCUUGUGGAAGGAGCUUGGGGAUGAGAUUGUCAUCAAGAACAAAGGCCUUGAACAUUCUUGCAGGUGGAAUUGAGUGCAUCUUCGCCUAACAGUUCCAAGUCCCUCGGCAAGAGAUGUGUGAGAUUAUGUUAAAAUGCCCUCUAAAUGAUUCUUAAUUGCCUCGUUUAGUAAUCUAGAUCAACAUCACAGUGGUCUAAAUCAUAUAAUAAAGAAAGAGGACAAAAGGCAUGGAUCUCAAGCCCAAAAUUAUACUUAUUAGCAUGCAAGAGAUCUUUGAAUGCAUAUACCCUUGAGGGUGGGAAUUCAUUAAAUUCUCAUUUAAAUAUUCUAACAGAGCCCAGCGGCUCGGAGAAUUAAGCUUGAGUGCAUGUAGAUAAUUCUUGCACGAUAAACGCGUGGUGGGUUGUGAAUUGAGACUCAUCCGCGUGCACACUGGUGCCACCAUCACCAUGAAUACCACUUCCUCGACCAGUUGGACGGUCGAAAAAGGAAGACAUGGGUCGAGCACAUCCUUCAUUAGCACAUUUGAGUCUUCCAAUAAUGUCGACGUUUGUGUCAUUCAUAGGGAAGAGGGAAGAUUUCCUGGAUGCUUCCCCGUCAUAAUCUAGCUUCAUUACUUUUACUGCUGACUCUGUUUUAUGAAAGAAGAAUGAGUCAAUGUUUUGAUCACAAUGCCAAGUUGCCCACAAGUUCCAAAUUUCUGCGAUACUUCUAAAAGAAGCCACUUUUCAAAAUCUAUAUUCCAAAAGUCUUGUUAGAAUUAUUGGACGAAUCCAAAUUCAAUUUGUCUAUCAACCAUAUGGUUACUGCCAACAUUGUUUUUCAAGAAAAAAAAAUGAAUCAAAGUCAAGGUCAUAAUGUCAAGUUGUACCCAAACUCCAAAUUUGUGUGACACUCUGACACAUACCACUUUUCAAAACCUUUACUUGCAGAGUCCUAAAUGUCCUGUUGGACUUAUUCAAAUGCAAAUUCGAGAUGUUAAUUAGAGCUAUUUAAUCAAUCCAAGACCAUUUGUACCUACAAAAUGUUUGUUUAGAUUCGAUCAUCUAACUUACCAGGAGCCAUGUAGCCAUAAGAUCCAGCCACUAUGGUCCAAUCCGACGAGUCCAAAUUCAAGAGUCUCGUUGUCCUGAAGUCCGAAAGCGAGUGCUCGAAGUCCCACUCGAGCAAGAUGUUGUUCAGCAUUAUGUCCCGAUGGACGAUAGGCAGGGAGCAAUUGCAAUGCAAGUAGGCAAUUGCGUAAGCCACGCCUUGGACAAUCUUCACUCUUGUACCCCAGUCCAGUUCCGUUCCUCCUUUUCAUCCAUACAAGACCCUUGCCAAACUGUCUCUCUCCACAGAUUCAUAGGCCAAGUAAAUGCAACCCCUCUUGAAACAGAACCCGCGGAGCUUAAUCACAUUGUGGUGCCAGACCUUCGUGGACAUGCGGAUCUCGUUCUUGAAACUCUGGUGGUCGACUGCAAGGACAUCGCCGGAUUCUAAUGUUUUGAGCUUUUUGACAGCAGCGAUGACUUGGCCGUUGGCCAGUUCAGCCUUGUAAACGUUCCCAAACCUGCCCUUUCCGAUGCAGUACUUUUCGCUGAAGUCGUUGAUAGCCUUGGCGAUGUCAUUGAAUGUGAACCUUCCUUCCCUUUCCCAUACGAUCGACUCAGAUUUCUCAUACUUCAUUGACUUCCUUGUUUCGCAAUUGAAGCACCAGAAUCACAGCAAUUAAAGUCACCGGAAAUAGCUCGCAUCAAUAAGAACUUUUUCGCUCUGGUCAAUUGAUUUACUACUCAUCCUACAAGGAGAUAAUCCUGUCGGAUUUUCACACGAGCCCGGAUUUGCAAUAAAAGCACUUCACGGUGCUUGUUGGAAGAGGCAACCACUAGAAACCGCACCUGUCAGCUCGUUGUACGAUAAGUCUAUGGAGCUUAAACAAGUUAUAUUUCUAUCUUUUUCAAUGUUCAUUAUAAUGUUCCGUAAGGUUGAAACCGCCUUGAUCUAGAGCAAUCCUAAGUUCCUAAUACAGACGGACUAACCUUCGUCAAAAGUGAUCAACUUGGUGGUCUCGGGACCUUCUUCACCCUCGAGGACUUCGAAGCUCUUGAUGGCUUGCGGGAAGACCCUGGGGAUGAGGUUAUUGGCGUCGAGGACAAUGGCCUUGAACAUCUUGGCCGGAGGGAUCUGGACGUGAUCUCGGAAUCGUAAGUGAUGAUACCCAUGAUUGGAUCCGAAUUGAGCUGCUGAAACUGAGAAGGGAGUGAUGAUCAGGAAAGACUGAGUAGCAGUGAUGAAGUUGGUCUCUAGGACUUGGGAGUGAAGAGAAGGGGCUGAAGCGGAGCUGACAUAUAUAGAGAGAGAGACUAAGUGUGAAGGGUUUUGAUCAGUGAAUAUUUUCUUGUUAUUAAGGUGCUUUGUUCAAUAGAAAUAAAUGAUUUGGAAUAUGUAAAUAAUCAUUAAUAUCAUUUGAAACAAUCAAUUAAUGAGAAAUAUUUUUAGUAUCAACAAUAACUCACGUCUAAAUAUUUUCGUAAAUGAUGAAAAUAUUUCUUAUUCAUUUAUUUUUGCAAGCUAUACAAGCGUUUUAGGAAAAUGUUUUCCAAAUCAUUCAUUUUUUGCAAAACAAUCAAGACUUAAAGAACAAAAAAAGAAAAAAAAAACCUUAAUUACUCCUUGGUUUGUUCAGAUCAUGACAUGGCCCUUGUUCCUAAAAUAAAAAUGUCUAUAUGAUAAUAGAGUAUUAGUCAAAGAAGGUAGGCACCAUAUCCUAGAAUGAUACCAAACGUUAUUGCAUUUCCCUUUUAUGUAUGGACUUGAUUCCAUCCAAGAUGGCUGAGAUUUACUGAUUUCUUACGGUCUUAUUAUCGUAGAAAAUAUUGAUCACGAUCCAUCGAGAUUCUGUCCUAAGUCAUUUUGAUUUGUUCGCAGAAGUAGCAAUCUUAAAAGUCGGCAGAGGCCACGAGAAGAGUUUGAUGCAUAUAGUAGAAAACUUGAAAAACCAAGUCACAAUUUUUCAAAUUGGGUGAUUUUUUAUUUUUAUUUUUGGGUGAUUUGGGUACUACAUGUUUGCAUAGAGCUUCCAUCAAUAAGAAAAGUGUCGAGUAUUCUCAAUGUUGUACCAACAUAAUAGAGCAGAAAGAGAAAGGAGGGGUAGUUUUGUAAGUACACUUUAUUAGUUUGCUGAAGCCGGAGUCCUAUGAAUAAAAAUAUAAAUAUAUACGUAUAUAAAUGAGUAGGUUUCAAGGUUUUAUACAUUUAGUCAACAAAGGCCGUUCUGAAAGUCAAGAUGGACGUCUAAAAAUUUUGAUUUUUCCUCUUUCUUGCAUAUGUCCAGUCCUUCUAGAUAAUAUUAUUACAAAUCCUUUUCUGCAAAUUAUAUGGUGGAGGUGUGGUGGAUCAGGGGACAUUGGCACUCCGGUCACGUGCUAAAUAAACAUUUUUUUUAAUGUUUCCUAUGUAUAAUUCUUAUCUAAAUUAUAGACCAUAGUGCGGCCCCGUUAAAUGCGCAUCGUGAUUGAUUUCCCACACCUAAGUCUUUGUUCAAAUUUCAGACUUAGAAAUAUGAAUAAAGUAACGAUUGUGUGUCAAGUACAAGCAUAUCAUUUGACGAAGAAGCUUCUGGUCAACCUUCGAGCUAUGAUGAUGAAGUCUGAACAAUUUUUCUUCACCUUGCUGAGUCAUUUUAAAUGGGGAAAAGUACCAAAAAAAAACUAUAGACUUAUUGCUUUAAUAUCAAUUCAGUCUUAAAUACUUCAAUUGAACCAAUUUAGUCAUAAAUCUUUUUAUAUUAGUAUCAAUUGAGUCCAUCUGACCAAUUUAGGCUAAAAACUACUGACGUGGACAUCGAUGGUCCUACAUAGUACGACCAACAUUAACAUAGACAUAUUUUAUGAUUUUUAAUAUUUUUUUCAGAAUUAUUUUUCCUCUUUUCUUUUUUUUUUUUCCCCUUACCCUUUGGCCGGCGCCAACUGUCGAUGGUCAUGGUCUAGGCAAGGGCCUCUAUGCCCUCGAAUAUAUAUAGUCCACGUCAAAAUUAAGAUAUAUGUAGGAGUAAGCAAUUCUAAGUUCCUUACAAAUUUCGCCUAAAACCUAGAAUCUAUCAUCGGGUACAAAUUCUUCAUUUUUUAGAACCUAAAACCUAUUUGUUGGAACUUAGAAUUUUGAAAUCUACCCCGUCACAAGUUCCACGUUGGUUUCAGAGUCCAACAUGUUCUUUUUUUUUUUUUUCAUUUUUAAUAUGAACGCAAUAAUAUUAAACAAGCUUAUCAUUCAUCAAAGAGAAUACAAAAUGAAUAAAAUUAUCAACAAAAGAAAAAGAAUUCUUAGUAAGGAAUUCAACUAAAUAAAAAUAAAGGUGAGCGGUUCCAAAUUCCGUAUAGGUUUCACCUAAAACUUAAAACUUACCUAUUAGAACAAGUUCUUCAUUUUUUGAAACCUAAAUCCUACUUUGCAUACCCUAGAACUUCAAACCUAUCCUAUCAUAGGUUCCAAGAUCUACCUAAGUCUCAUUUAUAUUAUUAUUUAAAUAAUUACGAUUCACUAAUCAUAAUUUAUAUUUAGAUAUACGCAAAAAUAUAAACAUUAAUAAAGUAAAAAUAUUAGUUAUAAAAUGAAAAUUCAAACUAGUACUUCUAGAUUAUACACUCAUCAUCGAAUAGUAUCGAACAGUAUGGAAUAUCGAAGAAUCGCACAAAGACAUAAAUCAAGAAAACUAUUCAAACUCAUUCUAGAUUCUAUGUUCUAUGUUCCAAGUUCCUCAAACUAAGAAUCUAGAACCUUCCUAUUGCAAGAGAUUUCUCAUUUUUUGGAAUUUGAAACUUAUCCUGCAUUUGGAAACCAUACCUUGGAAUUUGGAACCUACCUAGAAUCAUGCUUACUCCUAAUAUAUAGCCCUUGAAUAUAUAUAGUCCACGGGCUGGUCUAGUAUGGUCUGGGCAAGGGCCUGACGUGCCGGCCCAGUCCGGGCUUCAUUCUCCCUAAUAAAGGCCCAACCGAGAAAGGGGGAAAAGAGAAACCCAGCCCAAAGCCUACUCAUCCGAACAAACCAAAUUAAGCCCCGAAUUCAAUAUUCUUUUAGUGAAAACAAAGCCCAAAAUUACCAAUUUAGCAAUUCAAGCCCACCCAAUGACCUAAUUUUUCCUUUUGCUUUCUCUUCAAACGUGCCUACUCACAACCUCGUGGCUUCACAGAAGCAUCCCCACCCGCUUCUCUCUUCCCCAAGGACCGAAGACGUUGCUGGUUCGAGCAACCAGGUUUAGCCAAAAAAAUUCAGGCACCAUUUAAACCAUGCCCGGCCAUUACGCGGCUGUCAUUCAUGGCAAUAACCACCACCGUCUUUCCUCUUCCCUCCUCGCCGGCCAAGUACCGGUUGCCCAGAAACACGACUCGCACAGAAAGAACGUCGAAACAAGAACGUGCAAAGUGAAGCAUAGCAACGAGGAUUUACCAAGAUUCGUUUGACAAGCGACGAGCACCCACGACGGACGGAGAACUAAGAAUCAACAGCACGAAUCUUACUUGAACAUUUCGUCGAACACGUGGAAGGCAUCGGCUAAAAGGGAGCUCUAGACUUGCCCGACACGGACCCAAAAUCAACAAACAACGGACCAGCAAAACUUGACCCCAACAUGGGGACGUCUCAUGUGUGCUUAGUGUAGGCGUGAAUGGAAAGCAGCAAACCGCAACCAUGAAGAACACAAGUGGGCAUCUAACUUUAGGCAUUUUGUCGAGCAUGUGGUAUACACAAAUUGGGAGUGAGGAACGGGGACGACCGCGCCCGGGCUCGAGCCGGGAUUCAAAGAAAUCGAUACACUAGGCCUCAAGACAUUAGUACGCACACAAAUAAGGCCGGAAACUCGCAUGAACCGGAAAGCAGCAGCCCAGUCCGGCGAGCCCGAAACAGGGCAUGGGCACAAAAAAGGGCGGUCGGCAGAGAGUCCCUACCCAGCUCGCGGCGUCGGACGCCGGACGAGCUCGAUAGAUCGGGCUACGUCCGUCCGCCUCGCUCGUCUCCUAGCCGGGAUCCUCGGGAAGCCGACCCCGAAUCGGGAAAAGCGAAGACGGCCCGAACGGGGACCUACCAUGGCCUCGAAGUGGACAAGGAGCGGCGGCGGAUCAUCAGUUUUGGUUCGGAAGUGGAGGCCAACAGCGGCUCUCUCAGUCGCGUUCUCUCUCUCUCUCAACUCACGGGUCUCUCUUUCGCGGCCCUCUCUCCUCGGAUCCGAAUCCCUCUCGCCUCGUACUUGACCCCCUCCGAUUUCUCCCUCCUCCCCGACCUCUGGCCUUCUGAGAAAGCCGGUCGGCGGAGGCGCUUCGGCCGCCGGUCCUUCGCGCCGACCGGCCCCCCUUGGCUGAACCAGCAUCACAUCACCCGUCGCCUCCAGCGCCGCCUGCUCUGCUCCUUCUGCUGCGGCCGCCCCCGCUGGCGUGAGGAAGAAGCGGGAGGGAGGAAGGAGGGGCCGGGCCGGGGUGAGAAGCACAAGCAGAGUAGGCCCUGGGCCCACUCGGGGAAGAAAGGAGAAAAGAGGGGGGGGGGGCUAAGGCGAAGGCCCAGCUCCCGUGGGCCCUUUUUUUUAUAUAAAUAAUAUUAAAUAGGGUUAAAUAAGAGAGAAUAAAACUAAAAUAAAACUUAAAAUGCAAAUAAUAUUAAUGCUUAUAUGAUGUGAAAAUCGUUUUUGUUAGGGUCAAAUUGAUUUCAAAUUUUUUAUAUUAUUUUAAUUUUAGAUGUUUAGUCAAAAUUUAAGUAUCAAUAAAUAUAAAUGUCAAACUGCAAGAGUAAAAAUAAAAAAGAAAGGGUUAAUACCCUAGAAAACCCCAAACUGGUACACUUGUGACAAAUUUACCCCAAACUAUUUUUUUGACCAUGAAAAACCCCAAACUGGUAAACCUGUGACAAAUUUACCCUGACUAACUAUAAAAAACCCUAAACUGGUACACUUAUGACAAAUUUACCCCAAACUAAUUUAUUUGACUGCAAAAAACCAUAAACUGGUAAAUUUGUGACAAAUAUACCCUCUGCUAAAUUGGAUUAAUACCACAAAAAAAUCAAAAAAAUUAUAAACUGUGACAAACGGAGCGUAAAAUCCUAAAUUGGUAUACCGAUUAACUGUCACGUGCCAUUAACUUAAUAAUUUGAGAAUAAAAUUUAACGAAAACUAACAUAGGGUAAAUUUGUCACAAGUGUACCAGUUUGGGGUAAAUUUGUCAAAUGUAUACCAGUUUGGGGUUUUUGGUGGUCAAAAAAAUAGUUCAGGGUAAAUUUGUCACAAGUGUACCAGUUUGGGGUUUUUUAGGGUAUUUGCCCAAAAAGAAAAGAAUUAAAGAAGAGACAAGUGUGGUUGCACCUUUAUCCCACCAUGUGACUGAAAUUGUUUACGAAAGUAAAAAAUUCAACGAACAUCACUUGCUCUAGUUUUAAUUGAAUUAUUGUGAACCUUAUUUCUCCACCACGCAUCCUCGUUAAAGUCAUCCUUUGAUGAAUCAAAAUUUGUCUAUAUGUUAUACGUAGUGACACGUGUAAUUCAGUGUGGCUCUUUUGAUGGGACAAAUUUCUCACAUCACCAAUUACCUCUUAUUAGGAUAAGUUCUUUCAAGGAAGGAUCCUAUAUUCUUUUUUUUUUUAAUAAUAUCGUUGUUGUUGUCGGUGACGUGUUCCUUUUCCAAAUUAAUUGGAAUAUAUCAUUUUAAAUAGAUAAGAUCUCUACCUUAAAUGGGAGUAUGAGUUUCAAACGCCUAUGAUAUAUUAUUAUUGAUAGUCACACAAAAAUAACAUGACAGUUGAUGCUACGGUAUGACACAUAAUAAAUAAAGGCGAAAAGCCAUAUUUUAGUAAAACAAAUUCAAAACCGAGUGUUGAGAUUAUUUAUCAACAUGGACAUCAACUUAUAGCAUCUCCUUUUACUAAUGAAUAGGGCUUGGAUUAAAUAAUCAACCUAGUGAUAGUCUAAAAUAGCUCUUUUUGCCUUGCUCCUUUAGCUUUGGACAUCAACUUUAUAUAUUUUUUAAUUUACUUGUAAUCUUAUUUGGUAAAAUCUAUACAUGUGCAUCGAAAGUGCACGAUCUAAAAGAGUUCAUCAAUGUCGUAGCCACAACCAAGAAGUAUGUGUGAUUUGUUUUUAGAUCCCACAUAAACUGAAAGCACGCUAACAUUUGGAUCAAUAUCAAAUUACUUGUGGAUUGCCGACUAUGAAAGCAUAAAGGAGUAACUAUAUAAAUUAAUCCUAGCUAGGAUCUUCCUACAUUUCUACAUGGGUAGGCAUUUAAAUGAUCAAUGGGAGAGAGAUUAUAUAUAAAUCAUAAUUCAAAGUGACGAUUUACUCUCUUAAUAAUGAUGACGACGAUGAUAAUUAUAUAAAAUUGAGAGGACAAAUUUUUUUUUGGCCUGGUAGAGUCUAUAAAGAACUACACAAUACAUCGGGAUGAUCAUUAGAUGAAAGUGCAUGCUUACAACAUUGAAAAUCAUUUUGUAGGGUAUAGAUCUACCAAAUUGUUCAAACAUUGUUUUAAUGGUUUCCCUUGGAUGAAAGACUCUUCCUCUAACACAUGAUUUACUUAAUUUAAUCAGUCCAAGAGAGAGAUACACCACCCACGUGCCCCAUAAGCAACGGGGAAUUUGUCUAAUAUGUUAUGAUGUACAAGACCGUACAAUUCCAUUCGCUCUUUUGAUAAAUAUAAAUUAUCAUGCAAUCGGUGAAUUCAAAUCUAAUGUUAUUAAGAUAUUUCACGUGUGCACGUGUGGUUUUGGGUCUAAUAGAUCAAACCAACAUACAACGUCAACUUCAGACAAACACAUUUUUGGUCGUUCACUCUUCCUUUAUAAAAAUCCCUUUGAAGGCCAAAUGUCUGAUAGUCCUUGAUACUUGACACCCUAAAGUUUACUUAGCAAAGGUUCAAUAAAGUCAGGUUUUGGAAGGGUCAUCAGGAGUAUUACAAGUCGGAACGAGUAAAACAAGGAUCUCUGUAAAGUUAACCACCUUGUUGAAGUUGCAUUUGAUGAAUGAAUUAAUCCCAACUGAAAUUCUUUUAGAGCAUAUGUUAACAAGACAAUCGCAAAAUUGUCGUCAAAUAAAGCACCCAGGCCAAAAGCGGAAUUCAUCACGAUGAUUUUUGGAUUGAAGUGGUGAAAAAGCUUGGUCGAGAGUUAAUUGGGAGAUAGAGAAAGCUCAAACUUUAGGAUAAGCAAUUUUGUGGCUAAUAAUAGAAGCUACAAAAGGUUUUGGCCACUCACGCACGUGCCAGGUCUGCUCUCACGUGCACGCGGACCCUGGUCUGUGUCUCGGCCUCUCAAAUCUCUCUCUCCUGUUCUUCAAUCUCCACUUUCCGUCACCCAUUAAUCCCAUCUUCCUCGCUGACAUGAAGUCAUUAACAUUCGAUUUGAUCCCCAAAAAGAGAAAUCAACACUUAUCGCAUGAAUCAAAAGCAAAUACUAUGGAAUCGGUGUCCCAUGAGGUUGAUCUUAUAUGAUAACGUCUUUGUAUCGGCUACAUACAUUAUGUACAAAAAAAGUGUAAUUAUACUAUCAUAUUUUCGUUAAUUCACCUCUUUGAUCCAAUAUUAUUUGUUGACGUUGCCCUUAAAAAAAUCAGGACAUGACAUCCUCCUUAGUUGAUUGAUAUAUGACAAGGGUCGACAAAAAAGACAGCAUCUAAGUUAACAAUUUGGGAAGAUUAAUGUUUGUGAUGGAGGAUAUUAACUUAUUACGUGGCAGAAUCUUUCUGACAUCGUACAAUUAGCUAUCAAGCAAACUUUUUCGCCUUUUGUUUUUCAAGAAACAAACAAUCACAAGUUUUUAAAAACCAAAUGCCCAUUUAGUUGAUGGAAAAUUGAUUACAGAAAAGUUUUCCAUAUUUCAAUAUUUAGAUGAUAGAAAAUUAUUCAAUUUACCAAAAGUUUUUUUUUCUGUGGAUUGAAAAUAAUAAAUUUAUAUUUGGAAAAAAAAAACUUCUGUUUACGGUAAGAAAUCAUUUAUCCUAAUUUUUUGCUAAUUCUUAUAGAUUAAAUUAGCCUAAAUUAGACUUUAUUAACGCAUAUUAGUGGAUUCACUUGCUAUCAAACACCAUAAAAUUAAUUUUUCUCCAGCAUGUUUUGGCACGAAAGAACACCAGAAAAUUAUUUAAUUUCUCUGGAAUUUAAUUUUUUUGAAAAUACUUUUCAGUGAUAAAUUUUCGCUAAAAAGGCGCAUCCAAGCUACAUUUUUGUUAACCCUGUUCUCCCUCUCUCCUUCUCUCGCUCUCUGCCUGCUGCAGUUCUCUGCUCUCUCUGAGCUACUCUUUCUUCGCCAACUGUACAAAAGGCCAAAAAAUAUAAUUGAGUUUCACCAGCAAUUAUGCACCUCUCUCUCUCUCUCUCUGCUGCAGCUCUUUUUUCGUCAGCUGUACCAAAGGUCAAAAAAUGUAGUUGAGUUUCACCGGGAAUUAUGCGAGAGAAUAUUGGCUACGUCUGCUACUCCAGGCAAAUAAGAAGGUACUCAAAUUACGCCACAUGUCCAACGUGGCCCACGUUGUCAGGCCAAUUUCCUUUGAAGUGAAGAGAAGUCCGCGUUGUCAGGCCAAUUUUGAAAUAUGUUUGGCUCUUCCUCUUGAGGGAGAGGGAACCGCGUUCUCCCCUGUUCUCCCGGCUCCCUCUCUCUUUUGCGCCCGACUCUCUCUCCCUCCGACCCCUCGUCCGACGCCCCCGACUGACGCACCAUCGCGCCCGAUCGACGGACCACUGUGCAGCCUUUCUUUACUCUUCAGGUUUUGUUGCUUUGAUUUCUUGACUCAUGGCUUCUGUCCUAUGAUAUGCUUCAUGUGCUACCAUGUUCUGUUAGAUCUGGGUUUUGGCGACGGUUUUCCUGUCUUAUGGGAUCUGACUCUUUUAAGGAUACUCGAACAUCAUAGUUUUGUUGCUUUCUGAGCUAUGCAUGCACAUUCAAACAUCACAUGGCUUUUUGUAAUUGCAUUUAGCUUGAUAUAAGAAUGUUUAAUUCUUUGGAUUAGCUAACUUUGAUCUGCAUUUCGUUACUGCUAAUUCUGCCUCACCCCAGCUUCUAGAUUGCCCUGAGAAAUCUGGUCAUCUUUAGUUUGUUGUGAGCAUAAUUUGAAUUUGCAGCCCCACCCAAAAGAGAAAACCCUACAUGUUCACAGCGAAAAUUCUAAGUCAAUUAAAGUGAGAAUUUGCAGACUAUCAAGAAAAAGUUGGUUUUUCACAAAAGUGCUAUUAAGUUAUAAAUAAGUCAUAUGGAAAUCAGGUAACACUUUUUUUUAAUCAAUAAUUUUUUAACACUUACCAAUUCCUUCAGGAAUUUAUCCGCAUGAAAAAUAUCCGUUUGUUUUAAAAUGGAGUAGUAAAGUCGUCCCUGUGACGUAUGAGAGUUAAUUGCCUUUUUAACAAUUUGCGUCUGGAUGGCCUCUUCACUAAACAAGAGGUCUUCUUGUAAAUGGCAUAAUUAUGAUUUUUUGGGUGUCGAAUUGUCGUGAUCAUAAUUAUUAUUACUUUUUUUACCAAGAUCAUGUGUUCUACGUUGGUCCAAUUCUAAGGAAAUUUGUUUCCCCCGUAACAGGGGGGUGAAUUGAUUUUUCAAGAUAUUGAAAAUCAAUUUUGUAAAACCUACCCCUAUAAAAAUUGUGCUUCUACUACAAGUAUACUAGCAAUUUAAACAGGACAAACUAAAAAGUUUAGAGAAAGAAAAAUUGCAAAAUGAGAAUUAUGAAAGUUCGAUUCGGGUAUACAUACUCCUCUUUCUAGCUCUAAUAGCCCAAAUAGACUGAACUCUACUAGCUAUGCCAAGAGUACAAAUACAUCUUGUUUUGAAAAUUACUCGAUCGGUCUUAAACUUUUCAAUUUUGCAAAUUUAGUUUUAAACAUUUGUGUGAAAUUUCAAUAUAUUCAUUUCAGUCAUUUUUCGCCGGAAAUUUCUGACGUGACAUUAUCGUUGGCCAUCCUAUGUAGCAAACCACUAUGCCCACGAUUUUCAGCUAAAAUUGACGAAAAGACUAAAUUGAAAUUUCACACAAAAAGUCUAGUUGAUGACCGAAUUAAUAUCCGUGCAAUAAGUCUAGGAUUGAUUAGACAAUUACUUGUUACAAGAGUAGAACUUGCUGCCACAAAGAACUUGACUUCCUUCUACAGCAAUCCCGCUGUACACUGAGUAACUUUUGGACCCUCCAAUAGCCGUUCUCACACCUUGUUCACACGAUACAAAGGUCCUUUUCUAAAUUAUAAACCACACCUCCGACUGUUUACAAAGAGUCCAUUAUACAUUUUAUCUCUUGCCUAGACAAAUAGUGUUCACUCUAAGUAUGUAAAACCACCCUUUUUCAUAUGUUUACGAAUGGGUUUGUCCCUCUUGCUAAUAAUCACUAAAAUGGGUAUUACAAAUUUAUGAAAGACACGAACUCAACAGUCUCCCAAUAAUACUUAAAUUCUCUUGUAGUAGUUAUAUCUAUCUAAUCUUCAAUUAAAAAGGAAAAAUCUCAGCAAAAUUCCUUAAAAACACAGGUAUAAAACCUUGUUACAAUGUAGGCCAUCAAUCUGAUCUUCUAUUAAUGCAGGUUUUAAUCAUAUUGUUUCACCAACCUUCUGAGCGAAUUAGUCCUUUUUCUUUGCAUAACUAAUCUUGGGAUGUCACAUUUUAUUGCUAUGACUUGGGGCGUUGAUUUAGGAACUCCAAUAGUCAUUAAAUCUAUCCAUGGAGAGCGCCCGCUAAAAAAAUCUGACUGCUUUGCAUAACCUAGUUUGGUUCUACACCUUUCCUCCAGUAGAUUUCCUGACAUAGUAAAAUCUUACUUAUGUACUUGUAAAAUCCGAACCAAGUUUCUGUAUGGUUUAAACAUAAACAUUUGCACACUUAAAUGAAUUCUUUAAAUCCAUGGGUUAAAUUUUGAUAUUAUCAUAAUCCUUUUAGUAUAAUUUCCAAGCAGUUUCUCCAUUUUCGACAAUGACAAACCUAUACCAUUCCUUCAAUAAGAGUGAGUUAUGCACAUAAGUAUGCAAAUUCUGCAGAACUAUUUGACUGUAAAACCAGAGAUGAUUCAUGCAUGCUUCUACAUGCGACAUUUUAAUAGACCAUACAAAUAUGUCUGCAAAACAUAAUAAACUCCCCUUAAUAUGUACACAUAGUGUGAUACUCCCCCUGAGUAUGUGCUUCUCCCGCUUCUUGUUUCUUAAAAAUGCAAUAACAUCAGAUGCCCAGGGAUGAAAACCAUAUAAGCAAAAGCAUUCAUUUAUUUAUAUACAGAAUUGUUCUACAAAGCAUAUUCCGGAAAAAUUAAUAUAAAGGAAAGUGAACAUUAACCAAAAGGAUCACAAACACCGAUUUCAUCCAUCAAGCUAGAACGUAUUGUUAUCAAGAGGUUUAUUCAGAAUUUGAGCGAAUUGCAAAUCGAUGCUAACAAAUCCUUUUCAUUGAUUCAUGUUGUGCUGUGGCUGCCAUAAUUAAAUAAAUAAAUAAAAGAAUCAUAUGAAAGAGUCUCUCUUCUUGAAGUUUGACCUAGUUCAGAGCUCCUCGAAAUGGAAGCCACCCCCGUUAAUUAGAACAACUCAUUGUUGAAAGACUUACCGAUUGCUUAACAAUAUUGCAAUUACAUUUAUUUUCAAAUCCUUACAUUAAGGAUGACACGUCCUUAUAUCUCAAUAAGGGCCAUUGACUUAAAUAAGAAAUUUUAUCCGUUGAAUACUGGAAACACAGAAAUCUGACUAAUAGGAGUCUGAAUUACUGAAACUGCAACAACAAUUGAGUGGAAAUGUAAAAGAGACUUAGGGUUGAUGCCUGAUUAUAUAUCGAAAUACCAUGGGUUUGACAUAUAGACCUCGUUGUCAAAGCCCUGUAUGCUAAUGGAAAUAUGUAUAGGUAUUAGGCGCAUUUUGUGGGCUACUACAUGGUGCACUUGUUUUAUAUUUAAGUUUCAAUGGGUCAGUUUUGUCUAUUGGUAAUAUUUUCCUCCAAUCAUACUUUCAAUUAACAGGUCAAAGAUUAUGGAAAUUAUCAAUAUGCAAAUUUAAUCAAAAUCAAAUACGAGUGACGUUAAUAUUUGUGUGAUCCAUCAAUGAAAGUUAUGGCUAAAAAGAGUUCAUCCAGCUAGAGCAUUUCAUGUGCAAAUAGAGAUAAAAUAAAUUUAGAAUUCUAUCCCUGAACUUUUACAUCAUUGACUACGGUUGCUAACAAGCAUUUUCAUUGCAAAAUUUGACAACAUUUUGGGAUGGCUUUUGGAUUAUCAAUGUUGAUUACAUAAUUAUGUCGUGAUUCAGUUUUAUCAUGUUCAGAUUUAGUUUUCUUACAUUUAUUUGAAUCUAAGUUACUAUUAUUGCACAUGAUCUAAGCUCCAACAAUAUUCUUACAUGACAUUUUUUGCUUGUCAAUCAUGUGACCUUAACGAUGUUGUAAAUUAAAUCGAUUACACGUAAAAUGUUUCAGUCAAUAAUUGACACAGAUAGUAGUAGUGGACCAACUACAUAACAUUAGAUUGGCAGUGCAAAAUCUAAUUUCAAGAGAUCAAUAGCAUAACUGCAGCAAAUAUCAAACUUUAGGACCGUAAAUGAAAUUUCUCGGUGUUAAAAAAUAAUUUUCCUUCUCUUGUCGCCGCCACGGAGAAAAUCUUUGAGCACCGCCACUGGAAAAAAGGAUCGUGGUUUUCUUCCAUCACAAAUUUGAUUGGCGAGUUAUCAAAAUCUGAAGAAUCAUCCUAGAGACCGAUUCAAGGACAGCAGUUGAUCUACUAGUUGGCAAGAUUACAGAGUCGUCGAGGCCAGAUUGGGUGGUGAAAACCAACACAGCCCGUGAAGGCAAAAUGUGCGACGAUUGAUAAGCCAAUGCAGCGUUCUUUUAGAGACCAGAUUUAGUUAUUCACUUAAGUUUAUCUACGGGGCUUCAAUUUGUACUUUUUAGGAGAUAAAAGUGGGUGUUAGGAGGCCGGGACUUGCAUAUGAGAUGUGUUAGAAAUUAAACCAAAUUAACAAAUGUCCUCAAUCGACUACGAGUUGCUGAUGUCAGUGGAGAAGUUACUGAUAUUAAUGGUUGUCAAUGCCGAUAUUCCAGAAUUUGAUACCGAUGAUUUUGUUUGGUGAAUUGAUACAGAUGAUUGUCCGAUGCUAGAGUUAAUUAGAUUAUUUAUUGUAGUGUUGUUUUUGAGAAGUCUGUUCAUAUUUUUAUUUCAUGACUGUUCAUGUUUUUAAGUGUAAUUGAUGUUUUGUAAGUUCUUAGGAUUUUAUCACCUCUGAACAUUAGCUAUAUUUAUAAGUCAUUUAGUUUUUUUUUUUUUUUGUCGGUCCUACUCUAUUCCUACUCUAUCACUCGCUCUCAAACUUUUGUCCUGCCUUCUUAUAGGGCAUAGGAGUUGAAACUCACUCCUGAAACUUAAUCGUCCCUACCCCAACUCUCUUAAGAAGGUGGAGAUUCGAACCCCCCACAUCCCUCUUCCAUGUUGAAAGGAUGGCUACUGGGACAAACUCCAGUAGUUUAUAAGUCAUUUAGUUUAAGAGUUAUGUGUGAAGCGUAUAAAAGUUGAGUCUUGUAAUUGUUUUUGAUAAGGUGAAAAAAAAGGUGAAAUAAACAAAAAGGAUAUCUGUCUCCUUCUCUUUUUUGUGUUGUGUUAGUGAGUGUUUCAGCUUUAAAUUAUCCCAUCAAGAUGUAGCCUGUAUUUGUCUUUUACAAAAACUCGAAAUUUUCUAGUUUUGAUGCCAUAUGAAAUUAUGAAGGAGCACUAUUAGCUAUUAUAGAAGUUUAGAUAAUUAGAUGGAUGCAUUAUUCAAUACUUAAUUGAUAUAACGUCUCUUUCACUACCCAUGCUCCUUUUCAACAGCUAGAUUACUUGCACAGCUUGGGCUCAAUGGAAGGAGAGCCGUCCAUAGAAGUGGAGGAUGGUGGAAUGAACAACUCGAUCGCGGAGGAGGUAAAGAAGGAUGAAAGAGGACCUUUAAUGGAAGUGUCAAAGGAUGAAAGGGAUUCUGUUCAAAAAAAAAAAAAAAAAGGAUGAAAGGGAUUCUGAAGAAGAAAUCUGGAGAGGUCGACGGGAGAUAAUGAAUAAUUUAUUGGCGGCUUCCGCGGGGGCACAAGAUCCGGCAAAAGCUUACGAAUAUGCUCGAAAACUGGUGCGUGUCAUCAAAGGCGGCAAGGUUGACGAGUUCCUUUCCAUGAUCAAAGUAAAUGAUCCAUUGUUGCGAGACAUUGAUUGGUCUGCCGUUUUAAAUUCCCGAUUGGAUUGGAACGACUCACUGCUCCACGUGGCAGCAGCAACCCGGAAGGACGACCUCCUAAGGCUUCUGCUUGAGUAUGUUGGUGACCACCUCAUAACCGCCCAAAAUGAUUGGGGAAAUACCCCACUCCACCGGGUCGCUCUGUCGGCGGGAUCUACUGGAGCUGCAAAGAUGUUGAUUCACCGGGCAAGAGGCCUCCCCAACGUCGAGGACAAGAACCUCUUGCGGAUGAAGAACAAACGUGGAGACACCGCUUUGCACUUGGCCGUGUGGCAUGAACAAGCCGACUUGGUGCGCUAUUUGUUGAGCGAAGAUUUAGAACCCGUGUACUGGAAGAACGCGGGUGAGAAAUCUCCCCUGUACCUAGCCCUCGAGACUGACGACUCCGCAAUACAUGAGGCUUUAUUUUCACUCUCGUUGGAACCAUCAAGGAUAGAAGGCUUGCCGCUCAUUCAUGGUGCCAUUGUACUUGGACGACGCGGUACGUACCUAAAUCUGCUUAUGUGGAAAUAUAUUUAUCUAUUUCUGGACUGACUCGUCCCAAAUCUGUGCAAUAACUUUUUGCUCUUACCAAAACCCCUUACCGGUUUUUACUUAAAAUUCCCUACCCUGCUUGUUAAAGUAGUUGGAUACCCAUCGGUUUAGCCGCAUAAUAAACAAAUUAUUCACAUUAGAGCAUAAUAGAUUGGCUUAAAUAUUACAAAUAAAACCAUUUCACUAGAAACUCAUGUGCUGUCGAUCUUUGAUUAGAGAAGCUAUAAAGUGCAAAUAUUUAAGAUUGAUGACCAUGAAAAUCUGGAAUCUAACAAUGACGCCAUUUUUGAAGCAACGGAGAGCCAUGAACCAAAAUGAACAAAUGAGAGUUUAGGGCAUAAAUUAUAAACUGGUAGCAAACCUAGGCGUGAUUUUUUCAUUGGAAAAAGAGGAGGUGACGGUUCCGUCACUCUUAGCAAAUUGAUGGAACAUCAUAAACCGUUAAUUUGUUUGUGACCAACAAUCAAUAGGUUUUUAAGAAAUUAAAAAAAGUGGAUCUAAAUAAAGAAAGAAAUUUUUGAUUUUUUUUAAAUGAAUACAAUUAUCAUAAUCUUUGUAGAAAAAGCCGAUACCGUAGUCUAGCCUAAAUUACCUUGACCAUUAAAAAUAUUGAGAUAAAAUUCAUCAAGCACGCGAUAAUCAAUUAUGUGGAAUUUUUUGGCUGCUAGCGCCAUGUAUCCCAAGUUUACUACUUGAAAAGCGCAGCUAAUGUUCAUUGAUCAUCAGAUUGGUAGAUGGCAUUCAGGUGUUAUAGUCAUAUCAAGUAGGGAGAAUUGUCCAAAAAGUUUUAAACUUAUUGUACGAUUGUUGAUUCAAUUAUAAACGUGUCAAUUGUGUCAAUUUAAUCUCUAUUUUAGUCCUAAACUUUUUAAAGAUUUGCCAACUUAGUCCUUCUAAUCAAUUUCUACUGGAAAUCGCUGACAUGGCGGUCUAGUCAAAGCUCGCCAUCCUACAUGAUGUUGAUCGCUUAUGUGGCUUUUUUUUACAAUAUAUUUUUUAAUUUUUUGCAUUUUUUUCCUUUUCUUUUUUUUUUAUCAUUUUUUCCCUCUACCAACCUCAGGGGAGAGCCGCCCUCCGAUCCUUGCGUAAAGCAACCCUUGCCCUUGCUCGACCUCCACUAGGCGUCAACUGUUGAUGGUUAGAGAAGGGAAAAAGGAAAAAAUGAAAUUAGAAAAAGAAAAGGAAAAGACAAAGACAAGGGAAAGGAAAGGAAAAAGGAAAAAAAUUAGAAAACUAAAAAAAUUGCAAAAAUUAUCCGCAUUAGCGUUGACUGUGCCGUGUAGGACAGUCAGUACUACUAGACCGCCAUGCCAAUGAUUUCCAACAAAAUUGGCCAGAAUGACUAAAAUGACAAAUUGUUAAAAGAUUUAUAACUAAAUUGGCAAGUUAUUAAAAUUGUUAUGACUAAAUUGGCAUAAUUGAAAUAUUUAAGACUGAAUUAAUCAUCAUACAAUAGAUUCAAGACUAUUUUGACAAUUUUCCCUAUCAACUAUAAUUCCAAUCCUAGAUGCAAUAACUUUAUUUUUAUCCUGUCCCAAUUUAUUAAUCCGAGCACAUGUUAUUAUUUACAUUGCACGACGUAACAUGUUUGAGGCUCUCUAUUUAAACUGAACAUGCAAAACAAUUUCAAAUGGACAUAAAGUGAAAAUGCGUAACAAUGUAUUGUGUGAUGCAAAUAAUAAAUUAGCAUACCCAAUAAAUGUAUGUGUCUAAACUUACGUUGCACUCGUUGAAUAGUUAUAGAAGUCGACCUGCACACAUAACGUUCAUAAUCCAUUUAUAAAUGGCUUAACUUAUUUGUGAUAAUACAAUUAAACCUAAUUCUACCAUAUUUAACCACGUUUCAUGUAGAAGGGCUGUUUCAUAGUUUGUCAGCUCAUAAUUCUAACAAGCACUUUAGAAACUAUACAAAAGAUCCCAUUGAAAUUGGAUUUACUAUAUAUUUCUUAUUCUUAUUGUCCAAUAUAUAAAAAUCCUUUUAUGAAGUACUACUGAUUGAAAUCUCGUAAUAAUAGUUCAGUUUUUUUUCACUGAAUGUAAAAGUAGAUGACAUUGUGGAAUGAAUCGAGCGUUGCCAUGGGCUUUUGUAGAUAGGCACUUUAAUUAGGUUAUCAUGAUAGGCACUUUUUUUAAGGUUCAUAUCAAUUAAAUAAGGUAAGGUUAUUUCUUUAAAUCUAGUAAUAUUCUUUCACUUGGGAAAAUUAUCCAAAAAGUCCUAAACCUAUCGCACUUUUGCCAAUUCAAUCCUAAAUCAUUCAAUUUUGUCAAUUUAGUGCUAAAUUGGAUAUGACUAAACGACAAUUAGAAAAUUCCUAAUUAUCGUUGUUAUAUGACUCAUGAAAUUUGUAUAUGUACUUAACAAUAUUAUUAGAGUAUAUUUUAUAGGAAGUAUUAUAGAAAUGUAAGAAUUUUCAAUAAUUGCUCAUUUGCAGUUUUUGAAACUCAUUAGAACUAAUUUCAAUAAAACUAAUGCCUCUUUUGUUGAACAAAAUUCAUGGUAUAAGAGGCAAACAUAAAUCCUAAUUUGAAGCAAAAUAAACGGAAAGUGGAAGAAAAACACUUUUUGUGAGGAAAAUAAUCAAUCCCUUACAAAUUAGAGCCCUAUAAUUUAGAGACAAUUCUUAAAGAAAAAAUCAUUAUAUAUUUAUGUAGAUGUUCAACAGUCUAGAUUAAUUUGCAAAGUUCACUGAACUUUUAGUAUUAUGGAUGUAAUUUUUAUGGCGGUGAAUUAAGACUCGUUUUGUUUUGUGUUGUGUCAUCACAGCUUAAAUAUGUGGUCGUUAUAGCUACGAUAUAUAUGACUCCAUGCAAUGCAUAUACAAGAUAGAACAUAUAAUGUGAUUUAUUGAGUAAAAAUAUCUUUCCCAGAAUCACUAAAAUUUCACAAAAUAUAUUUGGUCCAUUCACAAGAUAUAAUGGGAUUGAGUAGCACAAUCCCCAAGGAUGAGGUUAUCUCUAAAUCACUCUCGCCUGUCUUUGAAGUCCAAUGGCCACCCACAAUCCUCAAACACCGUUGGAAUAUUCUCAAAACAAUUGAAGCACCUCUCUCACAUUAUUGAACCUCUUUACUAGCACCUCCAAAUUUUCGUAGUUGGGGCCAAUUUUUUUUUGUUUUGGUGGAGCCUUUUCCUUUCUGUAAUUUGUGAUUUAUAAGCUCUACUAUCUUAGAAAUAGAUUCUGGUCACAAAUUUUACUUAGAUUUUACUCACAAGUUUUGGUAAAUACAUAAUCUCUUAAUUGAGCUGAAUAAGUGCCGUAUACCUUUACGAAGAAGAUGACGUUCAAUCUAGAGAGGGUGGAACAAUUUUAAGGGGGAUUUCAGUACGGCGUUGUGUAGGCUAUUGCAAUGUUCUCGACAAUAAGUCUGCUUGAUACUUGCUAGAAUUCGACGGACAUAAUAUGAAAAGAUCAUUUUCCUUUUCUUGAUCUUGACCUAGCUUGCAUUAGUCUGCCGACUCUAUAGAUACUUCAUGUCGUGGAAAUGCCAUAUAAAUUGCUAUGUCAUUUAGUAAGAUUUUCAUAGUGAAAUCUUAAGUUCCUGUCAAUGUCAUUAACUAGUUUUGGUAUUGCAAUCUAAUCUGUUAUUGUCGACUAUCAAUACUAGUAGUGAUUAAGGCACGUCAAAGAUGUCCUUACUCCAAAAUGGGUUUAACUAUAUCGAGACCAACCAAGCUCCAACCAUCCUAAUUUGGAGCUCCUGAUCCCAGAUUUAUUCGACCUGAUACUCACGAAAAACAUGAACCUAUUUGCAAUGACCGACUCCAGCGGGGGCAAUGUAUUCCAUUUAGCAGCUCACCUGAAUCAGGCCUGGGUAUUCGAAUUCUUACGACUAGAAACUAUAUAUUUGACCCGAGCAAGGGACAUGAAUGGAGAUAUCCCUGUUCAUAUUGCGAGCAAGAUGGGUCAUGUUGAACAUAUCAAGAAGCUGAGGAUAGUAUCACUUUCGCUAAAUGGGCAAGGGCAAACCGUUCUUCAUAUCGCCGCAAAAUAUGGGAGAGUCUCUGUAGUGAGAUACAUACUCAGCGAUCCAGAUCUAAAGAUACUGUUAAAUGCACAAGAUAAUGAUGGAAAUACAGCUUUGCACUUGGCUGCGAUGCAUUCGCAGCCCGCUGCUUUGAUUCAUCUUGUGCAGACUAACGGAAUUCAACUCAGCGUUUUCAACAACAAAUGCUUGUUCGCUGUUGACAUUGCUCGACGACGCAAGGCAAAGGGGCAUAAGAUUCGGCAUGUAGGUAACAUGAACAGUCACUAUUUUCUUUAUUAACUUACUGGAGAUUUCGUAGACUAAUGCAUUACUUAAGGCAGACCUUGUAUUCAAAUCAUUAUGUCUCCCAACCAACUAGAUAGUACAAGUAUUGAUCAAAUUUCUAGAAUAGCCGAGACUCCUCUCGGAUAAAUGUUCUGCAAGUCCCUAAUUUAGUCUUGAUAGGAGGUAAUUAAAAUUUGUGAUCAUGAAUUUCUCUGCAGUUAGAAACAAGUAACGUGUCUUUCAUAACACGGUGAUAACAAUUUAUAUAUUUCGUUUAAUUGAGCCUCUGAAUACGGUCAUGAAUAAAAAGGCAGGGUUUGUCAAGGUUGCAUUCUGUUUUUCAUAAAAAGCCAGGGGUCAAUGUGGCAAAUUUGACCGCUCCAAAUGUAACACAAUCUUAUAACAUUAUCAUUUUGUCGACCUAUGAAAUGAUUGCCCGCAUAAAUUCCAUUCAUGCCUCUUUUUUCGUCUAAAACGAACGUGGUAAUUUUGUGCUAAUUCUUCAAAAAGAGCAGAAACUGCAUCUUUAGAAGCAAACGUUUCCAGAGUUCAUUCCGUUAUCAAUAUGGUAUAAGUUUGUUCUUAUUUUCCUUUUUACAUGCUUCCGAUCUCAGCAAUUGGCAUACCUGGCGUUGGCUUGCUCGCUCGCGGGAAAAGAUCCACUUGGAAGCCUAGAGUCAUUCCUAGUUAGAGCGGAAGCUCGAGAUGAAGAGUUAUCAGUAGUCCGCUCGGGCAAAAGCAUGCCGAGCAGGGACAUCAUCAAGGAUUACAUCAAUUCCCGUCUGGUGGUGGCAACGCUUGUGGCCACAGUGACUUUCGCAGCUGGUUUUGCAGUUCCUGGAGGAUUUAACAGCUCGGACACAGCCUCCAAAGAUGACCGGGGCAUGGCUACGAUGCUGGACAAUAGAAUGUUCCAGGCUUUCGCGAUUUGCAACACCAUCGCGAUGUUCUGCUCAGUGAUUGUGGUCGUCAACCUCAUCUGGGCGCAGAUAGUUGAUGUCGACGUGGCAGUCGCUGCAUUCGAGCGCACAACGCUACCACUACAAAUUGCACUCCCGGCGAUGUCCACCGCUUUCUUAACUGGUGUCACCUUGACCAUUGGCAAACUCCCGUGGCUUGCUAACACCAUAUUUUAUUUGGGACUCGUUUUCCUCCUCAUUAUCUCAUUUGCUAAAUUGUUAGAGAAGCCUCUCCUCUUUAAAAUCUGCGGUCGUCCUCUCCCUCAACUAACAUUCUGGCUUAUUCUCGCUUUCAUUUAUUUGUGGAGAGUUGAGACGUACAUUUAUGAUGACAAUGACGCGAAAGAUGACGGAAGGGAGAAGAAGACCUUCGCUAGUCCGCCUGUGGAUGUUGCCGGUGAAUCGAGGACCGAUGACUCGGCGAAAGCAAAAUGUGAGGAUGCUACAUCCUCCAAGUCACUGAUUUGAAUUGAUCAUUCCAUAUUAUCUGUAACAUGUAGUAAUAAUAUAUGUUUUCCUUGGUGAGUGUGACUCACUCUACGGUUGCUUUCCUUUAUGUCAGAUCAAAGGUGAUUGUCAAUGUAUGUAAGCUAAAACCAUGUGUUUCUCUAAUAACUUAUUAGAAUUGUUGGAUAUAAUUCCAUCAAAUUUCAUAUGUUAUUAAAGCAGAGGUUCUAAGUUCAAACAUUUUCAGGUCCUAUUUGCAUCAUCUAUUAUAUGUUCUCAUGUUUCAAUCUUAGAUCAAGUCAAGUUUACGAGUGAAGAUGAGUAUAAAAGUAUUUGAAUUAAACAUCGCAUUCGUCUAAUAAUUUAAAUUUUUAGAAUGAUUAAUUGUACUUUCCCGAAAUUUCAAAGUAAUACACACUUUAUGUAAAUUAAAUGGAUGAAUGGCUCAUUUCAUCCGUUUAUCGCCCUGGAAUCAAAUUGUUAACUUUGAACAUGUGGAAGCUCGUGGGUUUAUGAAAUCACUCGUCUGGAGUGGCCAUGUCCGAUUUACUUCAAACCAGUCCAAUUUGCGGCACUCUCGAGUCACGAAAUCCUAAGCACUCACUUACCUGUCUGGUGUGCAAAGAAAAUAAUUCUCAAAUUCUCAUCGCCUACUCUCUGAGUCAAGAGUUGGGUGAAGAAAACUGGAACAAAAUAAUUCUCUUCACUACUCACAAAAAAAUAGAAUCAAACACCGAACUCAUUUCCAUUUACACCCCUUUCAUUUCCCCACUUCUCCCUCCUAGGCGCCCAAUUUCUGUGCAUGCAAAUGAGUUUUGGUGUUUGAUUCGUGGCGGGGUAUAAUCUUAGUGAGCAGCGGGCGCAGAAGUCUAGUCAAGCGACGUGAUAAAAAGGAAUUGCAAUACGCAACUCACGGAGAAUUGUGGAAAAGUCUGGAUACGUGAUUUUCCUCCUCCGAUCUCUGAUUUUUAUUUCAAAGCUGGUUGGUAUUGACACGUAGAAUAUAACUCCAAAGUGAUUCUGGACCUAUUUAUUCGACAAUGAACGUAGAUAACUACAAAAAUAAGAAGGAUCCCAUUGUACGAAUGUCUAUUGAGUUAUGAACUUUUUAAAUUAGUUGAUUUAAUUUUAAACAUCUUGACAAUUUGUCAAUAUAAUCAUUCCGACCAAUUUUGACCAAAAAUCGUUGAUGUAAACGCCAGCCAUCCUAUGGCACAUGACCAAUAUUGAGGUGGACAAUUUUUGCAAUCUUUAAAAGAAUUUUUCAUUUUUUUCUUUUUUUUUUCAUGUUUUCAUUUUCUUCAUUUUCUUUUCUUAUAUUUUCCUUUUUUCUUUUUCUUAUUCCCCUUCGCCAGCCAUUGGCCGAUCCAUGGCUUCGGUGAUUGAUAGCAAGGGCCCAGAUGCCCUUGCCAGCGAUUAGCAAGGGCUGAUGGAUUUGCUGGGCCACAGACUAAUGGAGGGACAAAGGAAAAAAAAAAAAAAGGAAAGAAAAGAAACUAAAAAGAGGAAAAAAAAAGGUUUUGAAAAAAUUGUAAAAAUUAUCCACAUUAACAUCGGCACCUAGAUCUGGGCGAGGCCAAUCUCGUCAUGGCCUAGCCUAGAUCUGGGUGAAGCCGCCUCGCGCACGGCCCCAGGCCUCCCUCGUGGCCGACGAGGCUCGUCAAAGAAGCAAAAGAAUGAAGAAGAGAAAAAAUUAAAAGGAAAAAUAAAAAAUAUAUAUUCAAAAUUGCCACGUCAACGUACAUCAAUGCUAGCCGACCAAAAUUGUCCAAAUAGAUUGAAUUGGCACAAUCACGAAAAGUUUAGAACUGAAUUGGCAAAAAAAAAAAAGUUUAAAACUGAAUUAACAUAAUUAUAAUAGAUUCAGAACUUUUUCGGUAAUUCAUGUUCCUACACAUGAAGUUCUCCUUGUCGAGCUUGUCGAUCUGGUGCUUCACAUACUUGAAAUGACUAGCUGCAAUUACAUUAUGAAACUCCCUGCUCGAUGAGUAUUGAGUGUACAUACCUUCGGUGAAAUUUAACUUGCUCAAUGCCCCCGGCUCCACCGUCGCCUUGCACCAGCUCCACGCUCUUUAUGAACUGAGGCAGGAGCUUCGGGAUCAGGGUAUUUGACUCGACAAUUAAAGCCUUAAGAAUGCGAGCCGGAGCAAUCGGGCAUGUGAGCUCUUGUGUGAAGCUGGUUGCACCCAUGGCUAUUGGCAAUGAGAAAGAAAUAACCCCAGAGAAGAGUGCUUCUGAGUCCUGUCAAUGCCUCCUAAUUAUGGUUGGAAUUAUGUCAAUAGGUAGGGUUGGUGUGGCAAGAGUCACGCUCGAGGAAAAUAGGAGAGUCAAGGAUUUGCAGCCUAAAGGAAUGGAAAAGAGGAAAUUGAGGUGGUCUCUUUUGUUCUUUUGGUCAUGAAAACGAUUUCGGUCCCUUUCAGAUUCGUGUUGAAAUGUCAAAGUUAUGUUCCAAAAGAUGAACAUUCUCGUGCUCACAUGGGCGGCCAUCCCUUUGAAAUGAUUGUUGUGGAGUUCGAUCUAACAAUUUGCCGAUUAGAUAUUAUAACGAAAUGUCCUUGUUUGGAGAAAAGUGUAUUAAUCAAAUUUUAUCCCGUUUAAUAUGUAGCAAACGAGAAUACUUUAUUAGUUGGUGAUAUCAUGUUAACUUGUCGCGUAAUAUAAACAUCACAUCAUAUACUUCUUCAUUUGUAAUGCCCUAAUGUCACGGUGGAUCUGAUUCAAAUGUAUGGAGUAAGGCCUUUUGAAAUCAUUUUCAUGGGUUGAUUCAAACUUCACUAGCACCGACAGUUUGACUCGGUCAAAAUUGGGUCCGCAAUCGGGGUGUCCCAAGAUCAGCUCGUCGUCUAAGUUUUGGGGGAGGUGGAGGCUGCUGCUUUUCCGUUAUAUCUUGCUUCUCUUUUUCUUUUUUAUCAUUGUCAGUGUUGAAGCAUUUGAUCUCUAAUCCAAUGUCCCCAUCAAAGAGAUAAGAUAGGAUUAGCUUACAUAGAAUUUCAAAUAGCCCAAGCGUUACAAUAAGAUAAGUCCAAAACCUAAACACAUUAACUUUAUUUUCCCAUAGCUUUCUUGACAUAUAAUAAGAAUGUGCUUUUCUUUAAUGAUCAUAUGCAUAACAAUCUCUGAAAGAUUCUACCACAUCCAUAGUUUUAAGUGUUAAUCCAAAUUCGAAACAUAAGUUUGGAUUUAUUCAUUUGUUACUCAUGAAUUCUAUUCUUUUAUGGAAUUUAUUGAAAAUUAGAGAAUCUCAUGAUACCAACAAAAUAUCAAGCUUAUUCAACUUUUAUUUCCUUGAUACGCUAUUUAUGUAGCACAAUUUACAAAAUUCCACAAAAACCAUUUCACCAGAUUCCUGCCACACCUUUUCAUUCUCUUAUUCUCAGCAAAGACAAGAACAGCUACGCUCACCAGCCCCACAAGCUUUACUCCAAACACAGAGGGACCCAAACUCUUCUUCUCUCCUUGUGAAUUUAGCACAACCAGACAUAUUUCACACAGUACCGUGAGCAAUCCAAGAUAGCGAUGAGAUCUACUCAAUAGGCAUCAGGGUUUGCCAAGAGAUGAGCCUCGAUGGCCUUGAACAUCUCGGACGCCUUCUCUUUCCCGGCCUUGAUCUUCUCCUCAGUGAUCUCCACCUCGCCGAUGGUGAAGUACUUGCUCGUGUUCUUGCACACCGAGCCUCCCUCGGGCGAUGCUAUGAUCUUCACCUCGUUGCUGAUCUUCUCGAAGGUGGUGCCCAGCAUGUCGCCCUCGAUGAUCGAGUAGCAGUAGGUGAGGUUCUCCUUGUCCAGGGACUCGACCUUUUGCUUCAUUGUCUUGUAGUGACUGCCUAUCAAAGUAAGAAAAAAUAAUAUUCACGUUUAGAAUUCGCCGGUUUCAACAUCACGAGCAACGAUCUUGAUGGUGUCGAUCGGGGCCAUUUAGGUUGUUCCAACUGCAAUCUGAUACGAUUGACUGAGUAGACAUGGCCUGAUUUCCCUCAAUUGGAGUCAAGUCACGUGAUCACUUGUGUAAAUCAAUGGUUAGAAACAUCUUUAAUUAACCAAGUUGCAUAUCUAUCUUUUUAAUGUUCAUCAUGAUGUUCCAUAAGGUUGAAACAGCCUUGAUCCAGAGCGAUCCUAACACGGACGGACUAACCUUCGCCGAAAGUGAUCAACUUGACGGUCCCGGGACCUCCGUCGCCCUCGAGGACUUCGACGCUCUUGAUGGCUUGCGGGAGCACCUUGGGGAUGAGGUUAUCGGCGUCGAGGACAGCUGCCUUGAACAUCUUGGCCGGAGGGAUUGGGGUCGUGAUCUCGGAGUCGUAACUGACGACACCCAUGAUUUGGAUCCGAAUGGAGUUGCCGAAAUAAAGAAGAGGGUGAUCAGGAAAGGCUGACUAGCAGUGAUGAAGUUG
rnacentral:lncRNA from 1 species